CAAUUUAAGCAACUUGUUGGCCUUAGUAUUAGAAGCCAAUAAAUUGACUGGACCAAUUCCAAUUACAUUCGGCCGACUACAGAAACUCCAAGGCUUAGAUCUUGCAUUCAAUAAGUUGGUAGGUUCAUUCCCAGAUGAGCUUUGCCAUCUAGCUAGGCUGGCUGAAUUGGUCUUAUUUGGCAAUAAGCUUUCAGGAUCUAUACCUUCAUGCCUAAGUAAUCUCACUUCUCUAAGAUCUCUCUACUUAGGGUCCAAUAGGUUUACUUCUGUUAUUCCCUCAACUUUCUGGAGCCUAAAAGACAUCUUGUUCUUUGACUUUUCAUCAAAUUUCUUGGUUGGUCCUCUUUCUUUAGACAUAGGAAAUUUGAAGGUGCUUGUAAGAAUAAAUUUAUCAAAAAAUAACUUAUCCGGUGAUAUCCCAGCCACAAUUGGAGGACUGAAAGAUCUUCAAUUUAUGGACGUAGCAUAUAAUAGAUUGGAAGGCCCAAUUCCUGAAUCAUUUGGUGACUUGACAAGUUUGGAGGUUUUGAAUUUGUCAAAAAAUAAAAUCUCUGGGUCUAUUCCAACAUCCAUGGAGAAACUCUUUUACCUCCGAGAGUUAAAUCUCUCUUUCAAUGAACUAGAAGGUGAGAUUCCCAGUGGAGGAAUUUUUGCCAACUUCACAGCUGAGUCAUUUAUGGGAAAUGAGUUAUUGUGUGGUUUACCAAGUCUUCAAGUCCAACCAUGCAAAGUUAGCAAGCCGAGGACAGAACAUAAAUCAAGGAAAAAGAUACUUCUCAUUGUGAUUGUUUUGCCAUUGAGUAUUGCUCUAACAAUAGCAAUCACACUAGCUCUCAAAUCUAAGCUGAUCGAAUGUGGAAAAAGAAGCACAGUGUUGUCAAAUGAUAGUGUCUUGUCAUCACAAGCAACACUAAGAAGAUUUUCAUACUUAGAACUUUUACAAGCAACAGAUAAUUUUGCUGAAAACAACGUAAUUGGCAUUGGAGGUUUUGGUUCUGUUUAUAGAGCAAGACUUGAAGAUGGGAUGAAGAUUGCAAUAAAAGUGUUUCACCAGCAAUGUGCAAGCGCAUUGAAGAGUUUUGAGGCUGAAUGUGAAGUGUUAAAAAAUAUUCGCCAUCGAAAUCUUCUCAAAGUUAUCAGCAGUUAUUCAAACAAUGACUUCAAAGCAUUAGUCCUAGAAUACAUGUCCAACGGGAGCUUGGGGGAUUGGCUGCAUUCUAGCAAUUAUAUGCUGAAUAUAUUUCAAAGGUUGAACAUAAUGAUUGACGUUGCAUCAGCUUUAGAAUAUCUCCACUUCGAUCAUUCAACUCCUAUCAUUCACUGUGACUUAAAGCCUAGUAAUGUAUUGUUGGACGAAAAUAUGGUUGCUCAUUUGAGUGAUUUUGGCAUAGCAAAGCUUUUAAGUGGAGAGGAUGAGUAUUUGAUGCGAACAAAAACCCUUGCCACUAUAGGUUAUAUGGCACCAGGUUUGCUUCAAACAAUUGUUUUUUUUUAAGUUCAUUUUAAAUUUUCCAAAUCAUUGAUUUUUACGAUCCUCACAUCAAAAUUUUCUUGAUUAUUUAUCUAAUUGUGAAAUUAAUUUUAUUCAUAGAGUACGGCAUAGAAGGAGAAGUAUCUACAAAAAGUGAUGUUUACAGCUAUGGGAUUAUGUUGAUGGAAACUUUUACUAAGAAAAACCCCACAGAUGAAAUUUUUGUUGGAGAAUUGAGCUUAAAGCGUUGGGUUAAUGACUUGCUUCCUACUUCAUUAGUGGAAGUUGUGGACAAAACUCUGCUAAGUGGAGAGGAAAAACAUUCUGCAGUAAAGGAGCAAUGUCUGUUGUCUAUCUUUAGUUUGGCUCUGGAGUGUACAAUGGAAUCACCGGAAAAGAGGAUUAAUGCAAAAGAUGUUGUUACCAGAUUACUCAAGAUAAGAGACACAUUGAGUAAAAGGAUAGGAAACUGAAGUUAAUUUCGUUUGCUUUCAUUGAUAGUUAAUUCAAAUUCAUGUAAUAAGUGUAAGAAUCUUAUAUCCUUUCCUUUGAUUUUUUUUUUUUUUUGAGAAAACUGUUGUAGUCAUCUUGUUUCACUGCCCCCAAUGCUUUGGACACCUACUGGUAGGUUUGUACGUGUCCUCAACUUUUUUUAGGAGCACAAAAUUCGAGUCCCAUGGAGACUCAAACAUUCCUUUCCCACAUCCCGAGCACGCUAAGUUCGAGUGAAAGAGAUUAAUUUACGGAAACUAAAGCCAAGAGAAUAAAGGACAACACUUAUGUGAAGCGACAUAAAUGUAUUGAUAGCACAAUGUCAAAUUCAUACAGAGAUCUAGUAUACUAUUUACAGCCGGUAAGGGCUAAGAAUUGAUGUAGCUAGAAUACAAAGACGAUAAGGUAUGUUGUGCACUAUUGUUUUAUUCUACGAUCAAUCUUGACCCUUGAUGCUUGGCUCUCAAUCUUGUCCAUUGAUCUUCUUUGAUUUUGUACACUUCAAGACCUUUCAGUAUCAUUCCUUGUUGUUGGUGUCUUCCGUGCUGUAGAAUUCAUAUACAAGCCUUCCCGCCGACUUGCGAAGUAUUCGUUCAUUGAUGCAUUUUUAUCAAACAGUUGGCCGACUUGCCAAGUAUCAUGCCUUGUUAUAGGUAGGCUUGGUAGGAUUAUGGGUCGGUCGGUAGAUGUACAUGUGUUAAAGCUUUUGAAUUUAUGCCAAUUGAAAAUAAAAAAGAAUCUACAUAAAUUUUCAACGAGGCUAUUACCACAAUAAGCAUUUGGAUGAAUUAUUAUUGAAUCCUUUCUGAGAAGUAGGACAUGUCAGACAUCAAAGCACUGAGAUAUCUUCAAAUAGUGGUAACCCCCACGCAACAAGGCACAAUAAAUUAUACAGAUAAAAUCCUUCACUCUUUCGUAAUCAUCAGUGUAGGCACGGUGAUGCGUCAGACAGAUAUGGGUCGGAUCCACUCCAGCUCCAUAUCAAGAUUCAUAAACCAUGACAAAAAUAGAGAAUCAUAGGUGUUGCAGAUAGUGAUGGUUGUUGAUGCACUCGUGAUUUAAAAUUUUAUUUUAUAUCUUCAAGUUCGCAUUUUAAGUGUCCUUUUUUUUAAUUUUUUAUUGUGAUCAUUAUAACUUGUCAAAUCUAUUUUUAAAUAAUUUUUUAAAAAUAUUUUAUUAACAAUGAUAUGAAAAUAUUCGAACACCUUUUCAUAGUAAAGUGAAUUAUUAUCCGACGAUCCAACUCAUGUUUUCAAAUUGUAAAUUGCAAAUCGUGUGUUUGCUCCAUUACAGAGUUUCAUCAAUUUGAAAUAGAGAAUCAUUUGUGUUCUAGAUUAAUCGAGGGUCUAUAUCCAAAUCUAAAAAUUGACUAACUUGGUUUCUAUUAAAUUCUUAAUCCUAACAAGAAAAAUAGAAGAUUAAAAAUGACUAAUUUGGUUUCUAUUAAUUUGAGUAACGAUCGAAUUACCUAAUUUAUUAAGAUUUAUCAAAAUCCUAUGUCAAAAUCCAUUAAUGAUAUAGGUUCAAUGACGAAAUAGUCACUUGUUAUUAUUUUUGACUUCAUAAAUAGAUGAACGGAUGUUAUUUUUGGAUUCUGGAGAAUCGAAAAUAUCAGGAUAGGUGAUAAAUGGAAUUAAGUUGUAGAUAAGAUAGAAAUGGAUUUGGAGAGAGAUUGGAAUCCUGGGUAAUCCGGAGUACGUUGUUGUGUUGAAUGCUCGUUGACUUCACGUUGACUGAAACAUUAUUGGAAGAAGUGAGCAAGCUUAUUUUCUUCUCUCAUUUUUUAAAUUUGUCUUAAGUUUAUUGAUGUGAGGCCUUUGAGAUUGUAAGUUUCAAAUCUGAGAAGAAUAACCACACACCCAUUAUCCUAUUACUCUUAUUUUAUCACAUGAAGAGAAUUCGAAGUUUGAUAAAUUUGUGAGGAUUGUGAGGGUUGAUGCAAUAUAAUUUAGAUGCAAAGUGUUUACAAGUACGAUGCUUCAUAAGUGUUCUUGAAUCAUUAUAAACUCACGUUAUUUUUAUAAUGAUUGUUUCAUCUGCACAUGGAUAUAAUCAUAUGUUGAGAUUUUUUCCUAAAUUAUGGUCUUAUUUGGUAUUGAGGUGUUAGAUCUUUUAAGUUACAAUUACUAUUGGAAAAAAAAGUGCAACUAUGAAAUAAAAGUUAAUAUUGUGUACUAAAUAUAAUUGUUAAAUAAUAAUUUUGACAAAAUUAGUGAAGAUAUAUAGGUUUUUUUUUAAUCAUCUAAGUGUAAAAUCAAAUCAACUUAACUUCUAAACUAUAUAGCAGCUACUGUUUACCAAAUACUUUAGUACUGUAACUUUUAAGUUAUAGCUGCCUAACCUCAGUCUCAAACAAUGGCUAUAAAGAUCAAAGAUUUCCUCAUAAAAAUUAUACGUCUUGUGAUUGCUUAUUUAAUUUAUAUUUUUUUAUUUAUCUUUAUUAAUUACAGUCAUCUUUUAAUAAAUUACAAUUGCAGGAAGUUGAUGUUCGAAGUGCUUAUGUCGACUCAAAGUUGUUGGGAAUUAAUGCAUGUAUUGAUUUAUUGGGAGUGUUUAAAUGAUUUUGUGAUUUACUUGAUUGAUUGAUUGAAUAAUGUUUGAUUGCUUCAUAUCCGUUCUAGAAAGUUUAUUUCUUUGUGAAAUUUCAAUGAAAUAUGUUUUUUUAAAUUAUAAGGGUUUUUUAAGUAAUUUUAAAAAUAAAUGAACUAAUAAGGAUUAAUUAUUAGGUAAUUAACUUGAACUAUACAGGGUAAGCGAACAUGUAUCCUAAUUAUAUCAUGAUAAAUCCUUUUCCGAUCAGAAUUAGGAAACCAUAAGUAUAUUGAUUUUUUUUUCCAAUUCUCCUUUGCGAAAACGGAUUACAGAAUUAGAAAACAAUCCUAAUGAUAUUAUUGUUAGGUUUAAAACACUGCAUAGAUAGUAAAAAGCUAACUAGUUCGUAGAGUAAUUUGUUAAUUGCUAUCGCCUCUGCCUGCGCGGUGAAUAAUUUGUUGCAUGCAAAUUUUUUAUUUUAUGCAAAUCGUACUGAACAUUGGAAUUGAUGUAUAAGCAAAAAUACAAGAGUAUUUAUGUCAAUACAAAUUUUUUUUUUCCAUUUUAAAUAAACACAACGCGAUGUUUAUCUGCUCCGCGUUUUUGCAAUCUGUUUAUUCGUUGUUUAUUUGCUUCUUAAGGCCUCAAACUUUGAUAACCAAAAAUUUCACCAAACUAUGAAAAAUAUUCUGCAGGUUAGUUUUUAUUUUCGGAAUAAUUAUUUGAGAAUACUAAAACACAAUAUAAAAUAAGAAAAUAGGGGGUUAAAAUUUGAAAAAAAAACAAAAGGGCAUGUUGGAUAGAUUACUGUAGUUUAAGAAAAAAAUUAUUCAGUUGGGAAUUUUUUUUCUUUAAUUUUUGUUUUACUUAAUUGAGAUUUCUCCUUAAUCCUUACAGUUUUAAAUUUGGAUAACAUAGGAUUAGUAAUUUAGUACUUCCUUUGCAAGCCGAGGUUAAUGAUGAAAUUCUUUUAAGAAAAAAGAUAAAAGAGCAUACCAAUAGUCAAUUAUAAAUAACCACAAAUAAAUACAAACAAAAUGUUUAUGAAGUAAAUUAAAAAUGUGCAUAUUAUUUUUUUUUUAUUUCUUACUAAUCUUUGUAUUUGCUGCUUGAAAAACCAUAAAUACACAGAUGACCAUUGGCUUCGCACCAUUUAAUUGGGAUACAUUUCUACGUACAAACUGAACAAGGCUAUUGAUUUUUAUUAUUAUUUUUAUUUAUUUAUAAAUUACUAUUUCAAUUUUCACUUUUUAUUGGGUUGUUUAAUGGAUUAGUGAGGCUGGUGGUCGUUGAUGCACUCACAAGGUACAAUUUUGUUUUCCAAUUUCAAAUUCGUAUUUUAAAAUGCAGCACAUUAUGUAUACAUAAUUAUUGAUUUUCAUAUGUGGGUGUUUUGAAAUAUUGCUAAAAGACCAAACUUUAAUAAACUAUUUUUGAUCCUUUUUUGUUUCUUUUUUCCUAAAGUUUGAGUGAUAUCCGCAUUUUUAAAAGCUAAUGUAUGCAAAAAAUUCUUUUAUUUUUCUGGGGAAAAUAGGCAAGAGAAAACGUUUUGGCAAAUGAGUUGCAACUGAAUUCAAAACCAAUACGAUGCGAGCAUAGGAAAGAGGUCAGUGUUUUGGAUUUGAAUUUAGUAUUGAGCUGAAUUUUAUGUUUAACACAUGAUUCUAUUAUAGUACUGCGAUUAAUAAGCUCAGCCCCGGAUUUGCUUUUGCUUUUGCUUUUACUUCAAGUGAAAGAAAGAGGAAACCUUUUGUUUUUUCUUUGGUUUUUGACUAUGUUACCUAUACAGAGAGUCAAGAUAUCAGCCAUAAGUGAUGGUGUUAAAAAGAUUAAGCAGCGCACACAAUCUUACUGCUGUCUAGACCAUCCAAUGAUGACUCCAGUCUUUUGGUUACAUUAGCUUUAGUUGAAAUAAGGGCCAAUUUAGCAAACACUAGCUUUGGCGGCUUACUAUGUUUAAUGUAAUGCUUAUUCUCAAGGAAUCUAAUGUUAUAAGAUGAUUGAAUGAUCUUCUAUGAUUGUGAGUAGUAUAGGAUAAUUGAAAAGAGCCUGGCUCCUAUGAUAAAUAACAGUAACACAGUACUGUGAUUGAAAAAGUUCAGUUACAAAAACUUAGUUACAGUAAACUCUUCAUUUAUUCAUUGCGGAGAUUGAAUGGCAAAAAGAGAAUAGAAUGAAGCAGAGGAAUCUCAUUGCCAAUAAAAUUGACCCUCUUUAAUGUUAUAUGGCACAGGUAUGUUUACAUCAAGAACAAGUUACUUACAGUUUUUAUUGUAGUUAAGUUUUGAUGAUUUCAGAUGCUUUUUUUUUUUAAUUGUGACACCUUUGAUUUAUAAUAAUAUUGCAAAUAUAUAUAUAUAUAUAUAUUAGUAGUUUUUUGGUCCGAAAUUUUAAAGUGUGAGAAAGUAUGAGAAAGCUUUAAAACCGCACGGUGUUAAAGGCUUACAGUUUUAAGCAUUUUAAUCCAUGCGGUUUUAAAGUUUUACUGGAUUUUUCCGCACUUUAAAAUUCCAGACUGAAACAUUUCUGUAUAUAUAUACAUAUAAAUAUAUAAAUUAAGAGGGAUGAGUUAACUGAAGAUUAUAAUCAUUACAACAAUGCUGAUGAGUGAUACAUCACUUGAAAUUUACUUAUCAGUUGCUGAAAUGAUGAAAAAAAAACAAUAAACAAUAACAGUGAUAAUGUUCUCUUGCUAAAAUGACUUGUAUAUUAUACAAUCCACUCUACUUAAUGAUAUCGUUUUAAUAAAUGUUUGAUGAUCUCCAUUUAAAAACUACUUCAAUUUUUUUCUUCAUUUAACUUUUUGGUUGUUGAAAAUAACCUUAAUUAUCAAAUAAUUGGAGAAAGAGUAAAGAACAUUUAACAAAUUUAUGUGUAAAAAAAAAAAGGAGAAGUUGAAGAGAAAGGGUGCUUGCAGAAGUAGGUGUCAAAGAUAAAUCGGUCCAUAGGAAUUAUUUGUUGAGAUAUAAUUAAUAAUCUAGUAAAUUGAGCAAGAAGUUUGAAGGGUUAUUUGGUUUGUUUUUCAACAUGAAGUAAAGGGUAGAAUUGAUGUUUGCAAUGUAGCUUUGGAAAUGUAAAGCAUGAUUAAUGUAAUCUCUAGAGUUGUCUAUAAUGCAUAUAAAUAUAGAACUCUGGUUGUAUGAAAAGUAAGAGAGAAACGAAAAAAUGAAUUAAGCAAUAAAGUUUCAGAAAUUUCCAGCAAAAUACUCUGUUCUUAAAUAAAAAUUUUUCUGCACUUCCGCUUGCACCCAACAAAUUUGGUAUCAGAGCUAUUCCAAAACACCCUCAAAAUGACAUCAAACUUCUCCCUGUUUUGAGCUGGAAUAAGAGCAGAAAGCUGUGGGAAAAGGCACUAUUGCUGUCCAUACAAAGGAAGGUACUGAUUUCCUUAUUGUUUGCCUUUAUGUUGAUGCUGCAACAACAAUUUAUUGUGACAACAUGUCAGCCAUUGCUCUAACAAAGAACCCCGUAUUUCAUGCUAAAUCUAAGCACAUUGAGCUGCGUUAUCACUACAUCCGUGACUUAGUAAACAAAGGAGAAGUUAAUAUGGAGUUUAUCAGCACUAAUGAGCAGCCAUCAGAUUUUCUGACCAAAGCAAUCAACAUUGAGAAGUUUGAAAAAUUCAAGAAGCAAUUGAAGAUUACUAAUUAAGAGGGGGUGUUGAGAUAUAAUUAAUAAUCUAGUAAAUUGAGCAAGAAGUUUGAAGGGUUAUUUGGUUUGUUUUUCAACAUGAAGUAAAGGGUAGAAUUGAUGUUUGCAAUGUAGCUUUGGAAAUGUAAAGCAUGAUUAAUGUAAUCUCUAGAGUUGUCUAUAAUGCAUAUAAAUAUAGAACUCUGGUUGUAUGAAAAGUAAGAGAGAAACGAAAAAAUGAAUUAAGCAAUAAAGUUUCAGAAAUUUCCAGCAAAAUACUCUGUUCUUAAAUAAAAAUUUUUCUGCACUUCCGCUUGCACCCAACAUUAUUUUGGUUAUUUUUUAGCAAUAUAAAAAUUUUUUAGCAAGUAAAAAUUAAUUUUUUUCCAAUUUACUAAAAAAUUAACUAAAAACUUCUGCGAUAGCAUUUUUUAUGGGUGCAUAUACCUCCCUUUAAAAAAUAUAUAAUAAUUAAUGCUUAAUAUAGUAUUAAAUACGAAAAUAUCAAUAUUUGACUACUCAAAUUUAUAUCAUUAGGUCCUUAAAAUUUAAAAUUGAAGAUACAAAAGGAAAUAUAUAUAAAUUUCAUUCUCAUGGGAAAGGAUCAUCUUAUAAUCUUAUAAUAUUUGAGUUUUGAAAUAUUUUUUUGAAACAAAUGUACUUUUAUUUGUGUACAAUCAAUAUGUACUUAUUUAUUAUAUUUUUAUUUAUUAACUAUCAAUCAUGUGAGUAUAUUUAGUCAGAAAAAUUAUAUCAAGAGAGAACCCUAAUUUCACGUAAAGACAAAUACAAGACAAAUAUGGCAAUUUCUAUACUAUUCACUUUCCUGUAGAAUCAAUUAUCUAAAAUGCAAGUUUGUGGCUUCAAAAAACUCGCCAAAGAAAGAAGAUAAUUACAAUUGAGCAUUGAUAGCAAAUCUAAUGCAUCCAAUUCUUCUUAACUUGAUGAGUGACGUGAAUACUAGCAGUCUGUAACGCCCAAAUUUUUAUUAUUUUAUUUAUUUUUUAAUGGAAUUUAUAAAUGACAUUUUUGCCCUUAUAAAAACGGUUAUUCAUGGAAUAAUUUUUAGGAAAGGGUUAUUUUUCCAAAUUCAAUAGGGUUUCUUAAGACUCCCUAUAAAUUCAUAUUUUUCUCCUUCCAUAACCCUAAAAGCACGACGUUUCUUCUUCUUCUAUGCUGCUCAUUACGCUCUUACCCAAACCCUAGGAUUCAAACCUUUGGUUAAGAGAGAAUCAAAGCGAUUGGUAAGUUUAUUCCCCUUAUUCUCCACAAGAUUCCCAAUCACUCUAUCUAGGGUUUAUAUUGGCACGAUUUUAGAUUGUUAUAGAUCAUAAUGCAUGAUUUAGAAUGUGUUUAGGCUUUGUUUAGAGUUUUGAUUUAUUAUGAGUUUAGUUAAUCAACCUUGACGUAUUAAGCACAUAGAAUAGUUCCAUAGAAUAUUAUGUUAUUCUGAGUUUUAGAUUAAGAGUUAAAAUUCUGAGCAUCGGACCUGUACGGGUACGAAUUAAAAAAACCAGGUUCUUAGAAUAAGUUAUUAAUUGUCAUAUAUUGUAUUUGUUUAAGGCGUUGGAGGUGAUUGAGGCUCUUAGAGGGUUAGAGGUGUGUUAAUUCAAAUUCUUUUGUCAAGUUAAGUAACUUUAUUCCUAAUGUACUGGAUAUAUAUAUAUGAUUAUUUUGAUAUUAUUAUAAGUAUACGAAUUUUUUUACUACUUAGAAGAUUAAUGGAUUUUCAUAACAAAAUCAGUUUGUGUAAAUGUUUUCAAACCUAAAUUCUUUUUAAUAAAUUAUUUUGUAAAGGCUUUUAAAUAUGUAAGUUAUUUUAUGACAUGACUACCUUUUAUAAUUUUGUCUAUGAAAUAUUUGCAAGCCUAAAUUGUGGUUAUGGACUUUCAUGAAACUGAUACAAAUGUUUUGUACCUAUGUAUGAUUUCAAUUAUUUAUGAUUGUACGGGGGCCACCUCUUGGGACUAUAUGGGGGCCACCUCUUGAAAGCCAAAGCAUCGCAAAGUGCCACAUAUAAGUCAUUAUGUUUUGGCUCAUUGUCCAUAGUUAUUCUGAUUCUGAUUCUGAUCGUAUAAUACGAUAUAUGUCUGUUCUGGACCAGUACUGGGUUUUUGUUUUGAGUGUGCACACGAUAUUCUGAUUCUGUUUUUGGCCGAGUCACCAGGACUAUAGGUGACACUAUGUGACAUGAGCUAACCUUUUGUUUUAUGUGAAUGUGAUAUAUGAUUUGCUUUUGUAAGUAACUAUACUUUUGAUAUUCUGAGUUACAAUGAAUUUAAAUUAUUUUAUAGUGAUAUAUCGUUUUAUGAAAUUUAUGGAUUAUGAUAUAUGUUUUAAUUAAAAGAAGGCUUGCAAUAUUUUUGGUAUCGAUAGGCCUAGUGUGUUAGGAAUAGUUUUACUUACCGAGUUGACGGCUCACCCCUCGUCAUUACUUUUUGCAGAUUAAAUUUCUUUUGAGAGGUGCCCUUAGCUUUGGAGUUAGUAAUUUUCUGUUUCCGUUUGCCAUUUGAAUAAGAUGAGGAAUAGACUCAUGUUUCUAUUUAGUUUAUUUCUGUUAUGGACGUGUAAUUUGGAGUUUGAGACUUUUGUUAUUUUUUUUAUGUCCUCGGGAGAGAUUAUUUAGUAUUAGACGUUUGAAUUUGUGGAUUUAUUCGAAUAAGAAUUUGAGGUAUUUCAGUUUGAAACUUAUGAGUAAAGAUUAUGAUUUGUAAGUAACCUCCUUCUUCACGUGCUCCGCACGUGUUAGAUUUGGGGUGUUACAAUUGUGGUAUCAGAGCAUUAGGUUUGGGAUUCUGUAGACUUUAUUUGAGACUAGAUUUCUUAAGCACAAUCAAUUAGUUCAAUGGUAUUGCUUGCCAUGAGGUUAUCAGAAAGAGUAGAUCUUUAAGGCGAGGAGUAAUUUUGGUCUUUUUGAUUUUCUAGUUGCUUGUGACUUUGUAAUAACUCCUUGAUAUAGGAUUUUGGUAUUAACGUAGAAUGAAAUAUUUGUUUGCUCUUGUUGUCAAUCACUAAUGUUUCUCAGUUAUACUACUUACUCAGUACUUUGCGCACUAGCAAGGCCUUUAACUAUGAAUUAUUUACCGUUUUAUUUAUUUAUUUAUUUUUAUUCUUCGUGUUAUAGUCAAAAGAUGUUGCGUAGGGGAGGUGCUAGGCAUGCCUCUAGCUCGAGAGAUGUUUUAGGAAUCGCUGAUGACGUUGACCCAACCUUGCGUGAGAUGGCUAACGAAGGGAAUCCUAUGAUGCGCGCAAUGGUUAGAUUGAUGGAACAACAAAGUAAGUUGAUUCAAGAUAUGGCUAGAGGUAAAGUUGGGGCACAGGAGAAUGUGCCAGUUGAAAGACAAGGUGGUGGAAGAGAUCAGGGAGGUAUGAUGAGCUUAGAGCGGUUUAGGAAAUUGGGACCACCUACCUUUCAGGGGACUGCCGAUCCUAUGGUUGCAGAGGCAUGGUUAAGACAGAUGGAGAAAAUAUUUAUGGCUAUGGGUUGUAAUGAUGAUCAUAGGGUGAUAUUGGCCUCAUUCGUCCUUUAGGGCGAGGCAGACCACUGGUGGGAUGCCAAAUCCCGUCUUUUGAGGGCCGGGUUACAAGAUGCACCUAUUACUUGGGAGUUAUUUCUGGAGGCUUUUCAUGAAAAAUAUUUUCCUGAACGAGUUCGACAUCAGAUGGAGGUUGACUUCCUGAAAUUGACUCAAGGAACAAAGUUUGUUGCGGAGUAUGAGGAGCAAUUUACUGCUCUAUCUCAUUUUUCUCCUACCUUAGUUGCUAAUGAGGGUAGUAAGUGUAGGAAAUUCUUGGAAGGGUUACAUCCAAACAUCAAAAGACGGUUGACCAUCCUUAAGCUUAAUAAUUAUGCCGAUUUGGUGGAUCGUGCGAUUAUUGCAGAGAGGGAUAUAAUUCAAUCUCAAGUUGCACGAUCUAAUCGACAUAAUAACCAGCCAAUAAAACAUGAUAGUAAUGGUAGCGAAGGUGAACAUAAGGACUCUAAUGGUGGGUCUAUUCAAGAGAACAAACCAUUCUGUAAUCGUUGUGACAAGUACCAUAAUGGCACGUGCUAUUUAAAGAUAGAAGCUUGUUUUGGCUGUGGAAAGAUGGGGCAUAAGGUUAUAGAUUGCCCAAAAAAGCGCAGUGGUAACAUAGAUUCUGCCGAGAACCAAAGGAAAAAGCCAUGUGUCUUCGCCAUGGUGGAGCAAGAUAUUAAGAAACCGAAUAACGAAGCCUCAGGUGCAUUACCUAUUUUCCAUAGAAAGCCUUGAAUUUUUGAGUAAUUGGUAUUGUGCUUUUCCUCCAUCCUUUCUGAUUGGAUGCAUCGUAGCUAGAGUUUUUAGCCUAAUAAUUUCUUUUUUCAUCCAUUGAAUUUCUAUGGUACAUUAGUAGGAUAUGACGUGUGAUUUUAUAAGGCCAUUAGGAUUAACUUAUGGUUGGAUGGAGUAGGGACUAAUAUGAUAUUUAGUAGGAUAUGUGAUGAAGAUUGCAAUAAAAGUGUUUCACCAGCAAUGUGCGAGCGCAUUGAACAGUUUUGAAGUUGAAUGUGAAGUGAUAAAAAAUAUUCGCCAUCGAAACCUUAUCAAUGUUAUUGGCAGUUGUUCGAACGAUGACUUCAAAUCAUUAGUCCUAGAAUACAUGUCCAACGGGAGCUUGGAGGAUUGGCUGCAUUCUAGCAAUUAUGUGCUUAAUAUUUUUCGCAGGUUGAACAUAAUGAUUGACGUUGCAUCAGCUUUAAAAUAUCUCCACUUCGAUCAUUCAACUCGUAUCAUUCAUUGUGACUUAAAGCCUAAUAAUGUGUUGUUGGGUGAAAAUAUGGUUGCUCAUUUGAGUGAUUUUGGCAUAGCAAAGCUUUUAAGUGGAAGAUGAGUCUACGAUGCGAACAAAAACCCUUGCCACUAUAGGUUAUACGGCACCAGGUUUGCUUGAAACAACUUUUUUUUUUAGUUUAUUUUAAAAUUUCCAAAUUAUUGAUUUUUACGAUCCUCAUAUCAAAAUGUUAUUGAUUAUUUAUCUAAUUAUGAAAUAAUUUAAUUCAUAGAGUAUGGCAUAGAAGGAGAAAUAUCUGCAAAAAGUGAUGUUUACAGCUAUGGGAUUAUGUUGAUGGAAACUUUUACCAAGAAAAAACCCACAGAUGAGAUUUUUGUUGGAGAAUUGAGCUUAAAGCGUUGGGUUAAUGACUUGCUUCCUAAUUCAUUAGUGGAAGUUGUGGACAAAAUUCUGAUAAUUGGAGAGGAAAAACAUUUUGCCGCAAAGGAGCAAUGUCUGUUCUCUAUCUUUAUUUUGGCUCUGGAGUGUACAAUGGAAUCACCGGAAAAGAGGAUCAAUACAAAAGAUAUUGUUACCAGAUUACUCAAGAUAAGAGACACAUUGAGUAAAAGGAUAGGAAAUUUAAGUUAAUUUUGUUUGCUUUCAUUGAUAGUUACUUUGAAUUCAUGUAAUAAGUGUAAGAAUCGUUUAUCUUUUCUUUUGAUAUUUUUUUCUUGAGAAAACUGUUGUAGUCAUCUUUUUUCAAUGGGCAGAGUUGAUUUAGUUCUUCCAAGAAAUGCUAUUGUUGAUCUUUGUUAUAUACUUUUGUCUUUUUUUGCAUGCAUUUAGGUAGAAUAGUGGUCUAGCUGCAGGCUAACAAGUCAAGCUACGCUAAAAGGGUAUGAUUUAAUUUAUUAAACCUAACUUCAAGUUCAAGAAUUGUAUCUCAUUGCCACCAAUGCUUUAGACACCUAUUGGUAGGUUUGUGUCCUCAACUUUGUUUAGAGCAAAAGUUCCAGUCCCAUGGAGGCUCAAAUAUUCCUCUCCUACGUCCCGAACACACUAAAUUCAUCAGCCUCUUGAACCCUCUCCUGAGGGCGCCUUCUGUCCUCUGUUUUCUGUUUCCAUACACAAAUAGCAAAAAGAAUUCAGAAUGACAACUGGGACAUAUAUAAGAGUGAAAUAAUUAAAAAAAAUUAUGCUUUUUUGUUUGUCGUGUUAAAAUCGUAAGGUAUCUAAGUACUAUGAAAGAGAUUAGUUUACGAAAACUGAAGCCAAGGGUUCAUAAAAAAGUGCAAAGAGAAUAAAGGACAACGCUUAUGUAAAGCGACAUAAUUGUAUUGGUAGCACAAUGUCACGUUCAUACAGAGAUCAAGUACAUUAUUUACAGCUGGUAAGGGCUAAGAAUUGAUGUAGCUAGAAUACAAAUAUGAUAAGGUAUGUUGUGCACUAUUGUUUUAUUCUACAAUCAAUCUUGACCCUUGAUGCUUGGCUCUCAAUCUUGUCCAUUGAUCUUCUCUGAUCUCGAAAACUUCAAGACCUUUCAAUCUCAUGCCUUAUUAUUGGUAUGUUCUAUGCUGUUAAUUUCAAAUACUAGCUUUUCCGCCAACUUGCCAAUUAUUUGUUCAUUGGUGCGUUCUGUCAAACAGUGUGGAUACUUAUACCAAACGCUUUCUGUUUUAACUCCCCCUUUCAAGCUCAACUAUCUGGGAAGACACUAAUAAGCUUGUUUCUCAAGUAUAUGUAUCUGAAAAUUAAAUUUUCAAAAUUAUAUUCGGACUCUACAUUUUCUAAUGAACAUUGGUUUGGCUCAUAAGCUUAUUAUACUUGGGCUUGGUAGGAUUAUCGGUCGGUAGAUGAACAAGUGUUAGAGCUUUCGAAUUUAUGCCAAUUAAAAAAAAAUCUAUAUAAAUUUUCCACUAGGCUAUUACCACAAUAAACAUUUGGAUGAACUAUUAUUGAAACCUUAUUGAGAAGUAGGACAUGUCGCAUACCAAUGCACUGACAUAUCUUCAAAUAGUGGUAACUCCACACAACAUGGCACAAUAAAUUAGAGUUAUAUAGAUAAAAUCUUUCACUCUUUGGUAAUCAUCAAUGUCGGCAUGGCAAUGCGUCCGACAAAAUUCAUAAAUCAAAACAAAAAUAGAGAAUCAUAUUUGUUUCAGAUUGUAGUGAUGGUUGUUCAUAAUUCACAAUUUUAUUUAAUAUCUUCAAAUUCGCAUUUUAAAAUGCACAAAUGUUUGUGUAUACAUAAUUAGUAAUCGAUUCUCAAGCUUGGACAUUUAAAAGCACUGCUAAAAGACAAAAUUUUAAUUCACUAUUUUUUGUCUUUUAAUUUUCUUUAAGUUUUAAUGAUUCCGCAUUUUAAAAUCCUGUGGAACGUACAUGUAAAAUUCUUUUAUCUUUUAGAGGAAAAUGGGCAAGAGAAGAAGAUUUGGCAAAGGAAUUGCAACCGCAUUUGGAGCUAGUUUUAAUUUUGUCUUUUAAUUCUUUUACACUUGGCUUUUGUUAUUGAUGUCAACUUCGAUGUGUGUGCGUGUGCGACUGAAUUCAACUUACAUGCUAUUGAUGCAGCCACCAAAAAGGGGUGGUCCAUCAUCAAUCAACAAGGUUUAUUAUUAUUUCCAUAUUGAUUUUCUUAAUUAUAAAUAAUACUAAUGUUAUUUCAUAGUUAUAAAUAUAUUAGAAUUAAUCGAAAUCAUUUUUUAGUGUGGCAUGGCUAAAACUACCUUUUUUUUUUAUAAGUAAUUACUACUUUCACAUUAAGAAAAAUACUCCUAUUUUUAAGGAAAAGUCAAGUACCUGUAGUUGUGAAGACUCAAGCUCACUCCCUUAUGAUAAAUCUUCAUAUUAAUUACGUAAAUAUCCUCUAAAAUUUUAAAUUAGCUAUUCAAAAUUUGAUGUUAUACGGGUAUUUCAUUUAUUUGAGUAGGGGUUAGGGGUCAAUUGGAUACAAAUUCAAAAUUAUCCUUACUUGAGAAGGUGAUAAAAAUUGGGGAUUUAGUUUGGAUGUCAUUAGCUACAAAUAUUAAACUCAUACAUUUAAUUCAAAAUUAGAGGGCUGAUAUGUGCGCAUCAUCGUCCACGUUAUAGUGACACUGCGUCACCAUUCCACAACCUCUCCAAUGAAAAAUUGACAUGCUUCUUGUGCGCAUCUAAUCAGAAUCUUGAAAAUUAAUCACAAAAUUGUACUUUUAUUAUAAAAAGAAUAAAGAAACUCCAAGAAAAAAAAAAAGACUUACAUAAAUAGAUUGAAAAAUCUAGAUUUCAAGUUGUCUAUAUUAGCUUGAUAUUUUUAUUAAUAGUCAUCCUCCCAAAAAAAUUCCAUCAAAAUAUAUUUUAAUUUUAUGUUAAUUCAUAAACAUGAAAAAAUCAUUUUAGAAUUAAUUAAAACAUAAUUUAUUGUUGCUCAAAAAAGGUAGAACUUAGUUAUCAGAAAAAAGUGUCUAAAAUAUAUGUUAAAAAAAAAUCAUGGUUGGUUGGACUGAUUGAAUUUUUUUUUUCUUUUUUAAGAAUUAAGACAAUUGGAUGGAUUGAGUAAUAAUAAUACAUAUUUAUUUGGCAAAUGGCAGGGAGGCUUUCGUCUGAUGCAGAUUGAUUAGAGAGAAAAUAUAACAAUUUUAAGCUCGUCAGAUUCGAAGCUGCUUACCUGUCGUGUGGGGAUCACUUCCGUGUCUUAUUUUUCUAGAAAAAUCUGGACCAUUGGAUUUACCAUUAGUCAAUAGAGAAAUGUUGAUCUUGAUUCUUGAUCAAGAUCGAAGUUUGAUUCUAACUAACACGAUAUCAGAUUGCGAAGCAAGCAAAUUGAAAGUCACUUGUUCUAUGGAAGAAACACAAGUUCUAAUAAAACAUUCUCAUAGUAAAGUGAAUUACCAUCCAACGAUCCAACUCAUGUUUUCAAAUUGUAAAUUGCAAAUCGUGUGUUUGCUCCAUUACAGAGUUUCUUCAAUCUGAAAUAGCGAAUCAUUUGUGUUCUAGAUUAAUCGUGGGUCUAUAUCCAAAUCUAAAAAUUGACUAACUUGAUUUCUAUUAAAUUCUUAAUCCUAACAAGAAAAAUUGAAGAUUAAAAACGACUAAUUUGGUACCAUACCACUAUUGUAACAUAGGUAGAUCCUCUAUUAAUUGGAGUAAAGAUUGAAUUAUCUCAUUUAUUAAGGUUUAUCAAAAUCUUGUGUCAAAAUCUAUUAAUGAUAUAGGUUCAAGGAUGAAAAAGUCACUGCAUUACUUUUGAGUUCCCAAAUAGAUGAAUGGAUGUUAUUUUUAGAUUCCGGAGAGUCGAAAAUAUUAAGAUAGGUGCUAAAUCGAAUUAAGUUGUAGAUACGAUAGAAAUGGAUUUGGAGAGAUUGGAAUCCUAGGUAAUCCGGUGCACGUUGUCGUGUUAAAUUCUCGUUGACUUCACGUUGACUGAAGCAUUAUUGGAAGAAACAAGUUUAUUGAUGUGAGGCCUUUGAGGUUGUAAGUGUUAAAUCUGAGAAGAAUACCCACACACCCAUUAUCCUAUUACUCUUAUAUCACAUGAAGAGAAUUCAACAUUUGAUUCACACGGAAAAAAUUUGUGAGGAAUGUGAGGGUUGAUGGAAUAUAAUUUAGAUACAAAGUGUUUACCAGUGCGAUGCUUCGCAAGUGUUCUUGAAUCAAUAUAAACUCACAUUAUUUUCAUAGUGAUUGUUUCAUCUGCACGUUAAUAUAAUCACAUGUCGAGAUUUUUUUCCUUAAAUUAUGGUCUUAUUUAGUAUUGAGGUGUUAUAUCUUUUAAGGUACAAUUAUUGUUGGAAAAAAGUUACAACUAUCAAAUAAAAUUAAUACUAUGUGCUAAAUAUAAUUGUUAAAUAAUAAUUUUGACAAAAUUAGUGAAGUUAUAUAGAUUUUUUUCAUCAUCCAAGUAUAAAAUCAAAUCAACUUAACUUCUAAGUUAUAUAUCGGCUACUGUUUAUCAUAUGUUUUAGUUUUGUAACUUUUAAAUUAUAGUUACCCAACCUCAAUUCUAAACAAGACCUAUAAAGAUCAAAGAUUUCCUCAUUAAAUUAUAUGUCUUGUGAUUGCUUAUUUAAUUUAUAUUUUUGUUAUUUAUCUUUAUUAAUUAUAAUCAUCUUUUUAUAAAUUAAAAUUGAAGGAAGUUGAUUGAUGUUGUUGACACACACACGCACGCGCACGCACACACUCACAAAGAUAUAUUGGAAGUGCUUACGUCGACUCGAAGUUGUUGGGAAUUAAUGCAUGUAUUGAUUUAUUGGGAGUGUUUAAAUGAUUUUGUGAUUUACUUGAUUUAUUGAUUGAAUAUUGUUUGAUUGCUUCAUAUCCAUUCUAGAAAGUUUAUUUCUUUGUGAAAGUUCAACGAAAUAUGUUUUUUUUUUUAAAUAAGGGUGUUCUAAAUAAUUUUAAAAAAUAUAUGCUUGUCUUCCCAAAAUAGCCUUUGAAUACACAAGUAAAUGUCUAGCCUUUGGUGAGGAUAGUUUGGUCAUUGCAUUUUACAAGUAAGAUGAGUGGUGGAGAAAAAUGAGGAGUGCACAUAACUCUUCAGCAAAUCCCACCAACAAUUCCAUUUUCUUAAUUAAUUAAUCUCCUUUUUUAUCCCCAAACAAAUCCUAAUGAUACUAUUAUCAGGUUUAAAACAGUACACAAAUAGUGAAAAGCUAACUAGUCUGUAGAGUAAUUUGCUAAUUGCUAUCUCCUCUCUAUGCUCGCUGAAUAAUUUGUUGCAUGCAAACUUUUUAUUUUAUGCAAAUCAUACGUACUGUAACAUUGGAAUUGAUGUAUAAGCAAAAAUACAAUAAUAUUUAUGUCAAUACAAAUAGUUUUUUUUCCCUUUUUAAAUAAACACAACGCGAUGUUGCUCUGCUCUACAUUUUUGCUAUCUCUUUAUUAUUAUUAUUUUUUUUUGGGCUUCUUAAAGCCUCAAACUUUGAUAACCAAAACUUCAUCGACCUAUGAAAAAAUCUGCAGAUUAGUUUUUAUUAUCGGAAUAAUUGUUUGAGAAUACUAAAACAAAAUAUAAAAUAAGAAAAUACGGGGUUAAAUUUGGGGAAAACAAAAAGGCAUGUUGGAUAGAUUACUAUAGUUUAAGGGGAAAAAAAAAUUCAAUUGGAAAUUUUUUUCUUUAAUUUUUGUUUUACUUGAUUGAGAUUUCUCCUUAGUCCUUACAGUUUUAAGUUUGGAUGCCGUAGGGUUAGUAAUUUAGUAUUUCCCUUGCAAGCUGAGCUUAAGGAUGAAAUUUCUUUUAAGAAAUUAAAAAAGAUUAAAAAAAGCAUACCAAUAGGUAAUUAUAAAUAACCAUAAAUAAACAUAAACAAAAUGUUUAUGAAGUAAAUUACACAUGCACAUAUUAUUUUUUUGUUAUAUUUCUUACUUGUCUAUUUUAUUUGCUGCUUGAUAACCCGUAAAUACUAAUCUAGUACUGCUAAUUUCAGACACAAAAUGUUUAACUCUAGGCUGCAGUUUUACUCAAAAUGAUGACCACUGGCUUCGCACCAUUUAACCGGCAUACAUUUCUACAAAUUGAACAAGGCUAUUGAUUUUCAUUAUUAUUUUUUAUUUAUUUAUAAAUUACUAUUUUAAUUUUCACUUUUUAUUGGGUUGUUUACAGAUUAGUGAAGUUGGUGGUCGUGAUGCACUCACAAGGUACAAUUUUAUUUUAUAAUUUCAAAUUUGUAUUUUAAAAUGCAGGUACAUUAUGUAUACAUAAUUAUUGAUUUUCAUAUGUGGGUGUUUUGAAAUAUUGCUAAAAGACCAAACUUUAAUAAACUAUUUUUUAUCUUUUUUUUUCCUAAAGUUUGAGUGAUAUCCGCAUUUUAAAUUCAUGUGGAACAAAAGCUAAUGUAUGCUCAAAAUUCUUUUAUUUUUUCCGAGAAGAAUGGGUAAGAGAAGAAGAUUUUUCUGUUGAAAAAGAAAAACUAAUACGAUGCAAGCAUAGGAAAGAGGUCAGUGUUUUGGAUUAGAAUUUAGUAUUGAGCUGAAUUUUAUACUAAACUCUUUUAUAGUACUGCGAUUAAUAAACUCAUGAUUUGCUUUUGCUUUUACUUCAAGUGAAAGAAAGAGGAAACCGUUUGAUUUUUGUUUGAUUCUUGACUAUAGAUGUUACCUAUAUAGAGAGUUGAGGUAGCUGCCUUAAGUGAUGGUUAUAAAAAGAUUAAGCAGCGCACACAAUCUUACUGUCGUCCAGACCAUCCAGCUAUGAUGACUCUAGUUUUUUGGUUACAUUAACUUUAGUGGAAAGGAGGGCCAAUUUAACAAAGACUAGAUUUGGUGGCUUACUAUAAUGCUUAUUCUCAGGGAAUCUAAUGUUAUAAGAUGAUUUAAUGAUCUUCUAUGAUUGUGAGUAGUAUAGUAUAAUUGAAAAGAGCUUGGGCUCCUAUGAUGAAUAUUUAAUAGUAACACAGUACUGUUAUUGAAAAAAACACAGUUACAAUAAACUCUUCAUUUAUUCAUUGUGGAGAUUGAAUGGCAAACAGAGAAUAAAAUGAAGCAGAGGAAUCUCAUUGCCAGUAAAAUUGACCCUCUUUAAUGUUAUAUGGCACAGGUGUGUGUACAGCAAGAUCAAGUUACUUGCAGUUUUUAUUGUAAAAUAUAUAGGUUAUGACCAUGAUCAUUGUAGUUAGGUUUUGAUGAUUUUAGAUGCUUUUUUUAUUUUUUUUAAAAUUGUGACACCUUUGAUUUAUGGUAGCUUUGCAGAAGAAAAAUAUAUAUAUAUAAAUUAGGAGGGAUGAGUUAACUAACGAUUGCAAUCAUUACAGUAAUGUUGAUGAGUGAUACAUCAUUUGAAAUUUACUUGUCAGUUACUGAAAUGAUGAAAAAAAACAAUAAACAAUAGCAGUAAUAUUUUUAUGGAAAAUCUUGGUUUUUAUGGAAAUACUCUUGCUGAAAUUCUAAUUUUGACUUUCAACUCUUGGUUUUUAUGGAAAGUAAAAUGACUUGUUUGUUAUAUUCAUACAAUCCACUCUACAUAAUGAUUUCAUUUUAAUAAAUGCUUGAUGAUCUCCACUGAAAAACUACUUCAAUUCUUUUGUUUUAUUUAACUUUUUGGUUGUUGAAAAUAGCCUUAAUUUUCAAAUAAUUGGAGAAAGAGUAAAGAACAUUUAACAAAUUUAUGUGCCAAAAAUAAAGGAGAAAUUGAAGAGAAAGGGUGCUUGCAGAAGUGGGUGCAAAGAUAAAUCAGUCCAUAAGAAUUAUUGUGGUUAUUAAGUUUUUGGCAAUAUAAAAAUUUUUCAGCAAAUAAAAAUUGAUUUUUUCCGAUUUACUAAAAAAUUAAUUAAAAACUUCGGUGAUAGCAUUUUUUAUGGGUGCAUGUACCCUCCCUUUAAAAAAAAUAUAAUAAUUAAUACUUAAUAUAGUAUUAAAUACGAAAAUAUCAAUAUUUGACUACACAAAUUUAUAUCAUUAGGUCCUUAAAAUUUAAAAUUGAAGACACAAAAUGAAAUAUAUAUAAAUUUCAUUCUCACAGGAAAGGAUCCUCUUAUAAUCUUAAAAUAUUUGAGCUUUGAAAGAUUUUUUAAAACAAAUGUACUUUUAUUUUUGUACAAUCAAUAUUUACUUAUUUAUUAUAUUUUUAUUCAUUAACUAUCAAUCAUGUGAGUAUAUUUACUCAGAAAUAUCAUAUCAAGGAAGAAUCUUGAUCCCACGCACACACAAAUAUGUUAAUUUCUAUACGCUUCACUUACCUGUAGAAUCAAUUAUCUAAAAUGCAAGUUUGUGGCCACAAAAAAAGCCAAAGAAAGAAGAUAAUAACAAUUGACUUGUAUAUUAUACUCAUACAAUCCACUCGACAUAAUGAUAUCAUUUUAAUAAGGCAAUGGCUGAUGAUCUCCAUUGAAAAACCAAUUCAAUUUUUUUGCUUCAUUUAACUUUUUGGUUGUUGAAAAUAACCUUAAUUAUCAAAUAAUUGGAGAAAGAGUAAAGAACAUUUAACAAAUUUAUGUGCAAAAAAAAAAAAAAAAAAAGGAGAAGUUGAAGGGAAAGGGUGCUUGCAGAAGUGGGUGUCAAAGAAAAAUCUGUCCAUAAGAAUUAUUGCGGUUAUUUUUUGGCAAUAUAAAAUUUUUAUAGCAAGUAAAAAUUAAUUUUUUCCAAUUUACUAAAAAAUUAACUAAAAACUUCUGCGACAACAUUUUUUAUGGGUGCAUAUACCCGCCCUUUAAAAAAAAAAAUAAUUAAUGCUUAAGUUAGUAUUAAAUACGAAAAUAUCAAUAUUUGACUACUCAAAUUUAUAUCAUUAGGUCCUUAAAAUUUAAAAUUGAAGAUACUAAAGGAAAUAUAUAUAAAUUUCAUUCUCAUGGAAAGGAUUCUCUUAUAAUCUUAUAAUAUUUGAGUUUUGAAAUUUUUUUGAAACAAAUGUAAUUUUAUUUGUGUACAAUCAAUAUUUACUUAUUUAUUAUAUUUUAAUUUAUUAACUAUCAAUCAUGUAAGUAUAUUUAGUCAGAAAAAUUAUAUCGAGAGAGAAUCCUAAUUUCACGCAAACACAAAUACAAGACAAAUAUGUUAAUUUCUAUACUAUUCACUUUCCUGUAGAAUCAAUUAUCUAAAAUGCAAGUUUGUGGCUAUAGAAAACUCGCCAAAGAAAGAAGAUAAUAACAAUUGAGCAUUGAUAGCAAAACUAAUGCAUCAUUUUCUUCUUGACUUGAUGAGAUGGUGCCAUUACAAAACAAUAAUUACCUUAAUUGACGGGCACUGAGUGAUGUGAAUACUACCAGCCAGUUCAUCUCUUCCAGUCUUGCUUAAUCACAAUCACAAACACCACGAGAUUGACAUUUGCAUUAUAUAUAUCUUCAGCAAUCGAAACACCUUGCAUUACCAAAUUAACCGGUAACAAACAAAGCAACCUUUCAUGGAGAGAAACUUUAGUCUCAGUAUGAUCACUGUGUCAUUAACCCACUUCCUGCUUCUUUGCUUGGUUGUUGCAGCAGCAGCAGCAGCAGCAAGCAACAAUAUUACCACAGACCAACAAGCUCUUCUUGCCCUGAAAGAUCAUAUAACUUAUGAUCCAACCAAACUUUUUGCCCAUAAUUGGACCUCGAAUACCUCUGUUUGCACCUGGAUUGGCCUCAGUUGUGAUGUCAAUAGCCAUAGAGUCACAGCCUUAGAUAUUUCUCAAUUCAAUAUACAAGGCACCAUCCCUCCUCAACUUGGAAACCUCUCUUCACUCACAACACUUAAUCUUAGUCGUAAUAAGCUUUCUGGAAGCAUUCCCCCCUCCAUCUACACCAUGCAUACGCUAAAAUUUCUAGACUUCACUGAUAACCUGCUCUCUGGUUCAGUGUCUUCCUCCGUCUUCAACAUGUCUUCAAUAUUAGACAUUCGUUUGACCAAUAACAGACUUUCUGGUGAGCUUCCGAAAAAUAUUUGCAACUAUCUUCCUUACUUGAAAGCCCUUUUUCUGGACAAAAACAAGUUGCAUGGCAAAAUUCCUUCAGCUUUAUCAAAUUGCAAACAACUGCAACAAUUGCAUUUGCAGUUCAAUAAUUUAUCCGGUGCAAUACCGAAAGAAAUCGGCAACUUGACUAUGCUCAAAUGGAUAGAUCUCGGCUACAACAAACUCCACGGUAUGUUUCAUAAUGCUAUCUAAAUAUUUUAAUUUAUCACUUGUUUAUUUUAAUUUCUCACUUGUUAUUUUUCUUGAAUACUUUAGAUAAGAUCUAGUAAGUGAGAUUUUUUGCAUCUAUGUUAAUUUACCAGGUGAGAUACCCCCCGAAAUCGCUAAUCUUCGAAAUCUAGAGGCUUUGGUGCUUGGAAUGAACAACCUAGUGGGUGUGUUACCAGCUACAAUCUUCAACAUGUCAACACUGAAGGUAGUUAUCCUCAUUAAUAACUCUCUCUUCGGAAGUCUCCCAUCAAGAAUAGACCUUUCACUUCCAACUAUUGAGCACCUUAACUUGGCACUUAAUAGAUUUUCUGGAACCAUUCCUAGUUCCAUCACCAAUGCUUCUAAGCUCACCUUUCUAGAGUUGGGAGGAAACACAUUUUCGGGCUUUAUUCCGAACACAAUUGGUAAUUUAAGAAACCUUGAGUGGCUCAGCUUGGGUAAUAACUACUUGACAUCUUCAACCUCAAAAUUGAGCUUUCUUUCCUCUUUGGCAAAUUGCAAGAAAUUAAGAGACAUAGGCUUAACAGGCAAUCCACUCGACGGUAUCCUUCCAAGUUCAAUAGGUAAUCUUUCCAUGUCUUUGAAAACACUUUACAUCGGCAAUUGCAGUAUUAGUGGCAACAUUCCUCAAUCAAUUGGCAAUUUAAGCAACUUAUUGGCCUUAGUAUUAGAAGGCAAUAAAUUGACCGGACCAAUCCCAACUACAUUCGGCCAACUGCAGAAACUCCAAGGCUUAUUUCUUACAUUCAAUAAGUUGGUAGGUUCAUUCCCAGAUGAGCUUUUCCAUCUAGCUAGGCUGGAUAAAUUGGUAUUAUUGGGAAAUAAGCUUUCAGGAUCUAUGCCUUCAUGCUUAAGUAACCUCACUUCUCUGAGAUCUCUCUACUUAGGGUCCAAUAGGUUUACUUCUGUUAUUCCCUCAACUUUCUGGAGCCUAAAAGACAUCUUGUUCUUUGACUUUUCAUCAAAUUUCUUGGUUGGUACUCUUUCUUUCGACAUAGGUAAUUUGAAGGUGCUUCUAGGAAUAAGUUUAUCAGAAAAUAACUUAUCGGGUGAUAUGCCAGCCACAAUUGGAGGGAUAAAAAAACCUUCAAAUUAUGGACCUAGCAUAUAAUAGAUUGGAAGGGCAAAUUCCUGAAUCAUUUGGUGACUUGACAAGUUUGGAGGUUUUGAAUUUGUCAAAUAAUAAAAUCUCUGGGUCUAUUCCAAAAUCCAUGGAGAAACUCUUUUACCUCCGAGAGUUAAAUCUCUCUUUCAAUGAACUAGAAGGUGAGAUUCCUAGUGGAGGAAUUUUUGCCAACUUCACAGCUGAGUCAUUUAUGGGAAAUGAGUUAUUGUGUGGUUUACCAAAUCUUCAAGUCCAACCAUGCAAAGUUAGCAAGCCGAGGACAGAACAUAAAUCAAGGAAAAAGAUACUUCUCAUUGUGAUUGUUUUGCCAUUGAGUAUUGCUCUAACAAUAGCAAUCACUCUACCUCUCAAAUCUAAGCUGAUCGAAUGUGGAAAAAGAAGCACAGUGUUGUCAAAUGAUAGUGUCUUGUCAUCACAAGCAACACUAAGAAGAUUUUCAUACUUAGAACUUUUACAAGCAACAGAUAAUUUUGCUGAAAACAACGUAAUUGGCAUAGGAGGUUUUGGUUCUGUUUACGGUGGAAGACUUGAAGAUGGGAUGAAGAUUGCAAUAAAAGUGUUUCACCAGCAAUGUGCAAGCGCAUUGAAGAGUUUUGAGGCUGAAUGUGAAGUGUUAAAAAAUAUUCGCCAUCGAAACCUUAUUAAAGUUAUCAGCAGUUAUUCAAACAAUGACUUCAAAGCAUUAGUUCUAGAAUACAUGUCCAACGGGAGCUUAGGGGACUGGCUGCAUUCUAGCAAUUAUGUGCUGAAUAUAUUUCAGAGGUUGAACAUAAUGAUUGAUGUUGCAUCAGCUUUAGAACAUCUCCACUUCGAUCAUUCGACUCCUAUUAUUCAUUGUGACUUAAAGCCUAGUAAUGUAUUGUUGGACGGAAAUAUGGUUGCUCAUUUGAGUGAUUUUGGCAUAGCAAAGCUUUUAAGUGGAGAGGAUGAGUCUAUGAUGCGAACAAAAACCCUUGCCACUAUAGGUUAUAUGGCACCAGGUUUGCUUCAAACAACUUUUUUUUUUUAGUUCAUUUUAAAUUUUGCAACUUAUUGAUUUUUACGAUCCUCACAUCAAAAUGUUAUUGAUUAUUUAUCUAAUUUUGAAAUUAAUUUGAUUCAUAGAGUACGGCAUAGAAGGAGAAGUAUCUACAAAAAGUGAUGUUUACAGCUAUGGGAUUAUGUUGAUGGAAACUUUUACCAAGAAAAAACCCACAGAUGAAAUUUUUGUUGGAGAAUUGAGCUUGAAGCGUUGGGUUAAUGACUUGCUUCCUACUUCAUUAGUGGAAGUUGUGGACAAAACUCUGCUAAGUGGAGAGGAAAAACAUUCUGCAGCAAAGGAGCAAUGUCUGUUGUCUAUCUUUAGUUUGGCUCUGGAGUGUACAAUGGAAUCACCGGAAAAGAGGAUUAAUGCAAAAGAUAUUGUUACAAGAUUACUCAAGAUAAGAGACACAUUGAGUAAAAGGAUAGGAAAUUUAAGUUAAUUUCGUUUGCUUUCAUUGAUAGUUAAUUCGAAUUCAUGUAAUAAGUCUAAGAAUCUUAUAUCUUCAAAUUCGCAUUUUAAAAUGCACAAAUGUUUGUGUAUACAUAAUUAGUAAUCGAUUCUCAAGCUUUGGACAUUUAAAAGCACUGCUAAAAGACAAAAUUUUAAUUCACUAUUUUUUUGUCUUUUAAUUUUCUUUAAGUUUUAAUGAUUCCGCAUUUUAAAAUCCUGUGGAACGUGCAUGUAAAAUUCUUUUAUCUUUUAGAGGAAAAUGGGCAAGAGAAGAAGAUUUGGCAAAGGAAUUGCAACCGCAUUUGGAGCUAGUUUUAAUUUUGUCUUUUAAUUCUUUUACACUUGGCUUUUGUUAUUGAUGUUAACUUCGAUGUGUGUGCGUGUGCGACUGAAUUCAACUUACAUGCUAUUGAUGCAGCCACCAAAAAGGGGUGGUCCAUCAUCAAUCAACAAGGUUUAUUAUUAUUAAUUUCCAUAUUGAUUUUCUUAAUUAUAAAUAAUACUAAUGCUAUUUCAUAGUUAUAAAUAUAUUAGAAUUAAUCGAAAUCAUUUUUUAGUGUGGCAUGGCUAAAACUACCUUUUUUUUAUUAUAAGUAAUUACUACUUUCACAUUAAGAAAAAUACUCCUAUUUUUAAGGAAAAGUCAAGUACCUGUAGUUGUGAAGACUCGAGCUCACUCCCUUAUGAUAAAUCUUCAUAUUAAUUACGUAAAUAUCCUCUAAAAUUUUAAAUUAGCUAUUCAAAAUUUGAUGUUAUACGGGUAUUUCAUUUAUUUGAGUAGGGGUUAGGGGUCAAUUGGAUACAAAUUCAAAAUUAUCCUUACUUGAGAAGGUGAUAAAAAUUGGGGAUUUAGUUUGGAUGUCAUUAGCUACAAAUAUUAAACUCAUACAUUUAAUUCAAAAUUAGAGGGCUGAUAUAUGCGCAUCAUCGUCCACGUUAUAGUGACACUGCGUCACCAUUCCACAACCUCUCCAAUGAAAAAUUGACAUGCUUCUUGUGCGCAUCUAAUCAGAAUCUUGAAAAUUAAUCACAAAAUUGUACUUUUAUUAUAAAAAGAAUAAAGAAACUCCAAGAAAAAAAAAAGACUUACAUAAAUAGAUUGAAAAAUCUAGAUUUCAAGUUGUCUAUAUUAGCUUGAUAUUUUUAUUAAUAGUCAUCCUCCCAAAAAAAUUCCAUCAAAAUAUAUUUUAAUUUUAUGUUAAUUCAUAAACUUGAAAAAAUCAUUUUAGAAUUAAUUAAAACAUAAUUUAUUGUUGCUCAAAAAAGGUAGAACUUAGUUAUCAGAAAAAAGUGUCUAAAAUAUAUGUUAAAAAAAAAUCAUGGUUGGUUGGACUGAUUGAAUUUUUUUUUCUUUUUUAAGAAUUAAGACAAUUGGAUGGAUUGAGUAAUAAUAAUACAUAUUUAUUUGGCAAAUGGCAGGGAGGCUUUCGUCUGAUGCAGAUUGAUUAGAGAGAAAAUAUAACAAUUUUAAGCUCGUCAGAUUCGAAGCUGCUUACCUGUCGUGUGGGGAUCACUUCCGUGUCUUAUUUUUCUAGAAAAAUCUGGACCAUUGGAUUUACCAUUAGUCAAUAGAGAAAUGUUGAUCUUGAUUCUUGAUCAAGAUCGAAGUUUGAUUCUAACUAACACGAUAUCAGAUUGCGAAGCAAGCAAAUUGAAAGUCACUUGUUCUAUGGAAGAAACACAAGUUCUAAUAAAACAUUCUCAUAGUAAAGUGAAUUACCAUCCAACGAUCCAACUCAUGUUUUCAAAUUGUAAAUUGCAAAUCGUGUGUUUGCUCCAUUACAGAGUUUCUUCAAUCUGAAAUAGCGAAUCAUUUGUGUUCUAGAUUAAUCGUGGGUCUAUAUCCAAAUCUAAAAAUUGACUAACUUGAUUUCUAUUAAAUUCUUAAUCCUAACAAGAAAAAUUGAAGAUUAAAAACGACUAAUUUGGUACCAUACCACUAUUGUAACAUAGGUAGAUCCUCUAUUAAUUGGAGUAAAGAUUGAAUUAUCUCAUUUAUUAAGGUUUAUCAAAAUCUUGUGUCAAAAUCUAUUAAUGAUAUAGGUUCAAGGAUGAAAAAGUCACUGCAUUACUUUUGAGUUCCCAAAUAGAUGAAUGGAUGUUAUUUUUAGAUUCCGGAGAGUCGAAAAUAUUAAGAUAGGUGCUAAAUCGAAUUAAGUUGUAGAUACGAUAGAAAUGGAUUUGGAGAGAUUGGAAUCCUAGGUAAUCCGGUGCACGUUGUCGUGUUAAAUUCUCGUUGACUUCACGUUGACUGAAGCAUUAUUGGAAGAAACAAGUUUAUUGAUGUGAGGCCUUUGAGGUUGUAAGUGUUAAAUAUGAGAAGAAUACCCACACACCCAUUAUCCUAUUACUCUUAUAUCACAUGAAGAGAAUUCAACAUUUGAUUCACACGGAAAAAAUUUGUGAGGAUUGUGAGGGUUGAUGGAAUAUAAUUUAGAUACAAAGUGUUUUACCAGUGCGAUGCUUCGCAAGUGUUCUUGAAUCAAUAUAAACUCACGUUAUUUUCAUAGUGAUUGUUUCAUGUGCACGUGGAUAUAAUCACAUGUCGAGAUUUUUUUCCUUAAAUUAUGGUCUUAUUUAGUAUUAAGGUGUUAUAUCUUUUAAGGUACAAUUAUUGUUGGAAAAAAGUUGCAUCUAUCAAAUAAAAUUAGUACUAUGUGCUAAAUAUAAUUGUUAAAUAAUAAUUUUGACAAAAUUAGUGAAGUUAUAUAGAUUUUUUUUCAUCAUACAAGCAUAAAAUCAAAUCAACUUAACUUCUAAGUUAUAUAUCGGCUACUUAGGGAUGGCAAUGGAUUGGAUCUGACCCAAGAUCCACGUGAUCCAAAUCUAAUCGGAUCGGAUUUGGGUCAGUUUAAAAUGAAUUUGGAUCGGAUUUGGAUAUUGAUGUGCGGAUCUAAGACGGAUCUGGAGCAGGUCUGGAUCUAUCUUAGUAUCUAAAUCCAUAUCCAUAUCCACCCAUCUUUUAAUUUAAUUUUAUUUUAAAAGUUUCUUAACAAUUGUGGAAUUAUAAUGAUAAUGAAUUUUAUUCAUAGCAUAUUAGUGGUAUUUACCAUGCAUUUAAACUCUUUAAAAUUAAAGGUUAGUUUUGUAAAUUUAAAGACUAGCCAGGCCCAAAGCAUGUACAUGCAAUAUUCAAAUUGCAAGCCAAGUAAUACAACCUGGCAAUUUAUUUUAUUAUAUUGGCCAAAUAAUUUUUAAGGAAUAUAGGUAUUCAUAUAUUUUGUCAAAUAUGGUCAUAAUAAAAAUAAUAAAGGACUGAAUAUAAAUCAUAUUUUAUUUAUAUGUCAUUAUCUAAUAUUAUAAGAAUGAGGGUGGGUGUGUUGUAGAUAUUAGAAUGAUGAAUGAGACAAUAGAAUAUUAGAUUGAUCUUACUCCUGCAAUUACUUUUAAAGGAUAUUUUAUUAUCUUAUUUGUUGUUUUGGUGUAAAAGUAUAAGUUACAAUAUUUAUUAUAUUUUUGAGAAAAAUUAUAUAAUUUAUUUGUUAUCAAUACAUUUUAACCUUCAAUUUUCAUUCUAAAAAAUUAUUACUUUUUAAUUGAUGAGUUUUAGAAUUCAUGACAGAUCUAGAGCAGAUUUGGAUUUUAAUUUUUUUUUUCAGAUUUGGAGCAGAUAUAAAUAUUUAUUUCUUUUAUGGAUAUGGAUAUGGAGCGAAAAAUAUAGAUUCAUGAUGGAUCUGGAGCAGAUACGGAUCUUGAUUUUUAUUAUGGAUUUGGAUCUGGAGCAGAGUAGAUCCAACCCAUAUCUGCCCCAUUGCCAUCCCUACGGCUACUGUUAAUCAUAUGUUUUAGUUCUGUAACUUUUAAGUUAUAGUUACCCAAUCUCAAUUCUAAACCAGACCUAUAAAGAUCAAAGAUUUCCUCAUUAAAUUAUAUGUCUUGUGAUUGCUUAUUUAAUUUAUAUUUUUUUUUAUUUAUCUUUAUUAAUUAUAAUCAUCUUUUUAUAAAUUAAAAUUGAAGGAAGUUGAUUGAUGUUGUUGACACACGCACACACGCACACACUCACAAAGAUAUAUUGGAAGUGCUUACGUCGACUCGAAGUUGUUGGGAAUUAAUGCAUGUAUUGAUUUAUUGGGAGUGUUUAAAUGAUUUUUUGAUUUACUUGAUUUAUUGAUUGAAUAUUGUUUGAUUGCUUCAUAUCCAUUCUAGAAAGUUUAUUUCUUUGUGAAAUUUCAACGAAAUAUGUUUUUUUUUUUAAAUAAGGGUGUUCUAAAUAAUUUAAAAAUAUAUAUGGACUAAUUAGAAUUAAUUAUUAGGUAAUUAACUCAAUCUGUAUAGGGUGAAACAACAUUUAUCCUAAUUAUAUCAUGAUAAAUACUUUUCCUAUUAGAAUUAGGAAAUCAUAGGUUUAUUGAAUUGUUUUUUUUUUUCCUUUGCGGAAACGGAUUAGAGAAUUAGAAAACAAUCAUGUUGAUGUCAAAAUCUGAUCUAGUCGGUUAGCGACUUAAUAUCAUAUUACUGCACCAACAUUAAAUUUAUUGGGUGGAGAAUCGACUGGUCAAUUGUCAAGAUGUCCUGCAAUCACUAGCGAUUAACCUACGAAUACCUAAAAUCACAGAAGACGGUAAGAGGCACCGGAAGUUUUUUCGGCGUGAACCUUCCGACGCUCAAGUCAGUUUAUAGGUUUACCAUAAUAAAAAUAAAUAAUUUCUAUUUAAAAAAAAAUAGAGUUCAAAAGCUCAAAAAUAAAACCCAAUCCCAAUAUGAAAAUGAAUUUUUUUUUUUUUUUUUCUAGCUUGGCCGAAUCCUUCUGCCUCCUAAAGAAACAUAACAGAGAAGCAGGUAGCCAUGUUCCCUAGGUAACGCCCCACUCCCCUCUUUUAUUCCUCCCCCUCUCUUCCGUUUCCUUCUUUUGCUCACUAUCCUUCAUAAUUUUUUAUGCUUGUCUUCCCAAAAUAGCCUUUUAAUACACAAGUAAAUGUCUAGGCUUUGGUGAGGAUAGUUUGGUCAUUGCAUUUUACAAGUAAGAUGAGUGGUGGAGAAAAAUGAGGAGUGCACAUAUAACGCUUCAGCAAAUCCCACCAGCAAUUCCAUUUUCUUAAUUAAUUAAUCUCUUCAGCAAAUCCCACCAACUCUUCAGCAAAUCCUAAUGAUAUUAUUAUCAGGUUUAAAACAGUACACAAAUAGUGAAAAGCUAACUAGUCUGUAGAGUAAUUUGCUAAUUGCUAUCUCCUCUCUCCGCGCGCUGAAUAAUUUGUUGCAUGCAAACUUUUUAUUUUAUGCAAAUCGUACGUACUGUAACAUUGGAAUUGAUGUAAAAGCAAAAAUACAAGAAUAUUUAUGUCAAUAAAAAUAGUUUUUUUGGCCUUUUUAAAUAAACACAACGCGAUAUUGCUCUGCUCUACAUUUUUGCUAUCUCUUUAUUCUUCUUUUUUUUUUUGGGCUUCUUAAAGCCUCAAACUUUGAUAACCAAAACUUCAUCGACCUAUGAAAAAAUCUGCAGAUUAGUUUUUAUUAUCGGAAUAAUCAUUUGAGAAUACUAAAACAAAAUAUAAAUAAGAAAAUAGGAGGUUAAAUUAGAGGGGGGAAAAAAGGUAUGUUGGAUAGAUUACUAUAGUUUAAGAAAAAAAAAUCCAAUUGGGAAUUUUUUUCUUUAAUUUUUGUUUUACUUGAUUGAGAUUUCUCCUUGGUCCUUACAGUUUUAAGUUUGGAUGCCGUAGGGUUAGUAAUUUAGUACUUCCUUUGCAAGCUGAGUGCAAGAAUGAAAAUCUUUAAAGAAAUAAAAAAAAAAAAAAAAAGCAUACCAAUAGGUAAUUAUAAAUAACCAUACAUAAACAUAAACAAAAUGAGGUAAUUAUUAAUAUUAUUUUUUGUUUUAUUUCUUACUUGUCUAUUUUAUUUGCUGCUUGAUAACCCGUAAAUACUAAUCUAGUACUGCUAAUUUCAGACACAAAAUUUUUAACUCUAGGCUGCAGUUUUACUCAAAAUGAUGACCACUGGCUUCGCACCAUUUAACCGGCAUACAUUUCUACAAAUUGAACAAGGCUAUUGAUUUUCAUUAUUAUUUUUUAUUUUUUUAUAAAUUACUAUUUUAAUUUUCACUUUUCAUUGGGUUGUUUAACGGAUUAGUGAAGUUGGUGGUCGUGAUGCACUCACAAGGUACAAUUUUAUUUUAUAAUUUCAAAUUUGUAUUUUAAAAUGCAGGUACAUUAUGUAUACAUAAUUAUUGAUUUUCGUAUGUGGGUGUUUUGAAAUAUUGCUAAAAGACCAAACUUUAAUAAACUAUUUUUCAUCUUUUUUUUUUCCUAAAGUUUAAGUGAUAUCCGCAUUUUAAAUUCAUGUGGAACAAAAGCUAAUGUAUGCACAAAAUCCUUUUAUUUUUUCCGAGAAAAAUGGUUAAGAGAAGAAGAUUUUUCUCUUGAAAAAGAAAAACUAAUACGAUGCAAGCAUAGGAAAGAGGUCAGUGUUUUGGAUUAGAAUUUAGUAUUGAGCUGAAUUUUAUACUAAACUCUUUUAUAGUACUGCGAUUAAUAAACUCAUGAUUUGCUUUUGCUUUUACCUCAAGUGAAAGAAAGAGGAAACCUUUUGUUUUUUGUUUGAUUCUUGACUAUAGGUGUUACCUAUAUAGAGAGUUGAGGUAGCUGCCUUAAGUGAUGGUGAUAAAAAGAUUAAGCAGCGCACACAAUCUUACUGUCGUCCAGACCAUCCAGCUGUGAUGACUCUUGUUUUUUGGUUACAUUAGCUUUAGUGGAACGGAGGGCCAAUUUAACAAAGACUAGAUUUGGUGGCUUACUAUAAUGCUUAUUCUCAGGGAAUCUAAUGUUAUAAGAUGAUUUAAUGAUCUUCUAUGAUUGUGAGUAGUAUAGUAUAAUUGAAAAGAGCUUGGGCUCCUAUGAUGAAUAUUUAAUAGUAACACAGUACUGUUAUUGAAAAAAACACAGUUACAAUAAACUCUUCAUUUAUUCAUUGUGGAGAUUGAAUGGCAAACAGAGAAUAAAAUGAAGCAGAGGAAUCUCAUUGCCAGUAAAAUUGACCCUCUUUAAUGUUAUAUGGCACAGGUGUGUGUACAGCAAGAUCAAGUUACUUGCAGUUUUUAUUGUAAAAUAUAUAGGUUAUGACCAUGAUCAUUGUAGUUAGGUUUUGAUGAUUUUAGAUGCUUUUUUUAUUUUUUUUAAAAUUGUGACACCUUUGAUUUAUGGUAGUUUUGCAGAAGAAAAAAAUAUAUAUAAAAAUUAGGAGGGAUGAGUUAACUAACGAUUGCAAUCAUUACAGUAAUGUUGAUGAGUGAUACAUCAUUUGAAAUUUACUUGUCAGUUGCUGAAAUGAUGAAAAAAAACAGUAAACAAUAGCAGUAAUAUUUUUUGGCAAUAUAAAAAAUUAUUGCGGUUAUUUUUUGGCAAUAUAAAAAAAUUUUAGCAAAUAAAAAUUAAUUUUUUUCCGAUUAACUAAAAAAUUAAUUAAAAACUUCUGCGAUGGCAUUUUUUAUGGGUGCAUAUACCCUCCCUUUAAAAGAAAAAAUAAUAAUUAAUACUUAAUAUAGUAUUAAAUACGAAAAUAUCAAUAUUUGACUACACAAAUUUAAUAGUCUUGUGUAAUUAGUGAGUGAGAGAUUGGGUGUAUUGGAGUUUUGGGUAGUGAGCCAAAAUAUUACAAUACUUGUAAUCUUUAUUUCACUAGUGAAAUAUUUUCCUUCUGUUUUUGCCCGUGGACGUAGGCUAAAAGCCGAACCACGUAAUUUCUGGUGUCCUCUAUUGUACUUGUUCUUUAUUUGCUUCCAAUUUUAUUUUAACUGCGCGUCUGCUUCACCCAUCAAUUUCCUAACAAAUCUUGAUCCCAUGCACACGCAAAUAUGUUAAUUUCUAUACGCUUCACUUACCUGUAGAAUCAAUUAUCUAAAAUGCAAGUUUGUGGCCACAAAAAAAGCCAAAGAAAGAAGAUAAUAACAAUUGACUUGUAUAUUAUACUCAUACAAUCCACUCGACAUAAUGAUAUCAUUUUAAUAAGGCAAUGGCUGAUGAUCUCCAUUGAAAAACUAAUUCAAUUUUUUUGCUUCAUUUAACUUUUUGGUUGUUGAAAAUAACCUUAAUUAUCAAAUAAUUGGAGAAAGAGUAAAGAACAUUUAACAAAUUUAUGUGCAAAAAAAAAAAAAAAGAAGUUGAAGAGAAAGGGUGCUUGCAGAAGUGGGUGUCAAAGAAACAUCGGUCCAUAAGAAUUAUUGCGGUUAUUUUUUGGCAAUAUAAAAUAUUUAUAGCAAGUAAAAAUUAAAUUUUUUCCGAUUUACUAAAAAAUUAACUAAAAACUUCUGCCACAACAUUUUUUAUGGGUACAUAUACCCUCCCUUUAAAAAAAAAAUAAUAAUUAAUGCUUAAUAUAGUAUUAAAUACCAAAAUAUCAAUAUUUGGCUACUCAAAUUUAUAUCAUUAGGUCCUUAAAAUUAAAAAUUGAUGAUACAAAAGGAAAUAUAUAUAAAUUUCAUUCUCAUGGAAAGGAUUCUCUUAUAAUCUUAUAAUAUUUGAGUUUUGAAAUUUUUUGAAGCAAAUGUAAUUUUAUUUGUGUACAAUCAAUAUUUACUUAUUUAUUAUAUUUUAAUUUGUUAACUAUCAAUCAUUUAAGUAUAUUUAGUCAGAAAAAUUAUAUCAAGAGAGAAUCCUAAUUUCACGCAAACACAAAUACAAGAUAAAUAUGUCAAUUUCUAUACUAUCCACUUUCCUGUAGAAUCAAUUAUCUAAAAUGCAAGUUUGUGGCUACCGAAAACUCGCCAAAGAAAGAAGAUAAUAACAAUUGAGCAUUGAUAGCAAAACUAAUGCAUCAUUUUCUUCUUGACUUGAUGAGAUGGUGCCAUUACAAAAAAAAAAGUACCUUAAUUGACGGGCACUGAGUGAUGUGAAUACUACCAGCCAGUUCAUCUCUUCCAGUCUUGCUUAAUCACAAUCACAAACACCACGAGAUUGACAUUUGCAUUAUAUAUAUCUUCAGCAAUCGAAACACCUUGCAUUACCAAAUUAACCGGUAACAAACAAAGCAAUCUUUCAUGGAGAGAAACUUUAGUCUCAGUAUGAUCACUUUGUCAUUAACCCACUACCUGCUUCUUUGCUUGGUUGUUGCAGCAGCAGCAGCCGCAAGCAACAAUAUUACCACAGACCAACAAGCUCUUCUUGCCCUGAAAGAUCAUAUAACUUAUGAUCCAACCAACCUUUUUGCCCAUAAUUGGACCUCGAAUACCUCUGUUUGUACCUGGAUUGGCAUCACUUGUGAUGUCAAUAGCCAUAGAGUCACAGCCUUAGAUAUUUCUCAAUUCAAUCUACAAGGCACCAUCCCUCCUCAACUUGGAAACCUUUCUUCACUUACAACGCUUAAUCUUAGUCAUAACAAGCUUUCUGGAGACGUUCCAUCCUCCAUCUACACCAUGCAUUCGCUAAAAUUUCUUGACUUCACUGAUAACCAGCUCUCUGGUUCAGUGUCUUCCUUCGUCUUCAACAUGUCUUCAAUAUUAGAAAUUCUUUUGACCAAUAACAGAUUUUCUGGUGAGCUUCCGAAAAAUAUUUGCAACUAUCUUCCUUAUUUGAAAGCCCUUUUCUUAAACAAAAACAUGUUUCAUGGCAAAAUUCCUUCUGCUUUAUCAAAGUGCAAACAACUGCAAAAAUUAAAUUUGCAGUUCAAUAAUUUAUCCGGUGCAAUACCGAAAGAAAUCGGCAACUUGACUAUGCUCAAAGGCAUAUAUCUCGAAUACAACAAACUCCACGGUAUGUUCAUAAUACUAUGUAAAUGUUUUAAUUUCUCAAUUGUUAUUUUCUUGAAUACUUUAGACAAGAUCUUGUAAGGGAGAUAUUUUUGGAUCUGUGUUAAUUUGCCAGGUGAGAUACCCCACGAAAUCGCUAAUCUUCGAAAUCUAGAGGAUUUAUUGCUUGGAAUGAACAACCUAGUUGGUGUGUUACCAGCUCCAAUCUUCAACAUGUCAACACUGAAAUUAUUUGACCUCAUAAAUAACUCUCUCUCCGGAAGUCUUCCAUCAAGAAUAGACCUUUCACUUCCAACUGUUGAGUUUUUUGGCUUGGCACUUAAUAGAUUUUCUGGAACCAUUCCUAGUUCCAUCACCAAUGCUUCUAAGCUCACCGUUCUAGCGUUGGGAGAGAACACAUUUUCGGGCUUCAUUCCAAACACAAUUGGUAAUUUAAGAAACCUUGAGUGGCUCAGCUUGGAGAAUAAUUACUUGAAAUCUUCAACCUCAAAAUUGAGCUUUCUUUCCUCUUUGGCAAAUUGCAAGAAAUUAAGAUUCUUAAACUUAGCAGGCAAUCCACUUGACGGCUUCCUUCCAAGUUCAAUAGGUAAUCUUUCUGUGUCUUUGGAAACACUUUUCAUCGGCAAUUGCAGUAUUAGUGGCAACAUUCCUCAAGCAAUUAGCAAUUUAAGCAACUUGUUGACCUUAGUAUUAGAAGGCAAUAAAUUGACUGGACCAAUUCCAAUUACAUUUGGCCGACUACAGAAACUCCAAGGCUUAGAUCUUGCAUUCAAUAAGUUGGUAGGUUCAUUCCCAGAUGAGCUUUGCCAUCUAGCAAGGCUGGAUCAAUUGGUCUUAUUUGGCAAUAAGCUUUCAGGAUCUAUACCUUCAUGCCUAAGUAAUCUCACUUCUCUAAGAUCUCUCUACUUAGGGUCCAAUAGGUUAACUUCUGUUAUUCCCUCAACUUUCUGGAGCCUAAAAUACAUCUUGUUCUUUGACUUUUCAUCAAAUUUCUUGGUUGGUACUCUUUCUUUCGACAUAGGUAAUUUGAAGGUGCUUCUAGGAAUAAAUUUAUCAGAAAAUAACUUAUCGGGUGAUAUGCCAGCCACAAUUGGAGGACUGAAAGAUCUUCAAUUUAUGGACCUAGCAUUUAAUAGAUUGGAAGGCCCAAUUCCUGAAUCAUUUGGUGACUUGACAAGUUUGGAGGUUUUGAAUUUGUCAAAAAAUAAAAUCUCUGGGUCUAUUCCAACAUCCAUGGAGAAACUCAUUUACCUUCGAGAGUUAAAUCUCUCUUUCAAUAAACUUGAAGGUGAGAUUCCUAGUGGAGGAAUUUUUACCAACUUCACAGCUGAGUCAUUUAUGGGAAAUGAGUUAUUGUGUGGUUUACCAAAUCUUCAAGUCCAACCAUGCAAACUUAGCAAGCCUAGGACAGAACAUAAAUCAAGGAAAAAGAUACUUCUCAUUGUGAUUGUUUUGCCAUUGAGUAUUGCUCUAACGAUAGCAAUCACUCUAGCUCUCAAAUCUAAGCUGAUCGAAUGUAGAAAAAGAGGCACAGAGUUAUCAAAUGAUAGUAUCUUGUCAUCAGAAGCAACACUAAGAAGAUUUUUAUACUUAGAACUUUUACAAGCAACAGAUAAUUUUGCUGAAAACAACAUAAUUGGCAGAGGAGGUUUUGGUUCCGUUUAUGGAGCAAGACUUGAAGAUGGGAUGAAGAUUGCAAUAAAAGUGUUUCACCAGCAAUGUGCAAGCGCAUUGAAGAGUUUUGAGGCUGAAUGUGAAGUGUUAAAAAAUAUUCACCAUCGAAACCUUAUCAAAGUUAUCAGCAGUUGCUCGAACGAUGACUUCAAAGCAUUAGUCCUAGAAUACAUGUCCAACGGGAGCUUGGAGGAUUGGCUGCAUUCUAGCAAUUAUGUGCUGAAUAUAUUUCAGAGGUUGAACAUAAUGAUUGACGUUGCAUCAGCUUUAGAAUAUCUCCACUUCGAUCAUUCAACUGCUAUUAUUCAUUGUGACUUAAAGCCUAGUAAUGUAUUGUUGGACGAAAAUAUGGUUGCUCAUUUGAGUGAUUUUGGCAUAGCAAAGCUUUUAAGUGGAGAGGAUGAGUCUACGAUACGAACAAAAACCCUUGCCACUCUAGGUUAUAUGGCACCAGGUUUGCUUCAAACAACUUUCGUUUUUAGUUCAUUUUAAAUUUUCCAACUUAUUGAUUUUUACAAUCCUCACAUCAAAAUGUUAUUGAUUAUUUAUCUAAUUGUGAAAUUAAUUUGAUUCAUAGAGUAUGGCAUAGGAGGAGAAGUAUCUACAAAAAGUGAUGUUUAUAGCUAUGGGAUUAUGUUGAUGGAAACUUUUACCAAGAAAAAACCCACAGAUGAAAUUUUUGUUGGAGAAUUGAGCUUAAAGCGUUGGGUUAAUGACUUGCUUCCUAAUUCAUUAGUGGAAGUUGUGGACAAAACUCUGCUAAGUGGAGAGGAAAAACAUUCUGCAGCAAAGGAGCAAUGUCUGUUGUCUAUCUUUAGUUUGGCUCUGGAGUGUACAAUGGAAUCACCGGAAAAGAGGAUUAAUGCAAAAGAUAUUGUUACCGGAUUACUCAAGAUAAGAGACACAUUGAGUAAAAGGAUAGGAAAUUUAAGUUAAUUUCGUUUGCUUUCAUUGAUAGUUAAUUCGAAUUCAUGUAAUAAGUGUAAGAACCUUAUAUCUUUUACUUUGAUUUUUUUUUUCUUGAGAAAACUGUUGUAGUCAUCUUGUUUCCAUGGGCGGAGUUGAUUUAGUUCUUCCAAGAAAUGCUACUGAUGACAUUUGUUUUAUACUUUCUCUUUUUUUUUGCAUGUGUUUAGGUAGAAUAGUGGUUUGGUUGCACUCUAAGAAGUCUAACUACACUAAAAGAAUAUGAUUUAAUUUAUUAAACAAAACUUCAAGUUCAAGAAAAGUAUCUCAUUGCCCCCAAUGCUUUGGACACCUAUUGGUAGGUUUGUACGUGUCCUCAACUUUUUUUUGGAGCACAAAAUUCGAGUCCCAUAAAGGCUCAAACAUUCCUUUCCUUCAUCCCGAGGGCGCCUUCUGUCCUCUGUUUUCUGUUUCCACACACAAAUAGCAAAAAGAAAUUAGAAUGACAACUGGGACAUAUAUAAGAGUGAAAUAAUUAAAAAAAUUAUGCUUUUUUGUCUGUCGUGUUAAAAUCGUAAGUACCGAAGUACUGUGAAAGAGAUUAAUUUACAGAAACUGAAGCCAAGGGUUCAAAAAAAACUAUUGAUGUAGGUAGAAUGCAAUGUCAUAUUCAUACAGAGAUGAAGUAUAUUAUUUACGGCUGGUAAGGACUAAGAAUUGAUGUAGCUAGAAUGCAAAGAUGAUGAGGUAUGUUGUACACUAUUGUUUUUAUUCUACAAUCAAUCUUGACCCCUGAUGCUUGGCUCUCAAUCUUGUCCAUUGAUCUUCUCUGAUUUUGGAGACUUGAAGACCUUUCAGUAUCAUGCCUUGUUGUUGGUGUCUUCCGUGCUGUAGAAUUCAUAUACAAGUUUUCCCGCCGACUUGCCAAGUAUUUGUUCAUUGAUGCAUUUUAUCAAACAGUUGGCCUGCUCAGAGCAAACAGCUCCUGUUUUAACUCCCCCUCCGUAGCUCAACUAUCUGGGAAGACAAUUAAUUGAGCUUGUUUCACAAUUAUAUGAAUCUGAAAGUUCAAUUAUAUCCUCUAAUGGAGAGAACUCAUUGCCUCAGUAUGAUCACUGUGUCAUCAACCCACUCCCCGCUUCUUUGCUUGGUUGUUGCAGCAAGCAACAAUUUUACCACAGAUCAACAAUAGUUUGUCCAUUUGUUCCAGUGAGGUCGUCAUUAAAAAUUAAUUUUCAUAUUGAUUUUCUUAAUUAUAAAUAAUACUAAUGAUAUUUCAUAGUUAUAAAUAUAUUAGAAUUAAUCGAAAUCAUUUUUUAGUGCGGCAUGGCUAAAACUACCUUUUUUUUUUUUAAGUAAUUACUACUUCAAGGAAAAUACUCCUAUUUUCAAGGAAAAGUCAAGUACCCGUAGUUGUGAAGACUCGAGCUCACCCUCUUAUGAUAAAUCUUCUUAUCAAUUACAUAAAUAUCCUCUAAAUUUUUAGUUAACUAUUCAAAAUUCGAUGUUAUACGGGUAUUUCAUUUAUUUGAGUAGGGGUUCGGGGUCAAUUGGAUACAAAUUCAAAAUUAUCCUUACUUGAGAAGGUGAUAAAAAUUGGGGAUUUAGUUUGGAUGCAUUAGCUACAAAUAUUAAACUCAUACAUCUAAUUCAAAAUUAGAGGGCUGAUAUAUGUGCAUCCUCGUGCACAUUAUAGUGACACGUGUCACCAUCCUACAACCUAUCCAAUGAAAAAUUGACAUGCAUCUUGUGCGCUUCUGAUCAAAAUCCUGAAAAUUAAUCACAAAGUUAUACUUUUAUUAUAAAAAGAAUAAAGAAACUCCAAAAAAAAAAAAAGACUUACAUAUAUAAAUAGUUUGAAUAAUCUAGAUUCCAAGUUGUCUAUAUUAGCUUGAUCUUUUUAUAAAUAGUCAUCUUCGAAAAAAAAUUCCACCAACAUAUAUUUUAAUUUUAUGUUAAUUAAUAAAUAGAAAAAAAUCAUUUUAGAAUUAAUUAAAACAUUAUUUAUUGUUGCCAAAAAAAGGAAGAAUUUAGUGAUAAGAAAAAAGUGUCUCAAAUAUACGUUAAAAAAAUUAAUCAUGGUGGGUUCGAUUGAUUGAAUUUUUUUUUUUAAUCUUUUUCUUUUUUAAGAAUUAAGACAAUUGGAUUGAUUGAGUAAUAAUAAAAUAUAUUUAUUUGGCAAAUGGCAGGUAGGCUUUCUUCUGAUGCAGAUUGAUUAUAGAGAAUAUACAACAAUUUUAAGCUCGUCAGAUUCGGAACCUGCUUAUCUGUCGUGUGGGGAUCACUUCCGUGUCUUAUUUUUCUAGAAAAAUCUGGACCAUUAGGCAGUAGAGAAAUGUUGAUCUUGAUUCCUGAUCAGGAUCGAAGUUUGAUUCUAUCUAACAUGAUAUCAGAUUGCGAAGCAGGCUAGUAUGUAAAUUUCUUUUAUCUUUUAGAGGAAAAUGGGCAAGAGAAGAAGAUUUGGCAAAGGAAUUGCAACCGCAUUUCUAGUAUGUUCUGAUCAGAGAAGCGAAAUCCAUCACGGUCUUUUAUCUUUACCCAUGUGGAGAAAUCAAGGGAUUUCGAAUCAGAGAAGCGAUGGGAUUUAGUUCUGAUCUGGGAUUUUGGAGACUUAGGGAGUGUGCGGUCUUGGACCAACAUUGAUGACGAUGACGCUUCAAAUUCAAUGACUUGAAAGCAGAAAACAAAGACAGACAAAAACAGACAUGCACUACAGCAAGAAAGAUUGACUGAAUCUUGGGUUACUGUGUCUGUGGUCUCAAAUGAAACACAAGUGGGAAGCCUUGCUGCAGUUUCAGCUUUGGUUUGUGUUUGAAGUUUUGAAUGUAAAAAGAGAACCGAGCAUGUGGUUGCCGACAAGAAUGGCCUGAGGUUUCUUAAGCUUCAUUGUAAUGUUACAACUGCUACUAAUUUGGUGGGGUGGGAGGUCGCUGGGUCGCUGUCAGUCCAUUUGCUUCUUUUCUUUCUUUUUGUUAUUUGUUGAGUUUUUUCCAUUUCUACUUUUCUUAAUAUAUAAAUUAUCAUUUUUUUAACAUGCAAAAUAUAUAGAACAUUUUAUGAGUUUAUAAAUAAAAAUUAUAUUAUGGGAUAAUAGUGAAUGAGUUCCUGGUGCUUUGGAGUUCUUUAAAUUAAGGGCCCAGUUUGUCCAUUUGUUUUAGUUAGGUCCUUCUUAAAAAUUGAUUUUCUUAAUUAUAACUAAUACUAAUGAUAUUUCAUAGUUAUAAAUAUAUUAGAAUUAAUCCAAAAUAUUUUUUAGCGUGGCAUGGCUAAAACUACCUUUUUCUAUAAGUAAUCACUACUUUUGCAUUAAGGAAAAUAUUCCUAUUUAAAAAAAAAUUGAAUAUCUAUAGUUGUGAGGACUCGAACUCACUCGCUUAUGAUAAAUCUUUGUUGAUGCGAGAUUCUGGUUACCCACUCGACCACGUCCAGGAUCUCUGCUCAAUCAACUAACUCGACCACGAUCAGGAUCUCUCCUCGUAUGCUUUCUUCUUCAAAAAUUCCUGCGUACACAGAAACAAGUCAGAGCACGCCAGUUGUUUUCCCGGCGUAAACCCUCCGACGCUCAAGUCAGAUAUGAAGGUUUUGUGUUCCUGGGAACGUUAGCCACUAGUCUUAAGCUUUGCUUUUGGUAUCGAUUGCUGAAUGCUCUCUUUAUCUCAAUUUCCGUAUUAAAAGUUAACCCUUUUACCUUCGUUGGCUGCCUUUUUAUAGGCUCCACCUGAGUCCAGAUCCUCCCCUCCAUUCACGCCCGUUACCUUCCCACCUCUCGAAAGUGGAUGCUUUGUUUCCGUAAUCGUGGGUGAUUGCAUGGCCUUCGUGCCUCGAUUCUCAGGCUGGAGAGUACGUCUCGCCAACUGUCGUUGACUGGGUCUCCUCGCCUCAAACCUUAGCAGGAAUGGCUUUAUGCUUCUAACAAGAGACCGGCUUCGCGGAUGGCGUAUUCAUGGACGAGCAGAUAUUCCUGCUUAUGUUCCAAUGCUACCAGACCUCUGCUCAUCACGGCUGGUCUCGUCGAAGUACAUCCCCCAAACACCGGUCCCCCAGUUUCUGGUGUUGGGUAACAUAGUGAGCCAACAGUAGAAACUCGACAGUUCUUGCUCGCGCGAGAUAGGAAAAGACUGCCAAGAGUCGUGUCGCAUUUAAUGGCGGAUGAGGUGAUGUGGCAGAAAUCUACCCCUCCAUUUGAAUUUCAAACCGACGGUUACGAAACCCUAGGGAUUUGUGCCGUUAAAUGCCGGCAGCCCAAGAGUUUGUUCUUCAUUAGGAAAACCCAAAACCCCCAAAAGAGGAACUCGUCUUUUACUCCGUUUCUGUCUCUCCUGCGAAUGAGUCCUUCCUCUCCCUCGGCGUAAAAGCUUCCUUCCUUGUCUCUCUCCGACUAAGUCACAACUUCAGGUACUAUUUCUUUUUUCCUCGGUCGUGGAUAGUUGUAAACAAUUUCUUUUACAUUUUGCUUGGGUAGUGUUUGGUGGUGCAGUUCUGGUUAUAGUUUAGGGAAUGUCGAAAGGUAAGGAGAAAGUCAUUGAGAUUGAUGACGACGAGUUAGACUUCUUGCCUAGUCUGCUCGCCGAUUCUGCUUUCGACACCGGGAUCCCCUUAGAACCCGUUAGACCUAAUGUUGCGACUAGUGCUAGGAGGAUGUCCCCCCAAGUAACCUCCUCAACUGGAAAUAGCGACGACGAGGGUUCUUCUGGUUCGGAAGACACUUUGAGUGAAGAUCAGGGAAAUGAUUCUGGUGAGAUGUCCUCACCAGGAACAUCGUGACCAGAUAGGAGGGGCAUAGUAGGAGGUAGAGCUCUAUCACAGAAUUACACUAUUGAUUUUAUGACGUGCACGACCACAGUAGAUGAGCUAGUUAGUCUCCGGGCUAGAUACGGCAUCCCUGAUGAAAUUUCCCUUAGGAUCCCAGGAAAAAAAGAUACCCCCAGCCGGCCUCCUAGGGGAUAUAUUACUCUGUUUCUAGAGAGUUUUAAACUUGGGCUAAGGUACCCCAUACAACCCUACUUUGCCCGAAUACUCAAUGGGUUGAAUUUAGCUCCUGGUCAACUGAACCCCAAUGGGUGGUGAGUACUUUCUGGUCUGUUCAUAUUGUGAGACAGAUGUUGCCAAAGCGAGCCAACAAUUGACGAGGUGAAGCACCUGUACCAGCUAAAGAGCAGCCCCAAAGAUGUCGGCUGGUAUUACUUCCAGUCUAGUACCAAGACCAGGAAACCCAUAACCGAUCUUCCAACUGGUGGUGGUAGGACUUGGAAGAAAAAAUUCUUUUUUGCUGGGGGUCCCUGGGGUCAAGUUGCACAGAUUGACGAGAAGGAUUACCGUGUCCCACCUCAUUUCGUGGUCCCAGGUUGCCUACUCGCUUAAGAUGUUUUGUCUCCAUAGUCGUUCUCAUUUUGCUGAUUUGUUUCUAAUCCAAAAUCUGUUCGCAUUGCAGGUUCCUGGGGUGUGCACUACCAGCUUAAACCCGAGCCGCUCAAGCGAGUCGAAGCUGUACUGGCCAAUUUCUACACGAACCGAGAGCUGCUAACUACUUUCAAUUUGGUCGAAUCUCGUUUGGUGUCUACCGGCCAUAAAAUGGAGGAUGCUGUGAUCGGGGCUCUGACUCGGAAACGUCCCCAACCUCAUGCUACCAAGCAGGACCAGAAUAAAUAUGCUCCCACUGCGAAGCGGGUGAACAUUGUGCAGCAGGUUCCUCCCUUGAAGACCCUACCACCUCCUUCUGCCAAAGUCGGAGAAACUAGCGGAGCAGCCACCGAUCCCGCUUCCUCUUAUCCUCCAGUCGGGCCGAGAUCUCGUUUAUCUGACAAUCGAGCAAAACAUUUGGUCCCCUAUAUCAACGAGUUCUCUAAACUCGUGAGCAAGAGGGACCUAGAGGACUUUGACGACAGCACCUUGGGUGAGCUGGUGGGGGCCAUGCAAUAUAGCGCUUUCCAUCUCGACUGUAUGGCCACUUACUACAAGGCCAAGGUUGGUCGUUAUGACCGAAAGAUGAAGGAGGACAUUCAAUCGGCCAUGAUCAAAGCUGAUGCUGCCGAGAAGAAAGCAGGGGACUUGAAUCUCGAGAAUUUGAAGUUGAUAGAGCGAGAAUCUCUUGCUCAAGCAAAAGCCAUUACUCUCGAGGAUGAGCUAGCUAAGGUCAAGGAGGAUCUGCAAAGACAGCAGGCUAUGUACGAGGCCCAGCUCGAAUCUCUUCGGGAUUCCCACAAGGUUUAGGUCGAGAACCUGGAGAAGGAAGCUGAUAAUCAAUAUGACCAGGGGCUUCAGCACUCCUAUCAUUGCAUCAUGGCCGUCCUUGGGAAGCAGCAUCCGGAUAUGAAAAUGGACGAGCUUGCUACUGGUGUUGCUCAGCAUAUGGAUGAGGAGGCAGCAAAAGAGGACGCCGAAGAGGUGGAGCCAACUGAGGUUGAGGAGGGAAACACUCCUCCUCGUGCAAUCCUUGCUGAUGUCGCUGAGGCGAGUACCCCCCGAAUGCAACUGGUGAUACCCCCUGCCCCUGAGGUGGACCAGCCAACCAAGGCUGCUCGGCUUACUGACCCGCCGUCCUCUUGAUUGUAUUUUGUGUUGUAGUUGCUUUCUUGAAACGCUAUAUGUUAUGACUAGCAGUUUUUUCUGGUUGUUGAUUAAUAAAUAAGAAUGUUCUCAUUUGCUUUCUCGUCGUAAAUCAUUUUAAGUUUGAGGGUCUACUUGCCUUCUCUUGUACUAGCAGUUCUUGACACGCUUGGCUUCUGGUCUCGCCAUAGAACAUGCUUGUGACUUGGUGAGCCUUUGCAUGCCUUAGAAAUUUUUUCAAUGUUGGGAUUCUGCUCGCCUUCGCUUGGUCGAGCAGAUCUUGGCACGCUUGGCUUUUGGUCUCGCCAUAAAAACAGGCUUUGAAAAUUGGUGAGCCUUUGCAUGCCUUAGAAAUUUUUUCAAUGCUUGGGAUUUUGCUCGCCGUCGCUUGGUCGAGCAGAUCCUGGCACGCUUAGCUUUUGGUCUCGCCAUAAAAUAGGCUUUGAGACUUGGUGAGCCUUUGUAUGCCUUCGAAAUUUUUUCAAUGAUAGGGAUUCUGCUCGUCGUCGCUUGGUCGAGCAGAUCCUGGCACACUUGGCUUCUAGUCUCGCCAUAAAACAGGCUUUGAGACUUGGUGAGCCUUUGCAUGCCUUAGAAAUUUUUUCAAUGCUUGGGAUUCUGCUCGCCGUUGCUUGGUUGAGCAGAUCCUGGCACGCUUGGUUUCUGGUCUCGCCAUAAAACAGGUUUUGAGACUUGGUGAGCCUUUGCAUGCCUUAGAAAUUUUUUGCACAGUUACAAGUGAAUGAAAUUCCUCGACGUUUCAUUAAUUACAGAAUUCAACUUACAUAGGAAUGCAUAGCAACGAGAACAAAUUAAAGUAAUUUUUGAACAUGAGCAAGUCUUACUGGAAAUAUUUCCUGAGGUGCGCUGCGUUCCAUAGGCGUUUCACCUCGUGGCCAUCCGUGCGAACAAGCUUGUAAGCUCCGAGUCCCACUAUCUGCUUGACCCUGUAUAGCCCCUGCCAAUUCGGUCCAAGCACUCCUUGAGUCGAGUCUUUGGUGUUCUGAUUCACUCUCCUUAGCACCCAAUCUCCGACCCUAAACUGCCGUACAUUCACCUUCUGGUUAUAAUACCGAGCAACCCUCUGCUGGUAAAUGGCUAAUCGCUUCGAUGCUUGCUCCCUCUUCUCUACAAGCAAAUUCAGAUUCAAGCACAUCUGCUCGUUGUUAUCUUGCUCAUUGAAAUGAUCUGUCCGGUGCGUGGUCGUUCCUAUCUCGGCUGGUACGACCGCUUCAUGUCCGAAGGCCAAGGCGAACGGUGUUUCUCCAGUUGCUGUUUUGUAGGUUGUCCUGUAUGCCCAUAAAACACAUGAUAGCUCAUCAACCCAUGCUCCAUUUUUUGCUCCAAGCCUGGUUUUCAAAAGCCUCUUGAUCGUCUUGUUGGCUGCUUCUACUUGUCCAUUGGAUUGAGGGUGAGCAAGCGAGCAGUACUUCAACUCUAUCCCGAGGUUCUGGCAGAAAUCCCUGAAACUGUGAUUAUCGAACUGCCUGCCAUUAUCCAUUACCAAGGCAUAGGGGAUCCCGUACCGACAGACCAGGUUUCUCCAUACGAAGUCUGUUGUCUUCUUCUCUGUGAUCUUGCUGAGGGCUUCUACUUCUAUCCACUUCAUGAAGUAGUCUAUUGCUACUAUUCCAUGUGUUGUUGCUCCUCGUCCCCUUGGCAACGGCCCGAUCAGAUCAAUUCCCCACUGAGCAAAUGGCCAAGGGGAGGCUAUAGAGGUGAGCUUCUCUGGUGUUUGGCUGGAGAAACUUGCAAAACUCUGGCAGCUUAAGCAGCUCCUGGUCUUCUCCUGCGCAUCCUGGUGCAUUGUCGGCCAGAAAUAUCCCUGCCUUAGAACCUUAUGGGCAAGGGACCUCCCACCAGAAUGGUUUCCGCAAAUUCCUUCAUGUACUUCUCUCAGUACGUAGUCUGCGUUGUCCUCAUCUAAGCACCGAAGGAACGUGAGUGUAUAUCCUCGCCGAUAUAGCACCCCAUCAAUCAUUGUGUACCUUGAGUCUUGGGCUCUAAUCUUCCGAGCUCGUAGCUUAUCUGGUGGUAACACCCCGUCUCUGAUAUAUGAAAUUAUCGGAUCCAUCCACGAGCCUUUUUGUUCUAUCUGCAUCACCUUCAAAUUCUGCUCGAUGCUAGGGUUGGUUUUCACUUCCAAAGGGACCGUCUUAGGCAUUUUAGGGUCUGCUACAACUGUCAUCCUGGCCAGAAUAUCGGCUCGACUAUUUUGUUCCCUUGGGAUUUGUAUCAACUUAACCGCUUCGAACUUCCUCAUCAUCUGCCUGACUUUCUUCAAGUACUGCUCCAUCUUCUCAUCUCUCGGUUGAAAACUUUCACUGACAUGAUUUGCGACCAGCUGAGAAUAAGUUCUGAUCUUCACCCUAUCUGCUUUCAUUGCCUUAGCCAAUUCCAAACCUGCUAUCAAGGCUUCGUAUUCUGCCUGGUUAUUUGUGGCUGUGAACUCUAACUUUACAGCAUAAGAAAUCUCCUCCCCCUCUGGGUCUUUUAAGACAAUUUCUGCUCCUGAUCCUUGCUCACCUGAUGACCCAUCUACAGACAUCUGCCAUACUCGAGCUUUGCUGCUAUCUGUAGCGGUGUCCAGUUGGUCCAAACAUACUUCAAGCUCCGCGAAUUCUGCUAUGAAAUCGGCCGUUGCCUGAGCCUUUAUUGCUGCUCGGGGUUUGUAAUCUAUGUCGAACUCGCUAAGCUCUAUAGCCCACUUCACGAGCCGACCAGAAGCAUCUGGCUUGUGCAGAGUUUGACGCAAUGGCUGGUUUGUUAUUACCGUGACGGGGAAUGCUUGAAAGUACGGCCUCAGCUUCCGAGCAGCAACCACAAGGGCGAGUGUCCAUUUCUCCACCAAUGGGUAUCUGGUCUCGGCAUCGAGCAGGGUCUUGUUGGUGAAGUAUAUCGGGUACUGAACCCCUUCUUCUUCUCUUACUAGAACAGAACUUGCAGCAUGAUUUGAUACCGCCAAAUAUAAGAACAACCUAUCGUCAUCCCUUAGUGUGGACAGCAAAGGUGCUUGUUGCAAGUACUGCUUCAAGUUCUGGAAGGCUUCUUCACAUUCUGGGGUCCAUUCUGUAUUCUUUCCUCUCCUUAUCACUUGGAAAAAUGGCUGACACUUAUCUGUAGCCUUGGAUAUGAAUCGGCUUAAUGCCGCCAACCUCCCCGUAAGGCUCUGUGUCUCCUUCAGGUUACGAGGUGACCUCAUCUGCACGAUCGCCUGGAUCUUCUCAAGAUUUGCCUCGAUCCUGCUCGAACAUGGGGAUUUGGUUGUAUCCCGAGAAUGCGUCCAUGAAGCUGAGCAAGCCAUGUCCGGCUUUUAAGUCUACAAGCUGGUCAAUCUUUGGUAAUGGAAAGCUGUCUUUCGGGCACGCCUUGUUGAGGCCCGUGAAAUCCACACACAUCCUCCACUUGCCAUUAGCCUUUUUUACUAACACCACAUUCGAUAUCCACUCGGGAUAAUUGACUUCCCGAAUGAACCCUGCUUUCAAGAGCUUCUCCACCUCGCCGUUUAUAGCCUCAUACCUCUCCUGGUUGAAGCACCUCCUUUUCUGCCUUACUGCCCGAGCACCUUUCUUUAUUGCCAGUUUAUGACAUGCGACCUAAGGGUCGAUUCUUGGCAUGUCUUCAUGUGUCCAAGCAAACACAUCUGCAUGAGCCCGCAAGCAUUGCACCAACUCCUGCUUCUGCUAUUCUUUAAGCCUCAACCCAAUUCGGAUCGUUUUUCCCAGAUCCUUUGGUCCUAGGCUCACUGUCUUCAACUCCUCUACAGGUUCUUGUCUACCAGUCUUGGUUCCCACUCGGGUAUCAAGGGAUGUUAUCUGCAUUGCUUCCCUUGCUGACGAGGAGUAAUAGCUUCGUGCGAUUCUCUGGUCUCCUCAUACCACUCCAACUACCCCAUUCACCCGGUACUUGAGAGCUAGAUAAUGGUUGGAUGACACCGCUUUACUCAUCCUCAGAAAUGGUCGACCUAGGAUCAUCUGGUAAGGACCCUCUUCAUCGACUACCAAAAAAUCCAGCAUCAUAGUCCUUUCUGUCGGGGAGCUUCCAAUCGUGAUAGGCAGCUCAACCACGCCCAGGGGGACCAGCUUUCCUCCUCCAAAUCCCUUCAAGGAGGUAUUGGUGUGCUCCAACCUCAGGUCUGUUAUUCUCAUCUCCUCCAGAGUUGACUUAAACAACACAUCAACUGAGCUCCCUGUGUCAACCAGUAUCCGGUCAAACUUCUUGCUGGCGACGGUGGCCUUGAUGACUAAGGCAUCCUUGUGUGGGUAUAGAAUCCCUUAUUCAUCCUCAUCUGUCCACAUGAUUGGCACUUGUCAGACUCUUGCUCGUUUGGCUGCUGGGGUGUUGAAGAACACAUCUUUACUAGUCAUGGCAAAUUUAGCAUAAUUUUUCCUCGAUCUGUUGGAAUCUCCGGCCAACGUUGGACCCCCUAACAAUCACUCUUACUAUAGGCUGCCUGUGGCUCAAGUUCCUGUUACCCUGCUCCUCUUCACAUAUCGGGGCCACCGUCGGAAAAGUCCCAUCGAUAAACUCGUCCAGGUAUCGAUUUCUCACCAAAUCUUUAACCUGGGUCUUAAGGUCUCUUCAUUCUAUUGUGGUAUGGCCAUGAGUACCAUGGAACUUGCAAUAGUGCCCCUAUCCCUUCUGCUGGGUAGCUUUGUUAUUGGGGCUGGGAGGUACAGUAAUCCCCAGUCCUUUAUGGCCUCACAGACUUCGUCCAGUGGGAUAUUCAAGGAAGUAUACUGCCCAUAGUCCUGGUUCUGGUCGAUCAUAUGCACUGCCCUUUCUCUGUUUGUGCCAUUCUGAGUUGGAGGUGGUGGCAGCGCUUCUGGUCUGCUCCCCCUACUACCAUGGGGGUGUGGGUGAAGGUGACCGUAUGUCGCGUCAUGCCUUCUCCUAGGCUCCCUAGCUGGUGAGCGAGAAGGUUGCGCCCUGCUGUGCUGAUACUGUGGUGGCCUCUAAUGAGGUUGGUAAGCGGUUACCCGACCUCUUGUACCACUACCUAAGGCAUGGUGGUCCCUCCUCUUAAUCGGCCCAUUUCCUGGUACGGCUCUCUUCUCUUUCCUCUUUAAUCCUUCCAGCUGGUCUGUCUUAAUCCGUGCCGCCUUUUCCUCCUCUAUUUCUAUGUCUCUCUUAGCCUGCUCGUAAGCAACUGAAUAUGUCUGAAUAACUGGGCUUCUCAAGUUAUAUCACAUCCGUCUUAUCUUCACUCCUUCUUUCAAUCCCCUUAAUGCCUGAGGAUGGUUGAAGGCUCCCAAGUCGAGGACAGCACGGUGGAACCUUUUGAUGAAUUCCCGAAGGGUUUCCUCCUCUCUCUGCUUCAUGCUCGUUAACUCCAUCAUAUCAUCUUCCGGUGCCAUUACCCCACGAAACUGCUCUGCAAAUUCCUGGCACAUCUGCUCGAAGGCUUUAAUGCUCCCUCGAGGAAGUUUCCUGUACCACUCGCGUGCUCGUCCCUCUAGAGAUAGUGGGAACACCCUGCAUCUUUGGGCUUGAGAUAGUCCUUGCACCCCGGUCAUGUUGUUGAAGCGCUCUAUGUGCACCAACGGAUCAGUUCGCCCCAAAUAUCUGAGGUCUGGGAGGCGAAAAUCUCUUGAAAUGACUGCCCUCAUGAUCUCUGCCGAGAGCGGGGUUUCUCCGUCCAGCAUUAUCCUCCAACCAGGUGCUCUACUCCUUCCUUGCAUAUCAUCAAUUACUUGCGCUAGUUUGCGCACUUCCUUCUCUAGCUGCAUUGCACGACCAGGGUCACGUGCUGUAACUUGAUCCCGCUCUUUCUCUACAUCAUGUAAGUAUUGCCUGAGCUCUGUUUCCUCUGCAUUCACCACCCCAUCAUCCUCAUCAAAAAUCUAUCUUCUUGGGGAUUGCUCUUCUUCUCUAUGAAUUCCUCCCCGUAAAGAUAAGUUACCUCUCUCACCACCAAAUCUCCUGGUGGUCUGACUUCUCAUCAUACCAUCGUGCCCUGGUGCCACUCUGCCACCUCUCACCCUUUUCUCAUGGGUUCCCCUUCGUUCACUCCUUAGUUCAUGUAGGAUGGUUGUCAGGGUCUCCAUCUGCUUUUCCAUCCGUUCCAUUCGGUCAUGCAUGGCUUUUUCCCGUGCUUCAAUGGCUAUCUCCCUUAACGUCAUGGAUUCGUUAAGCCUCAUAUCACCUCCUUGUGCACUACUUCCUCCUACAUCCAUUGUUUCUUCUCUUGCUUUGUUUUUCCUUUCUCUGUCAACAGAAGUUUUUUUAUCAGCUCCCUACAGACGGCGCCAAAAUGUUGAUGCGAGAUUCUGGUUACCCACUCGACCACGACCAGGAUCUCUGCUCAAUCAACUAACUCGACCACGAUCAGGAUCUCUCCUCGUAUGCUUUCUUCUUCAAAAAUUCCUGCGUACACAGAAACAAGUCAGAGCACGCUGGUUGUUUUCUCGGCGUAAACCCUCCGAUGCUCAAGUCAAAUAUGAAGGUUUUGUGUUCCUGGGAACAUUAGCCACUAGUCUUAAGCUUUGCUUUUAGUAUCGACUGUUGAAUGCUCUCUUUAUCUCAAUUUCUGUAUUAAAAGUUCUAACCCUUUUACCUUCGUUGGCUGCCUUUUUAUAGGCUCCUCCUGAGUCCAGAUCCUCCCCUCCAUUCACGUCCGUUACCUUCCCACCUCUCGAAAGUGGAUGCUCCGUUUCCGUAAUCGUGGGUGGUUGCAUGGCCUUCGUGCCUCGAUUCUCGGGCUGGAGAGUACGUCUUGCCAACUGUCGUUGAUUGGGUCUCCUCGCUUCAAACCUUAGCAGGACCAUUAUGCUUCUAACAGGAGAUCGGCUUCGCGGAUGGUGUAUUCGUGGACGAGCAGAUAUUCCUGCUUCUGUUCCCAUGCUACCAGACCUCAGCUCAUCACGGCUGGUCUCGUCGAAGUACAUCCCCCAAACAAUCUUCAUAUUAAUUACGAAAAUAUCCUCUAAAUUUUAACUUAACUAUUCAUAAUUCAAUGUCAUUCGGAUAUUUCGUUUAUUUGAGUAGGGAUUAGGGGUCAAUUUGAUACAAAUUCAAAAUUAUCCUCAUUUGCGAAGGUGAUAAAAGUUAGGGAUUUAGUUUGGAUGUCACUAGCCACAAAUAUUAAACGCAUGCAUCUAAUUCAAAAUUAGAGGCAUUAUCGUUAUAUUGACAUGUGUCACCAUCCCACAACCUCUCCAAUGAAAAAUUGACAUGCAUCUUGUGUGCUUCUUAUCAAAAUCCUGAAAAUUAAUCACAAAAGUUAUAUUUUUAUUAUAAAAAGAAGAAAGAAACUCCAUGAGUGAAGAAAAAAAAAAAAGACUUACAUUAAUAGUUUGGAUAAUCUAGAUUUCAAGUUGUCUAUAUUAGCUUGAUAUUUUUAUAAAUAUCAAGAUUUCAAGUUGUCUAUAGUAGCUUGAUAUCUUCUAAAAAAAACUCCAUCAACAUAUAUUUUAAUUUUACGUUAAUUAAUAAAUAGAAAAUCCAUUUUAGAAUUAAUUAAAGCAUUAUUUAUUGUUGCCAAAGAAGGAAGUAUUUAGCGAUAAGAAAAAAGUGUCUCAAAUAUAUGUUUAAAAAAAAAUAAUCAUGGUUGGUUGGACUGAUUGAAUUUUUCUUUUCUUUUUUCUUUUUUAAGAACUAAGACAAUUGGAUUGAUUGAGUAAUAAUAAAAUAUAUUUAUUUGGCAAAUGGCAGGUAGGCUUUCUUCUGGUGCAGAUUGAUUAGAGAGAAUAUAUAACAAUUUUAAGCUCGUAAGAUUCGGAACCUGCUUAUCUGUCGUGUGGGAAUCACUUCCGUGUCUUAUUUUUCUAGAAAAAUCUAGACCAUUGGAUUUACCAUUGGGCAGUAGAGAAAUGUUGAUCUUGAUUCCUGAUCAGGAUCGAAGUUUGAUUCUAUCUAACAUGAUAUCAGAUUGCGAAGCAAGCUAGUUGUGAGUAACUUGUUCUAUUUUGAUGGAAGAAACACAAGUUCUAAUAAAAAAUUCUAAGUAUACAUUUUUUUUUUUAAUUUUUUUAUUGUGAUCAAUAUAACUAGUCAAAUCUAUUUUUAAACAUUUUUUUUAAAUAUUUUGUUAACAAUGAUAUGAAAAUAUUCGAACCCCUCCUCAUAUAGUAAAGUGAAUUACUAUCCAACGAUCCAACUAACGUCUUCAAAUUGUAAAUUGCAAAUCGUGUGUUUGCUCCAUUACAGAGUUUCUUCAAUUUAAAAUAGAGAAUCGUUUGUGUUCUAGAUUAAUCGUGGGUCUAUAUCCAAAUCUAAAAAUUGACUAACUUGAUUUCUAUUAAAUUCUUAACCCUAACAAGAAAAAUAGAAGAUUAAAAAUGACUAAUUUGGUUUCUAUUAAUUUGAGUAACGAUUAAUAUUUAUCAUUCAAUAGUCACUUAUAUUAUCAAAAUCUUGGGUCGAAAAUAUUAGGAUAGGUGAUAAUUGGAAUUAAGUUGUAGAUAAGAUAGAAAUGGAUUUGGAGAGAGAUUGGAAUCCUGGGUAAAUCCGGUACACGUUGGUGUGUUAAAUUCUCGUUGACUUCACGUUGACCGAGGCAUUAUUGGAAGAAACAAGCAAGCUUAUUUUCUUCUCUCAUUUUUAACCUUUGUCUAAAUUUAUUGGUGUGAGGCCUUUGAGAUGGUAAAGUGUUAAAUCUGAGAAGAGUACCCACACUAUUACUCUUAUUUUAUCACGUUUUAUCACAAUAUUACUCUUAUAGUCAAUGUUUGAUUCGCACGAAAAAAAAUUUGCGAGGAUUGUGAGGGUUGAUGCAAUAUAAUUUAGAUGCAAAGUGUUUACAAGUGCGAUGCUUCGUAAGUGUACUCGAAUCAUUAUAAACUCACGUUAUUUUCAUAGUGAUUAUUUCAUUUGCACGUGAAUAUAAUCAUAUAUGUGGAGAAUUUUUUUUCCUAAAUUAUGGUCUUAUUUAGUAUUGAGAUGUUAUAUCUUUUAAAUUAUAAUUAAUAUUAGUAAAAAAACUGCAACUAUAAAAUAAAAGUUAAUAUUAUGUCCUGAAUAUAAUUGUUAAAUAAUAAUUUUGACAAAAUUAGUGAAGACAUACAGAUUUUUUUAUCAUAUAAGUGUAAAAUUCUAUCAACUUAGCUUUUAAGUUAUACAGCAUCUAUUGUUUACCAAAUACUUUAGUGUUGUAACUUUUAAGUUAUAACUGUCUAACCUUUAACCUCAAUCUCAAACGAGGCUUAUAAAGAUCAAGGAUUUCCUCAUAAAAAUUAUUACGUCAUGUGAUUGCUUAUUUAAUUUAUAUUUUCGUCAUUUAUCUUUAUUAAUUAAACAUGCACAUAUUAUUUCCUUUUAUUUUCUGCUUGGUAACCCGUAAAUACUAAUCCAGUACUACUAAUUUCAGACAGAAAAUUUUGAACUCUAGGCUGCAGUUUGACUCAAAAUGAUGGUCACUGGCUUCGCACCAUUUUACCGGUAUACAUUUCUACAAACUGAACAAGGCUAUUGAUUAUUAUUAUUAUUAUUUUAAUUUGUUUAUAAAUUACUAUUUUAAUUUUCACUUUUUAUUGGGUUGUUUAACGGAUUGGUGAAGCUGGUGGUCGUUGAUGCACUCACAAGGUACAAUUUUAUUUUAUAAUUUCAAAUUCGUAUUUUAAAACGCAGGUACAUUAUGUAUAUACAUAAUUAUUGAUUUUCGUAUGAGGGUGUUUUGAAAUAUUGCUAAAAGACCAAACUUUAAUAAACUAUUUUUGAUCUUUUUUUUUUUUCCUAAAGUUUGGGUGAUAUGCGCAUUUUAAAUUCACGUGGAACAAAAGUUAAUGUAUGUAUAAAAAUUCUUUUAUUUUACUGAGCAAAAUAGGCAAGCGAAAAAGUUUUGGCAAAUGAGUUGCAACUGAAUUCAAAACCAAUACAAUGCGAGCAUAGGAAAGAGGCCAGUGUUUAGGAUUUGAAUUUAGGUAGCGUUUACUUUUUGGAUUGGAUUGGGAAUCCUGGGGAGUGGGAAUCCUAGGAUUGAGAGUGUGGAGUGGGAGUGGGAGUAGGUUGUUUACUUACACUGGAAUGGAAGCAUGGAAUGGAGAUCAGAAUCCAAUUUAUGUGUUUACUUUGUCUUGGAUUGGGAGUAAAUAGUUUCAAAUUACAAUUUUAUCCUUAUUUAAAGAAUUAUAAUUUUAAUUACAAAACUAAUAAAAUAUAUAUUUAAUGAAUAAUAUUUAUUUUAUUAUAUUUGUAAAUUUAUUAUAAUUAUUAAUAUUCUUAAUUAUGAACAAUAAAUUAUUAAUUGUAAUUUUAAUAUAAAAUGAAAUGUUAUUUUAUUUAAUAUAAUUAUAUUAAAUUUAUUAUUAUAUAAAAUAAUAAUAUAAUAUUAUUUAGUACAAAAUUAAUAUUUUCUUAGAAUAAAGUAUUUAUUAUUAUUAUUAAAUAAAAUAUAGUACUAUUAUUUUUAAAAUAAAUAUAAUAAUAUUAUAUUUAUUAAUUCUCUAUUAAUAUAAUAAUAUUAUUUUAAAAUAAUUUUAACUUAGAAUCAAUGUAAAUUAUUAUUUAGUUAAAUAUAAUAUUAUUAUUUAAAUAAAUAUAAUAUUAUUAUUUAAAUAAAUAUAAUAUUAUUUAUUUUAUUUUAUUAAUUAUAAAACAUAAAAUAAAAAAAAAAAGGGUAGAAAUGGGAGAGGUGGGAGUGGAUUCCCACUCCCACCUCCCCCAAUGGGAGUCCCACUCCCACUCCCCACUCCAAAAAUGGGUGGGGCCCACGGAGUGGGACUCCCAAUUCCUUCUCAUUUUAAGUAAGUAAACGCUGGAGUGGGAGGAAUCCACACUCCUCACUCCCACUCCAGCAAGUAAACACAACAUUAGUAUUAAGCUGAAUUUUAUGGUAAGCUCUUUUAUAGUACUGUGAUUGAUAAGCUCAGCCCCGGAUUUGCUUUUGCUUUUGCUUUUACUUCAAGUGAAAGAGAGAGGAAACCUUUUGUUUUUUUCUUUGGUUUUCAACUAUGUUACCUAUACAAAGAGUCAAGAUACCUGCCAUAAGUGAUGGUGUUAAAAAGAUUAAGCAGCGCACACAAUCUUACUGUCGUCUAGACCAUCCAGUGAUGACUCUAGUCUUUUGGUUACGUUAGCUUUAGUUGAAAGAAGGGCCAAUUUAACAAAGACUAGAUUUGAUGGCUUACUAUGUUUAAUGUAAUGCUAAUUCUCAGGGAAUCUAAUGUUAUAACUUAUAAGACGAUCUCCUAUGAUGAAUAACAGUAACACAUUACUGUGAUUGAGAAAACUCAGUUACAAUAAACUAUUCAUUUACUCAUUGCGGAGAUUGAAUAGCAAAUAGAGAAUAGAAUGAAGCAGAGGAAUCUCAUUGCCAAUAAAAUUGACCCUCUUUAAUGUUAUAUGGCACAGGUGUGGAGGAAGAACAAGUUACUUGCAGUUUUUAUUGUAAAAUAUACAGGUAUGACCAUGAUCAUUACAGUUGGGUUUUGAUAAUUUCAGAUGCUUUUUAAAAAAAAAAAAAAUUAUGACAUCUUUGAUUUACGGUAGUUUUGCAGAAAAAAAAAUAUAAAAAUUAAGAGGGAUGAGUUAAACUGACGAUUACAAUCAUUCCAGCAAUGCUGAUGAGUGAUACAUCACUUGAAAUUUACUUGUCAGUUGCUGAAAUGAUGAAAAAAAAACAAUAAACGAUAACAGUAAUAAUGUUCCGUUGCUGAAAUUCAAUUUUGACUUUCUACUCUUGGCUUUUAUGGAAAGUAAAAUGACUUGUAUAUUAUCCUCAUACAAUCCACUCUACAUAAUGAUAUCAUUUUAAUAAGGCAAUGGCUGAUGAUCUCCAUUUAAAAACUACAUCAUUUUUUUUGCUUCAUUUAACUUUUUGGUUGUUGAAAAUAACCUUAAUUAUCAAAUAAUUGGAGAAAGAGUAAAGAACAUUUAACAAAUUUAUGUGCAAAAAAAAAAAAGGAGAAGUUGAAGAGAAAGGGUGCUUGCAGAAGUGGGUGUCAAAGAUAAAUCGGUCCAUAAGAAUUAUUGUGGUUAUUUUUUUGGCAAUAUAAGAACUUAUGCGAUAGCAUUUUUUAUGGGUGCAUAUAACCUCCCUUUAAAAAUAUAUAUAAUAAUUACUGCUUAAUAUAGUAUUAAAUACAAAAAUAUCAAUAUUUGACUACUUAAAUUUAUAUCAUUAGGUCCUUAAAAUUUAAAAUGGAAGAUAUGAAAGGAAAUAUAUAUAAAUUUCAUUGUCCUGGUAAAGGGCCCUCUUAUAAUCUUAUAAUAUUUGAACUUUGAUAGAUUUUUUGAAACAAAUGUACUUUUAUUUGUGUACAAUCAAUAUUUACUCAUUUAUUAUAUUUUAAUUUAUUAACUAUUAAUCAUGUAAGUAUACUUAGUCAGAAAAAUUAUAUCAAGAGAAAAUUCUAAUUUCACGCAAAAACAAAUACCAAAACAAAUAUCUCAAUUUCUAUACUAUUCACUUUCCUGUAGAAUCAAUUAUUUAAAAUGCAAGUUUGUGGCUACAGAAAACUCGCCAAAGAAAAAAGAUAAUAACAAUUGAGCAUUGAUAGCAAAACUAAUGCAUCCAAUUCUUCUUGACUUGAUGAGAUGGCGCCAUAACGUAGACACAAGUACCUAAAUUGACCGGCACUGAGUGAUGUGAAUACUACCAGCCAGUUCAUCUCUUCCAGUCUUGCUUAAUCACAAUCACAAACACCACGAGAUCGACAUUUGCAUUAUAUAUAUCUUCUGCAAUCGAAACACCUUGCAUUACCAAAUAAGCCCGUAACAGACAAAGCAAUCUUUCAUGGAGAGAAACCUUAGUCUCAGUAUGAUCACUGUGUCAUUAACCUACUGCCUGCUUCUUUGCUUGGUUGCUGCAGCAGCAGCAGCGGCAAGCAACAAUAUUACCACAGACCAACAAGCUCUUCUUGCCCUGAAAGAUCAUAUAAUUUAUGAUCCUACCAGCCUUUUAGCUCACAAUUGGACCUCGAAUACCUCUGUUUGUACCUGGAUUGGCAUCACUUGUGAUGCCAAUAGCCAUAGAGUCAAAACCUUAGAUAUUUCUCAAUUCAAUCUACAAGGCACCAUCCCUCCUCAACUUGGAAAUCUCUCUUCACUCACAACACUUAAUCUUAGUCAUAACAGGCUUUCUGGAAGUGUUCCCUCCUCCAUCUACACCAUGCAUACGCUAAAAUUUCUUGACUUCACUGAUAACCAGCUCUCUGGUUCAGUGUCUUCCUUCGUCUUCAACAUGUCUUCAAUAUUAGUAAUUCGUUUGACCAAUAACAUAUUUUCUGGUGAGCUUCCGAAAAAUAUUUGCAACUAUCUUCCUUAUUUGAAGGCCCUUUUCUUAAACAAAAACAUGUUUCAUGGCAAAAUUCCUUCUGCUUUAUCAAAGUGCAAACAACUGCAACAAUUAAAUUUGCAGUUCAAUAAUUUAUCCGGUGCAAUACCAAAAGAAAUCGGCAACUUGACUAUGCUCAAAGGGAUAUAUCUCCUCUACAACAAACUCCACGGUAUGUUCACAAUACUAUAUAAAUAUUUUAAUUUAUCACUUAUUAUCUUUCUUGAAUAAUUUAGUUAAGAUCUUGUAAGAGAGAUUUUUUGCAUCUACGUUAAUUUACCAGGUGAGAUACCCCACGAAAUCGCUAAUCUUCCAAAUCUAGAGGCUUUAGCGCUUGGAAUCAACAACGUAGUUGGUGUGUUACCAGCUCCCAUCUUCAACAUGUCAACACUGAAGGUACUUAUCCUCAUAAAUAACUCUCUCUCCGGAAGCCUUCCAUCAAGAGUAGACCUUUCACUUCCAACUGUUGAGCAACUUAACUUGGCACUUAAUAGAUUUUCUGGAACCAUUCCUAGUUCCAUCACCAAUGCUUCUAAGCUCACCUUUCUAGAGUUGGGAGCAAACACAUUUUCGGGGUUUAUUCCAAACACAAUUGGUAAUUUAAGAAACCUUAAGUGGCUCGGCUUGGCUAAUAACUCCUUGACAUCUUCAACCUCAAAAUUGAGCUUUCUUUCCUCUUUGGCAAAUUGCAAGAAAUUAAGAUUCGUAAACGUAAUAGGCAAUCCACUGGACGGCUUCCUUCCAAGUUCAAUAGGUAAUCUUUCUGUGUCUUUGGAAACACUUGGCAUCGGCAAUUGCAGUAUUAGUGGCAACAUUCCUCCAGCAAUUAGCAAUUUAAGCAACUUGUUGACCUUAGUAUUAGACGGCAAUAAAUUGACUGGACCAAUCCCAACUACAUUCGGCCAACUGCAGAAACUCCAAGGCUUAGAUCUUGCAUUCAAUAAGUUGGUAGGUUCAUUCCCAGAUGAGCUUUGCCAUCUGGCAAGGCUGGAUCAAUUGGUCUUAUUUGGCAAUAAGCUUUCAGGAUCUAUACCUUCAUGCUUAAGUAACCUCACUUCUCUAAGAUCUCUCUAUUUAGGGUCCAAUAAGUUUACUUCUGUUUUUCCCUCAACCUUCUGGAGCCUAAAAGACAUCUUGUUCUUUGACUUUUCAUCAAAUUUCUUGGUUGGUCCUCUUUCUUUAGAUAUAGGAAAUUUGAAGGUGCUUCUAGGAAUAAGUUUAUCAAAAAAUAAUUUAUCCGGUGAUAUCCCAGCCACAAUUGGAGGACUGAAAGAUCUUCAAUUUAUGGACCUAGCAUAUAAUAGAUUGGAAGGCCCAAUUCCUAAAUCAUUUGGUGACUUGAUAAGUUUAGAAGUUCUGAAUUUAUCAAAUAAUAAAAUCUCUGGGUCUAUUCCAACAUCCAUGGAGAAACUCUUUUACCUCGGAGAGUUAAAUCUCUCUUUCAAUAAACUAGAAGGUGAGAUUCCUAGUGGAGGAACUUUUGCCAACUUCACAGCUGAGUCAUUUAUGGGAAAUGAGUUUUUGUGUGGUUUACCAAAUCUUCAAGUCCAACCAUGCAAAGUUAGCAAGCCGAGGACAGAACAUAAAUCAAGGAAAAAGAUACUUCUCAUUGUGAUUGUUUUGCCAUUGAGUAUUGCUCUAACAAUAGCAAUCACUCUAGCUCUCAAAUCUAAGCCGAUCGAAUGUGGAGAAAGAAGCACAGUGUUGUCAAAUGAUAGUAUCUUGUCAUCACAAGCAACACUAAGAAGAUUUUCAUACUUAGAACUUUUACAAGCAACAGAUAAUUUUGCUGAAAACAGCAUAAUUGGCAGAGGAGGUUUCGGUUCCGUUUAUGGAGCAAGACUUGAAGAUGGGAUGAAGAUUGCAAUAAAAGUGUUUCACCGGCAAUGUGCAAGCGCAUUGAAGAGUUUUGAGGCUGAAUGUGAAGUGUUAAAAAAAAUUCGCCAUCGAAACCUUAUCAAAGUUAUCAGCAGUUGCUCGAACGAUGACUUCAAAGCAUUAGUCCUAGAAUACAUGUCCAACGGGAGCUUAGGGGAUUGGCUGCAUUCGAGCAAUUACGUGCUGAAUAUUUUUCAAAGGUUGAACAUAAUGAUUGACGUUGCAUCAGCUUUAGAAUACCUCCACUUCGAUCAUUCAACUCCUAUUAUUCAUUGUGACUUAAAGCCUAGUAAUGUAUUGUUGGACGAAAAUAUGGUUGCUCAUUUGAGUGAUUUUGGCAUAGCAAAGCUUUUAAGUGGAGAAGAUGAGUCUACGAUGCGAACAAAAACCCUUGCCACUAUAGGUUAUAUGGCACCAGGUUUGCUUCAAACAACUUUUUUUUUUAAGUUCAUUUUAAAUUUUCUAAAUCAUUGAUUUUUACGAUCCUCAUAUCAAAUUGUUAUUGAUUAUUUAUCUAAUUGUGAAAUUAAUUUGAUUCAUAGAGUAUGGCAUAGGAGGAGAAGUAUCUACAAAAAGCGAUGUUUACAGCUACGGGAUUAUGUUGAUGGAAACUUUUACCAAGAAAAAACCCACAGAUGAAAUUUUUGUUGGAGAAUUGAGCUUAAAGCAUUGGGUUAAUGACUUGCUUCCUAAUUCAUUAGUGGAAGUUGUGGACAAAACUCUGCUAAGUGGAGAGGAAAAACAUUUUGCAUCAAAGGGGCAAUGUCUGUUGUCUAUCUUUAGUUUGGCUCUGGAGUGUACAAUGGAAUCACCGGAAAAGAGGAUUAAUGCAAAAGAUAUUGUUACCGGAUUACUCAAGAUAAGAGACACAUUGAGUAAAAGGAUAGGAAAUUUAAGUUAAUUUCGUUUGCUUUCAUUGAUAGUUAAUUCGAAUUCAUGUAAUAAGUGCAAGAAUCUUAUAUCUUUUCCUUUGAUAUAUUCUUUUUCUUGAGAAAACUGUUGUAGUCAUCUUGUUUCCAUGGGAAGAGUUGAUUUAGUUCUUCCAAAAAAUGCUACUGAUGACCUUUGUUUAAUACUUUCUCUUUUUUUGCACGUGUUUAGGUAGAACAGUGGUUUGGCUGCAGGCUAAUAAGUCAAGCUACGCCAAAAGCGUAUGAUUUAAUUUAUUAAACAUAACUUCAAGUUCAAGAAGUGUUUCUCAUUGCCACCAAUGCUUUGGACACCUGUUGGAAGGUUUGUUGUCCUCAGCUUUUGUUUAGAGCAAAAGUUCGAGUCCCAUAAAGGCUCAAACAUUCCUUUCCUUCAUCCCGAGGGCGCCUUCUGUCCUCUGUUUUCUGUUUCCACACACAAAUAGCAAAAAGAAAUUAGAAUGACAACUGGGACAUAUAUAAGAGUGAAAUAAUUAAAAAAAUUAUGCUUUUUUGUCUGUCGUGUUAAAAUCGUAAGUACCGAAGUACUGUGAAAGAGAUUAAUUUACAGAAACUGAAGCCAAGGGUUCAAAAAAAAACUAUUGAUGUAGCUAGGAUGCAAUGUCAUAUUCAUACAGAGAUGAAGUAUAUUAUUUACGGCUGGUAAAGACUAGGAAUUGAUGUAGCUAGAAUCCAAAGAUGAUAAGGUAUGUUGUGCACUAUUGUUUUAUUCUACGGUCAAUCUUGACCCUUGGUGCUUGGCUCUCAAUCUUGUCCAUUGAUCUUCUCUGAUCUUGGAAACUUCAAGACCUUUCACUCUCAUGCCUUAUUAUUGGUGUCUUCCAUGCUGUAGCUUUCAAAUACAAGCUUUCCCGCCAACUUGCCAAUUAUUUGUCCGUUGGUGCAUUUUAUCAAACAGUUUGGAUACUUAUACCAAACGCCUUCUGUUUUAACUCCCCCCCUCAAGCUCAAGCAUCUGGGAAGACAUUAAUAAGCUUGUUUCUCAAGUAUAUAUAUCUGAAAAUUAAAUUUUAUAAAUUAUAUUCGGACUCUACAUUUUCUAAUGAACAUUGGUUUGGCUUAUAAGCUUAUUAUACUCAGGUUUGGUAGGAGCCAUAUCACAAUGUUAACGCUAACCAGCAGUACUGCCAAAGCUGGCCAACUCAGCCUGCAAGUUCAUAGCAACCAUAGUUACAGUCCUAGUCCGGUACAAAAAUCGUAAAUAUCAUUUACAUUACAAUGGUGUGGGGGGGGGGGGGGGGGUUUGUUGGGUGGCUGGAGAGGGAAUCAACAAAGAUCUAGAACGAAGGGUAGGCUUGUAUCCGUAACCCAUGUCACAGUGUUAAUGCUAACCGUGGACCUUAUUAUAUUAGUUGCUGGACUAUUAUUACUUUUGAAUUGCCAUCUUUGAAUUUACGUUCAUUUCUGCCUCGACAAGAUGUUUGUAAAAAUAUGCUAAUUAUUAAUGUGCCGUGUACAAAUAAGCAUGUUACUGUGCAAGGAUUGUAGUCAUGAUACAGUGGUGCAAAAUGUACAUGCUACUUCUUCUUUUCCUCAGUUAGGAUCACCGUCGUCACCAUUUAAUUCUAAGUCCACCCAUGCGGCCUAUGCAAUUGAAAUCAUGUGACCAUGUAAUUUUAGGUUCUGAUCUUCCUUGUGGGGUUAAACCUCAAAACUGUGACCAUUUUGGGACUUUUAAUCAGUUCCAAUCAUUUUCUGGUUCCCAUUCGUCCACCCAAGCCUUGAUUCCCCCGAUAUAGCAUUGCAAUAUAUAUAGGAAUAUUAAGGUUGUGUACAGUUUUUUUCUUUUCUGUUUUUAAUUUGAUAUAAAUUAUCAAUCAUGAAUCUACAUAAAGUUUCAACUAGGCUACUACCACAAUAAACAUUUGGAUGAACUAUUAUUGAAACCUUAUUGAGAAGUAGGACAUGUCGCAUACCAAUGCACUGACAUAUCUUCAAAUAGUGGUAACUCCACACAACAUGGCACAAUAAAUUAAGAGUUAUAUAGAUAAAAUCUUUCACUCUUUGGUAAUCAUCAAUGUCGGCAUGACAAUGCGUCCCACAAAUAUGGCUCCUUAUCAAAAUUCAUAAAUCAAAACAAAAAUAGAGAAUCAUAUUUGUUCUAGAUUGUAGUGAUGGUUGUUGAUGCACUCACAAUUUACAAUUUUAUUUAAUAUCUUCAAAUUCGCAUUUUAAAAUGCCCAAAUGUUUGUGUAUACAUAAUUAGUAAUCGAUUCUCAAGCAUGGCCAUUUAAAAGCAUUGCUGAAAGACAAAAUUUUAAUUUACUAUUUUUUGUCUUUUAAUUUUCUUUAAGUUUUUAAUGAUUCCGCAUUUUAAAAUCCUGUGGAACGUGUAUGUAAAAUUCUUUUAUCUUUUAGAGGAAAAUGGGCAAGAGAAGAAGAUUUGGCAAAGGAAUUGCAACCGCAUUUGGAGCUAGUUUUAAUUUUGUCUUUUAAUUCUUUUACACUUGGCUUUUGUUAUUGAUGUCAACUUCGAUGUGUGUGAAGACUCGAGCUCACUCCCUUAUGAGCUAGUUUUAUUUUUCUACUUUCACAUUAAGAAAAAUACUCCUAUUUUUAAGGAAAAGUCAAGUACCUGUAGUUGUGAAGACUCGAGCUCACUCCCUUAUGAUAAAUCUUCAUAUUAAUUACGUAAAUAUCCUCUAAAAUUUUAAAUUAGCUAUUCAAAAUUUGAUGUUAUACGGGUAUUUCAUUUAUUUGAGUAGGGGUUGGGGGUCAAUUGGAUACAAAUUCAAAAUUAUCCUUACUUGAGAUGGUGAUAAAAAUUGGGGAUUUAAUUUGGAUGUCAUUAGCUACAAAUAUUAAACUCAUACAUUUAAUUCAAAAUUGGAAAGCUGAUAUAUGCGCAUCAUCCCACAACCUCUCCAAUGAAAAAUUAACACGUUUCUUGUGUGCAUUUGAUCAGAAUCCUGAAAAUUAAUCACAAAAUUGUCCUGGAAAAAAAAAUGCUUACAUAAAUGGUUUGAAAAAUCUAGAUUUCAAGUUGUCUAUAUUAGCUUGAUAUUUUUAUAAAUAGUCAUCCUCUCAAAAAAAUUCCAUCAAAAUAUAUUUUAAUUUUAUGUUAAUUCAUAAACAUGAAAAAAUCAUUUCAGAAUUAAUUAAAACAUAAUUUAUUGUUUCUCAAAAAAGGUAGAACUUAGUGAUAAGAAAAAAGUAUCUCAAAUAUAUGUAAAAAAAAAAAAAUCUUGGUUAGUUGGAAUGAUUGAAUUUGUUUUUUUUUUCUUUUUUAAGAAUUAAGACAAUCGGAUUGAUUGAGUAAUAAUAAUAUAUAUUUAUUUGGCAAAUGGCAGGUAGGCUUUCGUCUCAUGCAGAUUGAUUAGAGAGAAAAUAUAACAAUUUUAAGCUCGUCAGAUUCGAAGCUGCUUUCCUGUCGUGUGGGGAUCACUUCCGUGUCUUAUUUUUCUAGAAAAAUCAGGACCAUUGGAUUUAUGCGAAUCGUACUGAACAUUGGAAUUGAUGUAUAAGAAAAAAAUUCUGUAGUUUAAGAAGAACAAAAAGGCAUGUUGAAUAGAUUACAAUAGUUUAAGGAAAAAAAUUAUUCAAUUGGGAAUUUUUUUUUCUUUAAUUUUUGUUGUACUUGAUUGAGAUUUCUCCUUAGUCCUUAGAGUUUUAAGUUUGGAAACCGUAGGAUCAGUAAUUUCGUACUUCCUUUGCAAGCUGAGUAUAAGGAUGAAAUUCUUUUAAGAAAUUAAAAAAGAUAAAAAAAAAGCAUACCAAUAGGUAAUUAUAAAUAACCACAAAUAAAUAUAAACAAAAUGUUUAUGAAGUAAAUUAAACAUGCUCAUAUUAUUUUCUUUUAUUUUCUGCUUGGAAACCCAUAAAUACACUAAUCCAGUAUUACUAAUUUCAGACAGAAAAUUUUGAAUUUAACCAGUAUACACUAAUCCAGUAUUAUUUUUAUUAUUAUUUUAAUUUGUUUAUAAAUUACUAUUUUAAUUUGUUUAUAAAUUACUAUUUUAAUUUUCACUUUUUAUUGGGUUGUUUAACGGAUUAGUGAAGCUGGUGGUCGUUGAUGCACUCACAAGGUACAAUUUUAUUUUAGAAUUUCAAAUUCGUAAUUUAAAAUGCAGGCACAUUAUGUAUACAUAAUUAUUGAUUUUCAUAUGUGGGUGUUUUGAAAUAUUGCCAAAAGACCAAACUUUAAUAAACUAUUUUUGAUCUUUUUUUUUCCUUUGUACCUAAAGUUUGAGUGAUAUCCGCAUUUUAAAUUCAUGUGGACCAAAAGCUAAUGUAUGCACAAAAUUCUUUUAAUUUUUUCCGAGAAAAAUGGGUAAGAGAAGAAGAUUUUUCUCUUGAAAAAGAAAAAAUAAUACGUUGCAAGCAUAGGAAAGAGGCCAGUGUUUUGGAUUUGAAUUUAGUAUUGGGUUGAAUUUUAUGCUAAGCUCUUUUAUAAUACUUUAUAGAAUAAAAAUGUAAGGGAUAUUUGGCUAGGCAUGUACUUUAUAGAAUAAAAAUGUAAUAAUGUAAGUCAGUGCAAUGAUCUGCUGUCAUAGUAGUUAUAAAUAUUUAUGUGUAAUACAGUAACAUGAUGCUUAAUCAGUUAAAAAAAAAUUGUAUAUCUUUUUUUAUUUUUUUUAUUGUGAUCAAUAUAACUAGUCAAAUUUAUUUUUAAAUAUUUUUUUAAAAAUAUUUUUAUCGUGUGUUUGCUCCAUUACAGGGUUUCUUCAAUUUAAAAUAGAGAAUCAUUUGUGUUCUAGAUUAAUCGUGGGUCUAUAUCCAAAUCCAAAAAUUGACUAACUUGAUUUCUAUUAAGUUCUCAACCCUAACAAGAAAAAUAAAAGAGUAAAAAUGACUAUUUUGGUUUCUAUUAAUUUGAGUAACGCUUAAUAUUUAUCAUACAAUAGUCACUUAUAUUAUCAAAAUCUUGGGUCGAAAAUAUUAGGAUAGGUGAUAAUUGGAAUUAAGUUGUAGAUAAGAUAGCCUUUCAAAAAAAAGAAAAGAAAAAAAGUUGUAGAUAAGAUAGAAAUGGAUUUGGAGAGAGAUUGGAAUCCUGGCUAAUCCGGUGCACGUUGUUGCGUUAAAUUCUCGUUGACUUCACGUUGACCGAAGCAUUAUUGGAAGAAACAAGCAAGCUUAUUUUCUUCUCUCAUUUUUUACUUUUGUCUAAAUUUAUUGAUGUGAGCCCUCUGAGAUGGUAAAGUGUUAAAUCUGAGAAGAGUACCCACACACCCAUUUGUUGGAGGAUUAACAAUUAAAACACACUAUUUUAUUUCUUCAACAACACUCCUCACCAAUUACAACUCUUAUUUUUCACUCUCUACACCUUAGAGAUUUUGCUGCUUCACUUGAUGUUUAAACCAAAAGGGAGAGGGGGUAUUUAUAUAUGAAACAAACUAAUCACAACCAUUCAUUUAUUCAACUAAUAAACACAUCCUCACCAUCCAUUAAAACCUACCACUCACCUACUUCACCAACCACACCUAACACACCUAACACAAAUAAUUCAAACCUCACCAACCAUACCUACUCAUGGAACCUUCCAUGAGUUGGGCUUGAUUUAUUCAUCUUGGAUCAAGUUUAUGAUCCAACACCUCUCCUUAAACUUGAUCCUGUGACACCAAGCAAACUUCUGAAUCUUACAAAGUCUUCUUGUUUGAGUGGUUUAGUGAAGAUAUCAGCUGCUUGAUCUUGUGAUUUUACAUACUUGAUUUGCACUUCUUUUCUUGCAAUACACUCUCUUAUGAAAUGAUAGCGAGUGGCUAUGUGUUUACUUCGAUCAUGAAAGACUGGAUUCUUGGAUAGGGCAAUUGCUGAUUUGUUAUCAACACAAAUCUCAGUUGGCUCUUCUUGUGCCAAACUCAACUCCUUUAGCAAAUUUCUGAGCCAAAUUGCAUGACAAACACUUGAUGUGGCAGCUACAUAUUCAGCUUCACAGGUGGAUAGCGUGACAAUUGGUUGCUUCUUUGACAUCCAUGUGAAAGCAGUAUCUCCUAUGAAGAACACAAAUCCUGUGGUGUUAUUUCGAUCAUCUACAUCUCCACCCCAAUCGCUAUCGCUAUAUCCAACAAGCUUGUAGUCAUUAGAAAAUGAGUAUAGCAAGCCGAAAUUAGUUGUACCUUUGAUGUAGCGAAGGAUUCUUUUUGCAGCUUUAAAAUGGGUGGUCUUUGGAUUCUCCAUGUAUCGGCUCACAAGUCCAACAACAUAAAGGAUAUCUGGUCUUGUGCAUGUCAAAUAACGUAGGCUUCCAACCAAACUUUUAAAGAAUGUUGGAUCUAUAUCUUCGCCUUCAUCAUGUUUGGAUAACUUGACUCCGCAUUCCACUGGCGUGCUUAUAGGCUUACAAUCAUUCAUCUUGAACUUCUUGAGAAUCUCCUCUGCAUAGCUUUCUUGGGAGAUAAAUAUGCUUUCUUCCUUUUGCUUGACUUCAAUGCCGAGGUAAUAUGCCAUCAGUCCGAUGUCAGUCAUCUCGAACUCUUUGAUCAUCACUCUCUUGAACUCUUCAAACAAGCCUGGAUUACUUCCAGUGAAAAUGAGAUCAUCCACAUACAGGCACACAAUCAAAAUAUCUCCAUAUUUUUCUUUGACGUAGAGAGCAUGUUCAUAUGGGCAUUUGGUGAAGCCUUUCUCUUGAAAAUACUUGUCAAUUCUGCUAUUCCAUGCCCUUGGUGCUUGCUUUAACCCAUAAAGAGCUUUCUUCAAUCUCAAAACUUUGUCCUCGUGUCCUUUCACCACAUAGCCUAAUGGUUGUUCGAUGUAAACUUCUUCUUCAAGGAAUCCAUUCAAGAAAGCAGACUUCACAUCCAUUUGAAAAAUCUUCCAUUUGUUCUGAGCAGCCAAAGAAAUAAUAAGUCUAAUAGUUUUAAGUCGAGCUACAGGAGCAAAUACCUCGUCAUAGUCUAUGCCAGCCUUUUGACUAUAGCCUUUUGCAACUAGCCUCGCCUUGUGCCUUUCAAUUUCUCCCUUCGCAUUUCUUUUUGUUUUAUACACCCAUUUGACACCGAUCGCCUUGUGACCUUUUGGAAGAGUAGUAAGCUCCCAAGUAUCAUUCUUCACAAUGGCUUUGAUUUCUUCAUCCAUUGCAAUUCUCCACUUCUCAUCUAGUGCAGCUUCUUGGAAGUUGACUGGCUCACAAUCAGCAAAGAGGCAAAAGAGAGUGAGAUUAUCAUGUCUCUCAGUUACCUCAUAGAGAUCUUGAAGACUCCUUGCACGUUCUUCGGUUCUUUCAUUUAAGAAAGACGGCGGUGAAUCUCCGCAUGUGGUUGGUGCUGGUGAGAUAGGUGGAGUGGCAGGCUCUUGUUGUUCGUCUACUUGUUUUACCUGUGUAUGAUCAUCUUCUUCAAUGGGAAAGAAGUUGAAGUCAUCCACACCAGAGCCAAAAUCUCAUUCUCCUUCUUCAUCAAAAAUUACAUCUCGACUGAUCACAAUCUUUCCGUUGUUUGGAUUGUAAAGCUUGUAUCCUUUGGAGUUGUUGUCGUAGCCGAUGAAGAUGAACAACUCACUUUUGUCAUCCAGCUUGGCUCUACUUUCGUCUGGUACAUGUACAUGGGCAAUGCUUCCGAAAACUCUUAGAUGGGUGAUGCCAGGUUUUCUUCCACUCCAAGCUUCUUGUGGCGUCUUGCCCCACACGCUUCUUGUUGGAGAUCGAUUGGAUAAGUAGAUUGCACAUGCAACUGCUUCAGCCCAAAAUUCUUUAGGUAGCCUCUUACUCUUAAGCAUGCUUCUUGCCAUGUCGAGGAUGGUUCUGUUCUUCCUUUCUGCAACACCAUUUUGUUGGGGGGAUCUUGGAACUGUCAAAGGGCGUCGAAUUCCAUUUGCUUCACAAAACUCUAAAAAUUCUUUGGAAGUGAACUCUCCACCUCGAUCAGAUCUCAUGGCUUUAAUCUGGUAUCCACUUUCUUUUUCAACUGCAGCUUUAAACUUCUUGAAAGCUUCAAAGACUUCUGAUUUUUGCUUCAAAAAAUACACCCAAGUUUUUCUUGAAAAAUCAUCUAUAAAAAGAAUGAAGUAGUUACUUUUACCAAGGGAGUUUGGCUUGAAUGGACCGCACACAUCAGUAUGAAUGAGCUCGAGUGGCUUCUGAGCUCUUGAGUUUGACUCCUUUGGAAAGCUCUUUCUGAACUGCUUGCCAAGUAAACAUCCUUCACAAAGUUGAUCAGGGUGAUUGAUGUAUGGUAAGCCUUUCACCAUGUUCUUCUUAGAGAGUAGCUCCAGUCCUCUAAAGUUGAGAUGCUCAUAUCGAAGAUGCCAAGUCCAGGAUUGAUCUUUGUGACAGGCUUUGAGACAUUUUGCAACAUCAUUUUGAAUAUUUAAAGGAAACAUUCUAUUCUUUGACAUUCUCACUUUUGUAUUUAGAUUUCCUUUUUCAUCUCUUAGAAAAAGACUAUAAUCUUUUAAGUGAAUAUCAUAGCCCUUUUUCUAAAAGUUGACCUAAACUAAGAAUGUUGCUUUUCAUAUUGGACACAUAGUAAACAUUCGAAAUUAUUUGGUGGCUACCAUCUUUUGCACGAAAAAGAAUGUUACCUCUACCCUUCACUGGUACUUUUGAAUCAUCUCCAAAAGUGACACUGCCAUUCACAAAUUCACUUAGUUGCACGAACAUGCUUCUGUUUCCACUCAUAUGAUUGCUAGCACCUGUGUCAAGAUACCAUGUAUUUUCUUGACCUCCAUUUGUGUCAUUGCGUGCUAGUAAAAGUGUGUCAUCUUCACCAUUUUUCUCUUCAGCAUAGUUCACUCUCUCUUUAAUUCUGGUGCUUGGAGCUCUGCAUUCUGAAGCAUAAUGCCCAAACUUUUGACAAUUAUAGCACUGUACUUGGGAUUUGUCAUACCUCGAUCUUGAAUUGCCUCUGCCUUGUUCUCUGGUUGAGCUUUCUCCUUUGGCAUAAUUGGAGUUGUUGUUGUUGAAAUUCCAACCUCGUCCAUGACCACGACCUCUACCUCGUCCUCGACCUCUACCUCGGACAUAGUGCCUUCUCUCAUUGUCGGAGCUUUCUUCUCUUUUCUUUGGAUUGACUUCCAUCUUGAGAAGUUGUUCUUCGAUUCCUUGCUUCUUUUUUUGUUUUUCUUCAUAGGCUUGCAACCUUCCUUGAAGUUGCUCGAUCGUCAUAUCCUCCAGAUCUCUUGUUUCUUCAAUUGUCAUAACAAUAUGAUCAAACUUCGAGUCUACUGAUCGAAGUAUCUUUUCAAUGAUCCUUACCUCUUUUAACUCCUCGCCAUUUCUUUUUAAUUCAUUGGAAACGGUCACAACUCGAGUAAAGUAGUCAGAAAUUGACUCCGACACCUUCAUGUGUAAGGACUCAAAUUCUCCUCGUAAUGUUUGGAGACGAACCUUCUUAACUUGCUCUGCUCCUUUGUAAGAGGUCUUUAGUUUCUCCCAUGCUUCUUUUGAGGAGGUUGUACCAGCAAUCUUUUCAAAAGCAUCUUCAUCUAAUGAUUGAAAGAUGAGAUACUUUGCUUUAUUCUCUUUCUUCUUCAAGUCUUUUAAAUUCUCCUUCUGCGCCGCAGUUAAAGUGGCUUCAUUUUCUGGCACAAUAAAGCCUUUCUCCACGACAUCCCAUACGUCAUGUGCACUCAAUAGAGCCUUCAUUUUAAUACUCCAAUUGUCAAACUUACUUCCUUUUAAUUGUGGAACUUGAAAUGACAUCAUCAUACCACCGUUUGCCAUAACUCACAAAUUGAGUGAGAAUUUGGAGAUUCUGAAUGCACAGAUGGAUCCGGCACGUCGAAAAACCUUGGGAAGGACUCGAGUCAACUUUCGGUCAACGGUCAACGUCGGUCAACGGUCAACACCGGCUUGGUAGUCUCGGUUCGGUCCGGAUUGGUUCAGCUCGAGUUGGCUCGGUUCGACUUGAUUCGGUUCAGCUCGGCUCGGCUUGGUUCAGUUCGGCUCAGCUUGGUUCAACUCGGUGAGUCGACUCAGCUUCAGGACAUAAAACUUCCGGCGGCAGGUGUGGGCGCGUACGGUCUCGGAUCGGGAUGAUUUUUGCGGCGUCACGUUCCUCUCGUCGAGAUCUUCGAUUUGAUAUGCUAUAUGACUAUAUAUAGCAUCAAACACUAGCUCUGAUACCACUUUGUUGGAGGAUUAACAAUUAAAACACACAAAAAACACACUAUUUUAUUUCUUCAACAACACUCCUCACCAAUUACAACUCUUAUUUUUCACUCUCUACACCUUAGAGAUUUUGCUGCUUCACUUGAUGUUUAAACCAAAGGGGAGAGGGGGUAUUUAUACAUGAAACAAACUAAUCACAACCAUUAAUUUAUUCAACUAAUAAACACAUCCUCACCAUCCAUUAAAACCUACUACUCACCUACUUCACCAACCACACCUAACACACCUAACACAAAUAAUUCAAACCUCACCAACCAUACCUACUCAUGGAACCUUCCAUGAGUUGGGCUUGAUUUAUUCAUCUUGGAUCAAGUUUAUGAUCCAACACCAUUAUCCUAUUACUCUUAUUUUAUCACAUGCAGAGACGUCAACGUUUGAUUCGCACGGAAAAAAAUUUGCGAGGAUUGUGAGGGUUGAUUCAAUAUAAUUUAGAUGCAAAGUGUUUACAAGUGCGAUGCUUCGUAAGUGCACCCGAAUCAUUAUAAACUCACCUUAUUUUCAUAGUGAUUAUUUCAUCUGCAUGUGAAUAUAAUCAUAUGUGGAGAUUUUUUUUUUCCCUAAACGAUGAUCUUCUCUAGUAUUGAGGUGUUAUAUCUUUUAAAUUAUAAUUAUUAUUAGUAAAAAACUGCAACUAUGAAAAAUAAAUUUAAUAUUAUGUCCUGAAUAUAAUUGUUAAAUAAUAAUUUUGACAAAAUUAAUGAAUAUAUACAGAUUUUUUUAUCAUAUAAAUGUAAAAUUAUAUCAACUUAGCUUCUAAGCUAUACAACGGUUACUAUUUACUAAAUACUUUAGUGUCGUAGUUUUUAAGAUAUAUUUAUCCACCCUCAAUCCCAAACAUAACCUGUAAGGAUAAAAAAUUUCAUCCUAAAAAUUAUACGUCUUGUGACUUAUUUAAUUUAUAUUUUUGUUAUUUAUAUUUAUUAAUUAUAGUCAUCUUUUAAUAAAUUACAAUUGAAGGAAGGUGGUUGAUGUUGUCGAGACACACACACAAAGAUAUAUUGGAAGUGCUUAUGUCCACUCGAAGUUGUGGGGAGUUAAUGCAUGUAUUGAUUUAUUGGGAGUGUUAAUGCAUGUAUUGAUUGAUUGAGUGAUUGAAUACUGUUUGAUUGCUUCAUAUCAAUUCUAGAAAGUUUAUUUCUUUGUGAAAUUUCAACGAAACGUGUUUUUUAGAAUAAUAAGGGUGUUUUAAGUAAUUUUAAAAAAUGAAUGGACUAAUUAGAAUUAAUUAUUAGGUAAUUAACUCGAAUUGUAGAGGGUAAGCAAACAUUUAUCCUAAUUAUAUUAUGAUAAAUCCUUUUCCAAUUAGAAUUAGGAAACCAUAGAUAUACUGAAUUUUUUUUUAUUUCCCUUCGCGAAAACGGAUCAGAGAAUUAGAAAACAAUCCUAGUGAUACUAUUGUUAGGUUUAAAACACUGCAUAGAUGGUAAAAACAUUGGAAUUGAUGUAGAUUAAUUUGUUAAUUGCUAUCGUACUGAACAUUGUUUUAUGCAAAUUAAUUUGAGAAUUAGAAAAAAGUUUGUUGCAUGCAAACUUUUUGUUUUAUGCAAAUCGUACUGAACAUUGGGACUGAUGUUUAAGAAAAAAAUUCUGUAGUUAAAGAAAAACAAAAAGGCAUGUUGAAUAGAUUACGAUAGUUUAUUCAAUUGGGAAUUUUUUUUCUUUAAUUUUUGUUGUACUUGAUUGAGAUUUCUCUUUAGUCCUUUCGUACUUCCUUUGUAAGCUGAGUAUAAGGAUGAAAUUCUUUUAAGAAAUUAAAAAAGAAAAAAAAGCAUGCCACUACGCAAUUAUAAAUAACCACAAAUAAAUAUAAACAAAAUGUUUAUGAAGUAAAUUAAACAUGCACAUAUUAUUUUCUUUUAUUUGCUGCUUGGAAACCCAUAAAUGCACUAAUCCAAUAUUACAAUUAAUUUCAAACAGAAAAAAUUGAACUCUAGGCUGCAGUUUGACUCAAAAUGAUGACCACUGGCUUCGCACCAUUCAACCGGUAUACAUUUCUACAAACCGAACAACGCUAUUGAUUUUUAUUUUUUUUUUUAAUUUGUCUAUAAAUUACUAUUUUAAUUUUCACUUUUUAUUGGGUUGUUUAACGGAUUAGUGAAGCUGGUGGUCGUUGAUGCACUCAUAAGGUACAAUUUUAUUUUAGAAUUUCAAAUUCGUAUUUUAAAAUGCAGGCACAUUAUGUAUACAUAAUUAUUGAUUUUCAUAUGUGGGUGUUUUGAAAUAUUGCCAAAAGACCAAACUUUAAUAAACUAUUUUUGAUUUUUUUUUUCCUUUUUACCUAAAGUUGGAGUGAUAUCCGCAUUUUAAAUUCAUGUGGAACAAAGCUAAUGUAAGCACAAAAUUCUUUUAUUUUUUCCGAGAAAAAUGGGUAAGAGAAGAAGAUUUUUCUCUUGAAAAAUGAAAAAAAAUACAAUGCAAGCAUAGGAAAGAGGUCAGUGUUUUGGAUUUGAAUUUAGUAUUGAGCUGAAUUUUAUGCUAAGCUCUUUUAUAGUACUGCGAUUAAUAAGCUAGCUCAGGAUUUGCUUUUGCUUUUACUUCAAGUAAAAGAAAGAGGAAGCCUUUUGUUUUUUUGUUUGAUUUUUGACUAUAUAUGUUACCUAUAUAGAGAGUUGAGGUAGCAGCCUUAAGUGAUGGUGAUAAAAAGAUUAAGCAGUGCACACAAUCUUACUGUCAUCCAGACCAUCCAGUGAUGGCUCUAGUUUUUUUGUUACGUUAGCUUUAGUGGAAAGAAGGGCCAAUUUAACAAAGACUAGAUUUGGUGGCUUACUAUGUUUAAUGUAAUGCUUAUUCUCAGCGCACACAAUCUUACUAUGUUUAAUGUAAUGGUUAUGUUGAAUGAUCUUCUAUGAUUGUGAGUAGUAUAGUAUAAUUGAAAAGGGCCUGGGCUCCUAUGAUGAAUAACAGUAACACAUUACUGUGAUUGAGAAAACUCAGUUCCAAUAAACUCUUCAUUUACUCAUUGCGGAGAUCGAAUGGCAAACAGAGAAUAGAAUGAAGCAGAAGAAUCUCAUUGUUAGGUUUUGAUGAUUUCAGAUGCUUUUUUUUUAAAAAAAAAUUGUGACAUCUUUGAUUUACGGCAGUUUUGCAGAAAAAAAAAACAUAUAAAAAUUAAGAGGGAUGAGUUAACUGACGAUUACAAUCAUUACAGCAAUGCUGAUGAGUGAUAUAUCACUUGAAAUUUACUUGUCAGUUGCUGAAAUGAUGAAAAAAAACCAACAAACGAUAACAGUAAUAAUGUUCCCUUGCUGAAAUUCAAUUUUGACUUUCGACUCUUGGCUUUUAUGGAGAGUAAAAUGACUUGUAUAUUAUACUCAUACAAUCCACUCUACAUAAUGAUAUCGUUUUAAUAAGGCAAUGGCUGAUGAUCUCCAUUUAAAAACUACAUCAAUUUUUUUGCUUCAUUUAACUUUUUGGUUGUUGAAAAUAACCUUAAUUAUCAAAUAAUUGGAGAAAGAGUUAAGAACAUUUAACAAAUUUAUGUGCAAAAAAAAAAAAAAAAGGAAGAAGUUGAAGAGAAAGGGUGCUUGCAGAAGUGGGUGUCAAAGAUAAAUCGGUCCAUAAGAAUUAUUGUGGUUAUUUUUUGGCAAUAUAAAAAUUUUUUAGCAAGUAAAAAUAAUUUUUUUUCCGAUUUACUAAAAAAUUAACUAAAAACUUCUGCGAUGUCAUUUUUUAUGGGUGCAUAUACCCUCCCUUUAAAAAAUUUAUAAUAAUUACUGCUUAAUAUAGUAUUAAAUACGAAAAAUAUCAAUAUUUGACUACUCAAAUUUAUAUCAUUAGGUCCUUAAAAUUUAAAAUGGAAGAUAUGAAAGGAAAUAUAUAUAAAUUUCAUUGUCCUGGGAAAGGACCCUCUUAUUAUCUUAUAAUAUUUGAAAUUUGAUAGAUUUUUUGAAACAAAUGUACUUUUAUUUGUGUACAAUCAAUAUUUACUCAUUUAUUAUAUUUUAAUUUAUUAACUAUCAAUCAUGUAAGUAUACUUAGUCAAAAAAAUUAUAUCAAGAGAGAAUUCUAAUUUCACGCAAAAACAAAUACCAAAACAAAUAUCUCAAUUUCUAUACUAUUCACUUUCCUGUAGAAUCAAUUAUUUAAAAUGCAAGUUUGUGGCUACAGAAAACUCGCCAAAGAAAGAAGAUAAUAACAAUUGAGCAUUGAUGGCAAAACUAAUGCAUCCAAUUCUUCUUGACUUGAUGAGAUGGCGCCAUAACGUAGAAACAAGUACCUAAAUUGACCGGCACUGAGUGGUGUGAAUACUACCAGCCAGUUCAUCUCUUCCAGUCUUGCUUAAUCACAAUCACAAACACCACGAGAUCGACAUUUGCAUUAUAUAUAUCUUCUGCAAUCGAAACACCUUGCAUUACCAAAUAAGCCCGUAACAGACAAAGCAAUCUUUCAUGGAGAGAAACCUUAGUCUCAGUAUGAUCACUGUGUCAUUAACGUACUGCCUGCUUCUUUGCUUGGUUGCUGCAGCAGCAGCAGCGGCAAGCAACAAUAUUACCACAGACCAACAAGCUCUUCUUGCCCUGAAAGAUCAUAUAAUUUAUGAUCCGACCAGCCUUUUAGCUCACAAUUGGACCUCGAAUACCUCUGUUUGUACCUGGAUUGGCAUCACUUGUGAUGCCAAUAGCCAUAGAGUCACAACCUUAGAUAUUUCUCAAUUCAAUCUACAAGGCACCAUCCCUCCUCAACUUGGGAACCUCUCUUCACUCACAACACUUAAUCUUAGUCAUAACAAGCUUUCUGGAAACGUUCCCUCCUCCAUCUACACCAUGCAUACGCUAGAAUUUCUUGACUUCACUGAUAACCAGCUCUCUGGUUCAGUGACUUCCUUCGUCUUGAACAUGUCUUCAAUAUUAGACAUUCGUUUGACCAAUAACAGACUUUCUGGUGAGCUUCCGAAAAAUAUUUAGAGCUAUCUUCCUCAUUUGAAAGCCCUUUUUUUGGACAAAAACAUGUUUCAUAGCAAACUUCCUUCUGCUUUAUCAAAGUGCAAACAACUGCAACAAUUAAAUUUGAAGUUCAAUAAUUUAUCCGGUGCAAUACCAAAAGAAAUCGGCAACUUGACUAUGCUCAAAGGGAUAGACCUCGGCUACAACAAACUCCACGGUAUGUUCAUAAUACUAUACAAAUAUUAUCUUUCUUGAAUACUUUAGAUAAGAUCUUGUAUGUGAGAUUUUUUUGCAUCUAUAUUAAUUUUCCAGGUGAGAUACCGCACGAAAUCGCUAAUCUUCCAAAUCUAGAGGCUUUAGCGCUUGGAAUGAACAACCUAGUUGGUGUGUUACCAGCUCCAAUCUUCAACAUGUCAACACUGAAUGUACUUAUCCUCAUAAAUAACUCUCUCUCCGGUAGUCUUCCAUCAAGAAUGGACCUUUCACUUCCAACUAUUGAGCAUCUUAACUUUGCACUUAAUAGAUUUUCUGGAACAAUUCCUAGUUCCAUAACCAAUGCUUCUAAGCUCACAUUUCUAGAGUUGGGAGGAAACACAUUUUCGGGCUUUAUUCCAAACACAAUUGGUAAUUUAAGAAACCUUGAGUUGUUCGGCUUGGUUUUUAACUACUUGACAUCUUCGAGCUCAAAAUUGAGCUUUCUUUCCUCUUUGGCAAAUUGCAAGAAAUUAAGAGUCAUAGGCUUAACAGGCAAUCCACUCAACGGCAUCCUUCCAAGUUCAGUAGGUAAUCUUUCUAUGUCUUUGAAAACACUUCACAUCGCCAAUUGCAGUAUUAGUGGCAACAUUCCUCCAGCAAUUAGCAAUUUAAGCAACUUGUUGGCCUUAGUAUUAGAAGGCAAUAAAUUGACUGGACCAAUCCCAACUACAUUCGGCCAACUACAGAAACUCCAAGGCUUAGAUCUCGCAUUCAAUAAGUUGGUAGGUUCAUUCCCAGAUGAGCUUUGCCAUCUAGCUAGGCUGGAUGAAUUGGUCUUAUUUGGCAAUAAGCUUUCAGGAUCUAUACCUUCAUGCUUAAGUAACCUCACUUCUCUGAGAUCUCUCCACUUAGGGUCCAAUAGGUUUACUUAUGUCAUUCCCUCAACUUUCUGGAGCCUAAAAGACAUCUUGUUCUUUGACUUUUCAUCAAAUUUCUUGGUUGGUCCUCUUUCUUUAGACAUAGGAAAUUUGAAGGUGCUUCUAGGAAUAAAUUUAUCAGAAAAUAACUUAUCGGGUGAUAUGCCAGCCACAAUUGGAGGACUAAAAAACCUUCAAAUUAUGGACCUAACAUAUAAUAGACUGGAAGGGCAAAUUCCUGAAUCAUUUGGUGACUUGACAAGUUUGGAGGUUUUGAAUUUGUCAAAUAAUAAAAUCUCUGGGUCUAUUCCAAAAUCCAUGGAGAAACUCUUUUACCUUCGAGAGUUAAAUCUCUCUUUCAAUGAACUAGAAGGUGAGAUUCCUAGUGGAGAAAUUUUUACCAACUUCACAGUUGAGUCAUUUAUGGGAAAUGAGUUAUUGUGUGGUUUACCAAAUCUUCAAGUCCAACCAUGCAAACUUAGCAAGCCAAGGACAGAACAUAAAUCAAGGAAAAAGAUACUUCUCAUUGUGAUUGUUUUGCCAUUGAGUAUUGCUCUAACAAUAGCAAUCACUCUACCUCUCAAAUCUAAGCUGACCAAAUGUGGAAAAAGAUGCACAGUGUUGUCAAAUGAUAGUGUCUUGUCAUCACAAGCAACACUAAGAAGAUUUUCAUACUUAGAACUUUUACAAGCAACAGAUAAUUUUGCUGAAAACAACGUAAUUGGCAUAGGUGGUUUUGGUUCUGUUUAUAGAGCAAGACUUGAAGAUGGGAUGAAGAUUGCAAUAAAAGUGUUUCACCAGCAAUGUGCAAGCGCAUUGAAGAGUUUUGAGGCUGAAUGUGAAGUGUUAAAAAAUAUUCGCCAUCGAAAUCUUAUCAAAGUUAUCAGCAGUUAUUCAAACAAUGACUUCAAAGCAUUAGUCCUAGAAUACAUGUCCAACAGGAGCUUGGGGGAUUGGUUGCAUUCCAGCAAUUAUAUGCUGAAUAUAUUUCAAAGGUUGAACAUAAUGAUUGACGUUGCAUCAGCUUUGGAAUAUCUCCACUUCGAUCAUUUACCUCCUAUUAUUCAUUGUGACUUAAAGCCUAGUAAUGUAUUGUUGGAUGAAAAUAUGGUUGCUCAUUUGAGUGAUUUUGGCAUAGCAAAGCUUUUAAUUGGGGAGGAUGUGUAUGUCAUGCGAACAAAAACCCUUGCCACUAUAGGUUACAUCGCACCAGGUUUGCUUCAAACAACUUUUUUUUAGUUCAUUUUAAAUUUUCUAAAUCAUUGAUUUUUACGAUCCUCAUAUCAAAUUGUUAUUGAUUAUUUAUCUAAUUGUGAAAUUAAUUUGAUUCAUAGAGUAUGGCAUAGAAGGAGAAAUAUCUACAAAAAGUGAUGUUUACAGCUAUGGGAUUAUGUCGAUGGAAACUUUUACCAAGAAAAAACCCACAGAUGAAAUUUUUGUUGGAGAAUUGAGCUUAAAGCGUUGGGUUGAUGACUUGCUUCCUGAUUCAUUAGUGGAAGUUGUGGACAAAACUCUAGUAAGUGGAGAGGAAAAACAUUUUGCCGCAAAGGAGCAAUGUCUGUUGUCUAUCUUUAGUUUGGCUCUGGAGUGUACAAUGGAAUCACUGAAAAAGAGGAUCAAUGCAAAAGAUAUUGUUACCAGAUUACUCAAGAUAAGAGACACAUUGAGUAAAAGGAUAGGAAAUUUAAGUUAAUAUCGUUUGCUUUCAUUGAUAGUUAUUUUGAAUUCAUGUAAUAAGUGUACGAACCUUAUAUCUUUUCCUUUGAUAUUUUUUUCCUUGAGAAAACUAUUGUAGUCAUCUUAUUUCCAUGGGCAGAGUUGAUUUAGUUCUUCCAAGAAAUGCUACUGAUGACCUUUGUUUUAUACUUUCUCUUUUUUUGCAUGUGUUUAGGUAGAACAGUGGUUUGGCUGCAGGCUAAGAAGACUAACUACACUAAAAGAAUAUGAUUUAAUUUAUUAAACAAAACUUCAAGAAAAGUAUUUCACUGCCCCCAAUGCUUUGGACACCUACUGGUGGGUUUGUACGUGUCCUCAACUUUUUUUUGGAGCACAAAAUUCGAGUCCCAUGGAGACUCAAACAUUCCUUUCCCACAUCUCGAGCACGCUAAAUUUAUCAGACUGACAACUGGGACAUAUACAAGAGUGAAAUGUUUAGAGCACUCUAAGUUCGAGUGAAAGAGAUUAAUUUACAGAAAAUAAAGCCAAGGGUUCAGAAAAAAGUGCAAAGAGAAUAAAGGAACGUCUGAGCUAUUUAAAGCUUCAUGGAAAGUUGAAGGCUCUCCAUAUUUUGUUAGAAGAUAGUAUGCAACAUUGAUCUCUGUGACAUACUCCGAGUGCCACGUUGGCGGUCGUCUCUCACGAGUUGACCGACGAAUUUCUUGAGCCUCGGACUCGACUAGUUCUUGUUCCUCGUGCUCUGGUGCUGCUUCAGAAGAAUUUGAAUCUUUUGAAUUAUUUUUCACAUAUACCGGUACAGUCUCUGACUUUUCUUUUACAGUGCUAUCAUCCUCAUCUUUCCUUUGCAAUUGAUCUUCUAUAAAAAUAACAUCUCUGCUGAUGACGAUCUUGUGGGCAGUGGGAUCCCACAGACGAUACCCUUUUACUCCAUCAGCAUAUCCCAAGAAGAUACAUCUUCUAGAUUUUGCAUCCAGUUUUGUUUUUUCUUGAGCAUUGUACAUCACGUACACAGGACAUCCAAAUGUAUGUAGGUAGGAAUAAUCAGCUGGCUUUCCAGUCUAUAUCUCCAUCGCUGUCUUCAGCCCAAUUACUGUAGAUGGUGAUCGAUUUACUAUAUAACAGGCAGUUUUGGCUGCUUCUACCCAAAAUGAAUUGGGUAGACCAGCAGUCCUCAACAUAGCUCUUAUCCGUUCUGUAAUAGUUCUAUUCAUCCGCUCUGCCACUCUAUUUUGUUGAGGAGUGUAUGCCACCGUGAACUGUCUCUGAAUACCUUCUUGCUUACAGAAAACAAGAAACUCGCCGUCUAUAUACUCUCCACCAUUAUCUGUCCUCAAGCACUUGAUCUUUUUACCAGAUUCAAGUUCUACCGUGCUUUUAAACACUGGAAAUACAUCUGACUUUUUCUUAAUUGGAUACACCCAACAUCUUCUGGAAUAAUCAUUAAUGAAAGUCACCAUGUACUUUGCACCUCCCAUGGAUAUAUCCGGUGAUUCCCAAAUAUCAAAAUGAAUCAAGUCUAUAAUGCAUUUACUUCUAGCAAUAGAUCUACUGAAUUUUAAUUUAUGCUGCUUACUUGUAACACAAUGCUCGCAAAAUGGUAAACUUACCGAUUUGAGCCCCGGAAGCAAUUUUCGCUCAAAGAGAAUCUUCAAUCCUUGUUCUGACAUGUGGCCAAGUUUGAGAUGCCACAUCAUCGUUGACUCUUCUCCAUUUGACGCGACACAUGCAUCAGCCUCUUGUAGUGUUUCUCCUUUAAGCAUGAAUAAAUUAGCACCGAUCUUUUCUGCCUUCAUCAAUACAAACGCACCUUUAACGAUCUUCAUAAUUCCAUUCUCCACAUGAGUUUUGUACCCAUGACUAUCCAUUUGUCCCAAAGGUAAAAGAUUUUUCUUCAGGCCGUUGACAUGUCGUACCUCCCUAAUUGUGCGAAUUGUACCAUCAAACAUUUUUAUUUUGAUAGUACCAAUACCAACGAUCUCCAAGGCAUGAUCAUUACCCAUAUAUACAGAUCCUCCUGAGAUAGGUUCAUAUGUGUGGAACCAUUCUCUCCGAGAGGUCAUGUGUCAGGUAGCUCCUGAGUCUAUAAGUCAGACAUCAGAUAGUCGUUUUCUGCCUUCUAAAACAGUUGUUGCCUCGCUGUAGAGAAUUUCGCCAUCAUCCGAGGUACUUACGACACAACCCUGAGCAUUUGAUGACUUAGGUUCUUUGCCCACUCUUGUCUUCUAAUUACUCCAACACUCUUUCUUGACGUGCCCUUUCUUGCCACAGUUGUAGCAUUUAACAUUCUUCUUACUUCUAGAUUUUGAUCUACCAUGAUUUUGACUCCCAUUGGGGCCACGUUCCGUUGAUCUCCCUCUCGUCACCGAUAGCGCCUCCGCUUGCUGCGAACUUGCUUGUCUGUUUUUCUUAUUUUUUCGUCUGCUUUCCUCAUUUAAUACAGAGGCUGCAACAUCGUCGAAAACUAGACUGUCCACUGGAUUGCUGUUCGUUAGGUUGAUGAUGAGUUGAUCAUACGAAUCUGGUAGACUUUGAAGUAGAAGCUCUGCACGUUCAUUCUCCUCUAUAUUAUGACCCAACGUUGUAAGUUGUGAAAAUAGAGUCUUCAAGGUGUUGAUGUGAUCGGUUACCAUUAUAGAUUCCGCCAUUUGAAGAGUAUAAAGUUUCCUCUUCAAGAAGAUUUUGUUGUGUAGUGACUUGGCCUCGUACAAUUUUGUGAGAGUAUCCUAAAUUUCCUUCGCUGUAUUUUUCUUUGCCACACUGGAUAAUACUCCGUCUGCAAGUGCCAAGUGUAGAUCAGAAAUGGCAUUGCCAUCUAUCUCGUUCCACUUGUCAUCAGUUAUCUCCAUGGGCCUUUCUCCAAUUGCUUCCAAGUAAUUAUUUUUCCUCAAUACAACUUUCAUCUUAAUUUUCCACAACGAAAAAUUAUUUUCGUUAAAUUUCUCAAUUUCAUACUUUGCUGUCAUUUUGUUGAUAAAUAUUGUACACAAACUAGUGUAUCACCUUGAAUAGUUGUGAGUAUGUGUAAGAAUGCACACCAGAAAAGUUCCUAGGAAAGACUGGAGGGGUCACAAUAGUCCCACUUAAAACUCAGACUCCUUAAGCUCUUAUCGCCUUUGUGACAGAACUUUCCUAGACAUGUAUAAAACCACACAAUUGCUUUACUCACACCACUAUUCCCUGCUUUGUACCGCCAAAUUCUUCGAUCGCUCCCACCGUUUCACGUGAAUAGUACUGUAUACGUGAACAGUACCGUGUACGUGAAUAGUAUCCCUUACGUGAACAGUACCCAACUCUAAAAAAUACAAUAAAUAGCUCUGAUACCACUGUUAGGAAAUUGGUGGGUGAAGCAGGACCGCAGCUAAUAUGAAAUUGGAAGAAAAUAAAGAACAAGGACAAAAAGAGGAUACCAGAAAUUACGUGGUUCGGCUUUUAACCUACGUCCACGGGCGAAAACAGAAGGAAAUAUUUUACUCGUAAAAAGGAGUUACAAGUAUUGUAGUAUUUUAGCUCACUUUCCAAAAUCCCAAUACACCCAAACUCUCAAAACACUAAAACAAGAGCUUAUAAUUUCAAGCUCUCUAAACUCUCUCUAAAUACAAGAAAACUCUUCUCAAAAUUGGAUAAGCAAAUGAGGGAAUGAGCCCCUCUAUUUAUAGCCAAAAUCUUGGCUACUAUUCACUUUUUUUUAAAAAUUAUUUAUUAUUGUUCAAAAUUUCAACAUUCAAAGUUUGAUAUUCAAACUUUGAAUAUCUAGAAUUUUGAAUUUGAUAUUCAAAGUUUGAAUAUCUAGAAGUUUGAAUUUGAUAUUCAAAGUUUGAAUAUCAAGACACCCAAUCUUGACACUAAAUUCACCAGACUGACAACUGGGGCAUAUAGAAGAGCGAAAUAACUGGGACAUAUACAAGAGUGAAAUGUUUAGAGCACGCUAAGUUCGAGUGAAAGAGAUUAAUUUACGGAAACUGAAGCCAAGAGAAUAAAGGACAACACUUACGUGAAGCGACAUAAUUGUAUUGAAAGCACAAUGUCAAAUUCAUACGGAGAUCUAGUAUAUUAUUUACAGCUGGUGAGGGCUAAGAAUUGAUGUAGCUAGAAUACAAAGACGAUAAGGUAUGUUGUGCACUAUUGUUUUAUUCUACGAUCAAUCUUGACCCUUGAUGCUUGGCUCUCAAUCUUGUCCAUUGAUCUUCUUUGAUUUUGGACACUUCAAGACCUUUCAGUAUCAUUCCUUGUUGUUGGUGUCUUCCGUGCUGUAGAAUUCAUAUACAAGCCUUCCCGCCGACUUGCCAAGUAUUCGUUCAUUGAUGCAUUUUUAUCAAACAGCUGGGCUACUUAUGCCAAACACCGCCUGGUUUAACUCCCCCUCUCUAGCUCAACUAUCUGGGAAGACAAUUAAUUGAGAUAUGAAUCAGAAAAUUAAAUUUUAAAAAUUGUAUUCGGACUCUACAUUUUGUAAUGAACAUUGGUUUGACUUGUUAUACAUUUAUGCGUACAUAAUUAAUAACCGAUUCUCAAGUGCGGACAUUCAAGAGCACUGCUUAAAGACCAAAUAUUUUGAUUUACUAUUUUUUGUCUUUCAAUUUUCUUUUAAGUUCUGAUGACGUCCGCAUUUUAAAAUCCUGUGGAACAAAGGCCUGACGUGCAUAUAAAAUUCUUUUAUUUUUUCAGAGGAAAAUGGGUUAGAGAAGAAGAUUUGGCAAAAGAAUUGCAACGGCAUUUGAAACUAGUCUUCGUCUUUUAAUUCUUUUAUAUUUGUUUUUGUUAUUGAUGUUAGCUUGGAUGUGAACCCGUGUGACUGAAUUCAACUUAUAUUUGUUUUUGUUAUUGUUAUUAAUUUUAUUUGUUUUUGUUAAAUUGGACCACCAACAAGGGCGGUCCAUUAUCAAAUCAACACGGUUUAAUUAUUAUUAUUUCUACACUUUUUUUAUGAACAAAUAUAAAAUAAAAGGACAUUUACACCCUCAAUUUUAGUGAAAUAGUCAUUAACACCCCUAAAUUUUUAAAAGUAGACAUCAAGAUCAUUUUUUUACCUUAAUACUCUUAUACGGUACCUCUAUUAUUCCCAAAAAUUGAUUCUAAUGUUUUAUAAUAAAUAAAAAUAAAACAUUAAAAUAAAUGUAAUAACAUAUAUAUUUUAAAAUAAUUUCAAUAUUUAAAAAAUAUUUUUAACAUUUUACAAUCUAUUAACUAUAUUUUAUUAUAUUGAAGUAAAUUUUAUAAUAAAUAGAAUCAUAUUAUUAAAAUAAAUGUAUUAAAAUUUAAAUGAUUUUGAAUAUCAUGUACAAUAAUAAUUUUAACAUUACUAAUAUGUCAGAUUUUUUUUUAAGAAUGUAUUUAGUGCAAAUAUUUCUUUCAAAUCUCCACAAUAAAUAAAAGAUUAAAAUAAAUAUAAUAAUUUACAUAUCUAAAUUUAUUAAAAUAUUUUAAUAUUGUUAGUCUACUGCAUAGAUCACAAUAUUUAUAUAAUAUUUGUAUUUAUUAAAAACUUUAAAAUCAAUUCUUUUGAGAAUAAUAGAGGUAAAGGGUAUAAUGGUCAAAAUGGGGACUUUGUACUCCUUUUUGAAAACUUGAAGGUGUUGGUGGCUAUUUUUCCAAACCUUCAGGGUGUAGAUGUCAUUUUUCCACAAAUAUAUGAGAAAAUUAUCAAGAAAUACAGUAUCUGAACUCUGAAGUAACAAGGAUCACCUUUUAUGAAAUCGAUUGCUUUUCAUGAUAGACUGUUACUAUUUUUCUACAAUAGAUUGAAUUUAGUAAAAAAUUGAUUAAGAUGUCUACUCAUGGAGAGUGAAAUUUAUGUUCAAUACUAAUUUCAACAUGCAUGCACCACCGAACGUGUUUCUCACGGAAAAGUUGCUUGGAUUUUUGGGACUUCCUGUUCAAAUAUUCAACACGGCAUGCACCACGCGAUUGAACAUGCAAAAGUAGGGGUCUAUUAUCAUUUCCAGCAUUAUAGAAAUCUUAAUUUUGUUCAUUAUUUAUUUUGAUCAGCACUGUUGAAUCUCCAUGUAUUGCCAAUCACUGGGAAACAACAUAUUCUUAUUAAUUAUAUCCUCUAAUGGAGAGAACUCAUUGUCUCAGUGUAAGAUCACUGUGUCAUUAACCCACAGCCUGCUGAUUUGCUUGGUUGCUGCAGCAAGCAAAAAUAUUACCACAGAUCAAAAAGCUCUUCUUGCCCCAAAAGAUCACAUAACUUAUGCUCCAACCAAUCUUUUGACCGAAAAUUGGACCUCAAAUACCUCUGUUUGUACGGGGAUUAGCAUCACUUGUGAUGUCAAUAGCCGCAGCCUUGGAUAUUUCUCAAUUCAAUCUACAAGGCACCAUUAUUCCAAACACAACUGGUAAUUUAAGAAACCUUAAGUGGCUCGGCUUGGCUUAUAAACUACUUGACAUCUUCAACUUCAAAAUUGAGCUUUCUUUCCUCUUUGGCAAAUUGCAAAAAAUUAAGAAUCUUAGGCUUACUGGAAAUCCACUUGACCGUAUCCUCUCACGUUCAAUAGGUAAUCUUUCUAUGUCUUAGGAAAGAUUUCACGUCGCCAAUUGCAGCAUUAGUGGCAGAAUUCCUCAAGUAAUCAGCAAUUUAAGCAACUUGUUGGCAGUUGUGCAAAAUUUUAAUAUACUCGCAAGUGCACGAAUCUAGAAAUAGAAUAAUGGUAAUGAGGUCAAACCCAUAGGGAUUGUUUUAAAAUGACAAAAGAAUAGCUGCUGGUCUAGAGGUGGCUUACUACAUUCAUACAAGAUCGUUUCUUGUUCUCUAAGAUGUGCAUUAUACUAAUAAUGCUAUACAAACUUAUCCAAAGGUCUAUUAAUUAAUUCAUUAAUCCAACGGCUUGUUAGGUUGUCCUUUCAUCCAUACAGCUGCAUGCUUGUCUUCAUAUACACUGAUCUUAUCCUCUAGAUCUGUUCAGGCUGAGUGAUCUCUCACAUUUGCCAUAUCAGAAGAUUACAUGCCAGUAAUGUCAUGUGAUGACCUGUUGCUUGGUGAUGUCGAAUGCCUGGCCUUUACUUCUCUGAGCAAAUUGAUCAAACAAUUUGUUCAUUUUAUCGAACACCUUCACCAACUAACAUUUUAUUUACUUUGGAUGGUUUUUAAGUGCAUUUAAUGAUUAUUUUUGCUCCAACUUCAGAUAAACCAAACGCCAGUAUAUUAGAAGAAGAAGUUAACUGGCAGCUAACCAGGUCAAAAUAGCGACUCUAUAUAAAAAAAAUAUAUAAAAUAAAAAAAUGGGACUUUAUUUAAUUAAUUGUUGGUCUAAAGCUGUUGGUAUCCGUUGGCCACGUUUCUGAAGAGUCAUCUCAAAUCGAAAUUUUUAACGAACAAAGGACAUUGCUGCUGGCUGCCGCCCGUGAGAUAAAAGUGCUAAAAUCCAAAAUGUUCCACCAUCAUUUAUUCUAAUUUUAAUUUUCCAAUGGAAAAAAUUACAUAAUUAAAAUGGCUUCUAAUAUCAUUUCCACACCUCAAUAUGUGUCACUAUCAUAAAGUUGUUCUCAUGAUUCAUGGAAAAUUUGGAUUACAGCACCUGUACUUUCUGAUGGUUCAUUAUUUAUUCUCAGGAAUCGAGUCUCCUUACAUUACCAAACUAAUAACAAACAGGAAUCUUUUAUCCUUUCACGGUGAGAAAUUACAGUCUUCGUAUGAUCGCAGUGCCAUUAACCCACUGCCUGCUUCUUUACUUGGUUGUUGCAGUAGCAGCAGCAAGCUACAUUACCACAGACCAACAAGCUCUUCUUGCCCUGAAAGCUCAUAUAAGUUAUGAUCCAACUAAUCUUUUGGCUCAAAAUUGGACCUCAAAUACCUCUGUUUGUAACUGGAUAGGCAUUACUUGUAAUGUCAAUAGCCAUAGAGUUACAGCAUUUGGAUGAAUUUUUAUUGAAACCUUUCUGAGAAGUAGGACAUGUCAGACAUCAAAGCACUGAGAUAUCUUCAAAUAGUGGUAACCCCACUCAUCAAGGCACAAUAAAUUAUACAGAUAAAAUCCUCCACUCUUUCGUAAUCAUCGGUGUAGGCACGGUGAUGCGUCGGACAGAUAUGGGUCGGAUCCACUCCAGCUCCAUAUCAAGAUUCAUAAACCAUGACAAAAAUAGAGAAUCAUAGGUGUUGCAGAUAGUGAUGGUUGUUGAUGCACUCGUAAUUUAAAAUUUUAUUUUAUAUCUUCAAGUUCGCAUUUUAAGUGUACAUUUUUUUUUUAUUUUGUGAUCAAUAUAACUUGUCAAAUCUAUUUUUAAAUAAUUUUUUAAAACAUUUUAUUAACAAUGAUAUGAAAAUAUUCGACCCCUUUUCAUAGUAAAGUGAAUUAUUAUCCGACAAUCCAACUCAUGUUUUCAAAUUGUAAAUUGCAAAUCGUGUGUUUGCUCCUGUUAGAGUGCAAUUUAUGCACUAGUUUUGCAUUGUUUACUUCCCUUAAUAUCGAUGUUUUGCACUUAAUAAUAAUGAUUUACUUGUGUUUUACUUUUGUAGGUGCAAUUCUAUUGAUUUGUGAUAAAAUUGAGCUAUAAGAUGAUGUUUAAAGAUGAUUGUUCUCUUGGAGAAAUGAUGAGCGUCAGAAGAACUUUGUUGAUAAGGCGUGAGCGCGUGCUGUCAACUACGGGCCUGCUGUUUUUAGUUUAACGUGUUUUGUAUUUUUGGUUAUUUUUGUAAUUACGAAUUUAAUAUUUCAGAUAUUAGUAUUUUAUUUUAAAUAGAAUUCUAGAGGAGAAGAGAGAGAGAGUAUUUAAGGGAGGAAUCUAUUGUGAAAAAAGGGGAUUUUGGAUUGGAGGAAAAGAAAAGAAACCCUAGAUCUAAUUUUUCUCUUCUCUCUAUGAAGAACUAAACUUAUUUUUCUGGUUGAAGGAUAAUGAAGCUUUGAUUCAUCACUACUGUGAGAUCUUUCUUGUGCUUUAAUUGUUUUAUUGCUUUUUGGGUAUUUGUUUAUUCUCUGAAUUAUUUUCAUGAUUAUGUUUGUUAAUUAGAUAAUUGGCCACUAUUUAAUUAUCAACUUAAUCUAUUGUUAAUUAAAGGAUUUAUCGUAUGAAGAAUUUAAUGUUUGUGACAAAUAACAUAGCAGAGAGUUGUGUUGUGAGAAUAAACAAUCUAAUUUAAAUGAAUCAUCAUAUGUGUUGAUUAGGAUUUAGGUCUCUCUGGUUUUUCAGGCUGUCAAUUGAUUAAAUCCUAUGAUCGUAUCUAGGGUUGUCCAUUGAUUAGGGAAAUAUCCAACGGUCGUACCUUGGUUAUCGACUAAUUAAGGAGAGAUUGGCUAUUAGAGGGUCUCAGUAGCUAUAACCGGUCUAUUCAUAAGUAAUAAUAAUUUAUAUUUGAAUCAAUGAUCAGUAGUCGAAUCAAGCUGAGUUAAUUCCUUCAACCGGAGCUUUCUCCAAUUUGAAUUACAACUUUAAUUUGCAUUCUUGUUAUUUUAAUUUGAUUUUUAUUAUUGUCAACAAUUCCCCCAUUUUACGUUUUACGUUUCAAAAGGAUUUAAAUAAUUACCGAUCUCUGUGGACACGACCCUGCUCAAUCACUAUACACAAUUUAUUUAGAGUAGGAAUUUAUUUUUGUUGGCUUCGACAACCAUCAAAUUUUGGCACUGUUGCCGGGGAUUGGUGUCAUUUAUUUAAUCCUUUUUACGUUUUACUUGGUGUAUGAUUCGUUCUUCUCGUACAGGUACACUUUCGUUUGAUCCUGAAAUUGAGAAGAUAGCUCGCCACCUGAGACAGCAGACGAAGCGAGCUAAGCAACGAUCCUCGUCACCUUUGCUUUCUGAAACAGAUACGGUGCUUGAUUUAGUUGAAUCAUCUAGCGAUUCGGAAGAACAAGUGAUGGAUAGAGUUGCACCUGUAGAAAGAACUCUUAGAGAGUUAGCUGAACCAGACUUGAAUCAACAACCACUCUGCAUUCAAUAUGUAGACUUGGAGGUAAAUUUUGAAUUAAAGUCUGGUCUUAUUCAUUUAUUACCCAAGUUUCGUGGUUUUGCAGGUGAAGAUCCUCAUAAACAUCUUAAGGAGUUUCAUGUUGUGUGUUCAAGUAUGAGGCCACAAGGCGUGACUGAAGAGCAGAUUAAGCUGCGUGCUUUUCCGUUCUCUGUAGAUGGGCUAGCUAAAGACUGGUUGUACUACUUGCCUCCUGGAUCGAUUACAACGUGGAAUGGUUUGAAGAAGCAAUUCCUCGAGAAGUACUUUCCUACUUCAAGAGCUGCCAACAUCAGAAAAGAUAUUUGUGGGAUCAGACAACUUCCUGGGGAGACUUUGUAUGAGUAUUGGGAGCGAUUUAAACAAUUGUGUGCCAGCUGUCCUCAGCAUCAGAUUUCUGAUCAACUUCUUAUUCAAUAUUUUUACGAAGGACUGUCAUUGAUGGAUAGGAGUAUGAUAGAUGCUGCUAGUGGAGGCGUGUUGGUGAACAAGACCCCUACUCAAGCAAGGGAGCUGAUAUCAAAUAUGGCUGCCAAUGCACAACAAUUUGGCAGCAGGCAAGAUCCCACUUCAAGGAAGGUAAAUGAGGUAAAUAUUUCUUCUGUUGAACAACGUUUAGAUAAACUUACUUCUCUUGUGGAAAAGUUUGUUGUAGGUAAUGUGCAACAUAUGAAGACUUGUGGCAUUUGUUACAAUAUGGGUCAUUCAAUUGAUAUGUGUCCUACACUUCAAGAAGAACCCGUUGAACAAGCCAAUGCAAUUCAAGGAUUUCCAGGCAUGCCUCAGAGGAGGUAUGAUCCUUAUGCACAAACAUACAAUCCGGGAUGGAAGGAUCAUCCCAACUUCAGCUAUGGAGUUAGGCCGUCAGGAUUCCCACAACAGUAUCCACCAAGACAACCAGCACCUCCACAGUCAAACUCCAAGUCAGGUAUAUCUCUUGAAGAAAUUGUUAAAUCACUUGCGACUAACACUCAACAAUUUCAGCAGGCAACUACAGCAAGCAUUCAGAAUUUGGAGAACCAAAUGAGUCAAUUGGCGAUUACAGUGAGCCGUCUGGAGUCUCAAGUAUUAGGGAGAUUGCCUUCACAAUCUGAGGUGAAUCCAAAGCAAAACAUUAGUGCUGUCAUCCUUAGAAGUGGGAAGGAGUUGCAAGAGCCUAGUAAGAAAGUGACAAAGCAUGUAGAAGAUGAGUUUGAGAAGAAUGAAUUGAUGCCUCAAUCUCAAGAUGUGGAACCCACCAGAGCGAAACCCCUACCUAUUGUGAUACCUCCUCCUUUUCCAAGCCGGUUUGCAAAAUCCAAGAAGGAGGAACAAGAGAAAGACAUCCUUGAGACAUUUCGCAAGGUUGAGGUAAAUAUUCCUUUAUUAGAUGCUAUAAAACAAAUACCUCGAUAUGCUAAAGUCCUUAAGGAACUGUGCACCUCCAAGAGAAAAUUAAGAGGAGAUGAAAAAGUUCACAUGGGGGAGAAUGUUUCAGCAGUUCUCCAAAAGAAACUACCUCCUAAGUGCAAGGAUCCAUGUAUGUUUACUAUCCCUUGUAAAAUUGGUAGUGUUAGAAUUGAAAAGGCUUUGUUAGAUCUAGGAGCUGCUAUUAAUGUCAUGCCUCGUUCCAUUUAUUCAUCUUUAAAUUUGGUCCAUUAAAAGAAACUGGCGUGAUAAUUCAACUAGCUGAUAGGUCUAAUGCAUAUCCUGAUGGGGUAUUAGAAGAUGUCUUAGUACAAGUUAAUGAGUUGGUUUUUCCUGCUGAUUUUUAUGUACUUGAUAUGGAAGAGGAUAACUCCUCUAAUUCUGUCCCAAUUUUGCUAGGAAGACCUUUUCUUAAGACUGCUAGGACUAAAAUGGAUGUACAUAAAGGGACUCUUACUAUGGAGUUUGAUGGAGAGGUUAUAGAAUUCAAUAUGAAUGAUGCCAUGAAAUAUCAUAGUGAGGAACAUUCGGUAUUUUCUGUAGAUGUUAUUAACCCGAUAGUGCAGGAAGUUAUUUACAAGGAAAAAACGACGACAUUUCAUGAUAGAAUGAUUUUGUGAAAGGAGUUCUCUGUUGGUCAAAAAGUUCUUCUUUUUCAUUCUAAGCUUAAACUUUUUUCGGGUAAAUUACGUUCUUGCUGGGUUGGACCUUUUAUUGUUACUAAUAUUUUUCCUCAUGGUGCAGUUGAGAUUCGGAGUCCGACCUCUGACAAAGUUUCUAAGGUUAAUGGUCAUCGCUUAAAACCUUUUUAUGAAGGUUUUUCGGUGAAUAUUGUGGAGGAUGUGGCUCUCGAGAGUCCCAAUUAUGGAGAUUGAUGCAUAAAUGUGUCUAGCCAAAGACAUAAAACAAAGGCGCUUUUUGGGAGGCAACCCAAAUGAUUUAUUUAUUUUGGUUUUUGUUAUAUCUUCUUUUAAUUUUGAUUCUUUUUUUUUUUAAUGUGUUUGCUUAUUUUGGUCAGAAUAAAAUUUUUGAUAAGGCGUGUCCACGUCUUAACUAAUAAGUACUUCUGUGAUUUUUAAAGUAAAAUGGUUUUAAGGUGUGCCCACGUGCUUAUUAAAAAAGUGCAUCUGAAAUUUUUGUUGUCUCAAAGUGAUUCAUCACAAAAAUAAAAAAAAAAUUAUUUAUUUAUUAUUUUUUUUUCUAUUUAUUUUUUUUUAAAAAAACGAAAAAAAAAGGAGAUUUUCUUUUGUUCUUUCUUUUAUAUAUUUAUUUAUUUAUUUAUAAAAAAAAUUCAAAAAAUCACUGUUAAAAAAAAAAAUUUACUGUUCAUAAAAUCCCUAAUUUUCCAGAACUUGUUUUCUUCUCCAACCGCUUGCAGCACACCAGCAGCAAAGCAGCCCGCCGGAAAACGCACCACCCCGCGCGCGCAGCACCAGCAUCGAGCACCAUCCCGCGAGCGCAGCACCAGCAUUCUGUGUCUCGCAGCCCAGCAGCGCGCAACGAAGUCCCACCAGCGCGCAACGCAGCCUCACCAGCGCGCAACGCAGCCCCAACGCACAGCAAACGAGCACGCCCCGCAACGCAGAUCCGCAGCUCUAGCCCGCCCGCGCAGCGCAAAUCAAUCCAGCCAUCACCAUCGCGCAGCGCAUCGGUCCCGCGCGCGCAACGCAACGCAGCAUCAGCAUCCCACGUCCAGCGAGCAGCAACCCGCGCGCGCAGAUCUAGUCUUCGCCCAGCAGCGCGCAGAACCAGCGUCAGCCUAGCUCUCGCGCGCAACACAGCCCACGCAGCACGCAGAUCUAGUAGCCCCAGCGCGCGCGCACAACACAAUCAGCGCCAUCCCGCGUCCAUCAAGCAAGCUCCAGCCGAGCAGCAAUCGCAACGCAACCAACGUACGACCUAUAUUCCAGCUGGAUAAAUCGAAAUCCGUGAGUGCAAUUAUUGUAACAAUGCCGAAGAGAAAAGCAUCAACUUCCAAGUCAUCUAAAAAGACACCCGUCGCAAAUAAAUCCAAGAUUGCCGGUCCCACUACGGUUCCUUGGAACACAAUUUCAGAUUCACGCCAAGCCGUGAGACAAAGCUCGAAACAUGGAAAAGGCAUGAGUGUUUUGCCACUUGCAGAAUCCAAUCUUGGAGGGUGCCUCGCAUUCGCGACUCAACAAGAGAAAGAGAGGUACAAAGAUAUUUUCACGCACAAAAUACUUCCAGCUAAGUAUAUUCCUUACCUGACUCUUGAAAAAUUGAAUGUUAAGGAUAAUUUUGAUUCUUUGAUAGAUAAGAUUGGGUUGCGUAAGUUUGUUGAUGUUGAUUGUUUGGGUUAUGUUGAGUUGAUUAGGGAGUUUUAUGCUACUUUUCAAUUUAAUAUGUCGAAUGAUUUUACUUUGCAUACCCCGGAUGUCAUAAAGUUUAGGUUAAUGGGACGAAAUUUUUCACACUCUAUCACGGAUUUUAACCUAGCUUUAGGAUUCAUUGAUGAUGAUUAUUCUUCUAGUGAUGCAUAUUUAGGAACAACUUGUGACUUUAGCGAAAAUUUUGAGCCUUAUGGUCUUUGCCGUAAUUUAUCUGUUGAUCACAAUGCUUAUGACCCAAGUAAAUCAAAGAGUUCUUUCUUACGUGAUCCUGUUUUGAAAUGUGUGCAUCGAUUCUUAGCAUAUAAAUUUUUAGGCAAGAAAGAUCACUCAGGAGUUUUCUCUAAAACUGAAUUUUAUUUUAUCUGGUGCAUGUUAAAUGAUGUGAGGCCUAAUUUAGGUUUUUGGUUAGCGGAUUAAUUUCAAAGUGUGCUUAAACGGUAUAUGACUUUAUUUCUUGGUCCAUACAUUACUCUGUUAGCUGUAAACCUACCUAUGUGUGCUUGAUCUUGACAAUAAUGAUUUGCAUCUUGCUUGAUUUUUGGAUAUGUCUGAGUUUGAAAGAACAGGUGUGGUCGAAUUCAAGGAGGGGAGAUUUCAGUUUACUGAACCAGCACCCACUCAACCUCCGAAGAAGCUUUAUGCUAGAAGUGGUGCUACCUCUGAUGACGAGUUUGACGACGACACUGCUGCCCCGCCAACUAUUCCUUCUACAUCCGCACCACCUUUGAGCAUUCAGUUAGAGAAAAUGGAGCACAAGCUGCACAAGAUGGAGCAGAAUUUGGCCGCACACUUCGAGAGUGUGGGAUUUACCCCACCAUUUCCGCCAAGCCCAUAGACGUUAUGUGGAUCAAAGUUCACAAUUCAGGGAAGUUUCUUUUUGCCCUUAAUCUUUUAUCCUUACGCUUUAAUUUUUGUGUGAGCUUUGAUUAUCUUACAUUGGGGACAAUGUAAGUUCUUGGUGUGGGGGAGGGAUUUUUGCAUUAUUGAUGUCUGAAAUUAUUGUUUUCACUCUACUCAUCCUUAAAUGAUUUUGGAGUUAGUAUGCUUUAUAUAUUAUUAAUUUUCUUUUCCUUUCUCUCUCACUACUCUUUUCCCAUCUAUCUCAAAUUAUUUACAUCUAUUUUUUUUUCUAUCAUACUCUUUCAUCACUCACAUUUUAUCUUUCAUUUUUUUUACUACAUACAUCUUUCUCGCUUAUUAUCCUUUUUACCUUUCCUUUUAUAUCUCACUCAUACCUUCUUCUCAUUCUACACCACUAUUGAUGGUUGAUUCGUUUGAAGAGUGUACAGGAUUUGAUGGCAAAUUUACCAACUUUGUGAGGAUUUAAGCCUAUGAGCAACCACUUUGCUCUAAUUAUUUUUUGUUAUGUGAAUAUCAAUCCUAGUUUGUUUAUUCUAGAACUUGCUUUGUUAUGCAUGUUGAAGCCACAUUACGGGAUUUUAUGCAUUAAAAUGAUAAGGGCAAACCCUUUUCUAUUUUUCUAUUCUCCCAUUUUUUUUUCUCUAUCCGAAGACCUUUAUUUGCUAUCUUGGUUUGAGCCUUAACCAUUACCCAUCUAAUUCUCUCCGUCUACUUAACCAUUUUUCUUCUUUUUGAGCCUCAAUUUAAUGAGAUUUUUUUUGGACUCAUUGUGUGGAUAUAUUUUGUUGCUUUUUCUACCUUGUAUUAAAGUUUCUCAAUUAGAUCAACAAGCAUUAUGCUUGAAUUGAAUUGUGCAAGGUUCGUUUCUUUUGUUUGAUUCAAAAACAAAAAAAAAAAGAAAAAGAAAAAGAAAAAGAAAAAUCGAAAAAAAAAGAAAAAAAAUGUUUACAUUCUUGGUGACAUGAGUAGAAAUAAGCAUUUUGAUAUCAUAAGUUCAUUCAAUGAGUUCAUUCUUCUCAUUUUGAUCUCUUUUUCUUUCGUAAACCUUUCUUUUUCAUUCAACCUAUUUAACCCCAUUACAACCCUUUUAAGACCCUUAGAUUUUUGCAUUUUAUUCAUGUUUUGUGGAUUGAGAUGUGAUAUAUGAGCAAGCUUAUGGUAAUAGCAUUCUUUGAUUUGAUUUGAGUGAAUAAAUGACACCCUAAAUACUUUGAGUGCAUGGAGUGAAGUUAUUGAGAGGGCUAUUAAAUAUUGUUGCACUUGAAUUUUGAAUGGAUCUUCUUGGUGGUUGAAUGUUCUUAUUCUAUCUUAUGAAAUUCUAUGCUUUAAAAUCCUUGUCUCUAGAAUGUUGAUCGACUUAAUUUCUUGAGGUAUGCUUGCCUAAAAUUGUUUUUGGAUGAGUUGAGAUGAGAAUUGAGUGGAACUUUGGGAUUAAUCUUGAGUUAUAUGCUUGAGGACAAGCAUCAUCUUGGUGUGGGGGAAUUUGUUAGAGUGCAAUUUAUGCACUAGUUUUGCAUUGUUUACUUCCCUUAAUAUCGAUGUUUUGCACUUAAUAAUAAUGAUUUACUUGUGUUUUACUUUUGUUGGUGCAAUUCUAUUUAUUUGUGAUAAAAUUGAGCUAUAAGAUGAUGUUUAAAGAUGAUUGUUCUCUUGGAGAAAUUAUGAGCAUCAGAAGAACUUUGUUGAUAAGGCGUGGGCGCGUGCUGUCAACUACGGACCUGCAGUUUUUAGUUUAACGUGUUUUGUAUUUUUGGUUAUUUUUGUAAUUAUGAAUUUAAUAUUUCAGAUAUUAGUAUUUUAUUUUAAAUAGAAUUCUAGAGGAGAAGAGAGAGAGAGUAUUUAAGGGAGGAAUCUAUUGUGAAAAAAAGGGAUUUUGGAUUGGAGGAAAAGAAAAGAAACCCUAGAUCUAAUUUUUCUCUUCUCUCUAUGAAGAACUAAACUUAUUUUUCUGGUUGAAGGAUAAUGAAGCUUUGAUUCAUCACUACUGUGAGAUCUUUCUUGUGCUUUAAUUGUUUUAUUGCUUUUUGGGUAUUUGUUUAUUCUCUGAAUUAUUUUCAUGAUUAUGUUUGUUAAUUAGAUAAUUGGGCACUAUUUAAUUAUCAACUUAAUCUAUUGUUAAUUAAAGGAUUCAUCGUAUGAAGAAUUUAAUGUUUGUGACAAAUAACAUAGCAGAGAAUUGUGUUGUGAGAAUAAACAAUCUAAUUUAAAUGAAUCAUCAUAUGUGUUGAUUAGGAUUUGGGUCUCUCUGGUUUUUCAGGCUGUCAAUUGAUUAAAUCCUAUGAUCGUAUCUAGGGUUGUCUAUUGAUUAGGGAAAUAUCCAAUGGUCGUACCUUGGUUAUCGACUAAUUAAGGAGAGAUUGGCUAUUAGAGGGUCUCAGUAGCUAUAACCGGUCUAUUCAUAAGUAAUAAUAAUUUAUAUUUGAAUCAAUGAUCAGUAGUCGAAUCAAGCUGAGUUAAUUCCUUCAACCAGAGCUUUCUCCAAUUUGAAUUACAACUUUAAUUUGCAUUCUUGUUAUUUUAAUUUGAUUUUUAUUAUUAUCAACAAUUCUCCCAUUUUACGUUUUACGUUUCAAAAGGAUUUAAAUAAUUACCGAUCUCUGUGGACACGACCCUGCUCAAUCACUAUACACAAUUUAUUUAGAGUAGGAAUUUAUUUUUGUUGGCUUCGACAACCAUCAGCUCCAUUACAGAGUUUCAUCAAUUUGAAAUAGAGAAUCAUUUGUGUUCUAGAUUAAUCGAGGGUCUAUAUCCAAAUCUAAAAAUUGACUAACUUGGUUUCUAUUAAAUUCUUAAUCCUAACAAGAAAAAUAGAAGAUUAAAAAUGACUAAUUUGGUUUCUAUUAAUUUGAGUAACGAUCGAAUUACCUCAUUUAUUAAGAUUUAUCAAAAUCCUAUGUCAAAAUCCAUUAAUAAUAUAGGUUGGAUGAUGAAAUAGUCACUUAUUAUUAUUUUUGACUUCAUAAAUAGAUGAACGGAUGUUAUUUUUGGAUUCUGGAGAAUCCAAAAUAUCAGGAUAUGUGAUAAAUGGAAUUAAGUUGUAGAUAAGAUAGAAAUGGAUUUGGAGAGAGAUUGGAAUCCUGGGUAAUCCGGUGUACGUUGUUGUGUUGAAUGCUCGUUGACUUCACGUUGACUGACACAUUAUUGGAAGAAGUGAGCAAGCUUAUUUUCUUCUCUCAUUUUUAAAUUUGUCUAAGUUUAUUGAUGUGAGGCCUUUGAGAUUGUAAGUUUCAAAUCUGAGAAGAAUAACCACACACCCAUUAAUAAAUUUGUGAGGAUUGUGAGGGUUGAUGCAAUAUAAUUUAGAUGCAAAGUGUUUACAAGUACGAUGCUUCAUAAGUGUUCUUCAAUCAUUAUAAACUCACGUUAUUUUUAUAAUGAUUGUUUCAUCUGCACAUGGAUAUAAUCAUAUGUUGAGAUUUUUUCCUAAAUUAUGGUCUUAUUUGGUAUUGAGGUGUUAGAUCUUUUAAGAUACAAUUACUAUUGGAAAAAAUAGUGCAACUAUGAAAUAAAAGUUAAUAUUGUGUACUAAUUAUAAUUGUUAAAUAAUAAUUUUGACAAAAUUAGUGAAGAUAUAUAGUUUUUUUUUUAUCAUAUAAGUAUAAAAUCAAAUCAACUUAACUUCUAAACUAUAUAGCAGCUACUGCUUACCAAAUAUUUUAGUGCUGUAGCUUUUAAGUUAUAACUGCCUAACCUCAGUCUCAAACAAUGGCUAUAAAGAUCAAAGAUUUCCUCAUAAAAAUUAUACGUCUUGUGAUUGCUUAUUUAAUUUAUAUUUUUUUAUUUAUCUUUAUUAAUUACAAUCAUCUUUUAAUAAAUUACAAUUGGAGGAAGUUGAUGUUCGAAGUGCUUAUGUCGACUCGAAGUUGUUGGGAAUUAAUGCAUGUAUUGAUUUAUUGGGAGUGUUUAAAUGAUUUUGUGAUUUACUUGAUUGAUUGAUUGAAUAUUGUUUGAUUACUUUGUAUCCAUUCUAGAAAGUUUAUUUCUUUGUGAAAUUUCGACAAAAUAUGUUUUUCUUUUUAAAUAAUAAGGGUGUUUUAAGUAAUUUUUAAAAAUAAAUGGACUAACUAGAAUUAAUUAUUAGGUAACUAACUCGAACUGUACAAGGUAAGCGAACAUUUAUGCUGAUUAUAUCAUGAUAAAUCAUUUUCCGAUUAGAAUUAGGAAACCAUUAGCAUAUUGACUUUUUUUUUUUUUUUUUUCAAUCUCCCUUUGCGAAAACGGAUUACAGAAUUAGAAAACAAUCCUAAUGAUAUUAUUGUUAGGUUUAAAACACGGCAUAGAUAGUCAAAAGCUAACUAGUCUGCAGUAAUUUGUUAAUUGCUAUCGCCUCUCCAUGCGUGGUGAAUAAUUUGUUGCAUGCAAACUUUUUCCAUUUUAAAUAAACACAACGCGAUGUUUAUCUGCUCCGCGUUUUGCAAUCUGUUUAUUCGUUGUUUAUUUGCUUCGUAAGUCCUCAAACUUUGAUAACCAAAAAUUUCACCAAACUAUGAAAAUUAUUCUGCAGGUUAGUUUUUAUUUUCGGAAUAAUUAUUUGAGAAUACUAAAACACAAUAUAAAAUAAGAAAAUAGGGGGUUAAAAUUUGAAAAAAAAAAACAAAAGGGCAUGUUGGAUAGAUUACUGUGGUUUAAGAAAAAAAAUUAUUCAGUUGGGAAUUUUUUUUCUUUAAUUUUUGUUUUACUUAAUUGAGAUUUCUCCUUAAUCCUUACAGUUUUAAAUUUGGAUAACAUAGGAUUAGUAAUUUAGUACUUCCUUUGCAAGCUGAGGUUAAGGAUGAAAUUCUUUUAAGAAAAAAAGAUAAAAGAGCAUAACAAUAGUCAAUUAUAAAUAACCACAAAUAAAUACAAACAAAAUGUUUAUGAAGUAAAUUAAAAAUGCACAUAUUAUUUUUUAUUUUAUUUCUUACUAAUCUGUGUAUUUGCUGCUUGAAAAACCAUAAAUACACAGAUGACCAUUGGCUUCGCACCAUUUAAUCGGGAUACAUUUCUACGUACAAACUGAACAAGGCUAUUGAUUUUUAUUUAUUUAUAAAUUACUAUUUCAAUUUUCACUUUUUAUUGGGUUGUUUAAUGGAUUAGUGAGGCUGGUGGUCGUUGAUGCACUCACAAGGUACAAUUUUGUUUUCAAAUUUCAAAUUCGUAUUUUAAAAUGCAGCACAUUAUGCAUACAUAAUUAUUGAUUUUCAUAUGUGGGUGUUUUGAAAUAUUGCUAAAAGGCCAAACUUUAAUAAACUAUUUUUGAUCCUUUUUUGUUUCUUUUUUCCUAAAGUUUGAGUGAUAUCCGCAUUUUUAAAAGCUAAUGUAUGCAAAAAAUUCUUUCAUUUUUCUGGGGAAAAUAGGUAAGAGAAAAAGUUUUGGCAAAUGAGCUGCAACUGAAUUCAAAACCAAUACGAUGCGAGCAUAGGAAAGAGGUCAGUGUUUUGGAUUUGAAUUUAAAGAGGUCAGUGUUUUGGAUUUGAAUUUAGUAUUGAGCUGAAUUUUAUGUUUAACACAUGAUUCUAUUAUAGUACUGCGAUUAAUAAGCUCAGCCCCGGAUUUGCUUUUGCUUUUGCUUUUACUUCAAGUGAAAGAAAGAGGAAACCUUUUGUUUUUUCUUUGGUUUUUGACUAUGUUACCUAUACAGAGAGUCAAGAUAUCAGCCAUAAGUGAUGGUGUUAAAAAGAUUAAGCAGCGCACACAAUCUUACUGCUGUCUAGACGAUCCAAUGAUGACUCCAGUCUUUUGGUUACAUUAGCUUUAGUUGAAAUAAGGGCCAAUUUAGCAAACACUAGCUUUGGUGGCUUAUUAUGUUUAAUGUAAUGCUUAUUCUUAAGGAAUCUAAUGUAUAUAAGAUGAUUGAAUGAUCUUCUAUGAUUGUGAGUAGUAUAGGAUAAUUGAAAAGAGUCUGGUGUUAAAGGCUUACAGUUUUAAGCCUUUUAAACCAUGCGAUUUUAAAGUUUUACCGGAUUUUCCCGCACUUUAAAAUUUUAGACUGAAACAUUUUUGUAUAUAUAUACAUAAAAAUAUAUAUAUAUAAAUAUAUAAAUUAAGAGGGAUGAGUUAACUGAAGAUUAUAAUCAUUACAACAAUGCUGAUGAGUGAUACAUCACUUGAAAUUUACUUGUCAGUUGCUGAAAUGAUGAAAAAAAAAAUAAACAAUAACAGUGAUAAUGUUCUCUUGCUGAAAUGACUUGUAUAUUAUACAAUCCACUCUACUUAAUGAUAUCGUUUUAAUAAAUGUUUGAUGAUCUCCAUUUAAAAACUACUUCAAUUUUUUUCUUCAUUUAAGUUUUUGGUUGUUGAAAAUAACCUUAAUUAUCAAAUAAUUGGAGAAAGAGUAAAGAACAUUUAACAAAUUUAUGUGCAAAAAAAAAAAAGGGAGAAGUUGAAGAGAAAGGGUGCUUGCAGAAGUAGGUGUCAAAGAUAAAUCGGUCCAUAGGAAUUAUUUUGGUUAUUUUUUAGCAAUAGAAAAAUUUUUUAGCAAGUAAAAAUUAAUUUUUUUCCGCUUUACUAAAAAAUUAACUAAAAACUUAUGCGAUAGCAUUUUUUAUGGGUGCAUAUACUUCCCUUUAAAAAAAAUAUAAUAAUUAAUGCUUAAUAUAGUAUUAAAUACGAAAAUAUCAAUAUUUGACUACUCAAAUGUAUAUCAUUAGGUCCUUAAAAUUUAAAAUUGAAGAUACAAAAGGUAAUAUAUAUAAAUUUCAUUCUCAUGGGAAAGGAUCAUCUUAUAAUCUUAUAAUAUUUGAGCUUUGAAAGAUUUUUUUGAAACAAAUGUACUUUUAUUUGUGUACAAUCAAUAUGUACUUAUUUAUUAUAUUUUUAUUUAUUAACUAUCAAUCAUGUGAGUAUAUUUAGUCAGAAAAAUUAUAUCAAGAGAGAACCCUAAUUUCACGUAAAGACAAAUACAAGACAAAUAUGGCAAUUUCUAUACUAUUCACUUUCCUGUAAAAUCAAUUAUCUAAAAUGCAAGUUUGUGGCUUCAAAAAACUCGCCAAAGAAAGAAGAUAAUAGCAAUUGAGCAUUGAUAGCAAAUCUAAUGCAUCCAAUUCUUCUUAACUUGAUGAGUGACGUGAAUGCUACCAGUCUGUGACACCCAAAUUUUUAUUAUUUUAUUUAUUUUUUUAAUGGAAUUUGUAAAUGACGUUUUUGCCCUUAUAAAAAGGGUUAUUCAUGGAAUAAUUUUUAGGAAAGGGUUAUUUUUCCAAAUUCAAUAGGGUUUCUUAAGACUCCCUAUAAAUUCAUAUUUUUCUCCUUUCAUAACCCUAAAAGCACGACGUUUCUUCUUUUUCUAUACUGCUCAUUACACUCUUACCCAAACCCUAAGAUUCAAACCUUUGGUUAAGAGAGAAUCAAAGCGAUUGGUAAGUUUAUUCCCCUUAUUCUCUACAAGAUUCCCAAUCACUCUAUCUAGGGUCUAUAUUGGCAUGAUUUUAGAUUGUUAUAGAUCAUAAUACAUGAUUUAGAAUGUGUUUAGGCUUUGUUUAGAGUUUUGAUUUAUUAUGAGUUUAGUUAAUCAACCUUGACGUAUUAAGCACAUAGAAUAGUUCCAUAGAAUAUUAUGUUAUUCUAAGUUUUAGAUUAAGAGUUAAAAUUCUAAGCAUCAGACUUGUACGGGUACGAAUUAGAAAAAUCGGGUUCUUAGAAUAAGUUAUUAAUUGUCAUAUCUUGUAUUUGUUUAAGGUGAUUGAGGCUCUUAGAGGGUUAGAGGUGUGUUAAUUCAAAUUCUUUUGUCGAGGUAAGUAACUUCAUUCCUAAUGUACUGGAUAUAUAUAUAUAUAUAUGAUUAUUUUGAUAUUAUUAUAAGUACACAAAUUUUUUUACUACUUAGAAGAUUAAUUGAUUUUCAUAACAAAAUCAGUUUGUGUAAAUGUUUUCAAACCUAAAUUCCUUUUAAUAAAUUAUUUUGUAAAGGCUUUUAAAUAUGUAAGUUAUUUUAUGACAUGACUACCUUUUAUAAUUUUGUCUAUGAAAUAUUUGCAAGCCUAAAUUGUGGUUAUGGACUUUCAUGAAACUAAUACGAAUGUUUUGUACCUAUGUAUGAUUUCAAUUAUUUAUGAUUGUACGGGGGCCACCUCUUGGGACUAUAUGGGGGCCACCUCUUGAAAUUCAAAGCAUCACAAAAGUGCCACGUAUAAGUCAUUAUGUUUUGGCUCAUUAUCUGUAGUUAUUCUGAUUCUGAUUCUGAUGGUAUAAUACAAUAUAUGUCUGUUCUGGACCAGUACUAGGUUUUUGUUUUGAGUGUGCACAUGAUAUUCUGACUCUGUUUCUGGCCGGGUCACUAGGACUAUAGGUGACACUAUGUGACAUGAGCUAACCUUUUGUUUUCUGUGAAUGUGAUAUAUGAUUUGCUUUUGUAAAUAACUAUGCUUUUGAUAUUCUGAGUUACAAUGAAUUUAAAUUAUUUUAUAGUGAUAUAUCGUUUUAUGAAAUUUAUGGAUUAUGAUAUAUGUUUUAAUUAAAAGAAGGCUUGCAAUAUUUUUGGUAUUGAUAGGUCUAGUGUGUUAGGAAUAUUUUUACUUACCGAGUUGACGGCUCACCCCUCGUCAUUACUUUUUGCAGAUUAAGUUUCUUUUGAGAGCUGCGCUUAGCUUUGGAGUUAGUAAUUUUCUGUUUCCGUUUGCCAUUUGAAUAAGAGGAGAAAUAAACUCAUGUUUCUAUUUAGUUUAUUUAUGUUAUGAAUGUGUAAUUUGGAGUUUGAGACUUUUGUUAUUUUUUUUAUGUCCUCGGGAGAGAUUAUUUAGUAUUAGACGUUUGAAUUUGUGGAUUUAUUUGAAUAAGAAUUUGAGGUAUUUCAGUUUGAAACUUAUGAGUAAAGAUUAUGAUUUGUAAGUAACAUCCUUCUUCACGUGCUCCGCACGUGUUAGAUUUGGGGUGUUACAAUUGUGGUAUCAGGGCAUUAGGUUUGGGAUUCUGUAAACUUUAUUUGAGGCUAGAUUUCUUAAGCACAAUCAAUUAGUUCAAUGGUAUUGCUUGCCAUGAGGUUAUCGGAAAGAGUAGAUCUUUAAGGCGAGGAGUAAUUUUGGUCUUUUUGAUUUUCUAGUUGCUUGUGACUUUGUAAUAACUCCUUGAUAUAGGAUUUUGGUAUUAACGUAGAAUGAAAUAUUUGUUUGCUCUUGUUGUCAAUUACUAACUUUUCUCAAUUAUACUAUUUACUCAGUACUUUGUGCUAUAGCAAGCCCUUUAACUAUGAAUUAUUUACCAUUUUAUUUAUUUAUUUAUUUUUAUUCUUCGUGUUAUAGUCAAAAGAUGUCACGUAGGGGAGGUGCUAGGCAUGCCUUUAGCUCGAGAGAUGUUUUAGGUAUCGUUGAUGACGCUGACCUAACCUUGCGCGAGAUGGCUAACGAAGGGAAUCCUAUGAUGCGCGCAAUGGUUAGAUUGAUGGAACAACAAAGUAAGUUGAUUCAAGAUAUGGCUAGAGGUAAAGUUGGGGCACAUGAGAUUGUGCCAGUUGAAAGACAAGGUGGUGGAAGAGAUCAGGGAGGUAUGAUGAGCUUAGAGCGGUUUAGGAAAUUGAGACCACCUACCUUUCAGGGGGCUGCCAAUCCUAUGGUUGCAGAGGCAUGGCUAAAACAGAUGGAGAAGAUAUUUAUGGCUAUGGGUUGUAAUGAUGAUUAGAGGGUGAUAUUGGCCUCAUUGGUCCUUUAGGGUGAGGUAGACCACUGGUGGGAUGCCAAAUCCCGUCUUUUGAGGGCCGGGUUGCAAGAUGCACCUAUUACUUGGGAGUUAUUUCUGAAGGCUUUUCAUGAAAAAUAUUUUCCUGAACGAGUUCGACAUCAGAUGGAGGCUGACUUCCUGAAAUUGACUCAAGGAACAAAGCAUGUUGCGGAGUAUGAGGAGCAAUUUACUGCUCUAUCUCGUUUUUCUCGUACCUUAGUUGCUAAUGAGGGUAGUAAGUGUAGGAAAUUCUUGGAAGGCUUACAUCCAAACAUAAAAAGACGGUUGACCAUCCUUAAGCUUAAUAAUAAUGCCCAUUUGGUGGAUAGUACGAUUAUUGCAGAGAGGGAUAUAAUUCAAUCUCAAGUUGCACGAUCUAAUCGACAUAAUAACCAGCCAAUAAAACAUGAUAGUAAUGGUAGUGAAGGUGAACAUAAGUGCACUCUAAUGGUGGGUCUAUUCAAGAGAACAAACCAUUCUGUAAUCGUUGUGACAAGUACCAUAAUGGCACGUGUUAUUUAAAGAUAUGAGCUUGUUUUGGCUAUGGACAGAUUGGGCAUAAGGUUAUAAAUUGCCCAAAAAAGCACAGUGGUAACAUAGAUUCUGCCGAGAACCAAAGGAAAAAGCCACGUGUCUUCGCCAUGGUGGAGCAAGAUAUUAAAAAACCGAAUAACGAAGCCUCAGGUGCAUUACCUAUUUUCCAUAGAAAGCCUUGAAUUUUUGAGUAAUUGGUAUUGUGCUUUUCCUCCAUCCUUUCUUAUUGGAUGCAUCGUAGCUAGAGUUUUUAGCCUAAUAAUCACUACUAGAAAAAUAGGCUUUACUGACGCUAAAUUAGUGUCAGUAAUUACUUUUCCUGACACUUAUUAAUUGUGUCAAUAAUGCUCCAGCCAUAAUACACUGACACUAAUUUCUAGUGUCAGCGAUUUUUGUGUCAGUAAUUCAUGUCAUUAUGGUAUCACGAAAAUAAUGACACGAUAGCGUUAGUAUUUAAUGAUACUAUUUAUAUGUCAGUAAUUUAUGAGACUACAGUAUCAAGAGCACACUGACUCAAUAACAUCAAAAAUUACUACUGCUAUUUUAAACAUUUAGUGUCAGUAUUUAGUGAUGUUAUGGUUCUUUUGGUUAAUAGUAUACUUUGAUUUUAAUUAUAUUUUCCUAUUUGUUUUACAACUGAAAGAAAACUCAAAAUAUAUUAAAUAUACAAAAUCUCGCAACACAAUUGCAUAAGAAACAUCUCAAAUACAUCACUCAAAUUCAUAUCAUUAAACUACAUCAUUGUUUGGAAAAGAAAAAUAUAAAUACUAAAUUAAGUCUUGGACAAGCUCUUAACAACCAAGUACUAAGUUAAGAUUCAACAAAUAUUAACCAACAAAAAGAAGCACAUAAUGUCAUUGAACAUCCACAAGCGGCUUCAUUUUUCUUUUCCCACCUACAAGUACAUAAAAUCAAUUAGUAUACCACAAAAAGUAAUUCUUGAAUUUUUGGGAGAAAAAACAAUCAGGCCAAUUUCAGUGUUCAAAGAGACUAACAAAGAAUGGGGGCAAAAACAAUACAUAGCUCUCUUAGUGCAAGCUAAUUGUAAUAGGUAGUAUUGUGAAGAAUAUUUAUCUGCUAAGAAUUGAACUUGAGUGGAUUUUCCUACAGAUCUAUACACAACUCAACUUAAGAAGAAUAAAAAAAUAAAAAAAUAAAAAUCCUAAGGAUUAAGAAAGAUAAAUGGAGAUUUAUUAGUAUACAUCCAAAAUUAGAAACUCAUUAAACAAUCCAGGGGUAAAAAUUGAGGAAUAAGAAUAUAGCGUAUCUCAGGAUAAGACCAAAGACAUAAUAACAGAAACAUUUGAGGCAAACCACUACAAAGUUUUUACAUAAUAACCCAAAGCAAAGCAAACCAUUAUAAAAUUUUUACAUAAUAACCUAGAAACAAAACAGACGAAAAUUGGGCAAGUCCAUAUCCCAAACCUCUGUUAGGAAAAAUGUGUUCAGCAGACUCAUGGCUCCAACAAUAGAAAUUAACCCGUACACAAGGAAACAAAUUAAUUGAUAUAAAAAACAGUCAAAGACAAAGCCAACUAAGAAGAUUAACUAAUUUGGAGAUUGAAUUACAUAGUUAUUUUUACAAAAUAUAGCAUAAGCCCAUUGUAUUUCAUAGUAAGCAACUGCAAAAAUGCCUAGAGGCAAAUUCAUAAAGGAAGAGUAGAUAGAAGAAAAAAAAGACGAGGAAAUAAACAGCUUGAAACAAACAAAUCACCUAACACAUCAUGGGGAAUUGACUUGUUAACGUUAAAGAGCAAAAUAAAACUUGGCACCUUCAUUCGAAAAAGAACAGACGCUUACCCCUUACGGAGAAUGGCUUAGGUUUUUCUUUAGAGUUUCAGGCUGAUUUAUAAGAAUAUGAAGAAGAAAUGAUUAUGGAAGUUUGAUAGUGAUCAAGGAUUGAAUAUUGGGCUUAAAAUACAAAUUGGCAGUGAGGGCUGGUUUUCGAUCAUAAUGUUGAGAGACCACUAAUUCCCAAUACUUGUACCCUCUCACAGAAAAAUCCAAAUUUAAUAAACAUGAACUAAAUCCAGUGUAUUGAGUGUUAUUAUUUAAUGGAACAUAAAAUCUCUGGGUCAAAUAAUUCUAAAGUUAAACCAACAAUAAUCCCAAAAGCUAUAGUUGAUAAGAAAGGCCCAACAGUAUACUUCUAUCACACAAAAUUUGAAGAUAGAAAAAAGAAGGGCCUUUUUGUUUUUUAACUGAAACUGAAAAAAGAUUCAGUAUUAACAAUUCAUAAAUUUUAAAGACGUUGGUUUUCCAUCUUAACACUGAAAACUUGGUGUUUAUAUAUCCGAAUAUAAUUAAGCCAAAAAUUUUAAUUUAUCACUAAAUAGGAAAACAACUAAAUAAGCUGCAUAGUUUUAUUUUCCAAUAAAUGCUUAUAAUAUUUAUUCAUUCCUUACCAUAUAAAAACCUAUCCUUCAUUAUUUAUUUAUUUUUUAUAGGAAACAGAGAAAUUAGUAUUAAUAAGAACAAUAAUUACAAAAUGUCAAAAGGGUGUCCACAAAAAAAGGCUAUUGAAGUAUCACAGACCAAUCUCCAAAUUAGGCAAGCACUCAGAUUCCAAGCUAAUACUCCAAAAAACAAAUCUAACCUCAAACUACCUGAUAAACAGCUCAAAAUGACAUAAUCCUCAACAUUCUUCAGACUAAUUGAUCAUGCAUCAAGGUAUGUUGGGAUCUACAAAUACAUUGAAAAGAUCUUUGCAAAUAACAGUACAACUAGAAAGCUUGGUGUUUACAUUCUUGAAAAUUCUUUUUAUUGCUGACAAUAGAAAGGGAUUCCUUUUUCUGCUUAUUUCCUAAAAAUACUAAUAUAUGCUGCCCCACUAUACUCACAAGUAAUCUUACACAAAUGCUCUUUAGACAAGAUUAGUAUUUGCUACCUUUCACCCCAAUUACAAAACCAUAGAAACUCACCACCUAGACAAAUUUUAAAUUGUCUCUAUAGUUGGCUAUUAAAAACUGCUAAAUUUGUUUGCAGCCAUGCCCAAAAAUUUCAAGAACAUUGAACACAACGUAUUAUAGGUACAAACAAGAUAAAAUGAUGUUCCAGGAUUCACUCGACAUGUCAUCCAAGGUGAUACAAAACGGUAGAACUAUAGAACUAGGACAAAACUUGCAGCAAGAUAAUGGCAAUUUCCCCCUUUCGUGUAAGAUAAUCAUAUUAUUCUUCAAAGAGAGACGCACAAAAAAAAAAUGCUUGUUGAAAACAAGCAAGCAUAUGGGUAUGAGUCUAUUGUUGUUUAUCUGUGAAUCAUGUUAAUAACCAGCCACAGAAAAAUAGUAAACAAUAGUUUUCACACAAUCGAUGCAUAUUAACACAAGCCACGGAUUAUGAUUUCACUAACCAUUGCACACAAAGGUUCCAGACCAAUUUUAGAAGGAGGUUCUACAAGUUACUUUCCUUCAACUACUUGAAAAUCAAUCAUUAACUAAAGAAAUACACAUGAAAUUAGUUUAAAUAAUAGGAAAGGUAAAGGAGACAUUUUAUAAAAACUCUUAAAUGUGGUACUAUGAUUUCCACAGACUGUGCAACAAAAAUAAAAUUGGAUGAACUAUAAUAAGUGAGAAGACAUAUUGUAAUUCUAUCAUCAAAGAAAGAUAAGCUUAAUCAUUUUUAAUUUUUUCUCAAAUAUCCAGUAGUACCUUAAGGUAAUAGGACAAGAUCGCAGAAGUUGUCAUGAAGAGUGUAAAGCACUAAAUAACAAAAAUUAUACUAAUAAAUAAAACUCAAUUUAUUUUCUCCCUCAAUCAAUUGCUUUGAGCUUACUAUGAAUUCAACUAUGAAUUUGAGGAAAAAAUACAGACCUCAGUUUGUCAACUUCUUGUUCAUGAGAUUCAGCCGCAGUAAAUGCAAACCUCCAUUUCUCGUCAAGCAUUGUUAACCUCUACGACAAAUUGAAGGUAAGAAGAUGAACAAAAUAAGUGUAAUGUGCAGGAAAAAAAAUGAAGUCUAUGGGUACAACAACACUUCAAGAUUUUUCAAGUUCUAGUUCAUUUAAAUAGACAUUCCUUGAACUUCAGUAGCAAAGAAAGUACAUUAUAGCAACAAUUUCAAUUCAUUUCAAUCUUUAGAAUUUUUUAUUUUAAAAAAAUAAAUUCCUUCAAACUAGUGAAAGGAAAAUAAAAGUGUGUUUACAGAAGAAAAAUCAUGGAAUGAAUUAAUGACCAUGCAAGUGAGGAAACACAGAAAUUUCUGAAUAAGAGCGAAACUAACCGUGCAAAUGAACAAAGAAAAUGUAAGUCUUCAAGUGCUACAACAAGCAAAACUACCUAAAAACAAGCAUUUUCUUCUUGAAUUAAAGACAAAUCAUGAACUUUGUGCAAUCUCAAAACAUUCAGACAAGCAUGAACUUAGUUAAUUCAUAUCAUAGUCAUUGUCUCUAUUAAAAAUCUUCCAACUAAAAAAAAUAAAAAAAUAAACAUGUUGGUUUCUAUAACAUAAUUUGCCUAUCUUUACAUGAAACAGAGCAAUAAAUAACACUUAAUAAUUAUGAAAUACACAGCCAUUCAAUCUAUAUAAUAUAGAAAUAAAGGAAAAAAAAGAAAAAAAUUCAAAUUACAAUUAAAUAAACAAAAAAUAGAUAUGGAAAAGAAAUCCCACCAAGACUGCACUACUGGGAGAAUUUCUCAACAUCUGCAACAACCCAUAAAAUUAAAAUUAACAAAAAACCCUAAUAAUCAUAAGCUAAAAUAAAACAAAUUUAUUAAUUAAUUUGACAAAGAAAAUAAAAUAUUAAGCCAUUACCAGCAGUUAAAGCCUUAAUCAAGGCAACCUGUUUGCCCUUAAAGUCAUUGAAAAUCUCCUUCACAGGUCUAAGUAUAAGGUGUGGUAUCCCUUCCAUAGCAAGAAAAUUAACUAAUUUCUCAAUAAUUUUAUUCAAAUUCAAGCAAAUGGGUUUUGAAUAUUGAACAAAAAAAAGUGAAAUUUGACCAUAAAAAGAAAAAAAAUUGAUAAAAGAAGCCUCGAUUACGGUUUUGGUCCGUUUUUCAAUUUGAGAAAAAAAAGGAAAAAGGGAAUAAAAGCCUCACUUAGGGUUUUAGCUUUAUAUUAUCUAUUUGAGUUAAAUGAACGAGUUUGUGAAUGGAAAGAAAAAAAAGGAAGAGAUCGAGAAGAGAAAAAGGAAAGAGAAAGGGAAAGAGAAAGGCAAGAGACAGUUUUGGGUUUGAGUUUGGGUUAGAGAUUUGUGUGUAUAAAAGACAGGGAGAUGGGGACAAUUGCUAAGUUUGGGAUAUGUUUUACUUUCGUUUUACAUGUUUUAAAUUCUUAAUUUAGUACCUGCAGUGUCGAACCACUUGAACGGAAGUGAUAGUGGCAACGGCGUGGGGGUGGGCGCAGCCAUGGGGGUUGGGCGCGGCCGUGGGCGUGGGCGUUUGGGCCUGGUCAUUCUCCAUCUUUCACGAUAGAGAAGAAGAAGUCAAGAAAGGCAAGGAAAUUACGCAGCAGCUACGACAUGGGCUCUAUUGCACAAUGGAAAAGGGGAAUUAGGGUUUGGUUUUUUAUAUGUUAAUAUUUUAUAUAACAUUGUAAUUCCAACUCAAUUUUAUGGGGUCCAGUGGUUUGCAAUCUAAACGUAAAAGUUUUGAGUUUUAGAAAUCCCAGGUUCGAGUUAAAAUCAAAACAAAUUUUAAUGAUUCUUUUUAGAUCUCUGAUGCUGAAGUAUCAGUGAUCUCUAAUAUUUAAUUUACUGAUACAUUAGUAUUAAUAAUUUGUGACAUUUAUUUGUUAAAAGUGGAAAAUGGUGCAUAGUUAGGUAAUUACUGACACUUUUUUUAAAGUGCCAGAAACAAAGUGUCAGUAAAAGUCAUUUUUGUAGUAGUGAAUUUCUUUUUUCAUCCAUUGAAUUUCUAUGGUACAUUAGUAGGAUAUGAGGUGUGAUUUUAUAAGGCCAUUAGGAUUAACUUAUGGUUGGAUGGAGUAGGGACUAAUAUGAUAUUUAGUAGGAUAUGGGAUGAAGAUUGCAAUAAAAGUGUUUCACCAGCAAUGUGCGAGCGCAUUGAAGGGUUUUGAAGUUGAAUGUGAAGUGAUAAAAAAUAUUCACCAUCGAAACCUUAUCAAUGUUAUUAUUAGUUGUUCGAACGAUGACUUCAAAGCAUUAGUCCUAGAAUACAUGUACAACGGGAGCUUGGAGGAUUGGCUGCAUUCUAGCAAUUAUGUGCUUAAUAUUUUUCCCAGGUUGAACAUAAUGAUUGACGUUGCAUCAGCUUUAAAAUAUCUCCACUUUGAUCAUUCAACUCGUAUCAUUCAUUGUGACUUAAAGCCUAAUAAUGUGUUGUUGGAUGAAAAUAUGGUUGCUCAUUUGAGUGAUUUUGGCAUAGCAAAGCUUUUAAGUUGAAGAUGAGUCUACGAUGCGAACAAAAACCCUUGCCACUAUAGGUUAUACGGCACAAGGUUUGCUUGAAACAACUUUUUUUUAGUUUAUUUUAAAAUUUCCAAAUUAUUGAUUUUUACGAUCCUCAUAUCAAAAUGUUAUUGAUUAUUUAUCUAAUUAUGAAAUAAUUUGAUUCAUAGAGUAUGGCAUAGAAGGAGAAAUAUGUGCAAAAAGUGAUGUUUACAGCUACGGGAUUAUGUUGAUGGAAACUUUUACCAAGAAAAAACCCACAGAUGAGAUUUUUGUUGGAGAAUUGAGCUUAAAGCGUUGGGUUAAUGACUUGCUUCCUAAUUCAUUAGUGGAAGUUGUGGACAAAAUUCUGCUAAUUGAAGAGGAAAAACAUUUUGCCGCAAAGGAGCAAUGUCUGUUCUCUAUCUUUAUUUUGGCACUAGAGUGUACAAUGGAAUCACCGGAAAAGAGGAUCAAUACAAAAGAUAUUGUUACCAGAUUACUCAAGAUAAGAGACACGUUGAGUAAAAGGAUAGGAAAUUUAAGUUAAUUUUGUUUGCUUUCAUUGAUAGUUACUUUGAAUUCAAGUAAUAAGUGUAAGAAUCGUUUAUCUUUUCUUUUGAUAUUUUUUUCUUGAGAAAACUGUUGUAGUCAUCUUUUUUCAAUGGGCAGAGUUGAUUUAGUUCUUCCAAGAAAUGCUAUUGUUGAUCUUUGUUACAUACGUUUGUCUUUUUUUGCAUGCAUUUAGGUAGAAUAGUGGUCUAGCUGCAGGCUAACAAGUCAAGCUACGCUAAAAGCGUAUGAUUUAAUUUAUUAAACCUAACUUCAAGUUCAAGAAUUGCAUCUCAUUGCCACCAAUGCUUUAGACACCUAUUCGUAGGUUUGUGUCCUCAACUUUGUUUGGAGCAAAAGUUCCAGUCCCAUGGAGGCUCAAAUAUUUCUCUCCUACGUCCCGAACACGCUAAAUUCAUCAGCCUCUUGAACCCUCUCCUGAGGGCGCCUUCUGUCCUCUGUUUUCUGUUUCCAUACACAAAUAGCAAAAAGAAUUCAGACUGAUAACUGGGUAUCUAAGAAUAUAUAAGAGUGAAAUAAUUAAAAAAAAUUGUGCUUUUUUGUUUGUCGUGUUAAAAUCGUAAGGUAUCUAAGUACUAUGAAAGAGAUUAGUUUACGAAAACUGAAGCCAAGGGUUCAUAAAAAAAAGUGCAUAGAGAAUAAAGGACAACGCUUAUGUAAAGCGACAUAAUUGUAUUGGUAGCACAAUGUCACGUUCAUACAGAGAUCAAGUACAUUAUUUACAGCUGGUAAGGGCUAAGAAUUGAUGUAGCUAGAAUACAAAGAUGAUAUGGUAUGUUGUGCACUAUUGUUUUAUUCUACAAUCAAUCUUGACCCUUGAUGCUUGGCUCUCAAUCUUGUCCAUUGAUCUUCUCUGAUCUCGAAAACUUCAAGACCUUUCAAUCUCAUGCCUUAUUAUUGGUGUCUUCUAUGCUGUUAAUUUCAAAUACUAGCUUUUCCGCCAACUUGCCAAUUAUUUGUUCAUUGGUGCGUUUUGUCAAACAGUGUGGAUACUUAUACCAAACGCUUUCUGUUUUAACUACCCCUUUCAAGCUCAAUUAUCUGGGAAGACACUAAUAAGCUUGUUUCUCAAGUAUAUGUAUCUGAAAAUUAAAUUUUCAAAAUUAUAUUCGGACUCUACAUUUUCUAAUGAACAUUGGUUUGGCUCAUAAGCUUAUUAUACUUGGGCUUGGUAGGAUUAUCGGUCGGUAGAUGAACAAGUGUUAGAGCUUUCGAAUUUAUGCCAAUUAAAAAAAAUCUAUAUAAAUUUUCCACUAGGCUAUUACCACAAUAAACAUUUGGAUGAACUAUUAUUGAAACCUUAUUGAGAAGUAGGACAUGUCGCAUACCAAUGCACUGACAUAUCUUCAAAUAGUGGUAACUCCACACAACAUGGCACAAUAAAUUAAGAGUUAUAUAGAUAAAAUCUUUCACUCUUUGGUAAUCAUCAAUGUCGGCAUGACAAUGCGUCCCACAAAUAUGGCUCCUUAUCAAAAUUCAUAAAUCAAAACAAAAUAGAGAAUCAUAUUUGUUCCAGAUUGUAGUGAUGGUUGUUGAUGCACUCACAAUUUACAAUUUUAUUUAAUAUCUUCAAAUUCGCAUUUUAAAAUGCCCAAAUGUUUGUGUAUACAUAAUUAGAUAAAAUCUUUCAUUCUUUGGUAAUCAUCAAUUUCACUAUUAUUCGCUUUAUUAUGUUUGUUUCUUGCAGUAUGUUAAAAGAUUAUGUUGUGAAUUUGUUUUACAGGCCGCCCGUAAGUCUGCGCCCACUGUUGUGAAUUUGUGUAUACAUAAUUAGUAAUCGAUUCUCAAGCACGGACAUUUAAAAGCACUGCCGAAAGACAAAAUUUUAAUUUACUAUUUUUUGUCUUUUAAUUUUCUUUAAGUUUUAAUGAUUCCGCAUUUUAAAAUCCUGUGGAACGUGUAUGUAAAAUUCUUUUAUCUUUUAGAGGAAAACGGGCAAGAGAAGAAUAUUUGGCAAAGGAAUUGCAACCGCAUUUGGAGCUAUAUUUAAUUUUGUCUUUUAAGUCUUUUACACUUGUUUUUGUUAUUGAUGUUAGCUUGGAUGUGUGUGCGUGUGCGACUGAAUUCAACUUACAUGCUAUUGAUGCAGCCACCAAAAAGGGGUGGUCCAUCAUCAAUCAACAAGGUUUAUUAUUAUUUUCAUAUGGAUUUUCUUAAUUAUAAAUAAUACUAAUGCUAUUUCAUAGUUAUAAAUAUAUUAGAAUUAAUCGAAAUCAUUUUUUAGUGUGGCAUUGCCAAACUACCUUUUUUUAUAAGUAAUUACUACUUUCACAUUAAGAAAAAUACUCCUAUUUUUAGGGAAAAAUCAAGUACUUGUAGUUGUGAAAACUUGAGCUCACUCGCGUAUGAUAAAUCUUCAUAUUAAUUACAUAAAUAUCCUCUAAAAUUUUAAAUUAACUAUUCAAAAUUCGAUGUUAUACGGGUAUUUCAUUUAUUUGAGUAGGGGUUAGGGGUCAAUUGGAUACAAAUUCAAAAUUAUCCUUACUUGAGAAGGUGAUAAAAAUUGGGGAUUUAAUUUGGAUGUCAUUAGCUACAAAUAUUAAAUUCAUACAUUUAAUUCAAAAUUGGAGGGUUGAUAUAUGCGCAUCAUCGUGCACGUUAUAGUGACACUGCGUCACCAUCCCACAACCUCUCCAAUGAAAAAUUAACACGUUUCUCGUGUGCAUUUGAUCAGAAUCCUGAAAAUUAAUCACAAAAUUGUACUUUUAUUAUAAAAAGAAUAAAGAAACUCCUGAAAAAAAAAUACUUACAUAAAUGGUUUGAAAAUUCUAGAUUUCAAGUUGUCUAUAUUAGCUUGAUAUUUUUAUAAAUAGUCAUCCUCUCAAAAAAAUUCCAUCAAAAUAUAUAUUUUAAUUUUAUGUUAAUUCAUAAACAUGAAAAAAUCAUUUCAUAAUUAAUUAAAACAUAAUUUAUUGUUUCUCAAAAAAGGUAGAACUUAGUGAUAAGAAAAAAGUAUCUCAAAUAUAUGUAAAAAAAAAAAAAAUCUUGGUUGGUUGGAAUGAUUGAAUUUGCUUUUCUUUUUCUUUUUUAAGAAUUAAGACAAUCGGAUUGAUUGAGUAAUAAUAAUAUAUAUUUAUUUGGAGGUAGGCUUUCGUCUCAUGCAGAUUGAUUAGAGAGAAAACAAAACAAUUUUAAGCUCGUUAGAUUCGAAGCUGCUUACCUGUCGUGUGGGGAUCACUUCCGUGUCUUAUUUUUCUAAAAAAGUCUGGACCAUUGGAUUUAUGUGAAUCGUACUGAACAUUGGAAUUGAUGUAUAAGAAAAAAAUUUUGUAGUCGUUUAAGGAAAAAAAUUAUUCAAUUGGGAAUUUUUUUCCUUUAAUUUUUGUUGUACUUGAUUGAGAUUUCUCCUUAGUCCCUACAGUUUUAAGUUUGGAAACCGUAGGAUUAGUAAUUUCGUACUUCCUUUGCAAGCUGAGUAUAAGGAUGAAAUUCUUUUAAGAAAUUAAAAAAGAUAAAAAAAAGCAUACCAAUAGGCAAUUAUAAAUAACCACAAAUAAAUAUAAACAAAAUGUUUAUGACGUAAAUUAAACAUGCUCAAUUAUUUUCUUUUAUUUUCUGCUCGGAAACCCAUAAAUGCACUAAUCCAGUAUUACUAAUUUCAGACAGAAAAAUUUGAAUUUAACCGGUAUACAUUUCUACAAACCAAACAAGGCUAUUAUUUUUAUUAUUAUUUUUUUUUUUUUAUAAAUUACUAUUUUAAUUUUUCACUUUUUAUUGGGUUGCUUAACAGAUUAGUGAAGUUGGUGGUCGUUGAUGCACUCACAAGGUACAAUUUUAUUUUAGAAAUUGAAAUUUCGUAUUUUAAAAUGCAGGCACAUUAUGUAUGCAUAAUUAUUGAUUUUCAUAUGUGGGUGUUUUGAAAUAUUGCUAAAAGACCAAACUUUAAUAAACUAUUUUUGAUCUUUUUUUUUCCUUUGUACCUAAAGUUAGAGUGAUAUCCGCAUUUUAAAUUCAUGUGGACCAAAAGCUAAUGUAUGGACAAAAUUAUUUUAUUUUUCCGAGAAAAAUGGGUAAGAGAAGAAGAUUUUUCUCUUGAAAAAGAAAAACUAAUACGUUGCAAGCAUAGGAAAGAGGCUAGUGUGUUUGGAUUUGAAUUUAGUAUUGAGUUCAAUUUUAUGCUAAGCUCUUUUAUAAUACUGCGAUUAGGGAGCCCUUAAGUUACAUGUAAUAUAACUUACACUCGCUCACUUAAAUAGUGGGUGGGUUGGGGGCCCACUCACUGUUCAUGUGAGUGAGUGUAAGUUCCAUUAUAUGUAAUUUAGCACUUGCCUUGCGAUUAAUAAGCUCAGGAUUUGCUUUUGCUUUUACUUCAAGUAAAAGAAAGAGGAAACCUUUUGUUUUUUGUUUGAUUUUUGACUAUAUAUGUUACCUAUAUAGAGAGUUGAGAUGGCUGCCUUAAGUGAUGGUGAUAAAAAGAUUAAGCAGCGCACACAAUCUUACUAUCGUCCAGACUGUCCAGUGAUAGACUCUAGUUUUUUGGUUACAUUAGCUUUAGUGGAAAGAAGGGCCAAUUUAACAAAGACUAGAUUUGGUGGCUUGUUGUAAUGCUUAUUCUCAGGGAAUCUAAGGUUAUAAGAUGAUUGAAUGAUCUUCUAUGAUUGUGAGCAGUAUAUUAUAAUUGAAGAGAGCUUGGGCUCCUAUGAUGUAUAACAAUAACACAUUACUAUGAUUGAGAAAACUCAGUUACAAUAAACUCUUCAUUUAUUCAUUGCUGAGAUUGAAUGGCAAAUAGAGAAUAGAAUGAAGCAGAGGAAUCUCAUUGCCUGUAAAAUUGAGCCUAUUUAAUAUUACUUGUAGUUUUUAUUGUAAAAUAUACAGGUAUGACCAUGAUCAGAUGCUUUUUUUAAAAACAAAUGAGACAUCUUUGAUUUAUGGUAGUUUUAGAGAAAAAAAAAACAUAUAAAAAUUAAGAGGGAUGAGUUAACUGACGAUUACAAUCAUUACAGCAAUGCUGAUGAGUGAUACAUCACUUGAAAUUUAUUUGUCAGUUGCUGUAAUGAUGGAAAAAAACAAUAAACAAUAACAGUAAUAAUGUUCCCUUGCUGAAAUUCAAUUUUGACUUUCGACUCUUGGCUUUUAUGGAGAGUAAAAUGACUUGUAUAUUAUCCUCAUACAAUCCACUCUACAUAAUGAUAUCAUUUUAAUAAGGCAAUGGCUGAUGAUCUCCAUUGAAAAACUUUUUGUUUUAUUUAACUUUUUGGUUGUUGAAAAUAACCUUAAUUAUCAAAUAAUCAGAGAAAGAGUAAAGAACAUUUAACAAAUUUAUGUGCCAAAAAAAAAAGGAGAAAUUGAAGAGAAAGGAUGCUUGCAGAAGUGGGUGUCAAAGAGAUAAAUCGGUCUAUAAGAAUUAUUGUGGUUAUUUUUUUGGUGCCUUGGAGUUCUUUAAAUUAAGGGCCCAGUUUGUCCAUUUGUUUCAGUUAGGUCCUUAUUAAAAAUUAAUUUUAAUAUUGGUUUUCUUAAUUAUAACUAAUACUAAUGAUAUUUCAUAGUUAUAAAUAUAUUAGAAUUAAUCCAAAACAUUUUUUAGUGUGGCAUGGCUAAAACUACCUUUUCUAUUAGUAAUUACUACUUUUGCAUUAAGGAAAAUACUCCUAUUUUUAGAAAAAAGUCAAGUACCUAUAGUUGUGAGAACUUGAGCUCACUCGCUUAUGAUAAAUCUUCAUAUUAAUUACGAAAAUAUCCUCUAAAUUUUAACUAAACUAUUCGAAAUUCAAUGUUAUUCGGAUAUUUCGUUUAUUUGAGCAGGGGUUAGGGGUCAAUUUGAUACAAAUUCAAAAUUAUCCUCAUUUGCGAAGAUGAUAAAAAUUAGGGAUUUAAUUUGGAUGUCACUGGCCACAAAUAUUAAACUCAUGCAUCUCAAAAUUAGAGGGCUGAUAUAUAUGCAUUAUCGUUAUAUUGACAUGUGUCACCAUCCCACAACCUCUCCAAUGAAAAAUUGACAUGCAUCUUGUGUGCUUCUUAUCAAAAUCCUGAAAAUUAAUCACAAAGUUAUAUUUUUAUUAUAAAAAGAAGAAAGAAACUCCAUAAGUGAAAAAAAAAAAGACUUAAACAUAAAUAUUUUAGAUAAUCUAGAUUUCAAGUUGUCUAUACUAGCUUGAUAUUUUUAUAAAUAUCAAGAUUUCAAGUUGUCCAUAGUAGCUUGAUAUCUUCUAAAAAAAUUCCAUCAACAUAUAUUUUAAUUUUACGUUAAUUAAUAAAUAGAAAAUUCAUUUUAGAAUUAAUUAAAACAUUAUUUAUUGUUGCCAAAGAAGGAAGUACUUAGCGAUAAGAAAAAAGUGUCUCAAAUAUAUGUUAAAAAAAAAUCAUGGUCGGUUGGACUGAUUGAAUUUUUUUUUCUUUUUCUUUUUUAAGAAUUAAGACAAUUGGAUUGAUUGAGUAAUAAUAAAAUAUAUUUAUUUGGCAAAUGGCAGGUAGGCUUUCUUCUGAUGCAGAUUGAUUAGAGAGAAUAUGCAGCAAUUUUAAGCUUGUCAGAUUCGGAGGCUGCUUAUCUGUCGUGUGGGGAUCACUUCCAUGUCUUAUUUUUCUUGAAAAAUCUGGACCGUUGGAUUUACCAUUAGUCAAUAGAGAAAUGCUGAUCUUGAUUCUUGAUCAAGAUCGAAGUUUGAUUCUAUCUAACAUGAUAUCAGAUUGCGAAGCAAGCAAAUUGAAAGUAACUUGUUCUAUUUUGAUGGAAGAAACACAAUUUCUAUUGUUCUAAUAAAAAAUUUUAAUUAUACAUAUUUUUCUUUUGCCACUUGGGUUUGUAGUCCAGUGGUGAACUAUUGGCCUUAAAGUUAAGUAUGACUAUGAGGGCAAUGGUUCGAGUGCCCACGAACUCAAACUCCCUCAAUUAAACAUAAUUAUGUGGAGAUUACUUAUAACGUCUUUCUCUCUUGUGAAAUCUGAGUGGAGUAGAAAUAUCCCUUUCCCGUGAGGGUUAUUUGGCUAGGCAUGUACUUUAUAGAAUAAAAAUGUAAUAAUGUAAGUCAGUGCAAUGAUCUACUGUCAUAGUAGUUGUAAAUAUCUAGGUGUAAUACAGUAACCUGAUGCUUAAUCAGUUAAAAAAAAUGUAUAUCUUUUUUUUAUUUUUUUCAUUGUGAUCACUAUAACUAGUCAAAUUUAUUUUUAAAUAUUUUUUAAAAAAAUAUUUUAUUAACAAUGAUAUGAAAAUAUUCGAACCCCUUCUCAUAGUAAAGUGAAUUACUAUCCAACUGAUGCCUUCAAACUGUAAAUUGCAAAUCGUGUGUUUGCUCCAUUACAGGGUGUCUUCAAUUUAAAAUAGAGAAUAAUUUGGUUCUAGAUUAAUCGUGGGUCUAUAUCCAAAUCCAAAAAUUGACUAACUUGAUUUCUAUUAAGUUCUCAACCCUAACACGAAAAAUAGAAGAUUAAAAAUGACUAUUUUGGUUUCUAUUAAUUUGAGUAACACUUAAUAUUUAUCAUACAAUAGUCACUUAUAUUAUCAAAAUCUUGGGUCGAAAAUAUUAGGAUAGGUGAUAAUUGGAAUUAAGUUGUAGAUAAGAUAGAAAUGGAUUUGGAGAGAGAUUGGAAUCCUGGCUAAUCCGGUGCACGUUGUUGCGUUAAAUUCUCGUUGACUUCACGUUGACCGAAGCAUUAUUGGAAGAAACAAGCAAGCUUAUUUUCUUCUCUCAUUUUUUACUUUUGUCUAAAUUUAUUGAUGUGAGGCCUCUGAGAUGGUAAAGUGUUAAAUCUGAGAAGAGUACCCACACACCCAUUAUCCUAUUACUCUUAUUUUAUCACAUGCAGAGACGUCAACGUUUGAUUCGCACGGAAAAAAAUUUGCUAGGAUUGUGAGGGUUGAUGUAAUGUAAUUUAGAUGCAAAGUGUUCACAAGUGCGAUGCUUCGUAAGUGUACUUGAAUCAUUAUAAACUCACCUUAUUUUCAUAGUGAUUAUUUCAUCUGCAUGUGAAUAUAAUCAUAUGUGGAGAUUUUUUUCCUAAAUUAUGAUCUUCUCUGGUAUUGAGGUGUUAUAUUUUUUAAAGGUUAAUGUUAAGUUACAUGCAUGUAACUUACAACCCUCUCACAUGAAUAGUGAGUGGACCCACACCAUUCACUAUUCAUAUGAGAGGGUUGUAAGUUACAUCCUCUUUUAAAUUAUAAUUAUUAUUAUAAAAAAACUGCAACUAUGAAAAAAAAUUAAUAUUAUGUCCUGAAUAUAAUUGUUAAAUAAUAAUUUUGACAAAAUUAAUGAAUAUAUACAGUUUUUUUAUCAUAUAAGUGUAAAAUUAUAUCAAAUUAGCUUUUAAAUUAUACAGUGGCUACUGCUUAUCAAACACUUUAGUGUUGUAACUUUUAAGUUAUAACUGUCUAGCCUUUAACCUCAAUCUCAAACGAGGCUUAUAAAGAUCAAGGAUUUCCUCAUAAAAAUUAUACGUCUUGUGAUUGCUUAUUUAAUUUAUAUUUUCGUUAUUUAUCUUUAUUAAUUAUAGUCAUCUUUUUAUAAAUUACAAUUGGAGAAAGUUGGUUGAUGUUGUUGACACACACACACACAUACAAAGAUAUAUUGGAAGUGCUUAUUAUGUCGACUCGAAGUUGUGGGGAGUUAAUGCAUGUAUUGAUUUAUUGGGAGUGUUUAAAUUAUUUUGUGAUUUACUUGAUAGAUUGAUUGAUUGAAUAUUGUUUGAUUGCUUCAUAUCAAUUCUGGAAAGUUUAUUUCUUUGUGAAAUUUCAACGAAAUAUGUUUUUUAAAAUAAUAAGGGUGUUUUAAGUAAUUUUGAAAAAUAAAUACACUAAUUAGAAUUAAUUAUUAAGUAAUUAACUCGAACUGUAGAGGAUAAGCAAACAUUUAUCCUAAUUAUAUUAUGAUAAAUCCUUUUCCAACUAGAAUUAGGAAACCAUAGAUAUACAGAUUUUUAUUUUUAUUUCCCUUUGCGAAAACGGAUUAGAGAAUUAGAAAACAAUCCUAGUGAGACUAUUGUUAGGUUUAAUAUUUUGUCGAAUUUGGAAACUUUUUGUCGAAUUAGAAAACAUGCGUGGUGAAUAUUUUGUCGCAUGCAAACUUUUUGUUUUAUGCAAAUCGUACUGAACAUUGGGACUGAUGUUUAAGAAAAAAAUUCUGUAGUUAAAGAAAAACAAAAAGGCAUGUUGAAUAGAUUACGAUAGUUUAUUCAAUUGGGAAUUUUUUUUCUUUAAUUUUUGUUGUACUUGAUUGAGAUUUCUCCUUGGUCCUUACAGUCUUAAGUUUGGAUACCGUAGGAUUAGUAAUUUCGUACUUCCUUUGCAAGCUGAGUAUAAGGAUGAAAUUCUUUUAAGAAAUUAAAAAAAAAUGAUAAAAAAGGCAUACCAGUAGGCAAUUAUAAAUAACCACAAAUAAAUAUAAACAAAAUGUUUAUGAAGUAAAUUAAACAUGCACAUAUUAUUUUCUUUUAUUUUCUGCUUGGAAACCCAUAAAUACACUAAUCCAGUACUACUAAUUUCAGAUAGAAAAAUUUGAACUCUAAGCUGCAGUUUGACUCAAAAUGAUGAUCACUGGCUUCGCACCAUUUAACCGGUAUACAUUUCUACAAACUGAACAAGGCUAUUGAUUUUUAUUAUUAUUUUAAUUUGUUUAUAAAUUACUAUUUUAAUUUUCACUUUUUAUUGGGUUGUGUAACGGAUUAGUGAAGCUGGUGGUCGUUGAUGCACUUACAAGGUACAAUUUUAUUUUAUAAUUUCAAAUUCGUAUUUUAAAAUGCAGGUACAUUAUGUAUACAUAAUUAUUGAUUUUCGUAUGAGGGUGUUUUGAAAUAUUGCUAAAAGACUAAACUUUAAUAAACUAUUUUUGAUCUUUUUUUUUCCUAAAGUUUGGGUGAUAUGCGCAUUUUAAAUUCAUGUGGAACAAAAGUUAAUGUUUGUAUAAAAAUUCUUUUAUUUUUUUGAGCAAAAUAGGCAAGCGAAAAAGUUUUGGCAAAUGAGUUGCAACUGAAUCCAAAACCAAUACAAUGCAAGCAUAGGAAAGAGGCCAGUGUUUAGGAUUUGAAUUUAGUAUUAAGCUGAAUUUUAUGGUACGCUCUUUUAGAGUACUGUGAUCGAUAAGCUCAGCCCCGGAUUUGCUUUUGCUUUUGCUUUUACUUCAAGUGAAAGAAAGAGGAAACCUUUUGUUUUUUCUUUGGUUUUCAACUAUGUUACCUAUACAGAGAGACAAGAUACCUGCCAUAAGUGAUGGUGUUAAAAAGAUUAAGCAGCGCACACAAACUUACUAUCGUCUAGACCAUCCAGUGAUGACCCUAGUCUUUUGGUUACGUUAGCUUUAGUUGAAAGAAGGGCCAAUUUAACAAAGACUAGAUUUGAUGGCUUACUAUGUUUAAUGUAAUGCUAAUUUUCAGGGAAUCUAAUGUUAUAACUUAUAAGAUGAUCUCCUAUGAUGAACAACAGUAACACAUUACUGUGAUUGAGAAAACUCAGUUACAAUAAACUCUUCAUUUACUCAUUGAGAAGAUUGAAUAGCAAACAGAGAAUAGAAUGAAGCAGAGGAAUCUCAUUGCCAAUAAAAUUGACCCUCUUUAAUGUUAUAUGGCACAGGUGUGGAGGAAGAACAAGUUACUUGCAGUUUUUAUAGUAAAAUAUACAGGUAUGACCAUGAUCAUUACAGUUAGGUUUUGAUGAUUUCGGAUGCUUUUUUUAAAAAAAAAAAAAUUGUGACAUCUUUGAUUUACGGUAGUUUUGUAGAAAAAAAAUAUAUAAAAAUUAAGAGGGAUGAGUUAAACUGACGAUUACAAUCAUUCCAGCAAUGCUGAUGAGUGAUACAUCACUUGAAAUUUACUUAUUAGUUGCUGAAAUGAUGAAAAAAAAAAACAAUAAACGAUAACAGUAAUAAUGUUCCCUUGCUGAAAUUCAAUUUUGACUUUCGACUCUUGGCUUUUAUGGAGAGUAAAAUGACUUGUAUAUUAUACUCAUACAAUCCACUCUACAUAAUGAUAUCGUUUUAAUAAGGCAAUGGCUGAUGAUCUCCAUUUAAAAACUACAUCAAUUUUUUUGCUUCAUUUAACUCUCUGGUUGUUGAAAAUAACCUUAAUUAUCAAAUAAUUGGAGAAAGAGUUAAGAACAUUUAACAAAUUUAUGUGCAAAAAAAAAAAAAAAAAGGAGAAGUUGAAGAGAAAGGGUGCUUGCAGAAGUGGGUGUCAAAGAUAAAUCGGUCCAUAAGAAUUAUUGGGGUUAUUUUUUGGCAAAAUAAGAACUUAUGCGAUAGCAUUUUUUAUGGGUGCAUAUAACCUCCCUUUAAAAAAAUAUAUAAUAAUUACUGCUUAAUAUAGUAUUAAAUACAAAAAUAUCAAUAUUUGACUACUUAAAUUUAUAUCAUUAGGUCCUUAAAAUUUAAAAUGGAAGAUAUGAAAGGAAAUAUAUAUAAAUUUCAUUGUCCUGGUAAAGGGCCCUCUUAUAAUCUUAUAAUAUUUGAACUUUGAUAGAUUUUUUGAAACAAAUGUACUUUUAUUUGUGUACAAUCAAUAUUUACUCAUUUAUUAUAUUUUAAUUUAUUAACUAUUAAUCAUGUAAGUAUACUUAAUCAGAAAAAUUAUAUCAAGAGAAAAUUCUAAUUUCACGCAAAAACAAAUACCAAAACAAAUAUCUCAAUUUCUAUACUAUUCACUUUCCUGUAGAAUCAAUUAUUUAAAAUGCAAGUUUGUGGCUACAGAAAACUCGCCAAAGAAAGAAGAUAAUAACAAUUGAGCAUUGAUAGCAAAACUAAUGCAUCCAAUUCUUCUUGACUUGAUGAGAUGGCGCCAUAACGUAGACACAAGUACCUAAAUUGACCGGCACUGAGUGAUGUGAAUACUACCAGCCAGUUCAUCUCUUCCAGUCUUGCUUAAUCACAAUCACAAACACCACGAGAUCGACAUUUGCAUUAUAUAUAUCUUCAGCAAUCGAAACACCUUGCAUUACCAAAUAAGCCCGUAACAGACAAAGCAAUCUUUCAUGGAGAGAAACCUUAGUCUCAGUAUGAUCACUGUGUCAUUAACCUACUGCCUGCUUCUUUGCUUGGUUGCUGCAGCAGCAGCAGCGGCAAGCAACAAUAUUACCACAGACCAACAAGCUCUUCUUGCCCUGAAAGAUCAUAUAAUUUAUGAUCCGACCAGCCUUUUAGCUCACAAUUGGACCUCGAAUACCUCUGUUUGUACCUGGAUUGGCAUCACUUGUGAUGCCAAUAGCCAUAGAGUCACAACCUUAGAUAUUUCUCAAUUCAAUCUACAAGGCACCAUCCCUCCUCAACUUGGAAACCUCUCUUCACUCACAACACUUAAUCUUAGUCAUAACAGGCUUUCUGGAAGCGUUCCCUCCUCCAUCUACACCAUGCAUACGCUAAAAUUUCUUGACUUCACUGAUAACCAGCUCUCUGGUUCAGUGUCUUCCUUCGUCUUCAACAUGUCUUCAAUAUUAGUAAUUCGUUUGACCAAUAACAUAUUUUCUGGUGAGCUUCCGAAAAAUAUUUGCAACUAUCUUCCUUAUUUGAAGGCCCUUUUCUUAAACAAAAACAUGUUUCAUGGCAAAAUUCCUUCUGCUUUAUCAAAGUGCAAACAACUGCAACAAUUAAAUUUGCAGUUCAAUAAUUUAUCCGGUGCAAUACCAAAAGAAAUCGGCAACUUGACUAUGCUCAAAGGGAUAUAUCUCCUCUACAACAAACUCCACGGUAUGUUCACAAUACUAUAUAAAUAUUUUAAUUUAUCACUUAUUAUCUUUCUUGAAUAAUUUAGCUAAGAUCUUGUAAGAGAGAUAUUUUGCAUCUACGUUAAUUUACCAGGUGAGAUACCCCACGAAAUCGCUAAUCUUCCAAAUCUAGAGGCUUUAGCGCUUGGAAUCAACAACCUAGUUGGUGUGUUACCAGCUCCCAUCUUCAACAUGUCAACACUGAAGGUACUUAUCCUCAUAAAUAACUCUCUCUCCGGAAGUCUUCCAUCAAGAGUAGACCUUUCACUUCCAACUGUUGAGCAACUUAACUUGGCACUUAAUAGAUUUUCUGGAACCAUUCCUAGUUCCAUCACCAAUGCUUCUAAGCUCACCUUUCUAGAGUUGGGAGCAAACACAUUUUCGGGGUUUAUUCCAAACACAAUUGGUAAUUUAAGAAACCUUAAGUGGCUCGGCUUGGCUAAUAACUCCUUGACAUCUUCAACCUCAAAAUUGAGCUUUCUUUCCUCUUUGGCAAAUUGCAAGAAAUUAAGAUUCGUAAACUUAAUAGGCAAUCCACUGGACGGCUUCCUUCCAAGUUCAAUAGGUAAUCUUUCUGUGUCUUUGGAAACACUUGGCAUCGGCAAUUGCAGUAUUAGUGGCAACAUUCCUCCAGCAAUUAGCAAUUUAAGCAACUUGUUGACCUUAGUAUUACACGGCAAUAAAUUGACUGGACCAAUCCCAACUACAUUCGGCCAACUGCAGAAACUCCAAGGCUUAGAUCUUGCAUUCAAUAAGUUGGUAGGUUCAUUCCCAGAUGAGCUUUGCCAUCUGGCAAGGCUGGAUCAAUUGAUCUUAUUUGGCAAUAAGCUUUCAGGAUCUAUACCUUCAUGCUUAAGCAACCUCACUUCUCUAAGAUCUCUCUAUUUAGGGUCUAAUAAGUUUACUUCUGUUAUUCCCUCAACCUUCUGGAGCCUAAAAGACAUCUUGUUCUUUGACUUUUCAUCAAAUUUCUUGGUUGGUCCUCUUUCUUUAGAUAUAGGAAAUUUGAAGGUGCUUCUAGGAAUAAGUUUAUCGAAAAAUAAUUUAUCCGGUGAUAUCCCAGCCACAAUUGGAGGACUGAAAGAUCUUCAAUUUAUGGACCUAGCAUAUAAUAGAUUGGAAGGCCCAAUUCCUAAAUCAUUUGGUGACUUGAUAAGUUUAGAAGUUCUGAAUUUAUCAAAUAAUAAAAUCUUUGGGUCUAUUCCAACAUCCAUGGAGAAACUUUUUUACCUCGGAGAGUUAAAUCUCUCUUUCAAUAAACUAGAAGGUGAGAUUCCUAGUGGAGGAACUUUUGCCAACUUCACAGCUAAGUCAUUUAUGGGAAAUGAGUUUUUGUGUGGUUUACAAAAUCUUCAAGUCCAACCAUGCAAAGUUAGCAAGCCGAGGACAGAACAUAAAUCAAGGAAAAAGAUACUUCUCAUUGUGAUUGUUUCGCCAUUGAGUAUUGCUCUAACAAUAGCAAUCACUCUAGCUCUCAAAUCUAAGCUGAUCGAAUGUGGAGAAAGAAGCACAGUGUUGUCAAAUGAUAGUAUCUUGUCAUCACAAGCAACACUAAGAAGAUUUUCAUACUUAGAACUUUUACAAGCAACAGAUAAUUUUGCUGAAAACAGCAUAAUUGGCAGAGGAGGUUUCGGUUCCGUUUAUGGAGCAAGACUUGAAGAUGGGAUGAAGAUUGCAAUAAAAGUGUUUCACAGGCAAUGUGCAAGCGCAUUGAAGAGUUUUGAGGCUGAAUGUGAAGUGAUAAAAAAAAUUCGCCAUCGAAACCUUAUCAAAGUUAUCAGCAGUUGCUCGAACGAUGACUUCAAAGCAUUAGUCCUAGAAUACAUGUCCAACGGGAGCUUAGGGGAUUGGCUGCAUUCGAGCAAUUACGUGCUGAAUAUUUUUCAAAGGUUGAACAUACUAAUUGACGUUGCAUCAGCUUUAGAAUACCUCCACUUCGAUCAUUCAACUCCUAUUAUUCAUUGUGACUUAAAGCCUAGUAAUGUAUUGUUGGACGAAAAUAUGGUUGCUCAUUUGAGUGAUUUUGGCAUAGCAAAGCUUUUAAGUGGAGAAGAUGAGUCUACGAUGCGAACAAAAACCCUUGCCACUAUAGGUUAUAUGGCACCAGGUUUGCUUCAAACAACUUUUUUUUUUUAAACUUCAUUUUAAAUUUUCUAAAUCAUUGAUUUUUACGAUCCUCAUAUCAAAUUGUUAUUGAUUAUUUAUCUAAUUGUGAAAUUAAUUUGAUUCAUAGAGUAUGGCAUAGGAGGAGAAGUAUCUACAAAAAGCGAUGUUUACAGCUAUGGGAUUAUGCUGAUGGAAACUUUUACCAAGAAAAAACCCACAGAUGAAAUUUUUGUUGGAGAAUUGAGCUUAAAGCAUUGGGUUAAUGACUUGCUUCCUAAUUCAUUAGUGGAAGUUGUGGACAAAACUCUGCUAAGUGGAGAGGAAAAACACUCUGCAGCAAAGGAGCAAUGUCUGUUGUCUAUCUUUAGUUUGGCUCUGGAGUGUACAAUGGAAUCACCGGAAAAGAGGAUUAAUGCAAAAGAUAUUGUUACCGGAUUACUCAAGAUAAGAGACACAUUCAGUAAAAGGAUAGGAAAUUUAAGUUAAUUUCGUUUGCUUUCAUUGAUAGUUAAUUCGAAUUCAUGUAAUAAGUGUAAGAAUCUUAUAUCUUUUCCUUUGAUAUAUUUUUUUUCUUGAGAAAACUGUUGUAGUCAUCUUGUUUCCAUGGGCAGAGUUGAUUUAGUUCUUCCAAAAAAUGCUACUGAUGACCUUUGUUUAAUACUUUCUCUUUUUUUGCAUGUGUUUAGGUAGAACAGUGGUUUGGCUGCAGGCUAAUAAGUCAAGCUACGCCAAAAGCGUAUGAUUUAAUUUAUUAAACAUAACUUCAAGUUCAAGAAGUGUUUCUCAUUGCCACCAAUGCUUUGGACACCUGUUGGAAGGUUUGUUGUCCUCAGCUUUUGUUUAGAGCAAAAGUUCGAGUCCCAUAAAGGCUCAAACAUUCCUUUCCUUCAUCCCGAGGGCGCCUUCUGUCCUCUGUUUUCUGUUUCCACACACAAAUAGCACAAAGAAUUUAGAAUGACAACUGGGACAUAUAUAAGAGUGAAAUAAUUAAAAAAAUUAUGCUUUUUUGUUUGUCGUGUUAAAAUCGUAAGUACCGAAGUACUGUGAAAGAGAUUAAUUUACAGAAACUGAAGCCAAGGGUUCAAAAAAAACUAUUGAUGUAGCUAGAAUGCAAUGUCAUAUUCAUACAGAGAUGAAGUAUAUUAUUUACGGCUGGUAAGGACUAGGAAUUGAUGUAGCUAGAAUCCAAAGAUGAUAAGGUAUGUUGUGCACUAUUGUUUUAUUCUACGGUCAAUCUUGACCCUUGGUGCUUGGCUCUCAAUCUUGUCCAUUGAUCUUCUCUGAUCUUGGAAACUUCAAGACCUUUCACUCUCAUGCCUUAUUAUUGGUGUCUUCCAUGCUGUAGCUUUCAAAUACAAGCUUUCCCGCCAACUUGCCAAUUAUUUGUCCGUUGGUGCAUUUUAUCAAACAGUUUGGAUACUUAUACCAAACGCCUCCUGUUUUAACUCCCCCCUCAAGCUCAAGCAUGUGGGAAGACAUUAAUAAGCUUGUUUCUCAAGUAUAUGUAUCUGAAAAUUAAAUUUUAUAAAUUAUAUUCGGACUCUACAUUUUCUAAUGAACAUUGGUUUGGCUUAUAAGCUUAUUAUACUCAGGUUUGGUAGGAGCCAUGUCACAAUGUUAACGCUAACCAGCAGUACUGCCAAAGCUGGCCAACUCAGCCUGCAAGUUCAUAGCAACCAUAGUUACAGUCCUAGUCCGGUACAAAAAUCGUAAAUAUCAUUUACAUUACAAUGGUGUGGGGGGGGGGGGGGGGGGGGGGGGGGGGUGGCUGGAGAGGGAAUCAACAAAGAUCUAGAACGAAGGGUAGGCUUGUAUCCGUAACCCAUGUCACAGUGUUAAUGCUAACCGUGGACCUUAUUAUAUUAGUUUCUGGACUAUUAUUACUUUUGAAUUGCCAUCUUUGAAUUUACGUUCAUUUCUGCCUCGACAAGAUGUUUGUAAAAAUAUGCUAAUUAUUAAUGUGCCGUGUACAAAUAAGCAUGUUACUGUGCAAGGAUUGUAGUCAUGAUACAGUGGUGCAAAAUGUACAUGCUACUUCUUCUUUUCCUCAGUUAGGAUCACCGUCGUCACCAUUUAAUUCUAAGUCCACCCAUGCGGCCUAUGCAAUUGAAAUCAUGUGACCAUGUAAUUUUAGGUUCUGAUCUUCCUUGUGGGGUUAAACCUCAAAACUGUGACCAUUUUGGGACUUUUAAUCAGUUCCAAUCAUUUUCUGGUUCCCAUUCGUCCACCCAAGCCUUGAUUCCCCCGAUAUAGCAUGGCAAUAUAUAUAGGAAUAUUAAGGUUGUGUACAGUUUUUUUCUUUUCUGUUUUUAAUUUGAUAUAAAUUAUCAAUCAUGAAUCUACAUAAAGUUUCAACUAGGCUACUACCACAAUAAACAUUUGGAUGAACUAUUAUUGAAACCUUAUUGAGAAGUAGGACAUGUCGCAUACCAAUGCACUGACAUAUCUUCAAAUAGUGGUAACUCCACACAACAUGGCACAAUAAAUUAAGAGUUAUAUAGAUAAAAUCUUUCACUCUUUGGUAAUCAUCAAUGUCGGCAUGACAAUGCGUCCCACAAAUAUGGCUCCUUAUCAAAAUUCAUAAAUCAAAACAAAAAUAGAGAAUCAUAUUUGUUCCAGAUUGUAGUGAUGGUUGUUGAUGCACUCACAAUUUACAAUUUUAUUUAAUAUCUUCAAAUUCGCAUUUUAAAAUGCCCAAAUGUUUGUGUAUACAUAAUUAGAUAAAAUCUUUCAUUCUUUGGUAAUCAUCAAUUUCACUAUUAUUCGCUUUAUUAUGUUUGUUUCUUUCAGUAUGUUAAAAGAUUAUGUUGUGAAUUUGUUUUACAGGCCGCCCGUAAGUCUGCGCCCACUGUUGUGAAUUUGUGUAUACAUAAUUAGUAAUCGAUUCUCAAGCACGGACAUUUAAAAGCACUGCCGAAAGACAAAAUUUUAAUUUACUAUUUUUUGUCUUUUAAUUUUCUUUAAGUUUUAAUGAUUCCGCAUUUUAAAAUCCUGUGGAACGUGUAUGUAAAAUUCUUUUAUCUUUUAGAGGAAAACGGGCAAGAGAAGAAUAUUUGGCAAAGGAAUUGCAACCGCAUUUGGAGCUAUAUUUAAUUUUGUCUUUUAAGUCUUUUACACUUGUUUUUGUUAUUGAUGUUAGCUUGGAUGUGUGUGCGUGUGCGACUGAAUUCAACUUACAUGCUAUUGAUGCAGCCACCAAAAAGGGGUGGUCCAUCAUCAAUCAACAAGGUUUAUUAUUAUUAAUUUCCAUAUUGAUUUUCUUAAUUAUAAAUAAUACUAAUGUUAUUUCAUAGUUAUAAAUAUAUUAGAAUUAAUCGAAAUCAUUUUUUAGUGCGGCAUGGCUAAAACUACCCUCUUCUUUUUUUUUAUAAGUAAUUACUACUUUCACAUUAAGAAAAAUACUCCUAUUUUUUAGGAAAAGUCAAGUACCUGUAGUUGUGAAGACUCGAGCUCACUCCCUUAUGAUAAAUCUUCAUAUUAAUUACGUAAAUAUCCUCUAAAAUUUUAAAUUAGCUAUUCAAAAUUUGAUGUUAUACGGGUAUUUCAUUUAUUUGAGUAGGGGUUAGGGGUCAAUUGGAUACAAAUUCAAAAUUAUCCUUACUUGAGAUGGUGAUAAAAAUUGGGGAUUUAAUUUGGAUGUCAUUAGCUACAAAUAUUAAACUCAUACAUUUAAUUCAAAAUUGGAGGGCUGAUAUAAGCGCAUCAUCCCACAACCUCUCCAAUGAAAAAUUAACACGUUUCUUGUGUGCAUUUGAUCAGAAUCCUGAAAAUUAAUCACAAAAUUGUCCUGGAAAAAAAAAUACUUACAUAAAUGGUUUGAAAAAUCUAGAUUUCAAGUUGUCUAUAUUAGGUUGAUAUUUUUAUAAAUAGUCAUCCUCUCAAAAAAAUUCCGUCAAAAUAUAUUUUAAUUUUAUGUUAAUUCAUAAACAUGAAAAAAUCAUUUCAGAAUUAAUUAAAACAUAAUUUAUUGUUUCUCAAAAAAGGUAGAACUUAGUGAUAAGAAAAAAGUAUCUCAAAUAUAUGUAAAAAAAAAAAAAAUCUUGGUUAGUUGGAAUGAUUGAAUUUGUUUUUUUUUUUCUUUUUUAAGAAUUAAGACAAUCGGAUUGAUUGAGUAAUAAUAAUAUAUAUUUAUUUGGCAAAUGGCAGGUAGGCUUUCGUCUCAUGCAGAUUGAUUAGAGAGAAAAUAUAACAAUUUUAAGCUCGUCAGAUUCGAAGCUGCUUUCCUGUCGUGUGGGGAUCACUUCCGUGUCUUAUUUUUCUAGAAAAAUCAGGACCAUUGGAUUUAUGCGAAUCGUACUGAACAUUGGAAUUGAUGUAUAAGAAAAAAAUUCUGUAGUUUAAGAAGAACAAAAAGGCAUGUUGAAUAGAUUACAAUAGUUUAAGGAAAAAAAUUAUUCAAUUGGGAAUUUUUUUUUUCUUUAAUUUUUGUUGUACUUGAUUGAGAUUUCUCCUUAGUCCUUAGAGUUUUAAGUUUGGAAACCGUAGGAUCAGUAAUUUCGUACUUCCUUUGCAAGCUGAGUAUAAGGAUGAAAUUCUUUUAAGAAAUUAAAAAAGAUAAAAAAAAGCAUACCAAUAGGUAAUUAUAAAUAACCACAAAUAAAUAUAAACAAAAUGUUUAUGAAGUAAAUUAAACAUGCUCAUAUUAUUUUCUUUUAUUUUCUACUUGGAAAUCCAUAAAUACACUAAUCCAGUAUUACUAAUUUCAGACAGAAAAAUUUGAAUUUAACCAGUAUACACUAAUCCAGUAUUAUUUUUAUUAUUAUUUUAAUUUGUUUAUAAAUUACUAUUUUAAUUUUCACUUUUUAUUGGGUUGUUUAACGGAUUAGUGAAGCUGGUGGUCGUUGAUGCACUCACAAGGUACAAUUUUAUUUUAGAAUUUCAAAUUCGUAAUUUAAAAUGCAGGCACAUUAUGUAUACAUAAUUAUUGAUUUUCAUAUGUGGGUGUCUUGAAAUAUUGCCAAAAGAUCAAACUUUAAUAAACGAUUUUUGAUCUUUUUUUUUCCUUUGUACCUAAAGUUUGAGUGAUAUCCGCAUUUUAAAUUCAUGUGGACCAAAAGCUAAUGUAUGCACAAAAUUCUUUUAUUUUUUCCGAGAAAAAUGGGUAAGAGAAGAAGAUUUUUCUCUUGAAAAAGAAAAACUAAUACGUUGCAAGCAUAGGAAAGAGGCCAGUGUUUUGGAUUUGAAUUUAGUAUUGGGUUGAAUUUUAUGCUAAGCUCUUUUAUAAUACUUUAUAGAAUAAAAAUGUAAGGGGUAUUUGGUUAGGCAUGUACUUUGUAGAAUAAAAAUGUAAUAAUGUAAGUCAGUGCAAUGAUCUGCUGUCAUAAUAGUUGUAAAUAUUUAUGUGUAAUAUAGUAACAUGAUGCUUAAUCAGUUAAAAAAAAAUUGUAUAUCUUUUUUUAUUUUUUUUUAUUGUGAUCAAUAUAACUAGUCAAAUUUAUUUUUAAAUAUUUUUUUAAAAAUAUUUUUAUCGUGUGUUUGCUCCAUUACAGGGUUUCUUCAAUUUAAAAUAGAGAAUCAUUUGUGUUCUAGAUUAAUCGUGGGUCUAUAUCCAAAUCCAAAAAUUGACUAACUUGAUUUCUAUUAAGUUCUCAACCCUAACAAGAAAAAUAGAAGAUUAAAAAUGACUAUUUUGGUUUCUAUUAAUUUGAGUAACGCUUAAUAUUUAUCAUACAAUAGUCACUUAUAUUAUCAAAAUCUUGGGUCGAAAAUAUUAGGAUAGGUGAUAAUUGGAAUUAAGUUGUAGAUAAGAUAGCCUUUCAAAAAAAAGAAAAGAAAAAAAGUUGUAGAUAAGAUAGAAAUGGAUUUGGAGAGAGAUUGGAAUCCUGGCUAAUCCGGUGCACGUUGUUGCGUUAAAUUCUCGUUGACUUCACGUUGACCGAAGCAUUAUUGGAAGAAACAAGCAAGCUUAUUUUCUUCUCUCAUUUUUUACUUUUGUCUAAAUUUAUUGAUGUGAGGCCUCUGAGAUGGUAAAGUGUUAAAUCUGAGAAGAGUACCCACACACCCAUUAUCCUAUUACUCUUAUUUUAUCACAUGCAGAGACGUCAACGUUUGAUUCGCACAGAAAAAAAUUUGCGAGGAUUGUGAGGGUUGAUUCAAUAUAAUUUAGAUGCAAAGUGUUUACAAGUGCGAUGCUUCGUAAGUGCACCCGAAUCAUUAUAAACUCACCUUAUUUUCAUAGUGAUUAUUUCAUCUGCAUGUGAAUAUAAUCAUAUGUGGAGAUUUUUUUUUCCCUAAACUAUGAUCUUCUCUGGUAUUAAGGUGUUAUAUCUUUUAAAUUAUAAUUAUUAUUAGUAAAAAACUGCAACUAUGAAAAAGAAAUUUAAUAUUAUGUCCUGAAUAUAAUUAUUAAAUAAUAAUUUUGACAAAAUUAAUGAAUAUAUACAGAUUUUUUUAUCAUAUAAAUGUAAAAUUAUAUCAACUUAGCUUCUAAGCUAUACAACGGCUACUAUUUACUAAAUACUUUAGUGUCGUAGUUUUUAAGAUAUAUUUAUCCAACCUCAAUCCCAAACAUAACCUGUAAGGAUAAAAAAUUUCAUCCUAAAAAUUAUACGUCUUGUGACUUAUUUAAUUUAUAUUUUUGUUAUUUAUAUUUACUAAUUAUAGUCAUCUUUUAAUAAAUUACAAUUGAAGGAAGGUGGUUGAUGUUGUCGAGACACACACACAAAGAUAUAUUGGAAGUGCUUAUGUCCACUCGAAGUUGUGGGGAGUUAAUGCAUGUAUUGAUUUAUUGGGAGUGUUAAUGCAUGUAUUGAUUGAUUGAGUGAUUGAAUACUGUUUGAUUGCUUCAUAUCAAUUCUAGAAAGUUUAUUUCUUUGUGAAAUUUCAACGAAACGUGUUUUUUUAGAAUAAUAAGGGUGUUUUAAGUAAUUUUAAAAAAUGAAUGGACUAAUUAGAAUUAAUUAUUAGGUAAUUAACUCGAAUUGUAGAGGGUAAGCAAACAUUUAUCCUAAUUAUAUUAUGAUAAAUCCUUUUCCAAUUAGAAUUAGGAAACCAUAGAUAUACUGAAUUUUUUUUAUUUCCCUUCGCGAAAACGGAUUAGAGAAUUAGAAAACAAUCCUAGUGAUACUAUUGUUAGGUUUAAAACACUGCAUAGAUGGUAAAAACAUUGGAAUUGAUGUAGAUUAAUUUGUUAAUUGCUAUCGUACUGAACAUUGUUUUAUGCAAAUUAAUUUGAGAAUUAGAAAAUAUUUUGUUGCAUGCAAACUUUUUGUUUUAUGCAAAUCGUACUGAACAUUGGGACUGAUGUUUAAGAAAAAAAUUCUGUAGUUAAAGAAAAACAAAAAGGCAUGUUGAAUAGAUUACGAUAGUUUAUUCAAUUGGGAAUUUUUUUUUUUAAUUUUGUUGUACUUGAUUGAGAUUUCUCUUUAGUCCUUUCGUACUUCCUUUGUAAGCUGAGUAUAAGGAUGAAAUUCUUUUAAGAAAUUAAAAAAGAAAAAAAAGCAUGCCACUACGCAAUUAUAAAUAACCACAAAUAAAUAUAAACAAAAUGUUUAUGAAGUAAAUUAAACAUGCACAUAUUAUUUUCUUUUAUUUGCUGCUUGGAAACCCAUAAAUGCACUAAUCCAAUAUUACAAUUAAUUUCAGACAGAAAAAAUUGAACUCUAGGCUGCAGUUUGACUCAAAAUGAUGACCACUGGCUUCGCACCAUUCAACCGGUAUACAUUUCUACAAACCGAACAACGCUAUUGAUUUUUAUUAUUUUUUUAAUUUUUUUAUAAAUUACUAUUUUAAUUUUCACUUUUUAUUGGGUUGUUUAACGGAUUAGUGAAGCUGGUGGUCGUUGAUGCACUCAUAAGGUACAAUUUUAUUUUAGAAUUUCAAAUUCGUAUUUUAAAAUGCAGGCACAUUAUGUAUACAUAAUUAUUGAUUUUCAUAUGUGGGUGUUUUGAAAUAUUGCCAAAAGACCAAACUUUAAUAAACUAUUUUUGAUUUUUUUUUCCUUUUUACCUAAAGUUGGAGUGAUAUCCGCAUUUUAAAUUCAUGUGGAACAAAAGCUAAUGUAAGCACAAAAUUCUUUUAUUUUUUCCGAGAAAAAUGGGUAAGAGAAGAAGAUUUUUCUCUUGAAAAAGAAAAAAAAAUACAAUGCAAGCAUAGGAAAGAGGUCAGUGUUUUGGAUUUGAAUUUAGUAUUGAGCUGAAUUUUAUGCUAAGCUCUUUUAUAGUACUGCGAUUAAUAAGCUAGCUCAGGAUUUGCUUUUGCUUUUACUUCAAGUAAAAGAAUGAGGAAGCCUUUUGUUUUUUUGUUUGAUUUUUGACUAUAUAUGUUACCUAUAUAGAGAGUUGAGGUAGCAGCCUUAAGUGAUGGUGAUAAAAAGAUUAAGCAGCGCACACAAUCUUACUGUCGUCGAGACCAUCCAGUGAUGGCUCUUGUUUUUUUGUUACGUUAGCUUUAGUGGAAAGAAGGACCAAUUUAACAAAGACUAGAUUUGGUGGCUUACUAUGUUUAAUGUAAUGCUUAUUCUCAGCGCACACAAUCUUACUAUGUUUAAUGUAAUGGUUAUGUUGAAUGAUCUUCUAUGAUUGUGAGUAGUAUAGUAUAAUUGCAAGGGGCCUGGGCUCCUAUGAUGAAUAACAGUAACACAUUACUGUGAUUGAGAAAACUCAGUUCCAAUAAACUCUUCAUUUACUCAUUGCGGAGAUUGAAUGGCAAACAGAGAAUAGAAUGAAGCAGAAGAAUCUCAUUGUUAGGUUUUGAUGAUUUCAGAUGCUUUUUAAAAAAAAACAAUUGUGACAUCUUUGAUUUAAGGUAGUUUUGCAAAAAACAAAACAUAUAAAAAUUAAGAGGGAUGAUUUAACUGACGAUUACAAUCAUUACAGCAAUGCUGAUGAGUGAUAAAUCACUUGAAAUUUACUUGUCAGUUGCUGAAAUGAUGAAAAAAAACAAUAAACGAUAACAGUAAUAAUGUUCCCUUGCUGAAAUUCAAUUUUGACUUUCGACUCUUGGCUUUUAUGGAGAGUAAAAUGACUUGUAUAUUAUACUCAUACAAUCCACUCUACAUAAUGAUAUCGUUUUAGUAAGGCAAUGGCUGAUGAUCUCCAUUUAAAAACUACAUCAAUUUUUUUUUGCUUCAUUUAACUUUUUGGUUGUUGAAAAUAACCUUAAUUACCAAAUAAUUGGAGAAAGAGUUAAGAACAUUUAACAAAUUUAUGUGCAAAAAAAAAAGAAGGAGAAGUUGAAGAGAAAGGGUGCUUGCAGAAGUGGGUGUCAAAGAUAAAUCGGUCCAUAAGAAUUAUUGUGGUUAUUUUUUGGCAAUAUAAAAAAUUUUUAGUAAGUAAAAAUAAUUUUUUUUUCGAUUUACUAAAAAAUUAACUAAAAACUUCUGCGAUAGCAUUUUUUAUGGGUGCAGAUACCCUCCCUUUAAAAAAAAUAUAAUAAUUACUGCUUAAUAUAGUAUUAAAUACGAAAAUAUCAAUAUUUGACUACUCAAAUUUAUGUCAUUAGGUCCUUCAAAUUUAAAAUGGAAGAUAUGAAAGGAAAUAUAUAUAAAUUUCAUUGUCCUGGGAAAGGACCCUCUUAUAAUCUUAUAAUAUUUGAACUUUGAUAGAUUUUUUGAAACAAAUUUAGAUAGAUUUUUUGAAACAAAUUUACUUUUAUUUGUGUACAAUCAAUAUUUACUUAUUUAUUAUAUUUUAAUUUAUUAACUAUCAAUCAUGUUAAUAUAUUUAGUCAGAAAAAUCAUAUCAAGAGAAAAUCAUGACCCCACGCACGGAUAAAUACGUUAAUUUCUAUACUAUUCACUUUCCUGUAGAAUCAAUUAUUUAAAAUGCAAGUUUGUGGCUACAGAAAACUCGCCAAAGAAAGAAGAUAAUAACAAUUGAGCAUUGAUAGCAAAACUAAUGCAUCCAAUUCUUCUUGACUUGAUGAGAUGGCGCCAUAACGUAGAAACAAGUACCUAAAUUGACCGGCACUGAGUGGUGUGAAUACUACCAGCCAGUUCAUCUCUUCCAGUCGUGCUUAAUCACAAUCACAAACACCACGAGAUCGACAUUUGCAUUAUAUAUAUCUUCAGCAAUCGAAACACCUUGCAUUACCAAAUUAACCAGCAACAAACAAAGCAAUCUUUCAUGGAGAGAAACCUUAGUCUCAGUAUGAUCACUGUGUCAUUAACCCACUGCCUGCUUCUUUGCUUGGUUGUUGCAGCAGCAGCAGCAGCAAGCAGCAAUAUUACCACAGACCAACAAGCUCUUCUUGCCCUGAAAGAUCAUAUAAUUUAUGAUCCGACCAACCUUUUAGCCCAUAAUUGGACCUCGAACACCUCUCUUUGUACCUGGAUUGGCAUCACUUGUGAUGCCAAUAGCCAUAGAGUCACAACCUUAGAUAUUUCUCAAUUCAAUCUACAAGGCACCAUCCCUCCUCAACUUGGAAACCUCUCUUCACUCACAACGCUUAAUCUUAGUCAUAAUAAGCUUUCUGGAAGCGUUCCCCCCUCCAUCUACACCAUGCAUACGCUAAAAUUUCUAGACUCCACUGCUAACCAGCUCUCUGGUUCAGUGUCUUCCUUCGUCUUCAACAUGUCUUCAAUAUUAGACAUUCGUUUGACCAAUAACAGACUUUCUGGUGAGCUUCCGAAAAAUAUUUGCAACUAUCUUCCUCAUUUGAAAGCCCUUUUUUUGGACAAAAACAUGUUUCAUGGCAAAAUUCCUUCUGCUUUAUCAAAGUGCAAACAACUGCAACAAUUAAAUUUGCAGUUCAAUAAUUUAUCCGGUGCAAUACCAAAAGAAAUCGGCAACUUGACUAUGCUCAAAGGGAUAUAUCUCCUCUACAACAAACUCCACGGUAUGUUCACAAUACUAUAUAAAUAUUUUAAUUUAUCACUUAUUAUCUUUCUUGAAUAAUUUAACUAAGAUCUUGUAAGUGAGAUUUUUUGCAUCUAUGUUAAUAACCAGGUGAGAUACCCCACGAAAUCGCUAAUCUUCAAAAUCUAGAGGCUUUAGGGCUUGGAAUGAACAACCUAGUUGGUGUGUUACCAGCUCCCAUCUUCAACAUGUCAACACUGAAGGUACUUAUCCUCAUAAAUAACUCUCUCUCCGGAAGUCUUCCAUCAAGAAUGGACCUUUCACUUCCAACUGUUGACCAUCUUAACUUGGCACUUAAUAGAUUUUCUGGAACCAUUCCUAGUUCCAUCACCAAUGCUUCUAAGCUCACCUUUCUGGAGUUGGGAGGAAACACAUUUUCGGGGUUUAUUCCAAACACAAUUGGUAAUUGUUGUUUGUGAAAGCAAAUCCAGAAAACCAAAACGGCAGAAGACUUUGCGUUUAGAAGCUGGAAACACUUAAACUCAAAACGGCACAGGAGCCUGCGUUUUGGUGAGUAAAAGAAAUGCACUCCUGGACGACGUAUGGGUUUGACGUUUAGAUUUAAGUGAUUCACGCGUAUAUCACGUGCUUGAGUUCAGCCUUGCAAAGUUCGUUAUAUGUCGUUAGGAGCACGAAGAGCUCACGUGAGGUGCUGGGGUUUUUCUGGGUUUAUUAGCUAAAGCUGUUAUGGAACAGCUGAUGUGGAAGCAACGGACUGGAGAGCAGAGAGAGCUAAAGAUAGAGAAGGGAACUGGUUAUAUAAGCUAGUUAUAAUCUGUCUUUUAGGGACUAAGCAUUUACUCUGUAAUUCAUCUGAAAGAAAUCAAUAAAGCUGUGUUCUUUCCCUCCCGUGGAUGUAAGCUAGAGAAGUCUAGCUGAACCACGUUAAGAUUCUUUGUUCUUUCUUUACAUUACUUUCUUUUGAUUCUUUAGACCAAUUUUGUUUACCAUUUAAGUUCCAUAGAUUUCAUCUUAGUCAUAGCUUUUCGGUAAGCCAUCUUGCUGCAUCUUGUUCUGUUGGCUGGAGAUCUUGGGGCAGAGUCUUGGGUUGCUCUAUCAGUCUUUAGCACCUGAGAUUCUACAGUAAUUUAAUAAACCUUGAGUGGCUCAACUUGGGUAAUAACUCCUUGACAUCUUCAACCUCAAAAUUGAGCUUUCUUUCCUCUUUGGCAAAUUGCAAGAAAUUAAGAGUCAUAGGCUUAACAGGCAAUCCACUCAAUGGUAUCCUUCCAAGUUCAGUAGGUAAUCUUUCUAUGUCUUUGAAAACACUUGUCAUCGGCAAUUGCAGUAUUAUUGGCAACAUUCCUCGAGUAAUUGGCAAUUUAAGCAACUUGUUGGCCUUAUCAUUAGAAGGCAAUAAAUUGACUGGAUCAAUUCUAAUUACAUUCGCCCGACUACAGAAACUCCAAGGCUUAGAUCUCGCAUUCAAUAAGUUGGUAGGUUCAUUCCCAGAUGAGCUUUGCCAUCUAGCUAGGCUGGCAGAAUUGGUCUUAUUUGGCAAUAAGCCAAAUAAGCUUUCAGGAUCUAUACCUUCAUGCCUAAGUAAUUUCACUUCUAUAAGAUCUCUCUAUUUAGGGUCCAAUAGGUUUACUUCUGUCAUUCCCUCAACUUUCUGGAGCCUAAAAGACAUCUUGUUCUUUGACUUUUCAUCAAAUUUCUUGGUUGGUACUCUUUCUUUCGACAUAGGUAAUUUGAAGGUGCUUCGAGGAAUAAAUUUAUCAGAAAAUAACUUAUCGGGUGAUAUGCCAGCCACAAUUUGAGGACUAAAAAACCUUCAAAUUAUGGACCUAGCAUAUAAUAGAUUGGAAGGGCAAAUUCCUGAAUCAUUUGGUGACUUGACAAGUUUGGAGCUUUUGAAUUUGUCAAAUAAUAAAAUCUCUGGGUCUAUUCCAAAAUCCAUGGAGAAACUCUUUUACCUCCAAGAGUUAAAUCUCUCUUUCUAUGAACUAGAAGGUGAGAUUCCUAGUGGAGGAAUUUUUGCCAACUUCACAGCUGAGUCAUUUAUGGGAAAUGAGUUAUUGUGUGUUUUGCCAUUGAGUAUUGCUCUAACAAUAGCAAUCACUCUAGCUCUCAAAUAUAAGCUUAUUGAAUGUAGAAAGGGAAGAACAGUGUUGUCAAAUGAUAGUAUCUUGUCAUCACAAGCAACACUAAGAAGAUUUUCAUACUUAGAACUUUUACGAGCAACAAAUAAUUUUUCUGAAAACAACAUAAUUGGCAUAGGAGGUUUUGGUUCUGUUUACGGUGGAAGACUUGAAGAUGGGAUGAAGAUUGCAAUAAAAGUGUUUCACCAGCAAUGUGCAAGCGCAUUGAAGAGUUUUGAGGCUGAAUGUGAAGUGUUAAAAAAUAUUCGCCAUCGAAACCUUAUCAAAGUUAUCAGCAGUUAUUCAAACAAUGACUUCAAAGCAUUAGUCCAAGAAUACAUGUCCAACUGGAGCUUGGGGGAUUGGAUGCAUUCUAGCAAUUAUAUGCUGAAUAUAUUUCAAAGGUUGAACAUAAUGAUUGACGUUGCAUCAGCUUUAGAAUAUCUUCACUUCUAUCAUUCAACUGCUAUUAUUCACUGUGACUUAAAGCCUAGUAAUGUAUUGUUGGACGAAAAUAUGGUUGCUCAUUUAAGUGAUUUUGGCAUAGCAAAGCUUUUAAGUGGAGAAGAUGAGUCUAUGAUGCGAACAAAAACCCUUGCCACUAUAGGUUAUAUGGCACCAGGUUUGCUUCAAACAACUUUUUUUUUAGUUCAUUUUAAAUUUUCCAAAUCAUCGAUUUUUACGAUCCUCAUAUCAAAAUGUUAUUGAUUAUUUAUCUAAUUGUGAAAUUAAUUUGAUUCAUAGAGUACGGCAUAAAAGGAGAAGUAUCUACAAAAAGUGAUGUUUACAGCUAUGGGAUUAUGUUGAUGGAAACUUUUACCAAGAAAAAACCCACAGAUGAAAUUUUUGUCGGAGAAUUGAGCUUAAGGCGUUGGGUUAAUGACUUGCUUUCUGCUUCAUUAGUGGAAGUUGUGGACAAAACUCUGCUAAGUGGAGAGGAAAAAUAUUUUGCAUCAAAGGAGCAAUGUCUGUUGUCUAUCUUUAGUUUGGCUCUGGAGUGUACAAUGGAAUCACCGGAAAAGAGGAUUAAUGCAAAAGAUAUUGUUACCAGAUUACUCAAGAUAAGAGACACAUUGAGUAAAAGGAUCGGAAAUUUAAGUUAAUUUCGUUUGCUUUCGUUGAUAGUUAAUUCAAAUUCAUGUAAUAAGUGUAAGAAUCUUAUAUCUUUUCCUUUGAUAUUUUUUUUUUUGAGAAAACUGUUGUAGUCAUCUUAUUUCCAUGGGUAGAGUUGAUUUAGUUCUUCCAAGAAUUAAUUGAGCUUGUUUCACAAGUAUAUGAAUCAGACAGUUAAAUUUUAAAAAUUAUAUUCGGACUCUACGUUUUGUAAUGAACAUUGGUCUGACUUGUUAUACAUUUAUGCGGACAUUCAAGAGCAAAUAUUUUGAUUUACUAUUUUUUGUCUUUCAAUUUUCUUUUAGGUUCUGAUGACGUGCGCAUUUUAAAAUCCUAAGGUACAUAUAAAAUUCUUUUAUUUUUCGGAGGAAAAUGGGUGAGAGAAGAAGAUUUGGCAAAGGAAUUGCAACGGCAUUUGAAACUAGUCUUUGUCGUUUAAUUCUUUUAUAUUCGUUUUUUUUAUUGAUGUUAGCUUGGAUGUGGGCGCGUGUGACUGAAUUCAACUUAUAUUUGUUUUUGUUAUUAAUUUUAUUUGUUUUUGUUAAAUUGGACCACCAAAAAGGGUGGUCCAUUAUCAAAUCAACACCGUUUAAUUAUUAUUAUUUCUACACUUUUUUUUAUGAACAAAUAUAAAAUAAAAGGACAUUUACACCCAAAUUUUAGUGAAAUAGUCAUCAACACCCUUAAAUUUUUAAAAAGAGACAUCAAGAUCAUUUUUUGAUCUUAAUACUCUUAUACAGUACCUCUAUUAUUCCUAAAAAUUGACUCUAAUGUUUUAUAAUAAAUAAAAAUAAAAGAUUAAAAUAAAUGUAAUAACAUAUACAUUUUAAAACCAUUUCAAUAUUUAAAAAAUAUUUUUAACAUUUUACAAUCUAUUAAAUAUAUUUUAUUAUAUUAAAGUAAAUUUUAUAAUAAAUAGAAUCAUAUUAUUAAAAUAAAUGCAUUAAAAUUUAAAUUAUUUUGAAUAUCAUGUAAGAUAAUAAUUUUAACAUUACUAGUAUGUCAGAUUUUUUUUUUAAUUGUAGAGUGUAUUUAGUGCAAAUAUUUAUUUCAAAUAUCUACAAUAAAUAAAAGAUUAAAGUAAAUAUAAUAAUUUACAUAUCUAAAUUUAUUAAAAUAUUUUAAUAUUGUUAGUCUACUGCAUAGAUCACAAUAUUCAUAUAACAUUUGUAUUUAUUAAAAACUUUAAAAUCAAUUCUUUUGAGAAUAAUAGAGGUAAAGGGUAUAAUGGUCAAAAGGGAAAUUUUGUAUCCCUUUCUGAAAACUUGAGGAUGUUGGUGACUAUUUCUCCAAAUCUUCAGCGUGUAGAUGUCCUUUUCUCCGACAGUAUCUGAACUUUGAAGUAAUAAGGAUCACCUUUUACGAAAUUAUAUUGCUUUUCAUGAUAGACUGUUACCAUUUUUCUACAAUAGAUUGAAUUUAGUAAAAAAUUGAUUAAGAUGUCUACUCAUGGAGAGUGAAAUUUAUGUUCAAAACUAAUUUCAACAGGCAUGCACCAUCGAACGUGUUUCUCACGGAAAAGUUGCUUGGAUUUUUGGGACUUCCUGUUCAAAUAUUCAACACGGCAUGCACCACGCGAUUGAACAUGCAAAAGUAGGGGUCUAUUUUCAUUUCCAGCAUUAUAGAAAUCUUAAUUUUGUUCAUUAUUUAUUUUGAUCAGCACUGUUGAAUCUCCAUGCAUUGCCAAUCACUAGGAAACAACAUAUUUUUAUUAAUUAUAUCCUCUAAUGGAGAGAACUCAUUGUCUCAGUAAGAUCACUGUGUCAUUAACCCACAGCCUGCUGAUUUGCUUGGUUGCUACUGCAAGCAAAAAUAUUACCACAGAUCAAAAAGCUCUUCUUGCCCCAAAAGAUCACAUAACUUAUGCUCCAACUAAUCUAUUGACCCAGAAUUGGACCUCAAAUACCUCUGUUUGUACGGGGAUUAGCAUCACUUGUGAUGUCAAUGGCCAUGAAGUUGCAGCCUUGGAUAUUUCUCAAUUCAAUCUACAAGGCACCAUUAUUCCAAACACAACUGGUAAUUUAAGAAACCUUAAGUGGCUCGGCUUGGCUUAUAAACUACUUGACAUCUUAAACUUCAAAAUUGAGCUUUCUUUCCUCUUUGGCAAAUUGCAAAAAAUUAAGAAUCUUAGGCUUACUGGAAAUCCACUUGACCGUAUCCUCUCAGGUUCAAUAGGUAAUCUUUCUAUGUCUUAGGAAAUAUUUCACAUCGCCAAUUGCAGCAUUAGUGGCAGAAUUCCUUAAGUAAUCAGCAAUUUAAGCAACUUGUUGGCUAGUGUGCAAAAUUUUAAUGUACUCGCAAGCGCAUGAACCUAAAAAUAGAAUAGUGGUAACGAGGUCAAACUCACAGGGAUUGUUAUAAAAUGACAAAAGAAUAGCUGCUGGUCUAGAGGUGGCUUAUUACAUUCAUACAAGAUCGUUUCUUGUUCUCUAAGAUGUGCAUUAUGCUAAUAAUGCUAUACAAACUUAUCCAAAGGUCUAUUGAUUAAUUCAUUAAUCCAACUGCUGGUUAGGUUGUCCUUUCAUCCAAACAGCUGCAUGCUUGUCUUCUUAUAUGCUGAUCUUAUCCUCUAGAUCUGUUCAGGCUGAGUGAUCUCUCACAUUUGCCAUAUCAGAAGAUUACAUGCCAGUAAUGUCUUGUGAUGAUCUGUUGCUUGGUGAUGUCGAAUGCCUGGCCUUUACUUCUCUGAGCAAAUUGAUCAAACAAUUUGUUCAUUUUAUCGAUGGUUUUUAAGUGCAUUUAAUGAUUAUUUUUGCUCCAACUUCAGAUAAACCAAACGCUAGUAUAUUAGAUGAAGAAGUUAACUGGCAGCUAACCAGGUCAAAAUAGCGACUCUAUAUAAAAAAUAUAUAUAUAUAAUAUAAAAUAUAAAAUGGGAAUUUAUUUAAUUAAUUGUUGGUCUAAAGCUGUUGGUAUCCGUUGGCCACGUUUCUGAAGAGUCAUCUCAAAUCGAAAUUUUUAACGAACAAAGAACUUUGCUUUUUUCCAUUGUUCACAUAUCUGCUGGCUGCCACCCGUGAGAUAAAAGUGCUACAAUCCAAAAUGUUCCACCAUUAUUUAUUCUAAUUUUAAUUUUCCAAUGGAAAAAAUUACAUAAUUAAAAUGGCUUCUAAUAUCAUUUCCACCCCUCAAUAUGUGUCACUAUCAGAAGGUUGUUUUCAUGAUUCAUGGUAAAUUUGGAUUACAGCACCUGUACUUUCUGAUGGUUCAUUAUUUAUUCUCAGGAAUCGAGUCUCCUUACAUUACCAAACUAAUAACAAACAGCAAUAUUUUAUCCUUUCAUGGAGAGAAAUUACAGUCUUCGUUUGACCGCAGUGCUAUUAACCCACUGCUUGCUUCUUCAGUUGGUUGUUGCAGCAGCAGCAGCAAGCAACAUUACAACAGACCAACAAGCUCUUCUUGCCCUGGAAGCUUAUAUAAGUUAUCAUCCAACUAAUUUUUUGGCUCAAAAUUGGACCUCAAAUACCUCUGUUUGUAACUGGGUAGGCAUUACUUGUGAUGUCAAUAGCCAUAGAGUUACGGCCUUGAAUAUUUCCAGCUUGAAUCUACAGGGUACCAUCCCCCCUCAACUUGGAAACCGAUCUUCACUGACAACACUUAAUCUUAGUCAAAACAAGCUUUAAGGCGACAUUCCCCCCCUUCAUCUUCACCGUGCAUGAGCUGAAAUUUCUUGAUUUCAGUGAUAAUCAGCUCUCUGGUUCUUUGUCUUCCUUUACCUUCAAUUUGUCUUCAAUAUUAGAUAUUCGUUUGGAUAGUAACAAACUCUCUGGUGAACUCCCAUUAAAUAUUUGCAAUUAUCUUCACUAUUUAAAAGUCCUUUUUUUGGCCGAAAACAUGUUUCACGGUCAAAUACCACUGGCUUUAUCCAAGUUCAAACAGCUACAACUGUUAAAUUUGGGGUUCAAUAAAUUAUCAGGAGCCAUACCGAAAGAAAUCAGCAACUUGACUAUACUUCGAAAGAUAUCUCUCAGAAAUAAUAAACUUCGCGGUAUAAAUGUUUAUAAUAUAUACUUUGUAAAUGCUCUUAUUAAUCAUUCUUGAACUUUCUUAGAUACUUUUGUCUAAAUAAGAUUUUGUAAAAGAGUUUUUUGCAUCUCUGUUAAUUUUGCAGGCGAGAUACCUCACGAAAUUGGGUAUCUUCCAAAUCUAGAGAAUUUGGUGCUUGGAUUCAACAACCUAGUAGGUGUUGUACCUGCUGCAAUCUUCAACAUGUCAACAGUGAAAGAAAUUUACCUAUUAGAUAACUCUCUCUUGGGAAGUUUUUCAUUAGGAAUAGACCUUUCACUUCCUAACGUUGAGAGACUGAACCUGGGGCUGAACAGAUUUUCUGGAACCAUUCCUAGUUUCAUCACCAACGCAUCUAAACUUGUAUAUCUAGAUAUGGGAACAAACUCUUUUUCGGGCAUUAUUCCGAACACAAUUGGUAAUAAUCUAAGAAACCUUGAGUGGCUCGACUUAACAUACAAUCGCUUGACAUCAUUAACUCUAGAAUUGAGCUUUCUUUCCUCUUUGACAAAUUGCAAGAAAUUAAGAUUCUUAGGCUUAACAGGCAAUCCACUUGACGGUGUCCUUCCAACUUCAAUAGGUAAUCUUUCUAUGUCUUUGGAAAACAUUUACAUCUCAAAUUGUAGUAUUGGUGGCAGCAUUCCUCAACUAAUCACCAAUUUAAGCAAUUUGUUGCUCUUAGAUUUAGAAGGCAAUAAGUUGACUGGAUCAAUUCCAGUCACAUUCGGCCGGUUGCAGAAACUCUAGGGUUUAUAUCUUCCAUUUAACAAGUUAGCAGGAUCAAUCCCAGACCAGCUUUGCCAUUUAGCUAGACUGAAUACAUUAGGUUUGGCUGGUAAUAAGUUUUCUGGAUCAAUCCCUUCAUGUUUAGGUAAUCUCACUUCUCUAAGGUCUCCCGACUUAGGGUCCAAUAGGCUUACAUCAGUCUUGCCCUCAACUUUUUGGAAUCUAAAAGACAUCUUGUUCUUUGACCUUUCAUCAAAUUCUUUGGAUGGUCCUCUUUCUUUAGACAUAGGAAAUUUAAGGGUUGUGAUAUCAAUAAAUUUAUCACGAAAUAACUUUUCAGGUGAUAUCCCAAGUACAAUUGGAGAUCUAAAAGACUUACAGAAUAUCUCCUUAGCAUGUAAUGGAUUGGAAGGUCUAAUUCCUGAAUCAUUUGGUUACUUGACAGGUUUGGAAAUUUUAGAUUUGUGAAAUAACAAAAUCUUUGGGUUUAUUCCGAUAUCUUUUGAAAAACUCUUGUACCUCAAAGAGCUAAAUUUGUCUUUCAACGAACUAGAAGGAGAGAUUCCUAGGGGAGGACCUUUUGCAAAUUUCACAGCUAAGUCAUUCAUGGGAAAUGAGAAAUUGUGUGGUUUACCAAAUCUCCAAUUCCCAAAAUGCAAGCGUCGGACACGUCGAAAAUCAAAGAAAAAGAUGCUUCUACUUGUGAUUGUCUUGCCAUUGAGUACUACUCUAAUAAUCGUAGUCCCUCUAGCUCUAAAAUAUAAAUCGAUAAGAGGUGGAAAGAGUAGUACUAGGUUGUUAAAUGAUGGUAUCUUGUCAUCACAAGAAACACUAAGAAGAUUUUCAUACCAAGAUCUUUUUCGUGCAACAGAAAAAUUUAGUAAAGACAAUCUAAUUGGCGUAGGAAGUUUUGGUUCUAUUUAUCGAGGAAGACUUCAUGAUGGAAUUGAGGUUGCAAUAAAAGUGUUUCACCAGAAUUGUGCAAUGGCAUUGAAGAGUUUUGAGGCUGAAUGUGAAGUGAUGAAAAAUAUGUUGGGAAAAUAUGCUCUUUAAAAGCAUAUGUGUUUAUUUAAUUGUAAUAAACAUUUUUUCUGAUUAAUAAAAGUAAUGAGGUAUUUUAUCCAAAUAUCUUAAUUGCAUUAAUAUUUUUAUUAAAGUCCAUUUAAUCAUAUUAUAUGUAUUUAUGUGAUCACCAUGUGGAUUCACAGAAGACAUAAAUACAAGUUAUCUUAUGAUUAAAUAAAUUUAGUUCGCAGUUGAUAAAUAAAGUUGGGCACUUUAUUUAGGUAUAGACUGUAAUGAAUUCAUUGAAUGAUUUGUCUUAAUCAUGUAUGAAUUUAUUGAUGUAGUACGACUACAUUGAACAGGAUCACAUAUGAGAUUUAAUUAACUUUGUAAUAACUGUCAGACUUAUUAAAUCUCAUAGGCAUUGAUUUUACUGUAAUCUUAAUCUUGAGUUAAUUAUGAUUUCAUGAUUGUAAUUGUUAUUCCAUUUGAGUUACCAAUAGGCAUGACACAUACUUGUAGUCUAGAUAACCUGGUAUCUUGGUGGGAGCAUUUAUGAGUAUUAGAGUUAUAGAUUAACAAUAUAGAAUUUGUAUAACACAUCUCUUGAUGGGUUUUCGGCACUUGAUCAUAGAAUUCUCUGGCCAGAGUGUGUCAACAUAUUUAGUAUGUUGAAAAUGAUCAUUAGAGAAAACCAGUAAGUAUCAAGAAACAAGAUGUAAUUAAAUUGAUUGGACAGUUGAGAUAUCGAUUUAAUUAAUGAAGUGGUACAAAGGAUUGUGCAGUAAAGAAAUCAAUAUGGCUUGGGACGAAUUAUUAUUCGAGCAUACAAUUCUGGAAGUCAGUUCCAAUCUUUUAGUGGAGUAGAUUUGGAAUUAAAUAAUUGGGCUAGUUUAAUUACAAGCCUAAUUAUUGUAGCCACUAUUGUAUGUUCCCAAAUGAUCCCCGGGUUAGCUCAUUUAAUUGACUGCACCACUACUGGACUAAUAAGUAAGAUAACUAGCUAUUUGGGUCAAAAAGCCUAAAUAUAUCAUUUAGCGGGAGGCUCCAUUUAAUUAGCUUUUGUAUAAGGGGCCUUAUGUUAUUUUACAAGGUGGGUCCCCUAUAGAAAAAACAAAUAACGUGAGUUUUGUUUUUUGAUUAUUUGGAGCCUAGGGUUUUCACUAAAGGGUGAUAUAAAAGGCUUAUUUUCUCUAAAGAAAAAAAAGCAGCCACUUUAUACAGAUCAGGAGAAUAAGAUUUUUCUCUCUAUUGUUGAGAGAAAAAUUUUCUCGUGCUAGUUGCUUUGGUAGUGAUAAAGGCGCCCACACGUCAAGUGCAGAUUGAACUUGAGUCAUAACCUGGAAGAUCAUUGAUGACAGUUCGUGAUCUAACAAGCGUGGUGGUGACGGAUCGUGAUCUAACAUGAGUGGUGGUGGCGGAUCGUGAUCUAGGAGUCUAAAUCACUUCAACGGAAAAAGCCAAAUCGGAUUUUCAAGGUACGAUUUCUAGAUUACAAAUUCUUAUAUAUUAUAUGAGAGCGAUCUUCAAAAGGUUUUAUAAAAAAUUUAAAAACCUAAUUUUUCCCCAACAAAAUAUUCGUCAUCGAAAUCUUGUCAAAAGAAUCAGUUGUUGUUCGAACGAAGAUUUCAAAGCAUUAGUUUUAUAAUAUAUGCCCAAUAGAAGCUUGGAGGAUUGCCUGCAUUCUACCAAUUGUUCGUUAAAUAUUUUUGACAAGUUGAACAUAAUGAUAGAUGUUGCAUCGACUUUGGAAUAUCUCCACUUCAAUCAUUCAACUCCUGUCAUUCAUUGUGACUUAAAGCCCAAAAAUGUAUUGUUAGAUAAAAACAUGGUUGCUCAUUUCAGUGAUUUUGGAAUUGGAAGGCUCUUAACUGGAGAUCGAUCAAUGAUACAAACAGAAACACUUGUCACAAUUGGUUAUAUGGCACCAGGUUUGCUCUGAAAUAAUUUUUGUUUUUUGGGUUUUCAUUCAGACUUUCCAAAUUAUUAUUUUUCCAUGAUCCUUCUAUCCUAAUGUUAUUGAUUAUUUAUCUAAUGAUAAAAUCAAUUUGGUUGAUAGAAUAUGGCAUAGAAGGAUGAGUAUCUACAAGAAGUGAUGUUUAUAGUUAUGGAAUUAUGUUAAUAGAAACAUUUACUAGGAAGAAACCCACAGAUGAAAUGUUUACUACAGAAUUGGGCUUAAAACUUUGGGUUAACAACUUACUACCUACUUCAUUGAUGGAAGUUGUGGACAAAACUCUUUUAAGUAGGGAAGAAGAAGAUUUUGCUGCGAUGGAGCAACGUGUGUUAUCAAUCUUGAGUUUAGCCAUGGAGUACGUGAUGGAAAUGCCAGAAAAAAGGAUCGAUCCAAUAGAUAUUGUAACUAAACUAUUGAAAAUAAGAGACACAUUGAGUAAAAGGUUAGCAAAUUUAGGUUAACCUUAUUUCUUGGCAUUGAUACUUGAAUCAAUAUGUACUUAAUUUGAAUCAAUGUAUGAGUGUAAGAAUAUGAUAUAUUUUCUUUUAAUUUUUUUUCCUGAGAGAAAUGUCAUAGCUGCCUUGUUUCAAAUUAAUUUUAUACUUUUUUUUUCUUUUUCUAAGAUCAUGCCAAUGAGUUGUAGGAAGAUCAGCUACAAAUUCAAAGCCGGCUAAGGCAUUUGAAGAUGGAGAGAUUGUUAGUUUUUUUCCCAUUAAAAUUAACAUAUAUCACUUAUCCCAACUAUUUUCAUAAUACCUAAUAAGCUCUUGGCACCAUAACUUUACCAUAUAACCCUUAUUUUGAAAUACACUUUUAUUCAUAUUAAUAUUAAUUAAAUAAAUCAUAUGAGUUGAAAUUAAAAUUAAAAAAAUUAAAUACCAAAAAUAAGAAAUAUACGUUUUAGUGUGCUAAAAAAAUUAAUAUUAAAAUAUUUUUCCUGUACUUUUUAUUAUUUUGUGAAUAUUUUUCUUAUAAUAUAUAUAUAUAUAUAUAUUAUUCUCAAAAUAAUGUAUCAAGCAAAUGACUUUUUUCUCUUCUUUUUCUUUAACUUUUUUUGUGCUAGUAGAGUUUUUAGAUAUUAUAAAAACAAUAAAAGAAUAAGUGAUAUAUAUUAAUUUCAGUUGGAAAUAACCGACAAUCCCCCUUUAAUUACGUGUCACACCCAACUUUUUUGCCAAUGUUGACAUUUGCCUAUAUCAGGUUUUUGAUGUGUACAGUGCAGGUUCAACUUAAGCCAUAAAUAAAACAACUUGAGAGAGCAAAAGAAUUGCAAGUUCUUGAUUUCAAAUCUCCAAGCAUAGGAAGCCAAAGCAUCUGCUUCUUUUGGGCAUGCUGCAAAUGAUGGUUCUAGUUCGAAUGUGACCUUUCAGUCAUCUCAAGGGCUAUUCAUUGGGGACAUCGACGUAACUUUACCCCACCUAGAGGUUUGAUAAUUGAUGGGUGUCGAAGCCAACAAAAAUAAAUUCUUAUUCUAAAUAAAUUGUGUAUAGUGAUUGAGCAGGGUUGUGUCCACAGAGAUCGGUAAUUAAUUAAAUCCUUUUGAAACAUAAAACGUAAAAUGGGGGAAUUGUUGACAAUAAUAAAAAUCAAAUUAAAAUAACAAGAAUGCAAAUUAAAGUUGUAACUCAAAUUGGAGAAAGCUCUGGUUGAAGGAAUUAACUCAGCUUGAUUCGACUACUGAUCAUUGAUUCAAAUAUAGAUUAUUAUUACUCAUGAAUAGACCGGUUAUAGCUACUGAGACCCUCUAAUAGCCAAUCUCUCCUUAACUAGUCGAUAACCAAGGUACGACCGUUGGUUAUUUCCCUAAUCAAUAGACAACCCUAGAUACGAUCAUAGGAUUUAAUCAAUUGACAGCCUGAAAAACCAGAGAGACCUAAAUCCUAAUCAACACAUAUGAUGAUUCAUUUAAAUUAGAUUAUUUAUUCUCACAACACAACUCUCUGCUAUGUUAUUUGUCACAAGCAUUAAAUUCUUCAUACGAUGAAUCCUUUAAUUGACAAUAGAUUAAGUUGAUAAUUAAAUAGUGGCCAAUUACCUAAUUAAUAAACAUAAUCAUGAAACUAAUUCAGAGAAUAAACAAAUACCCAAAAAGCAAUAAAACAAUUAAAGCACAAGAAAGAUCUCACAGUAGUGAUGAAUCAAAGCUUCAUUAUCCUUCAACCAGAAAAAUAGGUUUAGUUCUUCAUAGAGAGAAGAGAAAAAUUAAGAUCUAGGGUUUCUUUCUUUCUCCAAUCCCCAAAAUCCCCCCUUUUCACAAUAGAUUCCUCCCUUAAAUACUCUCUCUCUCUUCUCUUUUAGAAUUCUAUUUAAAAUAAAAUCCUAAUAUCUAAAAUAUUAAAUUCGUAAUUACAAAAAUAGCCAAAAAUAUAAAACACGUUAAACUAAAAACUGCAGGUUCGCAGUUGACAGCACGCGCCCACGCCUUAUCAACAAAGUUCUUCUGCCGCUCAUAAUUUCUCCAAGGGAACAAUCAUCCCUAAACAUCAUCUUGUAGCUCAAUUUUAUCACCAAUCAAUAGAAUUGCACCUACAAAAGUAAAUCACAAGUAAAUCACUAUUAUUAAGUGCAAAACAUCGAUAUUAAAGGAAGUAAACAAUGCAAAACUAGUGUAUAAAUUGCACUCUAACAAAUUCCCCCACACCAAGAUGAUGCUUGUCCUCAAGCAUAUAACUCAAGAUUAAUCCCAAAUCUCCACUCAAUUCUCAUCUCAACUCAUCCAAAAACAAUUUUAAGCAAGCAUACCUCAAGAAAUUAAGUCGAUCAACAUUUGAGAGAUAAGGAUUUUAAAGCAUAGAAUUUCAUAAGAUAGAAUAAGAACAUUCAACCACCAAGAAGAUCCAUUCAAAAUUCAAGUGCAGCAAGAUUUAAUAGCCCUCUCAAUAACUUCACUCCAUGCACUCAAAGUGUUUAGGGUGUCAUUUAUCCACUCAAAUCAAAUCAAAGAAUGUCAUUACCAUAAGCUUGCUCAUAUAUCACAUCUCAAUCCACAAAACAUGAAUAAAAUGCAAAAAUCUAAGGGUCUUAAAAGGGUUGUAAUGGGGUAAAAUGGGUGAAAUGAAAAAGAAAGGUUUAUGAAAGAAAAAGAGAUCAAAAUGAGAAGAAUGAACUCAUUGAAUGAACUUAUGAUAUCAAAAUGCUUAUUUCUACUCAAGUCACCAAGAAUGUAAACAUUUUUUUUUUCGAUUUUUUUUCUUCGAUUUUCUUUUUCUUUUUUUUCUUUUUCCUUUUCUUUUUCUUUCUUUUUUCAUUUUUUUCAUUUUUUUUUUGUUUUUUUUUUCGAAUCAAACAAAAGAAACGAACCUUGCACAAUUUAAUUCAAGCAUAAUGCUUGUUGAUCUAAUUGAGAAACUUCAAUAUAAGGUAGAAAAAGCAACAAAAUAUAUCCAUAUAAUGAGUCCAAAAAUCUCCUUAAAUUGAGGCUCAAAAAAAGAAGAAAAAUGGUUAAGUAGACGGAGAGAAUUAGAUGGGUAAUGGUUAAGGCUCAAACAAAGGUAGCAAAUAAAGGUCUUCGGGUAGAGAAAAAGGAAAAUGCGAGAAUAGAAAAAUGGUAAAUGGUUUGCCCUUAUCAUUUUAAUGCAUAAAAUCCCGUAAUGUGGCUUCAACAUGCAUAACAAAGCAAGUUCUAGAAUAAACAAACUAGGAUUGAUAUUCACAUAACAAAAAAAAAAAUAAUUAGAGCAAAGUGGUUGCUCAUAGGCUCAAAUCCUCACAAAAUUGGUAAAUUUGCCAUCAAAUCAUGUACACUCUUCAAAUGAAUCAACCAUCAAUAGUGGUGUAGAAUGAGAAGAAGGUAUGAGUGAGAUAUAAAAGGAAAGGUAAAAAGGAUAAUAAGCGAGAAAGAUGUAUGUAGUAAUAUGAAAAGUGAAAGAUAAAAUGUGAGUGAUGAAAGAGUAUGGUAAAAUAAAAAUAGACAUGAAUAAUUUGAGAUAGAUGGGAAAAAAGUAGUGAGAAGGAAAAGAAAAGAAAAAUAAUAAUAUAUGAAGCAUACUAACUCCAAAAUCAUUUAAGGAUGAGUAGAGUGAAAAUAGAUUAGUAGAGUGAAAACAAUAAUUCCAGACAUCAAUAAUGCAAAAAUCCCUCCCCCAUACCAAGAACUUACAUUGUCCCUAAUGUAAGAUAAUCAAAGCUCACAUAAAAGUUAAAGCGUAACGAUAAAAGAUUAAGGGCAAAAAGAAACUUUCCUGAAUUGUGAGCUUUGAUCCACAUAACGUCUAUGGGCUUGGCGGAAAUGGUGGGGUAAAUCCCACACUCUCGAAGUAUGCGGCCAAAUUCUGCUCCAUCUUGUUCAGCUUGUGCUCUAUUUUCUCUAACUGAAUGCUCAAAGGUGGUGCAGAUGUAGAAUGAAUAGUUGGCGGGGCAGCAAUGUCGUCGUCAAACUCAUCAUCAGAGGUAGCACCACUCCUAGCAUAAAGCUUCUUCGGAAGUUGAGUGGGUCCUGGUUCAGUAAACUGAAAUCUUCCCUCCUUGAAUUCAACCACACCUGUUCUUUCAAACACAGACAUAUCCAAAAAUUCCUCUCUUUCUCUUGUUGAGUCGCGAACGCGAGGCACCCUCCGAGAUUGGAUUCCGCAAGUGGCAAAACACUCAUGCCUUUUCCAUGCUUCGAUCUUUGUCUCACGGCUUUCAAUUUACCCGGCUGGAAUACAGGGCGUAGGCUGGUUGCGUUGCGUUGCUGCUCGGUUUGGGGCUAGUUACGCACUGCUGCUGCGUGGCUGUGUUGCGCGCAAGAGCUGGUUCGCGCUGCUGGUCUGCUGCUGCUCGGCUAUGUUGCACGCGCGGGACUGAUGCGCUGCGGGAUGGUGCUGGCUGGAUUGAUUUAGGCUGCGCGCGCGGGCUGGAGCUGAGAAUCUGCGUUGCUGGGGCUUGCGUUGCGGGUCUGUUGCGUGCUGCUCGUCUGCGUUGCGCGUGCGGAAUGGUGGUCGAUGCUGGUGCUGCGCGCGCGGGGCUUGCUUUGCGCGCUGUUGGGCUGCGAGAUGCAGGAUAGUGCUCGAUGCUUGCUAGUUCAGGCGGGCUGGUUUGCGUUGCAGGUGGGACUGAUGCGGUUGCAGCUGGUUCUGCGCGCUGGAGCUAAGGGUUGCUGCGGGAAAACGAAAAUCAACAAUGAAUUUUUUUGAAUUAGGGAUUUGUGAACAGUGAUUUUUGAUUUUUGGUUUUUUUUUUCGUUUUUUUAAAUAAAUAAAUAAAUAAAUAUAUAUAUAUAUAAGAAAGAAAAGAAGGGAAAAAAAACUUUUUUUUUCAUUUUUUUUAUAAAUAAAUAAAAAAUAUAUAUAAGAAAGAAAAUAAGGAGAAAAAAAGAAAACUCCUUUUUUUUCUUUUUUUUUUCUUUUUUUUAGUGAUGAAUCACUUUGAGACACUAAAAAUUUCAGAAGUACUUUUCUAAUAAGCACGUGGGCACGCCUUAAAACUAUUUUACUUUAAAAAUUACAGAAGUACUUAUUAGUUAAGACGUGGGCACGCCUUAUCAAAAAUUUUCUUCUGAUCAAAAUAAACAAACACAUUAUUAUAAAAAAAAAUCUGAAUCAAAAUUAAAAGAAGAUAUAACAAAAACCAAAAUAAACAAAUCAUUUGGGUUGCCUCCCAAAGAGCGCCUUUAUUUUAUGUCUUUGGCUAGACACAUUUAUGCAUCAAUCUCCAUAAUUGGGACUCUCGAGAGCCACAUCCUCCACAAUAUUCACCGAAAAACCUUCAUAAAAAGGUUUUAAGUGAUGACCGUUAACCUUAAAAACUUUGUCAGAGGUCGAACUCCGAAUCUCAACAGCACCAUGAGGAAAAACAUUAGUAACAAUAAAAGGUCCAACCCAGCAAGAUCGUAAUUUACUUGGAAAAAGUUUAAGCUUAGAAUGAAAAAGAAGAACUUUUUGACCAACAGAGAACUCCUUUCUCAAAAUCAUUCUAUCAUGAAAUGUUGUUAGAGUGCAAUUUAUGCACUAGUUUUGCAUUGUUUACUUCCCUUAAUAUCGAUGUUUUGCACUUAAUAAUAGUGAUUUACUUGUGAUUUACUUUUGUAGGUGCAAUUCUAUUGAUUGGUGAUAAAAUUCAUCCCUAAACAUCAUCUUGUAGCUCAAUUUUAUCACCAAUCAAUAGAAUUGCACCUACAAAAGUAAAUCACAAGUAAAUCACUAUUAUUAAGUGCAAAACAUCGAUAUUAAGGGAAGUAAACAAUGCAAAACUAGUGCAUAAAUUGCACUCUAACAAUAAUCCAACUUUCUCAAUGGAUUUGUCUAAUACAUUCAAUUUAUUUUUAUUCUGUACAUGUUUGGUUAAUUAUCUUGGUCUGUUAAGUUUAAGUCCAGUUGCAAGUCCCAUUUGGUUACGCAUUGUGUUCGUGUUGCUACUCAAUCCUUCAUAAAAUAGUUUAAGGUUUGGAAGUUAACUACUUUUAUUGAUUUCGUAUGACUUUUUGCUAGUUUAUCACUCACGGCAUAUAAUUAAUCAAUUCUUCCAGGCGUACCAUGACAUCUAGGACCAUAAGCAUUUGUGUGUUAAUGUAUUAAACUGAUCACUUAGAUCAAAUUUCAAUUUGGACUUGAAUUGCAGUUUUAGUGUCCUAUAUGAUUGGUCUUUCUCAAUUUUACCAAACAUAUGUUCGUUCUGAAAAUAUUAAAGUGGAUUUGAUAGUUUAAACAAUUUGAGGUUGGAUUUUGGCAGUUUGAAGUUGUAUAUUCUGGUACCAAUCAAGACAAGGAAGUGGAUGCCGAGUUUGAAACAACGAGUAGACAUCUGAAAGUCACGCCACAUUGGAUGAUCACACAAAAAUUGGACCUUACAGAGGAACAACACGGACAAAUUAAGCAGGAGCUGGAAAUGUAUAAAAUUUGAGCAGCUGUAGGAUCCAUAAAUGCAAAGAAUCAACCGGAUUAUUCGAACGAACGUACCUCUAAUGGUCUUUUUGGAAUGUCAACCAGUCAUGAAGUCCAAACGCGAAGUGGACGAGGAGGAGGCUGAUACUAAUUCUAGAAACUUCAAGAGCUUUCACUCCCAUGCCUUUUGAAUGUCUUUCUUGCUUCAGAAUUCAAAUGCAAGCUUUCCCUCUCAGUAUUUCUUCGUUGAGACAUUUUCUCGAACAGUUUUAUACUUAUGUCAAACAUCUUCUGAUAUAACUAGGAAGCCAGUAAGAUUGUUUUUCAAGUACGCUAAGCGGAAACAGUAGGCAAGGCCUUUGUCAUUAUAUCUGCCACUUGAUUUUUUCUGCCCACAUUCUUCUUAUUCAAUUCGUUUGUUCCAAUUUUGUCCCUAAUGAAGUGGUCUUAUAUCUCUAUACACUUUGCUCUUCCAUGAAAGACUAGAUUCUCUGCAAGUGCUAUUGCACUCUUGUUGUCACAUCACAACAGAGGAAUAAUUAAACAUACAAGGAUCUUAACCAGCUGAUCAUUUCUGCCGCUACAUGAGACAGGGCUCUGUAUUAUACUUUUGUACUUGAUUUUGAGACCACCUUUUGAUUCUUGGAGCUACAUGAGAUCAGAUUUCUUGCGGGGUAAAAAUAUUCAUGAAAACCCUCAAGUAUUUAUGACAUUUAAAUAAAAAUAGAGUUUGAUUUUUCUUUCAAGUAUGUUCCUACAUUAAUAUCUACUUAAAAACUGACAAUAUCAUUUAAAAAAAAUUAUUCUUCCACCUUUAAAAUUCAAUAUUAAAGAGUAAUUUGUCAUUUUUAAUUAGAGUUAGAGGCUUGUUUUAUUAUAUAUAUAAAAUCAUUCUCAGAUGCAAUAGUCCUCAUUUUUUUGUGCAGAUACACUAUUAAACCACGCAGUUCAAAAGUUAAUUAAAAUGAAUGGUUUAACAGUGUGUUUAUAUAAAAAAAAAUAAUAAUAAGGGCCUCGACAUUAGAGAUUAUAUAUAUUAUUCUAAUUAGGGAUCCCUAACCAUAUUAAAGUCAGGGGACAAGUUAAAAAAUAAAAAAUAAAAAUUUCAAUGUAUUUUGUCAUAUAAUGUAUUGAAAUCUGUAUUUUCUUUUGUCUUUUAUGCUGUGUUUACUUUUUGGAUUGGAGUGGGAAUCUUGAGAAGUGGAAAUCCUUGGAUUAGGAGUGUGGAGUGGGAGUGGGAGUAGGGUGUUUACUUAGACUAAAUGAAAGUAUGGAUUGUCAAUCAGAAUCCCAAUUAUUUGUUUACUUUGUCUUGGAUUGACAGUAAAUUGUUUUAAAUUAUAAUUUUAUCCUUAUGUAUAGAAUUAUAAUUUGUAAUUAAAAAAUUAAUAAAAAAUAUAUUUGGAAAAUAAAAUAAAUAUUUUAUUAUAUUUAUAAAUUAAUAAUAAUUACUAAUAUUCUUAAUUAUGUAAAUCAUAAUUUUUUAUUAAUUUUAAUUUAAAUUAUGUGAAUAAAAAUUAUUAAUAAUAGCAACACAAAUGAAAUAUUAUUAUUGAUAAUAUAGUACAAAAUUAAUAUUUUUUUAGAAUAAAAUAUUUAUUAUUAUUAAAUAAAUAAUUAAUAUUUAUUAAAAUUAAUUUUUAAUAUUAUUAAUUUAAAUAUAAUAUUUAUUUAUUUUUAUUUUAUUAAAUUUAAUAAAAUAAAUAUGAUAUAAUUAUUAUUUUUAAUAAAUAUUAUUUAUUUAUUUUAUUAAAUAUUAUUUAUUUUAUUUAUAAGGAUAAAAUGGGAAGAGGGGGGAGGGGAUUCCCACUCUCACCUCCCCCCAUGGGAGUGGGAAUCCCACUUCCCACUCCAAAAUUGGGUGGGACUCACAGAUUCCCACUCCCACUCCCCCCUUGUUUAAGGUAAGUAAACACUGGAGUGGGAGGAAUCCACACUCCACACUCCCACUCCAAAAAAUAAACACUGCCUUAGUUUAUCCCUAUUUUAAUAUGGUUGAAGAUUCGUAAUUAGAAACCCACUCUAAUUAUCUAUGUAUUUACUAUUUUUAAUACAUUCGCACAAAUAUUUAUAUACAAUAAAUGUAUUACUUAGCCCUGCCUGAUAAAAGAUCCCGGGUCCGGCUCUGAAGGAAGAUGCAAUAUCCUCCUGCUGACGCUUCAUUAACCUUUUUCCUUUCAUUUUAAACUUUCUGAAUUAUUGCCUUUCGUAAUUCUCAUAUCAUGCAUUGAGUAUUUAUCUAACUAUGAAAUUAAUUUGAUUAAUAGAGUAUGUUAUAGAAGGACGGGUAUCUAUUAAAAGUGAUGUUGUCGCGGAAUUGAGCUUGAAGUGUUGGAUUAAUGACUUGUUACCUAUUUCAUUGAUGGAAUUGUUGUGGACAUAAAUCUGCUAAGUGGAGAGGAAAGACAUUUUUGCUGUAAAGAAGCAAUGUGUGCUGUCUAUGGGAGCUGUAAUGAGUGGACUCUUCAACAAUGUACAAUAUUAUACAGUAUAUACAAAGACACACUAUCACACUAAAAAAUCUUGAGUUGACUCCUUAAUUUAUUUCAUCAAUCCCCACUUUUGAGUUAAUAUUAUUUAUCUUAAGAUUGUCCUUAAUGAAAAAUAAAAAUAAUUAAAAAAAUAAAUAUUUUUUCAUUCUAUCAAGUUCUUAGUAGAUUAAAUUCUUAUCUCUCACAAUUCUCUCAUCUUUUAAUUUAUUCAUAAUUUGAAUCAAAUAUUAACUCUUGAUCAAACCCCAAAUUAAAAUAAACAAAAUAUUAGAUUAUCACGUAAAAUCAAAACCAGUAUUAUCAAUAACAACAAAAAUCACCGCUUAUCCAUUAAAUUUAACAAAAACCAACAUUUAAAUUCAUCAAAUAUUGGCAGAGGUAGUGGAUUCAAGGUGAAGAAAAUAGAUGAUGGGAACGAACUCGUUGUUGAUGAAGUGGUGGGGGUGAUAAUUAUAUACGAGGGAGGGGAAGGUAGAGACAGAAUAAAAUAAUUUUUUUUUUGUUUCAAUAGAGAUAAUUCUACAAAAUAAUAAGAUUAAUUGAUAAGCGGGGUUGAUGAGAUAAUUUGAGGGGUUCAAAUAUCAUUACUCAUAUCCAUUUACAUGAAGCUAAUUAAAAAUAGUGAAGUAAUUAAAUACGCUAAUCAUACACAGCUGCCAUGUUAACUAUUAAAACAGCCUAAUGAGCUUAGCCUCAGUUUGAUCCUCUCCGUUGAUCUGCCAUUCCUAUCAUCACUACUUGCCACCUCGCAUUGUAUCAAAUCUCUUCUGUGUCCUCAUUGUACCCUCUCUUCGUAACACAUAAGCAGAAUCUAUUCUUGUACCAAAUUACCAAAUUACCACAAAACUGUUAGAGAGUCGGUGUGAUUUACUUACUGUUAAAUAAUAAAGAGAGUAAUUUUCUUUUUUUAAAUUUGAAUCUACCCGCCACUUCCAAGACAGAGAAAGCGUCGUCGUUUUAUGAUGGCUCCAUCAUCAUUUCCAUCUCCUCUCGAACGCACUGUCGCUUCAGCUCUUCUCCUGCUCUCCGUCUCCAAUCAAUCUCCCUCUCUCUCUUCCCCACUGUAAGACCUUCAUUAUUUCACUCUCAAAACUGUUUUUGUUUCUUAUUUGUUUUUCCUUAUUGAUUUGUUUGAUGUUUGUUUAAUGCAACGUGUAGGUUCGACACAGAUGGUGAAUUACUGCUGAAGAGCAAGAGCAGCAGCCGGGACGAAGAGAGCGUGAGCUUACUGUCGAGUGGAGAUUCAAAACGGUGCGUUUCGACGGUUACUAGUGAAGAUGCCUCCUCCAGUGAGAUCCGAGCUCACAAGCUGAGGAUCAUCGCUGUUGUGGCUCGCUGUCAUGAAGUGAAACUCAAGGUACAUGUUCUUCUGUUUGGUUUAAUAUAUAUGAUUAUGUAAAUGGUUUCGUAGUUCUUAGUUUGAAUUUGAUCUGAAAUUUUUUGUUUGAUAAUAAAAUGAAAUCACAUCUCUGUUUUCUACUUCGUAAACAGUCAUCUCUUCGGAAUCAAUUUUUUUGUUGUUCGUGUUGAAUUUUAUCAAAAGUGAUCAUUAAAACUUGUUUUUCUCAAAUUUAUGUUUGAUCUCUCAGUUUUUUUUUUUUUCUCGACUCUUCAAUUCAAUUUCACUGGAAAUUUACUAGAAGAUUCAAAUUCUGCUCUGUUUGGACCUGUUUCGUUUUGAAUUCUCGUAAUCAUUUGAAGGCUCAAGCUACUUAAAUUUUGUUAAAACUGUAGAACCUGAAGGGCACUUCAGUUGCUCAAACACCUUCAGCCUCUGCCCAAGAUUCAAGAUCAGAUUCCUAGAUGCUUGACUAUAGAUGACUUGAAAAAGGUUUAACCAAGAACUUCAAGUGAACAGAACAAUCAAUGGUUUAAGAAUCAAAGAAUCGAAAGAAACUAAAGAAUAAAGAACAGAAGAGAUUUAACGUGGUUCAGCUAAAACACUUAGCUUACAUCCACGGAGGAACAAGACUUCAGGCUUUUAUUGAAUGAACUCAAGAUUACAGAGAAUUACAGAUUGUAUCUCAUGGAAAAUUACCACCCUUAAACCCAGGAGUAACCCCCCUUUUAUACUCAUAAAUUGUAGCCAACUCUCUGCACCAGAAUCAGCUCCUUUUCAGUUGCUGAUAACUUCCUGGAAACUAAUCCCAGAUGCUCACGUGCAAGCCAUGCUUCAUUAACGACUUUAACCGCUUCUUUCAUUCGAAUCCAUUCACGUGAGUCUCAGGUGUUUCACUUAAGUCAAACGACAUUCCAAGACAUCGUUUCACUUAGCUUUGGUUUACACUCCGAAACGCACUCCCUCAAGUCGUUUUGAAUGUCACUGAAUUGCUUUCACUGGUUACUUUACAAAUCUCCACCUUGAAACAAUUCAUCCCUGUCAAUCUUUCUCCUCAACUUCAUGCAAGUUACAAACUGCAUAUUUCAGCUAUGUCCAAGCAGGUCUUAAACUUAGCUGAGGGUACCACCUUUGUAAGCAUAUCUGCAGGGUUGUUGCUGGUAUGUAUUUUUACCAUUUUUACAACUCCUUUUGAUAUUACAUUCCUUAUGAAAUGCAACUUAAUGUCGAUAUGCUUGGUCUUCUCAUGAUGAGCUGGAUUUUUGCUCAAGUAAAUGGCACUUGAGCUGUCACAGUGAAUAUCAACAACCUUCUGAGGUAUUCCUAACUCACUGAUUAAGCCUUUAAGCCAUAAAGCCUCCUUUACAGCUUCUGAGACUGCAGUAUACUCAGCCUCUGUAGUUGAUAAAGCCACUACAUGUUGCAAGCUUGCUUUCCAGCUUAUCAGACAUCCAUUCAACAUGAACAUGUAUCCAGUUUGUGACCUCCUUCUGUCCAGAUCUCCAGCAUAAUCAGAGUCAACAUAGCCCCAUAAACCAGCUUCAUUUAACUCUUGAUUCUUUCCAUAUAGCAACCCAAACUCCAAAGUUCCAUUUAGGUAUCUCAGCACCCAUUUAGCUGCCUUCCAAUGCUCUUUUCCAGGUGAAGCCAUAUACCUGCUUAUCAAGCUUAGAGCAUGUGAAAUAUAUGGUCUUGUGAGGACCAUUGCAUACAUCAUACACCCUACUGCAUUGGCAUAGGGUACCUUAGACAUCUCUUGCCUUUCUUCACUUGACUUUGGACACUGCUGGUUUGAGAGUUUAAAAUGAGAGGCUAGAGGUGUUAUCACUGGUUUACAGUUGCUCAUUCCAAAGGUAUUAAGUACUUUUUCCAAGUACUUCUUCUGAGACAAAAACAUAGUUCCCUUCCUUCAGUCUCUUGUUAUUUCUAUUCCCAAAAUCUUCUUGGCAUGACCCAGAUCCUUCAUAUCAAACUCAGAGUUCAGCAUCUAUUUUAAGGCUUCAACUUCUUUCCUCACUUUACAAGCAAUCAACAUAUCAUCAACAUAUAGUAGCAAGUAUAUGUGAUGAUCUGAAUCUAUUUGCUUGUAGUAUACACAACAAUCAAAAUUGCACCUCAUAAAUCCAUGUGAAAUCAUGAAUUCAUCAAACCUGAGGUACCAUUGCCUUGGGGACUGCUUUAAGCCAUACAAUGACUUCUUCAGCAAGCACACAUGGUCAGGGUAUUUAGAGCUUUCAAAACCUUCAGGUUGAGUCAUUAAAAUCUCCUCCUGUAGUCUCCCAUGUAAGAAAGCUGUUUUAACAUCAAGUUGAUCAAGCUCCAUGUCAUAUACAGCUGUUAGAGCUAACAAAACUCUUAUGGAAACAUGUCUGACCACUGGAGAGAAGACUUCCUUAAAAUCAACUCCUUCCUGCUGUGUAUAUCCCUUUGCUACUAACCUAGCUUUGAAUCUCCUAGGUUCAUCAGUUGUCGGCCCUUCUUUUACCUUGAAAAUCAAUUUGCACCCCACAAUCCUUCUUUUCUCAGGUUUCUUUACCAAUUCCCAGGUGUUGUUCUUGUACAGUGAGUCCAUUUAAUCUUCCAUAGUCCUCUGCCACUCUGAUUUAUAUGAACUCUUCAUAGCCUCUCUAUAGCUUGUUGGCUCAUUUUCCUCAAUCUCAUGUGAUGCUGCCAGUGCAUAUGCAAUGAGGUCUGCAUAACCAUAUCUUUGUGGAGGUCUUAUCUGUCUUCUCUCUCUAUCUUUGACCAGGUGAUAGUCUCUAAGUUGGGUUUGAGUGUGCUGUUGAGAUUGUGGCUCAGUGUUUCCACUACUGUCAUCUUUAUCUCCAUUAGAAUCUAUAGCUUCUUGUGAGGAUUUUAGAUUUGGAUGCUCCACCUCAAAAUGUAUACUCUCUGGAGUUUUAGUCUGAGGUUUAGUACCAUUUUCUUGUAGCUUUUUCUUGAGCACAGUCUCUUCAUUAAAGAUCACAUCCCUGCUGAUGAUGCACCUUGGUGGGGAUAGGUCUGUGCACCAUAACUUGUAACCCUUUACACCCUCUGGAUACCCGAUAAACUUCCCUUUCAGAGCUCUUGGAGAUAACUUCCCUUGCUUUACAUGUGCAUAAGCAUCACAUCCAAAAGCCUUAAGCUCUAUAUAGUUACCAGGUUUUCCAGACCACAUUUCUGAUGGUGUUUUAAAGUCAAUUGCAGCAGAUGGGCUAAGGUUCACCAAAAAACAGGCAGUCAGCAAGGUUUCUGCCCAUAGCCCUUUAGGAAGUUGGGACUGUAUCAUCAUGCAUCUGACUUUAUCCAUUAAAGUCCUGUUCAUCCUUUCAGCUAGGCCAUUUUGCUAUGGGGUUAACCUUACUAUUCUAUGUCUUGCAAUCCCUUCAUUUGCACAGAAACUGUCAAACUCUUGAUUACAAUACUCAAGGCCAUUGUCUGUUCUUAGUUUCUUAACCCUUUUCUCAGUUUGAUUUUCAACCAAUGCUUUCCACUCUUUAAAUUUCCCAAACACCUGAUCUUUACUUUUCAGCACAUACACCCACACUCUCCUAGAGUAGUCAUCUAUCAUUGUCAUAAAAUAUCUAUUUCCACCCAAAGAUGGAACCUGAGAAGGUCCCCAUAAGUCUGAAUGUAUAUAUUGCAGAAUCUCAGAUGUCUUAUGUAUAGAUUUCUUGAAGUUAUUCCUAGUGGAUUUACCUAGAAUGCAUUCUUCACAGAACACUAGCUCCCCAAUCUUAUCUUUCCCCAGAACACUCUGCUUAUUAAGUUCUUUCAGGCCUUUAAUACUCAUAUGCCCAAGUCUUAAGUGCCAUAGAGUAGUUUUAUCUAUGUCAGUGCUUUCAAUGGCAUUAGAGACCCCUGUUACAGACUCCCCAUCUAAGACAUAAACCCCAUUCUUUCUGGUCCCUUUCAUAACCAGUGCAGAUCUAUUAAGAAUCUUCAAUUCACCUGAUUCAAGCUUAAUGCUACAUCCCAUUUGAUCUAUCAUUCCUAAAGAAAUCAAAUUCCUUUUAAGUUCUGGAACAUGCCUAACUUGUCUGAUUUCUUUUACAGACCCAUCAUGUACCUUAAGAUGAAUUUUACCAAUCCCAAUGAUUUUACACACUGAAUUAUUACCCAUCAUUACUCUUCCUCCAUCAAAGUCUUGAUAAUUAGAAAAAUAACCCUUAUAUGGACUCAUAUAAAAUGUGCAACUAGAGUCAAGAAUCCACUUACCCUUUUGCAUAUCCUCAGUAGCAACACACACACCUGCUGACUCAUAGCCAUCUUCUUCUUCUUCAGCUGUAGCUGCAUUCCCAACCCUCUCCUUAUUCUUGUGCUUUAAGUCUGGGCAAUCCUUCUUGAAAUGUCCUUCCUUAUGGCAAUGGAAACAUUUCAAGUCUUUUGGCUUGGUCUUGGAUUUGGACUGCUUCUGAUUCUUUGCUGCAUUCUUAUUCUUUUCAAACUUCCCCUUUACUGUUAACCCAACUCCACUUUCUAUACUCACAGACUUUUGUUGCAACCCUCUAGUAUUUAAGGCUGCAUUUACCUCAUCCAGGGACAGUGUCUGCCUCCCAUACAUUAGGGCAUCCACAAAAUUAGAGUAUGAUUGUGGAAGUGAGCUUACCAAGAGCAGAGCUUUACUUUCAUCACUGAGGCUUUCAUCAAUUGUCUCCAGGGUGUCACACACUCUAUUGAAUUCAUCUAUAUGAUCAUCAAGAGAGGAUCCCUCUGCCAUCUUUAGAGUAAACAUCCUUUUCUUUAUAUGCAAUCUGUUGGUGUUAGAGUGCAAUUUAUGCACUAGUUUUGCAUUGUUUACUUCCCUUAAUAUCGAUGUUUUGCACUUAAUAAUAGUGAUUUACUUGUGAUUUACUUUUGUAGGAGCAAUUCUAUUGAUUGGUGAUAAAAUUGAGCUACAAGAUGAUGUUUAGGGAUGAUUGUUCCCUUGGAGAAAUUAUGAGCGGCAGAAGAACUUUGUUGAUAAGGCGUGGGCGCGUGCUGUCAGCUGCGGACCUACAUUUUUAGUUUAACGUGUUUUAUAUUUUUGGUUAUUUUUGUAAUUACGAAUUUAAUAUUUCAUAUAUUAGUAUUUUAUUUUAAAUAGAAUUCUAGAGGAGAAGAGAGAGAGAAUAUUUAACGGAGGAAUCUAUUGUGAAAAAGAGGGAUUUUUUGGGGGAUUGGAGAAAAAGAAAAAAACCCUAGAUUUAAUUUUCCUCUUCUCUCUAUGAAGAACUAAACCUAUUUUUCUGGUUGAAGGAUAAUGAAGCUUUGAUUCAUCACUACUGUGAGAUCUUUCUUGUGCUUUAAUUGUUUUAUUACUUUUUGGGUAUUUGUUUAUUCUCUGAAUUAUUUUUAUGAUUAUGUUUGUUAAUUAGGUAAUUGGCCACUAUUUAAUUAUCAACUUAAUCUAUUGUCAAUUAAAGGAUUCAUCGUAUGGAGAAUUUAAUGUUGGUGACAAAUAACAUAGCAGAGAGUUGUGUUGUGAGAAUAAACAAUCUAAUUUAAAUGAAUCAUCAUAUGUGUUGAUUAGGAUUUGGGUCUCUCUGGUUUUUCAGGCUGUCAAUUGAUUAAAUCCUAUGAUCGUAUCUAGGGUUGUCUAUUGAUUAGGGAAAUAACCAACGGUCGUACCUUGGUUAUCGACUAGUUAAGGAGAGAUUGGCUAUUAGAGGGUCUCAGUAGCUAUAACCGGUCUAUUCAUAAGUAAUAAUAAUCUAUAUUUGAAUCAAUGAUCAGUAGUCGAAUCAAGCUGAGUUAAUUCCUUCAACCAGAGCUUUCUCCAAUUUGAAUUACAACUUUAAUUUGCAUUCUUGUUAUUUUAAUUUGAUUUUAUUAUUGUCAACAAUUCCCCCAUUUUACGUUUUACGUUUCAAAAGGAUUUAAAUAAUUACCGAUCUCUGUGGACACGACCCUGCUCAAUCACUAUACACAAUUUAUUUAGAGUAUGAAUUUAUUUUUGUUGGCUUCGACACCCAUCAAAUUUUGGCGCUGUUGCCGGGGAUUGGUGUCAUUUAUUUAAUCCUUUUUACGUUUUACUUGGUGUAUGGUUCGUUCUUCUCGUACAGGUACACUUUCGUUUGAUCCUGAAAUUGAGAAGACAGCUUGCCAGCUGAGACAGCAGACUAAGCAAGCUAAGCAACGAUCCUCGUCGCCUUUGCUUUUUGAAACAGAUACGGUGCCUAAUUUAGUUGAAUCAUCUAGCGAUUCGGAAGAACAAGUGAUGGAUAGACCUGCACCUGUAGAAAGAACUCUUAGAGAGUUAGCUGAACCAGACUUGAAUCAGCAACCACUCUGCAUUCAUUAUGUAGAUUUGGAGGUAAAUUUUGAAUUAAAGUCUGGUCUUAUUCAUUUAUUACCCAAGUUUCAUGGUUUUGCAGGUGAAGAUCCUCAUAAACAUCUUAACGAGUUUCAUGUUGUGUGUUCAAGUAUGAGACCACAAGGCGUGACUGAAGAGCAUAUUAAGCUGCGUGCUUUUCCGUUCUCUGUAGAUGGGCUAGCUAAAGACUGGUUGUACUACUUGCCUCCUGGAUCGAUUACAACGUGGAAUGAUUUAAAGAAGCAGUUCCUCGAGAAGUACUUUCCUGCUUCAAGAGCUGCUAACAUCAGAAAAGACAUUUGUGGGAUCAGACAACUUCCUGGGGAGACUUUGUAUGAGUAUUGGGAGCGAUUCAAACAAUUGUGUGCCAGCUGUCCUCAGCAUCAGAUUUCUCAUCAACUUCUUAUUCAAUAUUUUUACGAAGGAUUGUCAUUGAUGGAUAGGAGUAUGAUAGAUGCUGCUAGUGGAGGCAUGUUGGUGAACAAGACCCCUAGUCAAGCAAGGGAGUUGAUAUCAAAUAUGGCUGCCAAUGCACAACAAUUUGGCAGCAGGCAAGAUCUCACUUCAAGGAAGGUGAAUGAGGUAAAUAUUUCUUCUGUUGAACAACGUUUAGAUAAACUUACUUCUCUUGUGGAAAAGUUUGUUGUAGGUAAUGUGCAACAGGUGAAGACUUGUGGCAUUUGUUACAAUAUGGAUCAUUCAACUGAUAUGUGUCCUACACUUCAAGAAGAACUCAUUGAACAAGCCAAUGCAGUUGGAGGAUUUCCAGGCAUGCCUCAGAGGAGGUAUGAUCCUUAUGCACAAACAUACAAUCUGGGAUGGAAGGAUCAUCCCAACUUCAGCUAUGGAGUUAAGCCGUCAGGAUUCCCACAACAGUAUCCACCAAGACAACCAACACCUCCACAGUCAAACUCCAAGUCAGGUAUAUCUCUUGAAGAAAUUGUUAAAUCACUUGCGACUAACACUCAACAAUUUCAGCAGGCAACUACAGCAAGCAUUCAAAACUUGGAUAACCAAAUGAGUCAAUUGGCGACUACAGUGAGCCGUCUGGAGUCUCAAGUAUGAGGGAGAUUGCCUUCACAAUCUGAGGUGAAUCCAAAGCAAAACGUUAGUGCUGUCAUCCUUAGAAGUGGGAAGGAGUUGCAAGAGCCUAGUAAGAAAGUGAAAAAGUAUGUAGAAGAUGAGUUUGAGAAGAAUGAAUUGAUGCCUCAAUCUCAAGAUGCGGAACCCACCAGAGCGAAACCCCUACCUAUUGUGAUACCUCCUCCUUUUCCAAGCCGGUUUGCAAAAUCCAAAAAGGAGGAACAAGAGAAAGAUAUCCUUGAGACAUUUCGCAAGGUUGAGGUAAAUAUCCCUUUAUUAGAUGCUAUAAAACAAAUACCUCGAUAUGCUAAAGUCCUUAAGGAACUGUGCACCUCUAAGAGAAAAUUAAGAGGAGAUGAAAAAGUUCACAUGGGGGAGAAUGUUUCAGCAGUUCUCCAAAAGAAACUACCUCCUAAAUGCAAGGAUCCAGGUAUGUUUACUAUACCUUGUAAAAUUGGUAGUGUUAGAAUUGAAAAGGCUUUGUUAGAUCUAGGAGCUUCUAUUAAUGUCAUGCCUCGUUCUAUUUAUUCAUCUUUGAAUAUUGGUCCAUUAAAAGAAACUGGCGUGAUAAUUCAACUAGCUGAUAGGUCUAAUGCAUAUCCUAAUGGGAUAUUAGAAGAUGUCUUAGUACAAGUUAAUGAGUUGGUUUUUCCUGCUGAUUUUUAUGUACUUGAUAUGGAAGAUGAUAACUCCUCUAAUUCUGUCCCAAUUUUGCUAGGAAGACCUUUUCUUAAGACUGCUAGGACUAAAAUGGAUGUACAUAAAGGGACUCUCACUAUGGAGUUUGAUGGAGAGGUUAUAGAAUUCAAUAUGAAUGAUACCAUGAAAUAUCCUAGUGAGGAACAUUCAGUAUUUUUUGUGGAUGUUAUUAACCCUAUAGCGCAGGAAAUUUUUUACAAGGAAAAGACGAAGACAUUUCAUGAUAGAAUGAUUUUGAGAAAGGAGUUCUCUGUUGGUCAAAAAGUUCUUCUUUUUCAUUCUAAGCUUAAACUUUUUCUGGGUAAAUUAUGUUCUUACUGGGUUGGACCUUUUAUUGUUACUAAUGUUUUUCCUCAUGGUGCAGUUGAGAUUCGGAGUCCGACCUCUGACAAAGUUUUUAAGGUUAAUGGUCAUCGCUUAAAACCUUUUUAUGAAGGUUUUUCGGUGAAUAUUGUGGAGGAUGUGGCUCUCGAGAGUCCCAAUUAUGGAGAUUGAUGCAUAAAUGUGUCUAGCCAAAGACAUAAAACAAAGGCGAUUUUGGGAGGCAACCCAAAUGAUUUAUUUAUUUUGGUUUUUGUUAUAUCUUCUUUUAAUUUUGAUUCAGAUUUUUUUUAAAAAUAAUGUGUUUGCUUAUUUUGGCCAGAAGAAAAUUUUUGAUAAGGCGUGCCCAGGUCUUAACUAAAAAGUACUUCUGUAAUUUUUAAAGUAAAAUAGUUUUAAGGCGUGCCCACGUGCUUAUUAAAAAAAUACUUCUGAAAUUUUUGGUGUCUCAAAGUGUUUCAUCACUAAAAAAAAAAAAAAUCUUUUUUUAAUUUAAUUUAAUUUAUUUUUUAUUUAAAAAAAAUGAAAAAAAAAAGAGAUUUUCUUUUGUUCUUUCUUUUAUAUAUAUAUUUAUUUAUUUAUUAAAAAAAAAAACCAAAAAUCGAAAAUCAUUGUUCACAAAUCCCUAAUUCAAAAAUUACUGUUGAUUAUCGUUUUACAGCAGCGCGCCUCAGCUCCAGCCUUCACCCCGCAAUGCAAGCAGCAGCCAGUGCGAACCAGUCGCGUGCAACGCAAGCCCCAGCAACCCAGAUUCUCAGCUCCAGCCGUGCGCAACGUAGCUGAGCAGCAGCAAACCAGCAGUGCGAACCAGCUCUCGCGCGCAAUACAACGCGAACGCAGCAGUGCGUAGAUCCAGCCCAGCAACGCAGCACGAACCACCAGCGCGCAACGCAAGCCCCCGCGCGCGCAACACCAGCAUCCCGUGUCUCGCAGCCCAGUAGCGCGAACCACCAGCGCGCAGCGCAACGCAGCACCCGCAAAGCAAGCCUCACCAGCGCGCAACGCAAGCCCGCAACGCAGCAACGAGCACACCCUGCAACGCAACCAGCUUACGCCCUGUAUUCCAGCCGGGUAAAUCGAAAUUCGUGAGUGCAAUUAUUGUAACAAUGCCGAAGAGGAAAGCAUCCACUUCCAAGUCAUCGAAAAAGACACCCAUCGUAAAGAAAUCUAAGAUUGCCGCUCCCACUACGGUUCCAUGGAACACAAUUUCAGAUUCACGCCAAGCCGUGAGACAAAGAUCGAAGCAUGGAAAAGGCAUGAGUGUUUUGCCACUUGCGGAAUCCAAUCUCGGAGGGUGCCUUGCGUUCGCGACUCAACAAGAGAAAGAGAGGUACAAAGAUAUUUCCAUGCGCAAAAUACUUCCAGCUAAGUAUAUUCAUUACCCGACUCUUGAAAAAUUGAAUGUUAAGGAUAAUUUUGAUUCUUUGAUAGAUAAGAUUGGGUUGCGUAUAUUUGUUAAUGUUGAUUGUUUGGGUUAUGUUGAGUUGAUUAGGGAGUUUUAUGCUACUUUUCAAUUUAAUAUGCCGAAUGAUUUUACUUUGCAUACCCCGGAUGUCAUUAAGUUUAGGUUAAUGGGAUGAAAUUUUUCACACUCUAUCACGGAUUUUAACCUAGCUUUAGGAUUCAUUGAUGAUGAUUAUUCUUCUAGUGAUGCAUAUUUAGGAACAACUUGUGACUUUAGCGGAAAUUUUGAGCCUUAUGGUCUUUGGCAUAAUUUAUCUGUUGAUCACAAUGCCUAUGACCCGAGUAAAUCAAAAAGUUCUUUCUUACGUGAUCCUGUUUUGAAAUGUGUGCAUCGAUUCUUAGCAUAUAAUUUUUUAGGCAAGAAAGAUCACUCAGGAGUUUUCUCUAAAACUGAAUUUUAUUUUAUCUGGUGCAUGUUAAAUGAUGUGAGGCCUAAUUUAGGUUUUUGGUUAGCGGAUCAAUUUCAAAGUGUGCUUAAACGGUAUAGGACUUUAUUUCUUGGUCCAUACAUAACUCUGUUAGCUAUAAACCUAUGUGUGCUUGAUCCCGACAAUAAUGAUUUGCAUCCUGCUUGCAAAAAGGAAUUUUUGGAUAUGUCUGUGUUUGCAAGAACAGGUGUGGUUGAAUUCAAGGAGGGGAGAUUUCAGUUUACUGAACCAGGACCCACUCAACUUCCGAAGAAGCUUUAUGCUAGGAGUGGUGCUACCUCUGAUGACGAGUUUGACGACGACACUGCUGCCCCGCCAACUAUUCCUUCUACAUCCGCACCACCUUUGAGUAUUCAGUUAGAGAAAAUGGAGCACAAGCUGAACAAGAUGGAGCAGAAUUUGGCCGCAUACUUCGAGAGUGUGGGAUUUACCCCACCAUUUCCGCCAAGCCCAUAGACGUUAUGUGGAUCAAAGCUCACAAUUCAGGGAAGUUUCUUUUUGCCCUUAAUCUUUUAUCCUUACGCUUUAAUUUUUAUGUGAGCUUUGAUUAUCUUACAUUGGGGACAAUGUAAGUUCUUGGUGUGGGGGAGGGAUUUUUGCAUUAUUGAUGCCUGGAAUUAUUAUUUUCACUCUACUCAUCUAUUUUCACUCUACUCAUCCUUAAAUGAUUUUGGAGUUAGCAUGCUUCAUAUAUUAUUAUUUUUCUUUUCUUUUCCUUCUCACUACUUUUUUCCCAUCUAUCUCAAAUUAUUCAUGUCUAUUUUUAUUUUAUUAUACUCUUUCAUCACUCACAUUUUAUCUUUCACUUUUCAUAUUACUACAUACAUCUUUCUCGCUUAUUAUCCUUUUUACCUUUCCUUUUAUAUCUCACUCAUACUUUCUUCUCAUUCUACACCAUUAUUGAUGGUUGAUUCAUUUGAAGAGUGUACAGGAUUUGAUGGCAAAUUUACCAACUUUGUGAGGAUUUGAGCCUAUGAGCAACCACUUUGCUCUAAUUAUUUUUAUUAUGUGAAUAUCAAUCCUAGUUUGUUUAUUCUAGAACUUGCUUUAUUAUGCAUGUUGAAGCCACAUUACGGGAUUUUAUGCAUUAAAAUGAUAAGGGCAAACCAUUUACCAUUUUUCUAUUCUCGCAUUUUCCUUUUUCUCUACCCGAAGACCUUUAUUUGCUACCUUUGUUUGAGCCUUAACAAUUACCCAUCUAAUUCUCUCCGUCUACUUAACCAUUUUUCUUCUUUUUUGAGCCUUAAUUUAAGGAGAUUUUUGGACUCAUUGUGUGGAUAUAUUUUGUUGCUUUUUCUACCUUGUAAUAAAGUUUCUCAAUUAGAUCAACAAGCAUUAUGCUUGAAUUAAAUUGUACAAGGUUCGUUUCUUUUGUUUGAUUCAUCACUAAAAAAAAAACAAAAACAAAAACAAAAGAAAAAAAAGAAAAAGAAAAAUCACAAAAAAAAAAUGUUUACAUUCUUGGUGACUUGAGUAGAAAUAAGCAUUUUGAUAUCAUAAGUUCAUUCAAUGAGUUCAUUUUUCUCGUUUUGAUCUCUUUUUCUUUCGUAAACCUUUCUUUUUCAUUUAACCUAUUUAACCCCAUUACAACCCUUUUAAGACCCUUAGAUUUUUGCACUUUAUUCAUGUUUUGUGGAUUGAGAUGUGAUAUAUGAGCAAGCUUAUGGUAAUAGCAUUCUUUGAUUUGAUUUGAGUGGAUAAAUGACACCCUAAACACUUUGAGUGCAUGGAGUGAAGUUAUUGAGAGGGCUAUUAAAUCUUGUUGCACUUGAAUUUUGAAUGGAUCUUCUUGGUGGUUGAAUGUUCUUAUUCUAUCUUAUGAAAUUCUAUGCUUUAAAAUCCUUGUCUCUCAAAUGUUGAUCGACUUAAUUUCUUGAGAUAUGCCUGCUUAAAAUUGUUUUUGGAUGAGUUGAGAUGAGAAUUGAGUGGAGAUUUGGAAUUAAUCUUGAGUUAUAUGCUUGAGGACAAGCAUCAUCUUGGUGUGGGGGAAUUUGUUAGAGUGCAAUUUAUGCACUAGUUUUGCAUUGUUUACUUCCCUUAAUAUCGAUGUUUUGCACUUAAUAAUAGUGAUUUACUUGUGAUUUACUUUUGUAGGUGCAAUUCUAUUGAUUGGUGAUAAAAUUGAGCUACAAGAUGAUGUUUAGGGAUGAUUGUUCCCUUGGAGAAAUUAUGAGCGGCAGAAGAACUUUGUUGAUAAGGCGUGGGCGCGUGCUGUCAGCUGCAGACCUACAGUUUUUAGUUUAACGUGUUUUAUAUUUUUGGUUAUUUUUGUAAUUACGAAUUUAAUAUUUCAAAUAUUAGUAUUUUAUUUUAAAUAGAAUUCUAGAGGAGAAGAGAGAGAGAGUAUUUAAGGGAGGAAUCUAUUGUGAAAAAUGGGGAUUUUUUGGGGGAUUGGAGAAAAGAAAGAAACCCUAGAUUUAAUUUUGCUCUUCUCUCUAUGAAGAACUAAACCUAUUUUUCUGGUUGAAGGAUAAUGAAGCUUUGAUUCAUCACUACUGUGAGAUCUUUCUUGUGCUUUAAUUGUUUUAUUGCUUUUUGGGUAUUUGUUUAUUCUCUGAAUUAUUUUUAUGAUUAUGUUUGUUAAUUAGGUAAUUGGCCACUAUUUAAUUAUCAACUUAAUCUAUUGUCAAUUAAAGGAUUCAUCGUAUGGAGAAUUUAAUGUUGGUGACAAAUAACAUAGCAGAGAGUUGUGUUGUGAGAAUAAACAAUCUAAUUUAAAUGAAUCAUCAUAUGUGUUGAUUAAGAUUUGGGUCUCUCUGGUUUUUCAGGCUGUCAAUUGAUUAAAUCCUAUGAUCGUAUCUAGGGUUGUCUAUUGAUUAGGGAAAUAACCAACGGUCGUUCCUUGGUUAUCGACUAGUUAAGGAGAGAUUGGCUAUUAGAGGGUCUUAGUAGCUAUAACCGGUCUAUUCAUAAGUAGUAAUAAUCUAUAUUUGAAUCAAUGAUCAGUAGUCGAAUCAAGCUGAGUUAAUUCCUUCAACCAGAGCUUUCUCCAAUUUGAAUUACAACUUUAAUUUGCAUUCUUGUUAUUUUAAUUUGAUUUUAUUAUUGUCAACAAUUCCCCCAUUUUACAUUUUACGUUUCAAAAGGAUUUAAAUAAUUACCGAUCUCUGUGGACACGACCCUGCUCAAUCACUAUACACAAUUUAUUUAGAGUAGGAAUUUAUUUUUGUUGGCUUCGACACCCAUCAGUUGGCGAGAGACUUUGUCAUAUAGAUUGUUUCCAGUUUUGCCCACAGAUCAGCCACUGUCUUUUCUUUGGCAACUUCUCUAAUAACAGAGUCUCCAAGACUCAAGAUUAUUGUGCUCCUUGCCCUUUUAUCUAUAUCAGUAGCCUGUUGAGGUGUUAGUGAUGAUAAAGCUUCCAUUCCCUCCUUCUUGGUGACUGGUUCUAAGGCAUCUCCCAGUCCCUGAGUUAUCAGUAGAGCCUCCAUCUUUACUUUCCACAUAUUGAAGUCGUUCUUGCCUGUAAACUUCUCCAGAUCAACUUUAGGGUGAGCCAUACUAGAAUCUGAUUAAAGAAACCCUGCUCUGAUACCAAUUGUAGAACUUGAAGGGCACUUCAGUUGCUCAAACACCUUCAGCCACUGCCCAAGAUUCAAGAUCAGAUUCCUAGAUGCUUGACUAUAUAUGACUUGAAAAAGGUUUAACCAAGAACUUCAAGUGAACAGAACAAUCAAUGGUUUAAGAAUCAAAGAAUCGAAAGAAACUAAAGAAUAAAGAACAGAAGAGAUUUAACGUGGUUCAGCUAAAACACUUAGCUUACAUCCACGGAGGAACAAGACUUCAGGCUUUUAUUGAAUAAACUCAAGAUUACAGAGAAUUACAGAUUGUAUCUCAUGGAAAAUUACCACCCUUAAACCCAGGAGUAACCCCCCUUUUAUACUCAUAAAUUGUAGCCAGCUCUCUGCACCAGAAUCAUCUCCUUUUCAGUUGCUGAUAACUUCCUAGAAACUAAUCCCAGAUGCUUACGUGCAAGCCAUGCUUCAUUAACGACUUUAACGCCUUCUUUCAUUCGAAUCCAUUCACGUGAGUCUCAGGUGUUUCACUUAAGUCAAACGGCAUUCCAAGACAUCAUUUCACUUAGCUUUGGUUUACACUCCGAAACGCACUCCCUCAAGUCGUUUUGAAUGUCACUGAAUUGCUUUCACUGGUUACUUUACAAAAACAUUUUAAUUAGCUUCAAUAAAUUUGUAAUUCACUUGCUCAUAGAUGUGAUCUCUCCGUUUCACCUAAAUUUUGCGCAUUGUUUGCUCAUAAUCUUUGUUUUUAACUUGAUUUUAAGAUUUUAUUUUCAAUUUUUAGCUCUUUCAUCCUGUUAUCAUUUAUUUUUCUAUAAUUAAUUUGAUUUCUCUUAGUCUGAAUAUGAAUUUAAAUUGUUUGCUUUUAGUUCUGUUCUGAGAUGUCCGCAGUUUGGAUUCGUAUUUCGGUUCAUUUUUAUCAAUAUUUUAUUACGAAACUUUUACACUCUAGUUUAUAGAAGUUUAAUUUCAAUUUGAAUUCGAUUUGUUGCUGGAAUUUUAAAUUUAAUUUCACAACAAGUAUGAUGGAAGAUUCAAUUUCUGUUCUGCCUUUGAAUCUUCAUUUUGAAUUUCUUGUACACUUUUGAGUGUUCAAGCUAAAUUAUAUGCUUCUCCAGUUCAUAAUUCGGUUCCUAAAUUUAUUAUUAUUCAUCUGGUGUUUGUAAACUCUCUGUUUGAAUUUAAUAAUUUCAUGCAUUUUUUUCCUUCUUCUUCUCAGGUCAUGCGAAAGAGUCGCUCAAAGAUGAGCCAGAAAUUCACAGCCGAUAAGCCGCCACCGUCACGGCAACCAACGGAGAAGUCAACAACUUCCUCAGGAUCCUUCUCGACAGAGGCUGGAUCGUGCCUAUCAAGCACCGCGAGCGCCGUUUCGAGCUCGCAAAGCCGCUACUGGGUUGCGGCUCGUGGGAAGCCGAGGGUUAGAAGAACUAGCAGCGGCCCGUCUCACAUUGAGCGCCGAGCCGAAGCCAUUCUGAAGCUGCUUUCUUCCCACGGCUGUUCGUCAGAAAUCAAGAUCCGUCAAGCCCUGGGUGACAGUCCCGACACUAGCAAAGCACUGAGAAUGUGCGAGUUGGCUUGGCUCUUUAUUUCGCGUUUGAUUUAAACCGUUAGAUCAUACGAAAUCUCUUUUACUAACUUGUCGAUCCGACGGUUGUUGUAGCGUGUCCAAACGAAACAGUUUAAAUUCUAACCGUCUGAUUUAUUUAUUUGCAGGUUAUUGAGGAGUGAUGAAGUCAAGAGAUAUGGCACAGGAGGACGGCAGGACCCAUAUAUUUACUAGGUAUUAAUCUCCUUAUCAUUCGUUAUCUUACUUAAUUAUAGAACUACAUGAUAUUAUUAUACACUAAUCACAGUUCUCUUUUUUUUUUUUUUUUUUCUAAUUACUAACAUAUGAAACUCUAUUGCCUGUGAAAUUCAGGGAAUUUUGUUUGUGUAUAAUUAAUCAUUUCUUUUUUUGGGAUUAAUUUAUAAUUAAUUUUGCAGAUAGCAAGUAUCUAGAACGAGCAGGACCCAGCAACACCGGGUAAUAUAUAUAUAGCGAGACUUUGCAAUUGGUAAAUAUUAAGAGUGGCAGCCAUUAAAGUUGAUUAAUAUGCUAGUAUAAUAUUAGUAUUGACAUUAGGCAGAGACGGAGACUUUAGUGAAUAUUAUUGCUAUAUGAGUGUGGCGUACGCCUACGUAGUUAAUUACAAUUUCCAAAUCUCUGCGGGUUACUGAAAAUUUAAGUGCCUUGCAUAUUAUUGCUAUUAACCCAGUUUUUCAUGCUCGCUCGAAGCAUAUUGAAUUAGAUUAUUACUUCAUUCGAGAAAAGGUUGCUGAUGGUGCCUUGGUUACGAAGUUUGUCCCUUCUUCGUUACAAAUUGCAGAUGUUUUUACUAAGGCUUUGUCAAAAGCCAUGUUCCGCAAUUUCAGAUACAAGCUUGGCGUUCAUCAAAUGUCACUUGCCAGCUUGAGCGGGGAUGUUAAGCAAGCUGACCAAGAUUACCAAAAGGAAAGUCAUCAACGGUCAAGUCAACAACGGGUUUAUCACUCCACACAACUUGCUCACAUCAAAGCUAUUUGUCAAGGAAUAUCUCCAGCACGAUUUUUGCACUUGAAUGCCAAUAUCAUGUACGAAUAUUUCAUUCCUAUUUUAUAAAGAUAUUGUGCGAUAGUUUAGGAAGUAUUCACUUAUUUUCCUUUAAUAUUAUUAAGCUUUUUAACGGCUACUUUGUCUUUAUUUUGUAUGAAUAAUUCUGUAAAUUUCAUUAAAAAUAUAGAACAAGAAUUAUACUCUUCAUAGAAUUUCUUUCACUAAAUUAAUUAAAAAUAUAGAACAAGAAUUAUCCUCUUCAUAGAAUUUCUUUCACUAAAUUCAUCAGCCUCUUGAACCCUCUCCUGAGGGCGCCUUCUAUCCUCUGUUUUCUGUUACCAUACACUAAUAGACAAAAGCAUUUAGAAUGACAACUGGGACAUAUAUAAGAGUGAAAUAAUUGAAAAAUUAUGCUUUUUUGUUUGUCAUGUUAAAAUCGUAAAGUGCAUAAGUACUAUGAAAGAGAUUAAUUUACGGAAACUGAAGCCAAGGGUUAAAAAAAAAAGGUGCAAAGAGAAUAAAGGGCAACGCUUAUGUAAAGAGACAUAAUUGUAUUGGUAGCACAAUGUCACGUUCAUACAGGGAUCAAGCAUACUAUUUACAGGUGGUAAGUGCUAAGAAUUGAUGUAGCUAGAAUCCAAAGAUGAUAAGGUAUGUUGUGCACUAUUGUUUAUUCUACAAUCAAUCUUGACCCUUGAUGCUUGGCUCUCAAUCUUGUCCAUCGAUCUUCUCUGAUCUCGAAAACUUCAAGACCUUUCAAUCUUAUGCCUUAUUAUUGGUGUCUUCCAUGCUGUAGAUUUCAAAUACAAGCUUUCCCGCCAACUUGCCAAGUAUUUGUCCAUUGGUGCAUUUUAUCAAACAGUUUGGAUACUUAUACCAAACGCCUUCUGUUUUAACUCCCCCUCUCAAGCUCAAGCAUCUGGGAAGACAUUAAUAAGCUUGUUUCUCAAGUAUAUGUAUCUGAAAAUUAAAUUUUAUAAAUUGUAUUCGGACUCUACAUUUUCUAAGGAACAUUGGUUUGGCUUAUAAGCUUAUUAUACUCAGGCUUGGUAGGAUUAUCGGUCGGUAGAUGACCGAGUGUUAGAGCUUUCGAAUUUAUGCCAAUUAAAAAAAAAUCUACAUAAGUUUUCAACUAGGCUAUUACCACAAUAAACAUUUGGAUAAACUAUUAUUGAAACCUUAUUGAGAAGUGGGACAUGUCGCAUACCAAUGCACUGACAUAUCUUCAAAUAGUGGUAACUCCACACAACAUGGCGCAACAAAUUAAGAGUUACAUAGAUAAAUUGGGUUCCCAAGAUUUCUUGAUAGACGGUUAAUGACUAUUUUGAUGUCUGUUUUGCAGACUGAUCUGCGUUUCCAGAGCCAUGCAGUGCUGGCCCUGCAGGAGGCAGCCGUGGCUUAGGGCAUCUCUAAUGUAGCACUAAACCUAACACCAAAUCACAUUUUACACCAAAAAGCUUCUCCAAUGUAACACCAAAAUGGUGUAAUGAAUAGUAUUGCACCAAAUAUGGUGCAAUACUAUUCAUUUGCACCAUAUUUGGUGCUAGGAAAAAAAAUCUCAAAUAUCCUUAUUACUUUAUAUUAUUUACAUAUAUGUCCUAUUUUAUAUAAUAUUUUAAGUUAUUAUUAUUUUUUGUUAUUUUUUAAUUUUUGAAUAUUAUACUAAUAUUUUAAAUAAAAAAUAUUCAGAACAAAAAUUUAUAAUAAAAAUAAAAUGCCAAUAACAUUAAUUACUAGAUUACAUAUUACAAAAUAAAAAAUACAAAAUUAAAUUAACACAAAUUAAGAAAACUACUACUACUGGCAUAAAUUAGAACAAUUAUUUAGUAAUGUGGGAGAUCAUUAUUAGAUCCUCCAAUAUCAUUAAAAUAUUUUUCGAUAUUAAUGUAAUGUUUAAUUUUCAUAAUGCACUUAUUAUUGUUAUUGUAUUUUCUAUAUUAAUGUAAUGUUUAAUUUUUAUAAUGUACUAAUUUAGUUAAUUAAAUGUAAAUUUAAUAAUUUUCUAUAUUUUUUUUGUUAAUCGAUAUAAAAUUAUUUAUUACUUAAUUAUCUAUAUUAAUAGUAAUAUUUAUUGUGUUUGAAUUAAUUCUUGAGAAUUAAAAGAAUAAAAAGAAGAAUAUUCUUUUUGGUGUAAAUGGGUUGGAGAUGAAAUAUUAAUUUAAUGUGAAAAAGGUACAUUUUAGGUAUUGGUGUUAUACCAAAAUAGUGUUAUGCAUUGGAGAUGGCCUUACCUCCUUAAGGACACUAACCUCUGCGCCAUUCACGCAAAGCGUGUCACUAUUAUGCCCAAGGACAUACAGCUUGCCCGUAGGAUCCGUGGCGAGCGUGCUUAAGCGCAAUUGCCGCUUGCUUCAAUUGAAUGACUGGAAAGGGAAGGGGGAAGUUGUAAUGUGUUAAUUUGUAUGUGGGGUUGGUGGGGACGGCGUCGCUUUUUCUUAGUUUUUUUUUUUCUUUUUCCUCCCUUAAAAAUGGUGAAAUUACUUAUACUGGUUUUUCUAUUUUACAUUUUGAAUAUUAUUAAUUAAUAUAAUUCAGGGAAAUUAUCAUUCGUAUACCCUAUAUUUGUUCUGUUAUCAAAAAUACUAUAACACUUUGAGGGUGUAUCAAUCGUCUACCCUUAGUUGACAAAAUGUAUCAUCCGACCACCAAACCGUUAGUUGCCGUUUGAAAGUUAACGGAAUUAUAGUGAAUUAAUGAUUUUACCCUUGAAAAUUAUCACUUGUAUACCCUUAAAUUCUUUUUUUAUCACUCGUAUACCCUUAAAUUAUUACUUGUAUCAUAUGAAAAGACCAAAUUACUCUUCUGACGUCAUCAUACUUAAACAGCAACUAAUGGUUUGGUGGUCAGCUGAUAUAUUUUGUCAACUUAGGGUGGACGAUUGAUACACCCUCAAAGUGUUGAAGUAUUUUUGAUAAUGGAGUAAACUAAGGGUAUAUAAAUGAUAAUUUUCCUAUAAUUUAAGAUAACAAUUAGGGAUAAAACAAUAAUUUUUUAUUCAAGAUCAUUUCAUCAAUAUUCUGUUAAAUAUUCUCACAAUUUAACUUUAUCCUUAACAAAAAUUUAACUUUUUUUUUAAAACUAACGGAACCAAAUCCUAUAUAUAAAUGUAUAGUAUGCAUUAAUAAAUAAAUAAAACUUUGACGACCGGAGGGAAUGAAUAAAUAAAUAGAUAAAACUUUCGAAGCUCGUGAAUGUGCUAUUUUUGUGUUUUUUAGUAAUUGUUUAAUUGAAAAAAGAAAGCUUCGGGGAUUUAUUUUUGACGGGACGGCUGAGAUUUGUCGACCUUCCAGAGAAUGAGAACAGAUUUUCAAUUUGUUGAUAAGUAUUCCUACAGUCCAGCCCAAAAGUACCGGCUCAAUGAGUUCGGUCAUGUUUGGUAACAGGUAUCCAUCACUUUCAAAAUCCGGUCCUACCAACGUAUCGGCUUUCACUGGCUGUCGUAUCAUCCGUGAAUUCAUGGGAGAGUGAGACUACUCCAAUCUCCACGCGAGAAAUUUUAGAAUAUUUUUGUUAUAUUAUAAUUAAUUAAUACAUAUAUGACAUGUGUAAUUGAGUUUAAUAUAACCACCAUUUGUAUAAUAGUUUAUAAAAUAAAUGCACACAUAUCAUGAUAUUAUUUACUUAUUGUAUGGAUAAUGAAUGCACACAUUGCAUCACUCUUUGAUAAACAAAUUCAUAAUAUAUAUUAAUCUUUGUGGAAGUUAUGUCCAAAAAAUAAAUAUUGUAAAAAAAUUUUAAUUACUAAUUUUUUGGACAUUAAUAAAAAAAAUUAAUAUAUUAACUCCUCAUGGAGUAUUCAAAACAAUUAAUAUAAAUUUUUUUGUUUCUAUUUUACUUUUUUCGGUUUAAAUUGAUAAUUUAAUUUUUCUUUUUAUUAAUGUCCAAUAAAAAAGAAAUAUUAUUGUAGGAGUGUAAUAUUGUAAAAACAAGUCAAAAAGAACAAAAAGUAACAAUAAGGGUGUCAAUACUUAACGACAAUGAUGUUUUGAGAUAUUUUUAAAAAUAUAAGAAUUAAAUAGGUAUUAAUCUCAAAAUAUAGGGAUUAAACGAGAUUUUACCCUUAUUAAUUAUAGUCAUCUUUUUAUAAAUUACAAUUGGAGGAAGUUGGCUAAUGUUGUUGACACGCACGCACGCACACAUAAAGAUUUAUUGGAAGUGCUUAUGCCGGCUCGAAGUUGUUGGGAAUUAAUGCAUGUAUUGAUUUAUUGGGAGUGUUUAAAUGAUUUUGUGAUUUACUUGAUUGAUUGAAUAUUGUUUGAUUGCUUCAUAUCCAUUCUACAAAGUUUAUUUCUUUGUGAAAUUUCAACGACAUAUUUUUUUUUAAAAAAAAUAUUAAGGGUGUUCUAAAUAAUUUUCAAAAAUAUAUGGACUAAUUAGAAUUAAUUACUAGGUAAUUAACUUGAUCUGUACAGGGUGAAACAAUAUUUAUCCUAAUUGUAUCAUGACAAAUACUUUUCCGAUUAGAAUUAGGAAACCAUAAGUUUAUUGAAUUAUUUUUUUUUAUUUUCCUUUGGAGAAACGGAUUAGAGAAUUAGAAAACAAUCCUAAUGAUAUAAUUAUCAGGUUUAAAACAGUGCAUAAACAGUGAAAAGCUAAUUAGUCUGUAGAGUAAUUUGCUAAUUGUUAUCUCCUCUCUAUGCGCGCUGAAUAAUUUGUUGCAUGCAAACUUUUUAUUUUAUGCAAAUCGUACUUACUGUAACAUUGGAAUUGAUGUAUAAGCAAAAUUACAAUAAUAUUUAUGUCAAUAAAAAUAGUUUUUUUUUUCCUUUUUAAAUAAAGGAGAGCAACGGGAUGUUGCUCUGCUCUACAUUUUUGCUAUCAUUUUAUUCUUUUUUUUUUUUUUUUUUGGCUUCUUAAAGCCUCAAACUUUGAUAACCAAAACUUCACCGACCUCUGAAAAAAUCGGCAGAUUAGUUUUUAUUAUCGGAAUAAUUGUUUGAGAAUACUAAAACAAAAUAUAAAAUAAGAAAAUAUGGGGUUAAAUUUGGGGAAAACAAAAAAAUCCAAUUGGGAAUUUUUUUUCUUUAAUUUUUGUUUUACUUGAUUGAGAUUUCUCCUUAGUUCUUACAGUUUUAAGUUUGGAUGCCGUAGGGUUAGUAAUUUAGUACUUCCUUUGCAAGCUGAGUGCGAGAACGAAAAUCUUUAAAGAAAUUAAAAAAGAUUAAAAAAAAGCAUACCAAUAGGUAAUUAUAAAUAACCAUAAAUAAACAUAAACAAAAUGUUUAUGAAGUAAAUUACACAUGCACAUAUUAUUUUCUUGUUUUAUUUCUUACUUGUCUAUUUUAUUUGCUGCUUGAUAACCCUUAAAUACUAAUCUAGUACUGCUAAUUUCAGACACAAAAUUUUUAACUCUAGGCUGCAGUUUUACUCAAAAUGAUGACCGCUGGCUUCGCACCAUUUAACCGGCAUACAUUUCUACAAAUUGAACAAGGCUAUUGAUUUUCAUUAUUAUUUUUUUAUUUAUUUAUAAAUUACUAUUUUAAUUUUCACUUUUUAUUGGGUUGUUUAACGGAUUAGUGAAGUUGGUGGUCGUGAUGCACUCACAAGGUACAAUUUUAUUUUAUAAUUUCAAAUUUGUAUUUUAAAAUGCAGGUACAUUAUGUAUACAUAAUUAUUGAUUUUCGUAUGUGGGUGUUUUGUAAUAUUGCUAAAAGACCAAACUUUAAUAAACUAUUUUUCAUCUUUUUUUUCCUUUUUUCCUAAAGUUUGAGUGAUAUCCGCAUUUUAAAUUCAUGUGGAACAAAAGCUAAUGUAUGCACAAAAUUCUUUUAUUUUUUCGGAGAAAAAUGGGUAAGAGAAGAAGAUUUUUCUCUUGCAAAAGAAAAACUAAUACGAUGCAAGCAUAGGAAAGAGGUCAGUGUUUUGGAUUAGAAUUUAGUAUUGAACUGAAUUUUAUACUAAAUAGUACUGCGAUUAAUAAACUCAUGAUUUGCUUUUGUUUUUACUUCAAGUGAAAGAAAGAGGAAACCUUUUGUUUUUUGUUUGAUUCUUGACUAUAGAUGUUACCUAUAUACAGAGUUGAGGUAGCUACCUUAAGUGAUGGUGAUAAAAAGAUUAAGCAGCGCACACAAUCUUAUUGUCGUCCAGACCAUCGAGCUGUGAUGACUCUAGCUUUUUGGUUACAUUAGCUUUAGUGGAAAGGAGGGCCAAUUUAAUAAAGACUAGAUUUGGUGGCUUACUAUAAUGCUUAUUCUCAGGGAAUCUAAUGUUAUAAGAUGAUUUAAUGAUCUUCUAUGAUUGUGAGUAGUAUAGUAUAAUUGAAAAGAGCCUGGGCUCCUAUGAUGAAUAUAUAAUAGUAACACAGUACUGUGAUUGAAAAAAACACAGUUACAAUAAACUCUUCAUUUAUUCAUUGCGGAGAUUGAAUGGCAAACAGAGAAUAAAAUGAAGUAGAGGGAUCUCAUUGCCAGUAAAAUUGACCCUCUUUAAUGUUAUAUGGCACAGGUGUGUGUACAGCAAGAGCAAGUUACUUGCAGUUUUUAUUGUAAAAUAUACAGGUUAUGACCAUGAUCAUUGUAGUUAGGUUUUGAUGAUUUUAGAUGCUUUUUUUUAUUUUUUUUAAAUUGUGACACCUUUGAUUUAUGGUAGUUUUGCAGAAGAAAAAAAUAUAUAUAAAAAUUAGGAGGGAUGAGUUAACUAACAAUUGCAAUCAUUGCAGUAAUGUUGAUGAGUGAUACAUCAUUUUAAAUUUACUUGUCAGUUGCUGAAAUGAUGAAAAAAAAACAAUAAACAAUAGCAGUAAUAUUUUUAUGGAAAUUCUUGGUUUUUAUGGAAAUACUCUUGCUGAAAUUCUAAGUUUGACUUUCAACUCUUGGUUUUUAUGGAAAGUAAAAUGACUUGUUUGUUAUAUUCAUACAACCCACUCUACAUAAUGAUUUCAUUUUAAUAAAUGGUUGAUGAUCUCCACAGAAAAACUACUUCAAUUCUUUUUUUUUUAUUUAACUUUUUGGUUGUUGAAAAUAGCCUUAAUUUUCAAAUCAUUGGAGAAAGAGUAAAGAACAUUUAACAAAUUUAUGUGCCAAAAAUAAAGGAGAAAUUGAAGAGAAAGGGUGCUUGCAGAAGUGGGUGCAAAGAUAAAUCAGUCCAUAAGAAUUAUUGUGGUUAUUAAUUUUUUGGCAAUAUAAAAAUUUUUCAGCAAAUAAAAAUAGAUUUUUUCUGAUUUACUAAAAAAUUAAUUAAAAACUUCGGCGAUAGCAUUUUUUAUGGGUGCAUGUACCCUCCCUUUAAAAAAAAUAUAAUAAUUAAUACUUAAUAUAGUAUUAAAUACGAAAAUAUCAAUAUUUGACUACACAAAUUUAUAUCAUUAGGUCCUUAAAAUUUAAAAUUGAAGACACAAAAUGAAAUUUAUAUAAAUUUCAUUCUCAUAGGAAAGGAUCCUCUUAUAAUCUUAAAAUAUUUGAGCUUUGAAAGAUUUUUUAAAACAAAUGUACUUUUAUUUUUGUACAAUCAAUAUUUACUUAUAUAUUAUAUUUUUAUUUAUUACACUACUAGAAAAAUGGUCUUUUGUGACACUUGUCUUCUGACACUUUAUUAUAAAGUAUCAGUAAUUAGAUGUAUUUGGGGCAUUUUCCGUGUUUAACAUAUAAGUAUCACAAAUUGCUAAUACUAUGGUGUCAGUAAAUUUAAUAUCACAGAUUCGUGACACUAAAGUAUUAGUAGUUAAAAAAAUAAAAUUUUAAUUUUGUAUCUAGUAAUAAUCGAACCGAAGCCCCCUAAGCCAUAACCUUUUGAUUUUAACCGCUACACCACUCGGCCACAAAUUGCAUUUUUGAACUUAUAAAUUAAUAAAUAAAUAAAUAUUAAAACUUAAAACCUAAAACCUAAAAAAUUUUCAUGUAUGGUAUGUGUGAAACGUAAAACCUAAAAAUUUUUGUUAAGUCAAAAAUCUAUCUUAUGGCCGCCGAAGCUUUCUUCCUUCUCUCUCCUUCCCUCUCUCUCGCUCUCUUUCUCUCUCGAACAAUGAUCUACCUUGAAAGCCACCUCCGUCAACACCUUGAAAGCCGCCGUCCUUAAGCUAAAAUAUCCCUGAAAAGAACCCAGAAAGUGCUAUGAAGAAUUUGGGCAAAGCUAAGGUUAAUUUGAAAGUCCGAAUCAGUGUUGUGGUAACUCUUUGCCUCAUUCUCUAUUCUCAUUGUUUAAGUAUUUAUCUGUUAAUUGAUUGAUGUUUAUUGAGUGCAAAUGAGAGCUUGCACUUGUUUGGAAAUCUAGCCAUCUAGGGUUUUUGUUGCUUAUAAUCUAAUUUAUUGUUUAAUAAAAUAAAUAAAACUCAGCUUUAUUAUAGGUGGAAUUCAGUUUAUUAAGUGAAAGAAUGAUUACAAUUGGUGAUUAUGGAUUUAGGUUGAAUGCAAUUUGUUAAUUAAAAGAAUAAUGGCAAUCAACAGUCAUGGAUUUAGUAUGUAUUAUAUAUUUCGUUUAAUGGUGUGUAUGAAAACCCAAAACCUAAAAUUUUCUUAAGUAAAAAUCUCAGUUCUCCCUCACAACCUAUAAGCCCAUCACUCUCUCUCUCUCUCUCCCCCCUCUUUCUAGCUAACAACCCAAAACGUAUUGUGAAACCGCCAUUUCAAUCUUUCAAAGCUCAUUAGUUAGCUGGUCAUUGUGAAAAGUAAGGUUAUUGUUUGCUUUUAUGUCUAAUUUUACUUUAAACAUGGGGAUUGAUGAUAUUCGAGUUGCUGAACACUUGAUUUUGAGGUGAAAGAUUAAUUAAUAGUUUACGAAAUUAUGCUGAAAAUUUGAGGAUUGAUAGACUGUUGUUGUGAACUUGGUUGUUUCCGAACUUGACUAAAUGACUUUCAAUUGAUUUGAAAGUUUGAUUAAACUAAGUUUAAAUGAGAACAUUUUAAUUCUGGAAAUUUUGGAAUGAAUUGGGUUUAUAUUUGAUUUUGAAUGGAUUUCUCAAUAUGGUUGGUUGUUGUCCAAUUUUAUUAGAAAUUACAUAUGUACCAUGUUUGAUAUUGCAAACGUAUAGUCUAACAUAGUUAGAAUAAGUUGAAAUUCGGAUAGACUACAAUUCUAUUUGCAUACUUCGAAUCUGGAAAAUUUUAUUUUGAUUGAACCUGUAAUUUAUUUUUAAUGAUUUUUCAAACUCUGCUGCCUCUGCAGUAACUUCUUUUGACAUAAAUGUUCAUUAAUAUUUGAUCCUAUCAAACACCAGCCUAAUGAUAUCGGAAUAGCCUCAAAUUUUAAUAUGUUGUUGACUUAUAUGUCCACUUAAACUCUGGAAAGUAUCAUUCUAAUAUAUUUAGUAUUUUAAAUUUAAUAAAUAUUCAAACACCUGCUGCUACUUUUACAGUUUCAUAUGCAAUUUUAACUUAUAUAGUUUUAUCAUGUGAGAAGCAAAUGUAUGGUUGUCCAAAUGACUUGGAAAUUUUUUUUGUGGUGCAUUGAAAUGUCUAAUUAUGUUUUGUAAGUUUCAUAGCAUUCCAAAUUGAAUUAAAGAAAAUCUUAAAUUCAAGUUGUCAAUUUUUCCUAUUAAAUCUGAUUAGUGAUAAAUCUACUAACUUGCAGUACUUUUCAGGAAAAAAAAUGUGUCAACGCUGUGAAUUGCAAUGGGAGAAGAAAGUACUAAAGGCAUAAAUCUUUUUUCAUUAUAUUUGGGACUAUUCUUAAAGGUUAGUCUUUUCCUUUUUCCUUUUUUUCUUUUUUAUUUAAGGUAAUCAUAUUCAUUUUAAUUUUAAUUACAAUCAAUUUUGCGUUGUUAGACAACUUGCACCAACCAAUCCAACAACAAAUGAAGAUAACAUUUUUGAAAUGCAUUCAAUUUUUUAAAAUAGCAAAAAGAAAAGGAAAAAUGAUACUAGUUUAGGCUUUAGGAAAUUUGCAUCAUCAUUCUUGCACUGCAGCUGCCUCUAUCUCGGUGCUCUCGGAGAAGUAAUCUUGCUUGAUUUUGCGUGAUAGUUGAUACAAGCCCGUCCUAGCCAUUGCAAAAUUGACACUAAAAAGGUUCCAGUUUUUCAUAUUGUAGUUUGAAAAGUCUGCAAUGUUUGCUAUGCUGAUGCCCCAUUUGAAUGUUGGAGCCCAAAAAUGAAUGGUUUUAGGACUAGCCGGGUGGUUCCAGAAAGCUAGGAGCUUGUUAGCUAUUCUUUUUAAUUGAACUAAUUUAACUUAAAUAUUAGCCCGAUUAUUGAUUUCUAUGGUUUGCCAUUGAUUUGAGUUUGACAUUCUUGUUUUGUGUUGGUUUGAGUUUGACAUCCUAGUUUAAGACUUUGAAGGCUUCCAAGAAAUGAUUUUGGAUUAUGAGCAAAUGAGUAAUAGUUUGAAAAUUAAUUUACUCUAUCAAAUAUAUACUUAGUGUAGCAUAUUAAUUUUAAGAACUAUGGAUCAUUCCUUGAAUAUUCUAGUAAAUGUUUAUGUUAUAUAUGCAUGUCUUAAUAUAUAAUAAUUAUAUUUUGAAGUUUGUUUUUUUUUCCCCCUUUCUAGGUUUAGGAAAAAUGUUUAAAGUGAUUUUGGGUUAUGAUGUCAAUCAAGUUAAAGCAACAUUACUUGUGAGUGGAAAUAUAUAAUGAUUAUAUUUUUAUUCUACUUUUUUUUCUUCUUAAAGUUUUAUAAUUAGGCAAAAUUAAUGAAUACUUAAUUACAAUUUAGGGUGAUAUUCUUUAAAUGGUUCACAUGAAUAGAUUUAAGUAGUAUAAUAAAUCUCAUACUCACUUUAUAAAGGCUUAACUAAGUUUGCAAAUAUUAUUUCUUUUAGUAGUAAUAAUUUUGGAUUGAACUCUCAAAUUAUUGAAAUAUUUUAUGUCCAAACUUUAUUAUGCCUAAUAUAAAUAUGGAGAUUCAUAGUUAUUUUAUGCCCAGUUUAAGGAAACUGCAGUUUGAGGAAUUAUUUUUUGCCUUGUUAAAUAAGCUUUUAAAAUGAAUAAAUUGAGGAAAUGAGUGGUGAUUUAUUUAUAAUAGAGCAUUUGUGAUAGCUUUUAACUAUGCACAAAAAUCAUUUUGUAUAUGUAGAUAGAGUAACAUGCUUGUGCUGAAAGUAGAUAUUACAUUGAAAACUUCUUGUCUACUAUAGUUUGCUAUAUAUAUAACCUUUACCAAAAGAGAAUAAUUGAGUUUAUUUAUAAAUAGCUUAUGAGGAUUUUUUUUUCUUUCGAACAAAAUAAUUUUAUUUAUGUUAAUUGUUGUUUCUCUAAUGGCUGGAUAUUGGCAGCUAAUUUUUUUUUCUUUUCCAUGUAUUCAUAUGCAGAUUUGAUCAAUGUGUUUGAAGUGUUUAUUCUUCAACUUCACUUAUAUCCUAACCCAUACAGUCUAUUGAAUGGAGAAGCUGCUGAUGUGAUAACGCAAUUAUACUACUCAUAUUCAAAGAGUGAAAGACAGUCAUCCUUCUCAAUUUAGCUUCUCGAUUUAUUAAAUUUAGCCACAAGUAGUAGGCAUUUGAUUGGAUGGUAGAAAUUUUUAUGUAUUGAAUUUGGAUUAUUGAGUUAUGAGAGUAGGAUAUCUCAUAUUUUUGUUAUUGAAGUUUUGAAAUUUGUAAUAUAUACUAAUAAUAUUUAAAUGUGAAAUGAAAGAUUUUGUGAUAUAAAUCAAUUUCUUUUUGUUAUUUUGUGGUGCCUUUUAAUUUUACCAAUAAAUCAAUAGGCAAUGAUCCAAUUCAUUUUUUAAAAAAAUAAAUUAACUAGUGAUACUAUGGUAACAGUAAUCAUAGACACUAAUAAAAUAUCAAUAACUACUAACAUUAUGGUGUCAUAAUAUCGGUGAUACUGUAGUAAUAGUAAUCACUGACACCACUUACAAGUGUCACUAUUUUUCUGAAUCCCAGAUUACUGGCACAAUUAACAAGUGUCAGUGACAGUAAUUUCUGACACUAUUCUAAAGUCAGUAAAGACCAUUUUUCUAGUAAUGUUAACUAUCAAUCAUGUGAGUAUAUUUACUCAGAAAUAUCAUAUCAAUAGAGAAUCUUGAUCCCACGCACACGCAAAUAUGUUAAUUUCUAUACGCUUCACUUAACCUAUAGAAUCAAUUAUCUAAAAUGCAAGUUUGUGGCCACAAAAAAAGCCAAAGAAAGAAGAUAACAACAAUUGACUUGUCUAUUAUACUCAUACUAUCCUCUCGACAUAAUGAUAUCAUUUUAAUAAGGCAAUGGCUGAUGAUCUCCGUUGAAAAACUAAUUCAAUUUUUUUGCUUCAUUUAACUUUUUGGUUGUUGAAAAUAAGCUUAAUUAUCAAAUAAUUGGAGAAAGAGUAAAGAACAUUUAACAAAUUUAUGUGCCAAAAAAAAAAAAAAAAGAAGUUGAAGAGAAAGGGUGCUUGCAGAAGUGGGUGUCAAAGAUAAAUCGGUCCAUAAGAAUUAUUGCGGUUAUUUUUUGGCAAUGUAAAAUUUUUAUAGCAAGUAAAAAUUAUUUUUUUUCCGAUUUACUAAAAAAUUAACUAAAAACUUCUGUGUCAGCAUUUUUUAUGGGUGCAUAUACCCUCCCUUUAAAAUAAAUAAUAAUUAAUGCUUAAUAUAAUAUUAAAUACGAAAAUAUCAAUAUUUGACUACUCAAAUUUAUAUCAUUAGGUCCUUAAAAUUUAAAAUUGAAGAUACGAAAGGAAACAUAUAUAAAUUUCAUUCUCAUGGAAAUGAUUCUCUUAUAAUCUUAUAAUAUUUGAGUUUUGAAAUUUUUUUUGAAACAAAUGUAAUUUUAUUUGUGUACAAUCAAUAUUUACUUAUUUAUUAUAUUUUAAUUUAUUAACUAUCAAUCAUGUAAGUAUAUUUAGUCAGAAAAAUUAUAUCAAGAGAGAAUCCUAAUUUCACGCAAACACAAAUACAAGACAAAUAUGUCAAUUUCUAUACUAUUCACUUUCCUGUAGAAUCAAUUAUCUAAAGUGCAAGUUUGUGGCUACAGAAAACUCGCCAAAGAAAGAAGAUAAUAACAAUUGAGCAUUGAUAGCAAAACUAAUGCAUCAUUUUCUUCUUGACUUGAUAAGAUGGCGCCAUUACAAAAAAACAAGUACCUUAAUUGAUACUACUGGCCAGUUCAUCUCUUCCAGUCUUGCUUAGUUACAAUCACAAACACCACGAGAACGACAUUUGCAUUAUAUAUAUCUUCAGCAGUCGAAACACCUUGCAUUACCAAAUAAACCAGUAACAAACAAAGCAAUCUUUCCUGGAGACGAACCUUAGUCUCAGUAUGAUCACUGUGUCAUUAACCCACUGCCUGCUUCUUUGCUUGGUUGUUGCAGCAGCAGCAGCAGCAAGCAGCAAUAUUACCACAGACCAACAAGCUCUUCUUGCCCUGAAAGAUCAUAUAACUUAUGAUCCGACCAACCUUUUAGCCCAUAAUUGGACCUCGAAUACCCCUGUUUGUACCUGGAUUGGCAUCACUUGUGAUGUCAAUAGCCGUAGAGUCACAGCCUUAGAUAUUUCUCAAUUCAAUCUACAAGGCACCAUCCCUCCUCAACUCGGAAACCUCUCUUCGCUCGCAACGCUUAAUCUUAGUCAUAACAAGCUUUCUGGAGACGUUCCAUCCUCCAUCUACACCAUGCAUUCGCUAAAAUUUCUUGACUUCACUGAUAACCAGCUCUCUGGUUCAGUGUCUUCCUUCGUCUUCAACAUGUCUUCAAUAUUAGACAUUCGUUUGACCAAUAACAGACUUUCUGGUCAGCUUCCGAAAAAUAUUUGCAACUAUCUUCCUCAUUUGAAAGCCCUUUUUUUGGACAAAAACAUGUUUCAUAGCAAAAUUCCUUCUGCUUUAUCAAAGUGCAAACAACUGCAACAAUUAAAUUUGCAGUUCAAUAAUUUAUCCGGUGCAAUACCAAAAGAAAUCGGCAACUUGACUAUGCUCAAAGGGAUAUAUCUCCUCUACAACAAACUCCACGGUAUGUUCACAAUCCUAUAUAAAUAUUUUAAUUUAUCACUUAUUAUCUUUCUUGAAUAAUAUAGAUAAGAUUUUGUAAGAGAGAUUUUUUGCAUCUAUAUUAAUUUUCCAGGUGAGAUACCGCACGAAAUCGCUAAUCUUCCAAAUCUAGAGGCUUUAGUACUUGGAAUCAACAACCUAGUUGGUGUGUUACCAGCUCCCAUCUUCAACAUGUCAACACUGAAGGUACUUAUCCUCAUAAAUAACUCUCUCUCCGGAAGUCUUCCAUCAAGAAUAGACCUUUCACUUCCAACUAUUGAGCAUCUUAACUUGGGACUUAAUAGAUUUUCUGGAACCAUUCCUAGUUCCAUCACCAAUGCUUCUAAGCUCACCUUGCUAGAAUUGGGAGGAAACACAUUUUUGGGAUUUAUUCCAAACACAAUUGGUAAUUUAAGAAACCUUGAGUGGCUCGGCUUGGCUUUUAACUACUUGACAUCUUCAACCUCAAAAUUGAGCUUUCUUUCCUCUUUGGCAAAUUGCAAGAAAUUAAGAGUCAUAAACUUAGCAGGCAAUCCACUUGACGGCUUCCUUCCAAGUUCAAUAGGAAAUCUUUCUAAGUCCUUGGAAACACUUGUCAUCACCAAUUGCAGUAUUAGUGGCAACAUUCCUCCAGCAAUUGGCAAUUUAAGCAACUUGUUGGGCUUAGUAUUAGAAGGCAAUAAAUUGACUUGACCAAUUCCAAUUACAUUCGGCCGACUGCAGAAACUCCAAAACUUAGAUCUCGCAUUCAAUAAGUUGGUAGGUUCAUUCCCAGAUGAGCUUUGCCAUCUAGCAAGGCUGGGUCAAUUGGUCUUAUUUGGCAAUAAGCUUUCAGGAUCUAUACCUUCAUGCCUAAGUAAUCUCACUUCUCUAAGAUCUCUCUAUUUAGGGUCCAAUAGGUUUACUUCUGUUAUUCCCUCAACUUUCUGGAGCUUAAAAGACAUCUUGUUCGUUGACUUUUCAUCAAAUUUCUUGGUUGGUCCUCUUUCUUUAGAUAUAGGAAAUUUGAAGGUGCUUGUAAGAAUAGAUUUAUCAAAAAAUAACUUAUCCGGUGAUAUCCCAGCCACAAUUGGAGGUCUAAAAGGUCUUCAAAUUAUGGACAUAGCAUAUAAUAGAUUGGAAGGCCCAAUUCCUGAAUCAUUUGGUGACUUGAUAAGUUUAGAAGUUUUGAAUUUGUCAAAUAAUAAAAUCUCUGGGUCUAUUCCAACAUCCAUGGAGAAACUGUUUUUCCUCCAAGUGUUAAAUCUCUCUUUCAAUAAACUAGAAGGUGAGAUUCCUAGUGGAGGAAUUUUUGCCAACUUCACAGCUGAGUCAUUUAUGGGAAAUGAGUUAUUGUGUGGUUUACCAAAUCUUCAAGUCCAACCAUGCAAAGUUAGCAAGCCGAGGACAGAACAUAAAUCAAGGAAAAAGAUACUUCUCAUUGUGAUUGUUUUGCCAUUGAGUAUUGCUCUAACGAUAGCAAUCACUCUAGCUCUCAAAUCUAAGCUGAUCGAAUGUGGAAAAAGAAGCACAGUGUUGUCAAACGAUAGUGUCUUGUCAUCACAAGCAACACUAAGAAGAUUUUCAUACUUAGAACUUUUACAAGCAACAGAUAAUUUUGCUGAAAACAACAUAAUUGGCAUAGGAGGUUUUGGUUCUGUUUAUAGAGCAAGACUUGAAGAUGGGAUGAAGAUUGCAAUAAAAGUGUUUCACCAGCAAUGUGCAAGCGCAUUGAAAAGUUUUGAGGCUGAAUGUGAAGUGUUAAAAAAAAUUCGCCAUCGAAACCUUAUCAAAGUUAUCAGCAGUUGCUCGAACGAUGAUUUCAAAGCAUUAGUCCUAGAAUACAUGUCCAAUGGGAGCUUGGGGGAUUGGCUGCAUUCUAGCAAUUAUGUGCUGAAUAUAUUUCAAAGGUUGAACAUAAUGAUUGACGUUGCAUCAGCUUUAGAAUAUCUCCACUUCGAUCAUUCAACUCCUAUUAUUCAUUGUGACUUAAAGCCUAGUAAUGUAUUGUUGGACGAACAUAUGGUUGCUCAUUUGAGUGAUUUUGGCAUAGCAAAGCUUUUAAGUGGAGAAGAUGAGUCAACGAUGCGAACAAAAACCCUUGCCACUAUAGGUUAUAUGGCACCAGGUUUGCUUCAAACAACUUUUGUUGUUAGUUCAUUUUAAAUUUUCCAACUUAUUGAUUUUUACGAUCCUCACAUCAAAAUGUUAUUGAUUAUUUAUCUAAUUGUGAAAUUAAUUUGAUUCAUAGAGUACGGCAUAGAAGGAGAAGUAUCUACAAAAAGUGAUGUUUACAGCUAUGGGAUUAUGUUGAUGGAAACUUUUACCAAGAAAAAACCCACAGAUGAAAUUUUUGUCGGAGAAUUGAGCUUAAAGCGUUGGGUUAAUGACUUGCUUCCUACUUCAUUAGUGGAAGUUGUGGACAAAACUCUGCUAAGUGGAGAGGAAAAACAUUCUGCAGCAAAGGAGCAAUGUCUGUUGUCUAUCUUUAGCUUGGCUCUGGAGUGUACAAUGGAAUCACCGGAAAAGAGGAUUAAUGCAAAAGAUAUUGUUACCGGAUUACUCAAGAUAAGAGACGCAUUGGGUAAAAGGAUAGGAAAUUUAAGUUAAUUUCGUUUGCUUUCAUUGAUAGUUAAUCUGAAUUCAUGUAAUAAGUGUAGGAAUCUUAUAUCUUUUCCUUUGAUAUUUUUUUUUUCUUGAGAAAACUGUUGUAGUCAUCUUGUUUCCAUGGGCGGAGUUGACUUAGUUCUUCCAAGAAAUGCUACUGAUGAUCUUUGUUAUAUACUUUCUCUUUUUUUUGCAUGCGUUUAGGUAGAAUAGUGGUCUAGCUGCAGGCUAAUAUGUCAAGCUACGCCAAAAGCGUAUGAUUUAAUUUACUAAACAUAACUUCAAGUUCAAGAAGUGUUUUUCACUGCCACCAAUGCUUUGGACACCUGUUGGAAGGUUUGUUGUCCUCAGCUUUUGUUUAGAGCAAAAGUUCGAGUCCCAUAAAGGCUCACACAUUCCUUUCCUUCAUCGCGAGGUGAAGAAAUUAGAAUGACAACUGGGACAUAUAUAAGAGUGAAAUAAUUAAAAAAUUAUGCUUUUUUGUUUCACCGAAGUACUGUGAAAGAGAUUAAUUUACAGAAACUGAAGCCAAGGGUUCAAAAAAAAAGUGCAAAGAGAAUAAUUGUAUUAGUAGCACAAUGUCAUAGAGAGAUCAAUUAUAUUAUUUACGGCUGGUAAGGACUAAGAAUUGAUGUAGCUAGAAUGCGAAGAUGAUAAGGUAUGUUGUGCACUAUUGUUUUAUUCUAUAAUCAAUCUUGACCCUUGAUGCUUGGCUCUCAAUCUUGUCCAUUGAUCUUCUCUGAUUUUGGAGACUUGAAGACCUUUCAGUAUCAUGCCUUGUUGUUGGUGUCUUCCAUGCUGUAGAACCGCCGACUUGCCAAGUAUUUGUUCAUUGACGCAUUUUAUCAAACAGUUGGCCUGCUCAUAGCAAAUAGCUCCUCUUUUAGAGCUUUCGAAUUCAUGCCAAUUAAUUUUCAACUAGGCUAUUACCACAAUAAACAUUUAGAAAUCUAAAUUUGUUCAUUAUAUAUUCUGAUCAUCACUUGAACAUCCAUGCAGACUCCUAUUAAUUAUAUCCUCUAAUGGAGAGAACUCAUUGCCUCAGUAUGAUCACUGUGUCAUCAACCCACUGCCCGCUUCUUUGCUUGGUUGUUGCAGCAAGCAACAAUAUUACCACAGAUCAACAAUAGUUUGUCCAUUUUUUUCAGUAAGGUCGUCAUUAAAAAUUAAUUUUCAUAUUGAUUUUCUUAAUUAUAAAUAAUACUAAUGAUAUUUCAUAGUUAUAAAUAUAUUAGAAUUAAUCAAAAUCAUUUUUUAGUGCGGCAUGGCUAAAACUACCUUUUUUUUUUUUUUUAUAAGUAAUUACUACUUUAAGGAAAAUACUCGUAUUUUCAGGAAAAAGUCAAGUACCCGUAGUUGUGAAGACUCGAGCUCACCCUCUUAUGAUAAAUCUUCAUAUCAAUUACAUAAAUAUCCUCUAAAUGUUUAGUUAACUAUUCAAAAUUCGAUGUUAUAUGGGUAUUUCAUUUAUUUGAGUAGGGGUUAGGGGUCAAUUGGAUACAAAUUCAAAAUUAUCCUUACUUGAGAAGGUGAUAAACAUUGGGGAUUUAGUUUGGGUGUCAUUAGCUACAAAUAUUAAACUCAUACAUCUAAUUCAAAAUUGCAUCCAGGUUCAUUGCAGCUAAGGCUUGUGGAAUUUCAUCAGUAAGAUGUGAGUAGUCAUACCUACGUCGACAUUCAAUGGCUGUAUGUUUCUGUAAAUGACAAAUUUGGCAUAUGACAGUUUCUUCAUUGACUUCCUCAGCUUGUUGUUUGGAUUGAUUCUGAAUUUUGUGCCAAGGCUGUCCAGAAUUAUUUUGUCGAGGUUGCUGCCACUGUUGUCCCGAAUUUCCUUGCCAUGAUUGUUGCCCUUGUUGACUUGGAUUAUUGUUUGAUUUUUGCCAUGGCUGACUUGCAUUAUUAUUCCAACUUUUUCCACCAUUGUAGUUGAUUUUUUGACCACUUGAAUCAGCCAAAUUUUGUCCUCCUGCUGCUGUAAAACCACGACCUUUUGAGUUAAAGAAACCUCCAUUUCCACGACCUUUUCCCUUGCCUCAUUGGCUAAAAAAGGCUUGAGCCAGAUUGAUUGUAUUCUUCUUUUCUUCUUCAAAAUUAAUAAGAGUUUGUUCAUGAUUUUCGAGGGCCAUGACAAACUGCUUAAAUGAGGGAUAAGGUGGUUUCGAAAGUUGAGCAAGUUUGAAGUCUUGAUACCUGUAGCCAAGACCUCUUGCAAGACCAAAGACUUCAUCUAAGUCAUUCACUGGCUUAUUUAUUGCAGCCAAACAAUCACAGAUAUGCUUGUAUUUGCGCACAUACUCUUCAACUGAUAGAGAUCCCUUUUUAAACCGAGAGAAUUACUAUAUUUACACAAUUAACCUUGGCUAGAAUUAAUUGUGCAGAUUGGAUGAUAACUAGAGAAUAGAAAUGAAGAAAAGGAAGCACACAACACCGAGAAGAGUAAUAAUUAAUGCUGCCAUUGACGAAAUGUUUUAUAUUACUCUUCUUUCUUGGUAUUUAUUUAUUUACAAUUUUUAAUGUAAAUGUACAGUUGUUGGGCUAAUAUCUUAUUUACUUUUGAACGUAUUAGAUGCCUUUUUUUUUCUUGGUUCAUAAUAAUUUUGUAGAAAUUCCUCAAGUUUGCCUAAAUGAUAGCACAUAUUCAUAAUUGGAUUGAUUGAGUAAUAAUAAAAUAUAUUUAUUUGGCAAAUGGCAGUUAGGCUUUCUUUUGAUGCAGAUUAAUUAGAGAGAAUAUAUAACAAUUUUAAGCUCGUCAGAUUCGGAAGCUGCUUAUCUGUCGUGUGGGGAUCACUUCCGUGUCUUAUUUUUCUAGAAAAAUCUGGACCAUUGGAUUUCCCAUUAUUCAAUAGAUAAAUGUUUGAUCUUGAUUCUUGAUUAAGAUCGAAGUUUGAUUCUAACCAACAUGAUGUCAGAUUCAGAUUGCGAAGCAAGCAAAUUGAAAGUAACUUGUUCUAUUUUGAUAAACACAAGUUCUAAUAAAACAUUCUCAUAGUAAAGUGAAUUACCAUCCAACGAUCCAACUCAUGUUUUCAAAUUGUAAAUUGCAAAUCGUGCGUUUGCUCCAUUACAGCGUUUCUUCAAUCUGAAAUAGAGAAUCAUUUGUGUUUUGGAUUAAUCGUGGGUCUAUAUCCAAAUCUAAAAAUUGACUAAUUUAAUUUCUAUUAAAUUCUUAAUCCUAACAAGAAAAAUUGAAGAUUAAAAACGACUAAUUUGGUACCAUACCACUAUUGUAACAUAGGUAGAUCCUCUAUUAAUUGGAGUAAAGAUUGAAUUAUCUCAUUUAUUAAGGUUUAUCAAAAUCUUGUGUCAAAAUCUAUUAAUGAUAUAGGUUCAAGGAUGAAAGAGUCACUUCAUUACUUUUGAGUUCCCAAAUAGAUGAAUGGAUGUUAUUUUUGGAUUCCGGAGAGUCGAAAAUAUUAGGAUAGGUGCUAAAUCGAAUUAAGUUGUAGAUAAGAUAGAAAUGGAUUUGGAGAGAUUGGAAUCCUAGGUAAUCCGGUGCACGUUGUCGUGUUAAAUUCUCGUUGACUUCACGUUGACUGAAGCAUUAUUGGAAGAAACAAGUUUAUUGAUGUGAGGCCUUUGAGAUUGUAAGUGUUAAAUCUGAGAAGAAUACCCACACAACCAUUAUCCUAUUACUCUUAUAUCACGUGAAGAGAAUUCAACAUUUGAUUCACACGGAAAAAAUUUGUGAGGAUUGUGAGGGUUGAUGCAAUAUAAUUUAGAUACAAAGUGUUUACCAGUGCGAUGCUUCGCAAGUGUUCUUGAAUCAAUAUAAACUCACGUUAUUUUCAUAGUGAUUGUUUCAUCUGCACGUGGAUAUAAUCACAUGUCGAGAUUUUUUUUUCUUAAAUUAUGGUCUUAUUUAGUAUUGCGGUGUUAUAUCUUUUAAGGUACAAUUAUUGUUGGAAAAAAGUUGCAACUAUUAAAUAAAAUUAAUACUAUGUGCUAAAUAUAAUUGUUAAAUAAUAAUUUUGACAAAAUUAGUGAAGUUAUGUAGAUUUUUUUUCAUCAUACAAGUAUAAAAUCAAAUCAACUUAACUUCUAAGUUCUAUAUCAGCUACUGUUUAUCAUAUGUUUUAGUUCUGUAACUUUUAAGUUAUAGUUACCCAACCUCAAUUCUAAACCAGACCUAUAAAGAUCAAAGAUUUCCUCAUUAAAUUAUAUGUCUUGUGAUUGCUUAUUUAAUUUAUAUUUUUUUUAUUUAUCUUUAUUAAUUAUAAUCAUCUUUUUAUAAAUUAAAAUUGAAGGAAGUUGAUUGAUGUUGUUGACACACACACACACACACGCACGCACGCACGCACUCACAAAGAUCACCACAAGAAAAUAGAGUAUUGGCUACAAAUUCUAUUGCAACAAAACUUACUUUAUUGCUAAAAUUCAUAUCUUGCAACAAAAAUUAGUCUUUAUCGCUAUAGCUAAACAGAUUUUAUUCUUCUUAAUGAUGUGGAAUAGGCAAGAAAAUUAGAAUAUAUGGCAACAAAAUAUUUUCUUGCCCUAUGCUAUGUUUGGCAACAAAAGUGUUCUUGUUGCCUAACAAGCUUAAUGAAGGCAAAAUAUGUUUCGUUGCUCAAGUUUUUCCACAACAAACACUUGAAUCAGUUGCAACAAAUGAAAUAUUGUAAAAGGUUGUGAUUAGCGAGAAAAUUUGUUUUGUACUCUCAGAGUUUUUUGCAACAAGAUUAAUUUUGUUGCGCAAAGGUUAACAAAAAUAUUAAAUUAAUAAAUGAAAAUAUAAAGAUAAUAUAAAAGCAAACAUGACUUUGUGGGAGGCUUUUUAAUUUUUUAUUUCCGCGCCCUUUAUUUAAUAAACCGCGUGCUAACCGAAGUAAAGUUUCCAUCUCCAAUUUUUUCUUAAUUAAAAUAUUGCUUCUAGAAUAUUUCCACUUUACUCUUCGCUUGUUUCUUUUGCCCUGCCUUGGAGUCAUUCUCUCUGGCCAAGCUUUAAGCCAUUGAAGAGUUGUACUUGGAAGGCACCACUCAAGACAACGAUUUCUUCAAGUAAAUUUAGUUUUAUUUUAUAUAUUGGCCUGUUGAGUUUGAUUUUGUUUAGUGGGUUUUGCUUUAAUUAUUUAUUAAGUGGGUCUUUGUUUCAAUUUUUAAUUUGUUAAAUUAAAGUUAAUGGAUUUUUCAUGGUGAAGAACUUGAGUUUGUGGACAAUAGUCAAAUGAAUGUAGGAUCUAUGCCCAGUAAUAGGAUCUUUCAUGUUAUAAUUUCUUUGACAAAAUUAUAGUUAUAUUGAUUUAUUUUUAUGUUGAUUAUUAAUAAACUCUAAUGUAUAUUUUUAAUAAUUACUAGAUGGGUCCUGGACAUAGAGUUACCAAACGUGUAAGAGCAGAAAUUGUUGUCGCAUCUACAAUUCCCCAAUCUCAGCCUGUUAUGCCCAGCCAAGAGUUUGUGCAAGGUGUUGUUACAACUCUAGAAUUUGGUACUUAAAGAGUUUAAUUGGUAGGUUUUGUUUGAUCGACUAUUAGUAAGUACUUAUGAUUAUUAAUAUUCUUCAUCUGUCAUUUUUUUUAAUUAUAAACUGAGAUAUCUUUUUUUCCUAAAUUCAGUCAAAUUUUGAGAUUGAUUUGAACUUACCACAUGUUCGUCGAUGUGUGAAUAACAUUAUGGGUGGGAGAUAUCAUGAUAUGAGACAUUGGAUGUAUGAUCAUUACUUGGAUUAUCCAUCCUUUGAAGAGGCACUUAAGCAUUCAUAUCCAGGCAUAUGUCCAGAUGAUUGGGCUUGGCUUUGUCAUAACAUUUACAAUUCCGCAAGUUUCCAGGUCCAAUGAUAUUCAUAUUAUGAACUUUAAAUUGUCCAACUAGUUGUCAAUAUGCUUGUAUAUGUAUCUUAUUUUCCACUGUUAUAUUUUUUUAAUGUAGACUCAAUCUACCAAAAACAAAGCUAAUCGUGCUAAGCUUCCAUAUGUCCAUUGUGGGGGAUCAAGACCUUUUGUUAAUUAUCUUGAGGAUGACAUGGUUGAUGGUGAAAUAGAAUUAUUUCGCGUCACUCAUUUCAGCAAGACAAAAGGUUGGGUGAAUGAGGUGGCACACUUAAACCAUGUAAGAUGCUUUGUUGGAAACAAAAUUUUUAAUUUUAUUAUUUCUUAUCACCUACAUACUGUUGAUGAAAGUUUACUCAUUGAGUUUUUUUUCUUAAUUUUUCUUUCAUGCUCUAAUUAACUUUAUUAUUUGAAAUAUCAAAUAAUUAGAUUUAUAAGUAUAACAACAAGUUUUUUUUUUUUUCAAUUUAUGUCUUAAUACAAAUUAAUUCCAUGACCAAUGGAUUAAAUUUCAACUAUUUAAUUAAUAAAAUUCUUUUUUUUCUUCCUUCGUUUACUAACAAAGCUUUACGUAUAGGACCAAAUGGUAGAGAUACAACAACAACAACAAAUAGAUCCUCAAGAAGCAAAACCACUAACUCAAAGGGAAAUAUGCAUUGAAGUACUUGGAAAGAAAACAUGCUAUUUUCGAGGACUUGGCAACGGACCACGCCCAACUUCAAACCAUGGUGUUGAUACUUCUGAGGCUGAUAGAUUGCAUGGUAUUAUAUCUUCACAACAAAGUAGAUUGGAUUCACAAGAUGUUGAGCUUCAAGAACAAAAGAAGACUAUUGAUCAAUUGGAGUCCAGAUUGUCCCAAUUUGAGGGUAUGAUGCAGCAAUUUUUUUCUUCUCAAGGAUCCGCUUUUCGCUUUACAGAUUCAGCUACUCAAUGAUUACUCAUUUCAAUGAUGUCCUUAGAGUAUCUUGAACUUGUUAGUAUUUUGAAUUGGUCAUCACUUGAUCUUUUUGGUUACUGCUGGUGCAUGUCAUAUCUUUAAGGAUUUGGAGUUUGGAGCAGUUGUAAUUAGAGAUCGUUUAUAAUUUUUGCUCAUUACAUUUUUGGGAUAGAUGACAAUCCACUUUUGUAUUUGACUAUCAUAUGUGAUUCUUAAAGUCAGUUUUGUAUAUAUAUAUAUAUAGCUUGGAUACUGAAUGGGCCUUUAACUUUUAAAUUAGUUCAAUGACAUUAAUGAUUUUUUUGUUAGAUUUCUCAACAUAUAUUUGUAGUUUAUUAUUGUCAUGGUGGGGGAAAAAAUUGGUAUCUUUCCCAACGAACUUGGUUUGCUUCCUUUUAUACCAUGAUAUUAUUAAAAAAAAUUGUACUAUUUUUUAAUGACAAAAUUGAUUUGUUUCUAAAAAUAUUUAAAUAUUUAUUGCAAAUUUGUAAAAUUUUCAACAUAAAGAAACAAAGUAGUUUUGUUGCCUAAAAUGAUCUUAGCUAACAAACACCUUUGUUGGUACACGUUUUUUUUAUAAAAUGUACUUUAUUUCUUAGCAACAAAUUAGUUUUGUAGUAAAUAACUAUAUAGAAACAAAAUUAUUUUGUUGUGUAAAACUGUUUAGCGCAACAAAAAUGUUUGUUGCCAAAUUAUUCUCUAAACAAGUUGAAGACUCCUUCACAACGAAUCUGUUUUGUUGCGAAAGGAAGUUUGAGGCGAGAAAUGUUUUGAUAUGUUGUUAAACAUAGAGGGCGACAGUGCUAGGCCGACGACGGGCCGACAAGCUUGUUUUUGUAGCAAUAACCUAUGGCAACAAAAUUGGCACUUUAGGCAACAAAAUCUUUUUGUUGCAAAAAGCCAUUUCUGUUGUGGUGGAUAUAUUGGAAGUGCUUAAUUACGUCGACUCGAAGUUGUUGGGAAUUAAUGCAUGUAUUGAUUUAUUGGGAGUGUUUAAAUGAUUUUGUGAUUUACUUGAUUGAUUGAAUAUUGUUUGAUUGCUUCAUAUCCAUUCUACAAAGUUUAUUUCUUUGUGAAAUUUCAACGAAAUAUGUUUUUUUUUUUUUAAAUAAGGGUGUUCUAAAUAAUUUUAAAAAAUAUAUGGACUAAUUAGAAUUAAUUAUUAGGUAAUUAACUCAAUCUGUACAGGGUGAAACAACAUUUAUCCUAAUUAUAUCAUGAUAAAUACUUUUCUGAUUAGAAUUAGGAAAUCAUAGGUUUAUUGAAUUGUUUUUUUUUUCCUUUGCGGAAACGGAUUAGAGAAUUAGAAAACAAUCAUGUUGAUGUCAAAAUCUGAUCUAGUCGGUUAGCGACUUAACAUCAUAUUACUGCACCAGUAUUAAAUUUAUUUGGUAGAGAAUCGGCUGGUCAAUUGUCAAGAUGUCCUGCAAUCACUAGCGAUUAACCUACGAAUACAUGAAAUCAUAGAAGACGGUAAGAGCCACCAGAAGUUUUUUCGUCGUGAAUCUUCUGACGCUCAAGUCAGUUUAUAGGUUUACCAUAAUAAAAAUAAAUAAUUUCUAUUUAAAACAAAAAAUAGAGAUCAAAAGCUCAAAAAUAAAACCCAAUCCCAAUAUGAAAAUGAAUUUCUUUUUUUUUUUUAGCUUGGCCGAAUCCUUCUGCCUCCUAAAGAAACAUAAUAGAGGAGCAGGUAGCCAUGUUCCCUAGGUAACGCCCCACUCCCCUCUUUUAUUCCUCCCCCUCUCUUCCGUUUCCUUCUUUUGCUCACUAUCCUUUAUAAUUUUUUAUGCUUGUCUUCCCAAAAUAGCCUUUGAAUACACAAGUAAAUGUCUAGGCUUUGGUGAGGAUAGUUUGGUUAUUGCAUUUUACAAGUAAGAUGAGUGGUGGAGAAAAAUGAGGAGUGCAUAUAACUCUUCAGCAAAUCCCACCAACAAUUCAAUUUUCUUAAUUAAUUAAUCUCCUUUUUUAUCCCCAAACAAAUCCUAAUGAUACUAUUAUCAGGUUUAAAACAGUACAUAAAUAGUGAAAAGCUAACUAGUCUGUAGAGUAAUUGCUAAUUGCUUUCUCCUCUCUGAGCGCGCUGAAUAAUUUGUUGCAUGCAAACUUUUUAUUAUAUGCAAAUCGUACGUACUGUAACAUUGGAAUUGAUGUAUAAGCAAAAAUACAAGAAUAUUUAUGUCAAUAAAAAUAGUUUUUUUUUCCUUUUUAAAUAAACACAACGCGAUGUUGCUCUUCUCUACAUUUUUGCUAUCUCUUUAUUCUUUUUUUUUUUUUUUGGGCUUCUUAAAGCCUCAAACUUUGAUAACCAAAACUUCAUCGACCUAUGAAAAAAAUCUGCAGAUUAGUUUUUAUUAUCGGAAUAAUUGUUUGAGAAUACUAAAACAAAAUAUAAAAUAAGAAAAUAGGAGGUUAAAUUAGAGGGGGGGGAAAAAGGCAUGUUCUAUCGAUUACUAUAGUUUAAGGGAAAAAAAAAUCCAAUUGGGAAUUUUUUUCUUUAAUUUUUGUUUUACUUGAUUGAGAUUUCUCCUUAGUCCUUACAGUUUUAAGUUUGGAUGCCGUAGGGUUAGUAAUUUAGUACUUCCUUUGCAAGCUGAGUGCAAGAAUGAAAAUCUUUUAAGAAAUUAAAAAAGAUUAAAAAAAAGCAUACCAAUAGGUAAUUAUAAAUAACCAUAAAUAAACAUAAACAAAAUGUUUAUGAAGUAAAUUACACAUGCACAUAUUUUUUUUUUGUUUUAUUUCUUACUUGUCUAUUUUAUUUGCUGCUUGAUAACCCGUAAAUACUAAUCUAUUACUGCUAAUUCCAGACACAAAAUUUUUAACUCUAGGCUGCAGUUUUACUCAAAAUGAUGACCACUGGCUUCGCACCAUUUAACCGGCAUACAUUUCUACAAAUUGAACAAGGCUAUUGAUUUUCAUUAUUAUUUUUUAUUUAUUUAUAAAUUACUAUUUUAAUUUUCACUUUUUAUUGGGUUGUUUAACGGAUUAGUGAAGUUGGUGGUCGUGAUGCACUCACAAGGUACAAUUUUAUUUUAUAAUUUCAAAUUUGUAUUUUAAAAUACAGGUACAUUAUGUAUACAUAAUUAUUGAUUUUCGUAUGUGGGUGUUUUGAAAUAUUGCUAAAAGACCAAACUUUAAUAAACUAUUUUUCAUCUUUUUUUUUCCUUUUUUCCUAGAGUUUGAGUGAUAUCCGCAUUUUAAAUUCAUGAGGAACAAAAGCUAAUGUAUGCACAAAAUUCUUUUAUUUUUUCCUAGAAAAAUGGGUAAGAGAAGAAGAUUUUUCUCUUGAAAAAGAAAAACUAAUACGAUGCAAGCAUAGGAAAGAGGUCAGUGUUUUUGGAUUAGAAUUUAGUAUUGAGCUGAAUUUUAUACUAAACUCUUUUGUGGUGCUGCGAUUAAUAAACUCAUGAUUUGCUUUUGCUUUUACUUCAAGUGAAAGAAAGAGGAAACCUUUUGUUUUUUGUUUGAUUCUUGACUAUAGAUGUUACCUAUAUAGAGAGUUGAGGUAUCUGCCUUAAGUGAUGGUGAUAAAAAGAUUAAGCAGCGCACACAAUCUUACUGUCGUCCAGACCAUCCAGCUGUGAUGACUCUAGUUUUUUGGUUACAUUAGCUUUAGUGGAAAGGAGGGCCAAUUUAACAAAGACUAGAUUUGGUGGCUUACUAUAAUGCUUAUUCUCAGGGAAUCUAAUGUUAUAAGAUGAUUUAAUGAUCUUCUAUGAUUGUGAGUAGUAUAGUAUAAUUGAAAAGAGUCUGGGCUUCUAUGAUGAAUAUAUAAUAUUAACACAGUACUGUGAUUGAAAAAAACACAGUUACAAUAUACUCUUCAUUUAUUCAUUGCGGAGAUUAAAUGGCAAACAGAGAAUAAAAUGAAGCAGAGGGAUCUCAUUGCCAGUAAAAUUGACCCUCUUUAAUGUUAUAUGGCACAGGUGUGUGUACAGCAAGAGCAAGUUACUUGCAGUUUUUAUUGUAAAAUAUACAGGUUAUGACCAUGAUCAUUGUAGUUAGGUUUUGAUGAUUUUAGAUGCUUUUUUUAUUUUUUUAAAUUGUGACACCUUUGAUUUAUGGUAGUUUUGCAGAAGAAAAAAAUAUAAAUAAAAAUUAGGAGGGAUGAGUUAACUAACGAUUGCAAUCAUUACUGUAAUGUUGAUGAGUGAUACAUCAUUUGAAAUGUACUUGUCAGUUGCUGAAAUGAUGAAAAAAAACAAUAAACAAUAGCAGUAAUAUUUUUAUGGAAAUUCAUGGUUUUUAUGGAAAUACUCUUGCUGAAAUUCUAAUUUUGACUUUCAACUCUUGGUUUUUAUGGAAAAUAAAAUGACUUGUUUAUUAUAUUCAUACAAUCCACUCUACAUAAUGAUUUCAUUUUAAUAAAUGCUUGAUGAUCUCCACUGAAAAACUACUUCAAUUCUUUUGUUUUUUUUUAACUUUUUGGUUGUUGAAAAUAGCCUUAAUUUUCAAAUAACUGGAGAAAGAGUAAAGAACAUUUAACAAAUUUAUGUGCCAAAAAUAAAUGAGAAAUUGAAGAGAAAGGGUGCUUGCAGAAGUGGGUGCAAAGAUAAAUUAGUCUAUAAGAAUUAUUGUGGUUAUUAAUUUUUUGGCAAUAUAAAAAUUUUUCAGCAAAUAAAAAUUGAUUUUUUCCGAUUUACUAAAAAAUUAAUUAAAAACUUUGGCGAUAGCAUUUUUUAUGGGGCAUGUACCCUCCCUUUUAAAAAAAAAUAUAAUAAUUAAUACUUAAUAUAGUAUUAAAUACGAAAAUCUCAAUAUUUGACUACACAAAUUUAUAUCAUUAGGUCCUUAAAAUUUAAAAUUGAAGACACAUAAUGAAAUAUAUAUAAAUUUUCAACCUCAUAGGAAAUGAUCCUCUUAUAAUCUUAAAAUAUUUGAGAUUUGAAAGAUUUUUUAAAACAAAUGUACUUUUAUUUUUGUACAAUCAAUAUUUACUUAUUUAUUAUAUUUUUAUUCAUUAACUAUCAAUCAUGUGAGUAUAUUUACUCAAAAAUAUCAUAUCAACGGAGCAUCUUGAUCCCACGCACACGCAAAUAUGUUAAUUUCUAUACGCUUCACUUACCUCUAGAAUCAAUUAUCUAAAAUGCAAGUUUGUGGCCACAAAAAAAGCCAAAGAAAGAAGAUAACAAUUGACUUGUAUAUUAUACUCAUACAAUCCACUCGACAUAAUGAUAUCAUUUUAAUAAGGCAAUGGCUGAUGAUCUCCAUUGAAAAACUAAUUCAAUUUUUUUGCUUCAUUUAACUUUUUGGUCGUUGAUAAUAACCUUAAUUAUCACAUAAUUGGAGAAAGAGUAAAGAACAUUUAACAAAUUUAUGUGCAAAAAAAAAAAAAAAGGAGAAGUUGAAGAGAAAGGGUGCUUGCAGAAGUGGGUGUCAGAGAAAAAUCGGUCCAUAAGAAUUAUUGCGGUUAUUUUUUGGCAAUAUAAAAUUUUAUAGCAAGUAAAAAUUAAUUUUUUUCCGAUUUAUUAAAAAAAUAACUAAAAACUUCUGCGACAGCAUUUUUAUGGGUGCAUAUACCCUCCCUUUAAAAAAAAUAAUAAUUAAUGCUUAAUAUAGUAUUAAAUACGAAAAUAUCAAUAAUUGACUACUCAAAUUUAUAUCAUUAGGUCCUUAAAAUUUAAAAUUGAAGACACGAAAAAAUUGAAGAUAUGAAAGGAAAUAUAUAUAAAUUUCAUUCUCAUGGAAAGGAUUCUCUUAUAAUCUUAUAAUAUUUGAGUUUUGAAAUUUUUUUGAAACAAAUGUAAUUUUAUUAGUGUACAAUCAAUAUUUACUUAUUUAUUAUAUUUUAAUUUAUUUAUUAUAUUUAGUCAGAAAAAUUAUAUCAAGAGAGAAUCCUAAUUUCACGCAAACACAACUACAAGACAAAUAUGUUAAUUUCUAUACUAUUCACUUUCCUGUAGAAUCAAUUAUCUAAAAUGCAAGUUUGUGGCUACAGAAAACUCGCCAAAGAAAGAAGAUAAUAACAAUUGAGCAUUGAUAGCAAAACUAAUGCAUCCAAUUCUUCUUGACUUGAUGAGAUGGCGCCAUAACGUAGAAACAAGUACCUAAAUUGACCGGCACUGAGUGAUGUGAAUACUACCAGCCAGUUCAUCUCUUCCAGUCUUGCUUAAUCACAAUCACAAACACCACGAGAUCGACAUUUGCAUUAUAUAUAUCUUCAGCAAUCGAAACACCUUGCAUUACCAAAUUAACCAGUAACAAACAAAGCAAUGUUUCAUGGAGAGAAAGCUUAGUCUCAGUAUGAUCAUUGUGUCAUUAACCCACUGCCUGCUUCUUUGCUUGGUUGUUGCAGCAGCAGCAGCAGCAAGCAGCAAUAUUACCACAGACCAACAAGCUCUUCUUGCCCUGAAAGAUCAUAUAACUUAUGAUCCGACCAACCUUUUUGCCCAUAAUUGGACCUCGAAUACCUCUGUUUGUAACUGGAUUGGCAUCACUUGUGAUGUCAAUAGCCAUAGAGUCACAACCUUAGAUAUUUCUCAAUUCAAUCUACAAGGCACCGUCCCUCCUCAACUUGGAAACCUCUCUUCACUCACAACACUUAAUCUUAGUCAUAACAAGCUUUCCGGAAGCGUUCCCACCUCCAUCUACACCAUGCAUACACUAAAAUUUCUUGACUUCACUGAUAACCAGCUCUCUGGUUCAGUUUCAUCCUUCGUCUUCAACAUGUCUUCAAUAUUAGACAUUCGUUUGACCAAUAACAGACUUUCUGGUGAGCUUCCGAAAAAUAUUUGCAACUAUCUUCCUUAUUUGAAAGCCCUUUUUUUGGACAAAAACAUGUUGCAUGGCAAAAUUCCUUCUGCUUUAUCAAAGUGCAAACAACUGCAACAAUUAAAUUUGCAGUUCAAUAAUUUAUCCGGUGCAAUACCAAAAGAAAUCGGCAACUUGACCAUGCUCAAAGGGAUAGACCUCGGCUACAACAAACUCCACGGUAUGUUCAUAAUACUAUGUAAAUAUUUUAAUUUCUCACUUGUUAAUUUUCUUGAAUAUCUUAGAUAAGAUUUUGUAAGUGAGAUUUUUUGCAUCUAUGUUAAUUUACCAGGUGAGAUACCCCACGAAAUCGCUAAUCUUCGAAAUCUAGAGGCUUUAGUGCUAGGAAUGAACAACCUAGUUGGUGUGGUAUCAGCUAUAAUCUUCAACAUGUCAUCACUGAAGGUACUUAUCCUCAUCAAUAACUCUCUCUCCGGAAGUCUCCCAUCAAGAAUGGACCUUUCACUUCCAACUAUUGAGCAUCUUAACUUGGCACUUAAUAGAUUUUCUGGAACCAUUCCUAGUUCCAUCACCAAUGCUUCUAAGCUCUCCUUUCUAGAGUUGGGAGGAAACACAUUUUCGGGCUUUAUUCCAAACACAAUUGGAAAUUUAAGAAACCUUGAGUGGCUCGGCUUGGCUAAUAACUCCUUGACAUCUUCAACCUCAAAAUUGAGCUUUCUUUCCUCUUUGGCAAAUUGCAAGAAAUUAAGAUCCUUAAACUUAAUAGGCAAUCCGCUUGACGGCUUCCUUCCAAGUUCAAUAGGUAAUCUUUCCAUGUCUUUGAAAAUACUUCUCAUCGCCAAUUGCAGUAUUAUUGGCAACAUUCCUCGAGCAAUUGGCAAUUUAAGCAACUUGUUGGCCUUGACAUUAGAAGGCAAUAAAUUGACUGGACCAAUUCCAAUUACAUUCGCCCGACUGCAGAAACUCCAAGGUUUAUAUCUUCCAUUCAAUAAGUUGGUAGGUUCAUUCCCAGAUGAGCUUUGCCAUCUAGCUAGGCUGGCUGAAUUGGUCUUACUUGGCAAUAAGCUUUCAGGAUCUAUACCUUCAUGCUUAAGUAAUCUCACUUCUCUAAGAUCUCUCUAUUUAGGGUCCAAUAGGUUUACUUCUGUCAUUCCCUCAACUUUCUGGAGCCUAAAAGACAUCUUGUUCUUUGACUUUUCAUCAAAUUUCUUGGUUGGUCCUCUUUCUUUAGACAUAGGAAAUUUGAAGGUGCUUGUAAGAAUAAAUUUAUCAAAAAAUAACUUAUCCGGUGAUAUCCCAGCCACAAUUGGAGGAUUGAAAGAUCUUCAAAUUAUGGACCUAGCAUAUAAUAGACUGGAAGGCCUAAUUCCUGAAUCAUUUGGUGACUUGAUAAGUUUAGAAGUUUUGAAUUUGUCAAAUAAUAAAAUCUCUGGGUCUAUUCCAACAUCCAUGGAGAAAAUCUUUUACCUCCGAGACUUAAAUCUCUCUUUCAAUAAACUAGAAGGUGAGAUUCCUAGUGGAGGAAUUUUUGCCAACUUCACAGCUGAGUCAUUUAUGGGAAAUGAGUUAUUGUGUGGUUUACCAAAUCUUCAAGUCCAACCAUGCAAAGUUAGCAAGCCGAGGACAGAACAUAAAUCAAGGAAAGAGAUACUUCUCAUUGUGAUUGUUUUGCCAUUGAGUAUUGCUCUAACAAUAGCAAUCACUCUACCUCUCAAAUCUAAGCUGAUCGAAUGUGGAAAAAGAUGCACAGUGUUGUCAAAUGAUAGUGUCUUGUCAUCACAAGCAACACAAAGAAGAUUUUCAUACUUAGAACUUUUACAAGCAACAGAUAAUUUUGCUGAAAACAACAUAAUUGGCAGAGGAGGUUUUGGUUCCGUUUUUGGAGCAAGACUUGAAGAUGGGAUGAAGAUUGCAAUAAAAGUGUUUCACCAGCAAUGUGCAAGCGCAUUGAAGAGUUUUGAGGCUGAAUGUGAAGUGUUAAAAAAUAUUCGCCAUCGAAACCUUAUCAAAGUUAUCAGCAGUUGCUCGAACGAUGACUUCAAAGCAUUAGUCCUAGAAUACAUGUCCAACGGGAGCUUGGAGGAUUGGCUGCAUUCUAGCAAUUACGUGCUGAAUAUAUUUCAUAGGUUGAACAUAAUGAUUGACGUUGCAUCAGCUUUAGAAUAUCUCCACUUCGAUCAUUCAACUCCUAUUAUUCAUUGUGACUUAAAGCCUAGUAAUGUAUUGUUGGACGAAAAUAUGGUUGCUCAUUUGAGUGAUUUUGGCAUAGCAAAGCUUUUAAGUGGAGAAGAUGAGUCUACGAUGCGAACAAAAACCCUUGCCACUAUAGGUUAUAUGGCACCAGGUUUGCUUCAAAUAACUUUUUUUUUUAGUUCAUUUUAAAUUUUGCAACUUAUUGAUUUUUACGAUCCUCACAUCAAAAUUUUAUUGAUUAUUUAUCUAAUUGUGAAAUUAAUUUGAUUCAUAGAGUACGGCAUAGAAGGAGAAGUAUCUACAAAAAGUGAUGUUUACAGCUAUGGGAUUAUGUUGAUGGAAACUUUUACCAAGAAAAAACCCACAGAUGAAAUUUUUGUUGGAGAAUUGAGCUUAAAGCGUUGGGUUAAUGACUUGCUUCCUACUUCAUUAGUGGAAGUUGUGGACAAAACUCUGCUAAGUGGAGAGGAAAAACAUUUUGCAUCAAAGGAGCAAUGUCUGUUGUCUGUCUUUUGUUUGGCUCUGGAGUGUACAAUGGAAUCACCGGAAAAGAGGAUUAAUGCAAAAGAUAUUGUUACCAGAUUACUCAAGAUAAGAGACACAUUGAGUAAAAGGAUAGGAAACUUCAGUUAAUUUCGUUUGCUUUCAUUGAUGGUUAAUUCAAAUUCAUGUAAUAAGUGUAAGAAUCUUAUAUGCUUUCCUUAGAUAUAUAUUUUUUUUUUUGAGAAAACUGUCGUAGUCAUCUUGUUUCCAUGGGCAGAGUUGAUUUAGUUCUUCCAAAAAAUGCUACUGAUGACCUUUGUUUAAUACUCUCUUUUUUUGCAUGUGUUUAGGUAGAACAGUGGUUUGGCUGCAGGCUAAGAAGACUAACUACACUAAAAGAAUAUGAUUUAAUUUAUUAAACAAAACUUCAAGUUCAAGAAAAGUAUUUCACUGCCCCCAAUGCUUUGGACACCUACUGGUAGGUUUGUACGUGUCCUCAACUUUUUUUUGGAGCACAAAAUUCGAGUCCCAUGGAGACUCAAACAUUCCUUUCCCGCAUCCCGAGCACGCUAAAUUCAUCAGACUGACGACUGGGACAUAUACAAGAGUGAAAUGUUUGGAGCACACUAAGUUCGAGUGAAAGAGAUUAAUUUACGGAAACUAAAGCCGAAGGUUCAAAAAAAAGUGCAAAGUGAAUUGAUGCACAAUGUCAUAUUCAUACAGAGAUCAAUUAUAUUAUUUACAGCUGGUAAGGGCUAAGAAUUGAUGUAGCUAGAAUACAAAGAGGAUAAGGUAUGUUGAGCACUAUUGUUUUUAUUCUACAAUCAAUCUUGACCCUUGAUGCUUGGCUCUCAAUCUUGUCCAUUGAUCGUCUCUGAUUUUGGAGACCUCAAGACCUUUCAGUAUCAUGCCUUGUUAUUGGUGUCUUCCGUGCUGUAGAAUUCAUAUACAAGCUUUCCCGCCGACUUGCCAAGUAUUCGUUCAUUGAUGCAUUUUUAUCAAACAGCUGGGCUACUUAUACCAAACACCGCCUGGUUUAACUCCCCCUCUCUAGCUCAACUAUCUGGGAAGACAAUUAAUUGAGAUAUGAAUCAGAAAGUUAAAUUUUAACAAUUAUAUUCGGACUCUACAUUUUGUAAUGAACAUUGGUUUGACUUGUUAUACAUUUAUGCGUACAUAAUUAAUAACCGAUUCUCAAGUGCGGACAUUCAAGAGCACUGCUUAAAGACCAAAUAUUUUGAUUUACUAUUUUUUGUCUUUCAAUUUUCUUUUAAGUUCUGAUGACGUCCGCAUUUUAAAAUCCUGUGGAACAAAGGCCUGAGGUGCAUAUAAAAUUCUUUUAUUUUUCAGAGGAAAAUGGGUGAGAGAAGAAGAUUUGGCAAAAGAAUUGCAACGGCAAUAUGAAACUAGUCUUUGUCUUUUAAUUCUUUUAUAUUUGUUUUUGUUAUUGAUGUUAGCUUGGAUGUGUGCGCGUGUUGUUAACAUAUAUGUUUACAUAAUGUUGAUUUUGAUGAUAACAAACAAAAUUAAGAAUGAUUAAUCUUUUAAGCUCAAAUUAUUUAAUAUUCUUUUUAAAUAAAUCAUUAUUUUCACAUUAUAAAUGUUUCAUAUUUAAUGGAAAAUUGAUUUUAUGAAAUUGGUUGUUUUUCAAAGUUUAUGGUUUAAUUGAAAGAAUUUUGAAAACUUUGAAAUAAACAAGUAUUGCUUGAAAUUUUAGUAAAGGACUUAUUUGAAAAGUGUCUUAGCAUUUUUGGCUAUAUCAUAAUUUCAGAAAGUUUUGGGAUUAACAAAGCAUUACUUAGAAAUUCUGAAAUUGGACCUAUUUGCAAAGUUUCAUAACGUUUUGGGCCUUAAUAUAGUUUUGUAAAGUUUGGGAGUCAAAAUGUAAUUUUAGAAAAUAAUUUCACUGUAGCAUCACUGUAGUAAACGGCUAACCGUUUAUUUAAAACGGCUAACCGAUAAUUUUCAGAAAGCAUAUUUUGCAUAGUAUUGUUAAAAUGAUGAUUCUGAAACAUAACGGUGAACCGUUUACUGAAAACGGUUAACCGAUUAUUUUCAGAUUGCUAACCUUGAACCGUUUAGUAAGAACGGUUAAACCAAAUUUGUUUUGCAGGUCUCUGGAAUUUAACGGCGAAAGGGUAAUACUAAACGAUAAACCGUUUAUUUGAAAAUUGGUCCAACGGUAACUUUGACCAGCCUAAACGGUUAACCGUUAAUGGUUAACGGCGAACCAUUUUCGAGCAGACAGUCUAUAACGGCUAGUUUUUCAGCUCCAACUAUAAAUAAGCUCAAUCCAAUUCAAACAAGAUAAAUUCCAACGAUCAUCAUUGAGCAAAAUAUUGAGAAUACAACUUUCAUUGAGCUUUAAAUCCUUGUAUUCAUCUCAUUCAUUCACACAUUGAGCUUUCACUUGUGAUCAAACACAUUGUGUGAGAGAGAUUCAUUUGAAAUCCUCUUUGUAAAAUCAAGUUAAAAGAUUGUAAGUGUUGGGAUACACUUGAGUUAAGAGAUUGGGGAUAAUCUCUUGUUGUAAAGGUCCAUUGACACCUUGGAAGUCAAUUGUAAGCGUUUGAAGCCUAGGGAGGCUAGCUUAGUGAAAUCCUCAAGCCCAGUGAGCUUGGAGGCGUGGACGUAGGCGGGGUUUGCCGAACCACGUAAAAAUCAUUGUGUUUGUUUUCUCUUCCCUUAGUCUUUUAAUAUUGUGCAUGAUUGAAUUUAUUGUUUUCAAUUUGAUUAAGGCAAUAAAUUAAAUUGUUGUGCGAAUUGUAUUGCAUAAAUUUUAAAAUCCCAAUUCACCCCCCUCUUGGGUUGCCUAGUUAGUAUUUCACGUGUGACUGAAUUCAACUUAUAUUUGUUUUUGUUAUUGUUAUUAAUUUUAUUUGUUUGUGUUAAAUUGGACCACCAAAAAGGGCUGUCCAUUAUCAAAUCAACACGGUUUAAUUAUUAUUAUUUCUACACUUUUUUUAUAAACAAAUAUAAAUAAAAGGAUAUUUACACCCCAAAUUUUAGUGAAAUAGUCAUUAACACUCCUAAAUUUUUAAAAAAAGAUAUCAAGAUCAUUUUUUGAUCUUAAUACUCUCAUACGGUACCUCUAUUAUUCUUAAAAAUUGACUCUAAUGUUUUAUAAUAAAUAAAAAUAAAACAUUAAAAUAAAUGUAAUAACAUAUAAUUUUAAAAUAAUUUCAUUAUUUAAAAAAUAUUUUUAACAUUUUACAAUCUAUUAAAUAUAUUUUAUUAUAUUAAAGUAAUUUUAUAAUAAAUAGAAUCAUAUUAUUAGAAUAAAUGCAUUAAAACUUAAAUUAUUUUGAAUAUCAUGUAAGAUAAUAAUUUUAACAUUACUAGUAUGUCAGUUUUUUUUUAAUUGUAGAAUGUAUUUAGUGCAAAUAUUUAUUUCAAAUCUCUACAAUAAAUAAAAGAUUAAAAUAAAUAUAAUAAUUUACAUAUCUAAAUUUAUUAAAAUAUUUUAAUAUUGUUAGUCUACUGCAUAUAUCACAAUAUUUAUAUAACAUUUGUAUUUAUUAAAAGCUUUAAAAUCAAUUCUUUUGAGAAUAAUAGAGGUAAAGGGUACAAUGGUCAAAAUGGGGACUUUGUACCCUUUUUUGAAAACUUGAAAGUGUUGGUGGUUAUUUUUCCAAACCUUCAGGGUAUAGAUGUCCUUUUUCCACAAAUAUAUGAGAAAAUUAUCAAGAAAUACAGUAUCUGAACUUUGAAGUAACAAGGAUCACCUUUUAUGAAAUCGAUUGCUUUUCAUGAUAGACUGUUACCAUUUUUCUACAAUAGAUUGAAUUUAGUAAAAAAUUGAUUAAGAUGUCUACUCAUGGAGAGUGAAAUUUAUGUUCAAAACUAAUUUCAACAAGCAUGCACCACCGAACGUGUUUCUCACGGAAAAGUUGCUUGGAUUUUUGGGACUUCCUGUUCAAAUAUUCAACACGGCAUGCACCACGCGAUUGAACAUGCAAAAGUAGGGGUCUAUUUUCAUUUCCAGCAUUAUAGAAAUCUUAAUUUUGUUCAUUAGUUAUUUUGAUCAGCACUGUUGAAUCUCCAUGUAUUGCCAAUCACUAAGAAACAACAUAUUCUUAUUAAUUAUAUCCUCUAAUGGAGAGAACUCAUUGUCUCAGUAAGAUCACUGUGUCAUUAACCCACAGCAUGCUGAUUUGCUUGGUUGCUGCAGCAAGCAAAAAUAUUACCACAGAUCAAAAAUCUCUUCUUGCCCCAAAAGAUCACAUAACUUAUGCUCCAACUAAUCUUUUGACCCAAAAUUGGACCUCAAAUACGUCUGUUUGUACGGGGAUUAGCAUCCCUUGUGAUGUCAAUAGCCAUGAAGUCGCAGCCUUGGAUAUUUCUCAAUUCAAUCUACAAGGCACCAUUAUUCCAAACACAACUGGUAAUUUAAGAAACCUUAAGUGGCUCGGCUUGGCUUAUAAACUACUUGACAUCUUCAACUUCAAAAUUGAGCUUUCUUUCCUCUUUGGCAAAUUGCAAAAAAUUAAGAAUCUUAGGCUUACUGGAAAUCCACUUGACCGUAUCCUCUCAGGUUCAAUAGGUAAUCUUUCUAUGUCUUAGGAAAGAUUUCACAUCGCCAAUUGCAGCAUUAGUGGCAGAAUUCCUCAAGUAAUCAGCAAUUUAAGCAACUUGUUGGCUGGUGUGCAAAAUUUUAAUAUACUCGCAAACGCAGGAAUCUAGAAAUAGAAUAAUGGUAACGAGGUCAAACCCACAUGGAUUGUUAUAAAAUGACAAAAGAAUAGCUGCUGGUCUAGAGGUGGCUUACUACAUUCAUACAAGAUCGUUUCUUGUUCUCCAAGAUGUGCAUUAUACUAAUAAUGCUAUACAAACUUAUAUACUGAUCUUAUCCUCUAGAUCUGUUCAGGCUGAGUGAUCUCUCACAUUUGCCAUAUCAGAAGAUUACAUGCCAGUAAUGUCAUGUGAUGACCUGUUGCUUGGUGAUGUCGAAUGCCUGGCCUUUACUUCUCUGAGCAAAUUGAUCAAACAAUCUGUUCAUUUUAUCGAACACCUUCACCAACUAACAUUUAAUUUACUUUUGAUGGUUUUUAAGUGCAUUUAAUGAUUAUUUUUGCUCCAACUUCAGAUAAACCAAACGCUAGUAUAUUAGAAGAAGAAGUUAACUGGCAGCUAACCAGGUCAAAAUAGCGACUCUAUAUAAAAAAUAUAUAUAUAAAAUAAAAAAUAAAAAAUGGGACUUUAUUUAAUUAAUUGUUGGUCUAAAGCUGUUGGUAUCCGUUGGCCACGUUUCUGAAGAGUCAUCUCAAAUCAAAAUUUUUAACGAACAAAGAACUUUGCUUUUUUCCAUUGUUCACAUUGCUGCUGGCUGCCACCCGUGAGAUAAAAGUGCUACAAUCCAAAAUGUUCCACCAUUAUUUAUUCUAAUUUUAAUUUUCCAAUGGAAAAAAUUACAUAAUUAAAAUGGCUUCUAAUAUCAUUUCCACAUCUCAAUAUGUGUCACUAUCAGAAGGUUGUUUUCAUGAUUCAUUGUAAAUUUGGAUUACAGUACCUGUACUUUCUGAUGGUUCAUUAUUUAUUCUCAGGAAUCGAGUCUCCUUACAUUACCAAACUAAUAACAACCAGCAAUCUUUUAUCCUUUCACGGUGAGAAAUCACAGUCUUCGUAUGAUCGCAGUGCCAUUAACCCACUGCCUGCUUCUUUACUUGGUUGUUGCAGUAGCAGCAGCAAGCAACAUUACCACAGGCCAACAAGCUCUUCUUGCCCUGAAAGCUCAUAUAAGUUAUGAUCCAACUAAUCUUUUGGCUCAAAAUUCGACCUCAAAUACCUCUGUUUGUAACUGGAUAGGCAUUACUUGUAAUGUCAAUAGCCAUAGAGUUACAGCCUUGAAUAUUUCCAGCUUGAAUCUACAAGGUACCAUCCCCCCUCAACUUGGAAACCUUUCUUCACUGACAACACUUAAUCUUAGUCAUAACAAGCUUUCCGGCGACAUUCCCCCCUCCAUCUUCACCAUGCAUAAGCUGAAAUUUCUUGAUUUCAGUGAUAAUCAGCUCUCUGGUUCUUUGUCCUCCGUCACCUUCAACUUGUCUUCAGUAUUAGAUAUUCGUUUGGAUAGUGACAAACUCUCUGGUGAACUCCCAGUAAAUAUUUGCAAUUAUCUUCACUAUUUAAAAGUCCUUUUUUUGGCCAAAAACAUGUUUCACGGUCAAAUACCACUGGCUUUAUCCAAGUGCAAACGGCUACAACUGUUAAAUUUGGGGUUCAAUAAAUUAUCAGGAGCCAUACCGAAAGAAAUCAGCAACUUGACUAUACUUCGAAAGAUAUCUCUCAGAAAUAAUAAACUUCGCGGUAUAAAUGUUUAUAAUAUAUACUUUGUAAAUGCUCUUAUUAAUCAUUCUUAAACUUUCUUAGACACUUUUGUCUAAAUAAAUUUCGUAAGAGAGUUUUUUGCAUCUCUGUUAAUUUUGCAGAUGAGAUACCUCACGAAAUUGGGUAUCUUCCAAAUCUAGAGAAUUUGGUGCUUGGAUUCAACAACCUAGUAGGCGUUGCACCUGCUGCAAUCUUCAACAUGUCAACAGUGAAAGAAAUUUACCGGUUAGAUAACUCUCUCUCGGGAAGUUUUUCAUCAGGAAUAGACCUUUCACUUCCUGAACAGAUUUUCUGGAACCAUUCCUAGUUUCAUCACCAACGCAUCUAAACUUGUAUAUCUAGAUAUGGGAACAAACUCUUUUUCGGGCAUUAUUCCGAACACAAUUGGUAAUAAUCUAAGAAAACUUGACUGGCUCGACUUAACAUACAAUUGCUUGACAUCUUUAACUCUAGAAUUGAGUAGUACUAGGUUGUUAAAUGACGGUAUCUUGUCAUCACAAGGAACACUAGGAAGAUUUUCAUACCAAGAUCUUUUUCGUGCAACAGAUAAAUUUAGUAAAGACAAUCUAAUUGACAUAGGAAGUUUUGGUUCUGUUUAUCGAGGAAGACUUCGUGAUGGAAUUGAGGUUGCAAUAAAAGUGUUUCACCAGAAUUUGUGCAAUGGAAUUGAUGAGUUUUGAGGCUGAAUGUGAAGUGAUGAAAAAUAUUCGUCAUCGAAAUCUUGUCAAAAUAAUCAGUAGUUGUUCGAACGAAGAUUUCAAAGCAUUAGUUCUAUAAUAUAUGCCCAAUGGGAGAUUGGAGGAUUGCUUGCAUUCUACCAAUUGUUCGUUAAAUAUUUUUGGCAGGUUGAACAUAAUGAUAGAUGUUGCAUCGGCUUUGGAAUAUCUCCACUUCAAUCAUUCAACUCCUAUCAUUCAUUGCGAUUUAAAGCCUAGUAAUGUAUUGUUAGAUGAAAAUAUGGUUGCUCAUUUGAGAUUUUGGAAUUGGAAGGCUCUUAACUGGAGACAAAUCAAUGAUACAAACAGAAACACUUGCCACAAUUGGUUAUAUGGCACCAGGUUUGCUCUGAAACAAUUUUUUUUUUUUUUUUUUUGGGUUUUCAUUUACACUUUCCAAAUUAUUAUUUUUCCAUGAUCCUUCUAUCCUAAUGUUGUUGAUUAUUUAUCUAAUGAUAAAAUCAAUUUGGUUGAUAGAAUAUGGCAUAGAAGGACGAGUAUCUACUAGAAGUGAUGUUUAUAGCUAUGGAAUUAUGUUAAUAGAAACAUUUACCAGGAAGAAACCCACAGAUGAAAUGUUUACAACAGAAUUGAGCUUGAAGCUUUGGGUUAACAACUUGCUACCUGCUUCAUUGAUGGAAGUUGUGGACAAAACUUUUUAAGUAGGGAAGAAGAAGAUUUUACUGUGAAGGAGCAGUGUGUGUUAUCAAUCCUGAGUUUAGCUAUGAAGUGUGUGAUGGAAAUGCCAGAAAAAAGGAUCAAUGCAAUAGAUAUUGUAACUAAAAUAUUGAAAAUAAGAGAUGUAUUGAGUAAAUGGUUAGCAAAUUUAGGUUAAUCUCAUUUCUUGGCAUUGAAACUUUAACUUGAAUCAAUAUAUACUUAAUUUGAAUCUUUGUAUGAGUGUAAGAAUAUGAUAUAUUUUCCUUUGAUUUUUUUUUUUGAGACAAACAUCGUAGCUAUCUUGUUUCAAAUUAAUUUUAUGCUUUUUUUUUCUUUUUCUAAGAUCAUGCCUAAGAGCCGUAGGAAGAUCAGCUACAAAUUCAAAGCCGGCUAAGGCAUUUGACAAUGGAGAGAUUGUUAGUUUUUUCUCCAUUGAAAUUAAUAUAUAUCACCUAUCCCAACUAUUUUCAUAAUGUCUAAUAACCUCCUGGCACCAUAAUUUUACCAUAUAACCCUUAUUUUUAAAUGCACUUUUAUUUAUAUUAAUAUUAAUUAAAUAAAUCAUAUGAGUUGGAAUUAAAAUUAAAAAAUUAAAGACCAAGAAUAAGAAAUAUACGUUUUAGUGUGCUUAAAAAAUUAAUAUUAAAAUAUUUUUUUUUUGUACUUUUUAUUGUCCAACCAAUGUUGACAUUUGCCUAUAUCAGGUUUUUUAUGUGUACAGUGCAGGUUCAACUUAAGCCAUUAAUAGAACAACUUGAGAGAGCAAAAGUAUUGCAAGUUCUUGAUUUUGAAAUCUCCAAGCAUAGGAAGCCAAAGCAUCUGCUUCUUCUGGGCAUGCUGCAAUGCUGGUUCUAGUUCGAACGUGACCUCUCAGUCAUCUCAAGAAGGGCUAUUCAUUGGGGACAUCGAGGUAACUUUACCCCACCCGGAGGUUUGAUAAUUCAACUUUUUUAAUAGAUUUGUCUAAUACAUUCAAUUUGAUUUUAUUAUGUACAUGUUUGGUUAAUUACCGUGUUCUGUUAAGUUCAAGUCCAGUUGCAAGUCCCAUUUGGUUUUGCAUUGUGUUCGUUCCGCCACUGAAUCCUUCAUAAAAUAGUUUAAGGUUUGGAAGUUGGUUGGAUAAAUAGUGCUAUAAUGGUAGUUACUUUCUUUUAUUUCGUUUGACUUUUCGCUAGUGUAUCACUCCUAGCAUAUAAUUAAUCAAUUCUUCCAGGCAUACCAUGACUUGAUUGUGAUGCUGUGGAUUAUCUAGGACCAUAAGCAUUUGUGUGUUAAUGUAUUAAACUUUUGCCAUACCUUUAACCAAUCUCAUAUGCAAGUAAAUAUGAUCACUUAGAUCAAAUUUCAGUUUAGACUUGAAUUGAAGUUUUAGUGUCCUGUAUGACUGGUCUUUCUCAAUUUUAUCAAACAUAUGUUUCCUUCUGAAAAUAUUAAAGUGGAUUUGAUAGUUUAAGCAAUUUGUGGUUGGAUUUUGGCAGUUUGAAGUUGUAAUUCUGGUACCAAUCAAGACGAGGAAGUGGAUGCCAAGUGUGAAACAACAAGUGGGCAUCUGAAAGUCACGCCACAUUGGAUGAUCCCACAAAAAAUGAAUCUUACAGAGGAACAACAUGGACAGAUUAAGCAGGAGCUAUAAAUGGAUAAAAUUUGAGCAGCUGGAGGAUCCAUAGAUGCCAAUAAACAACCGGAUUAUUCGAACGGACGUACCUCUAAUGGUCUAUCUGGAAAGUCCAGCGGGCAUGAAGUCUAAACGUGAAGUGGAUGAGGAGGAAGAUGAUACUAAUUCUAGAAACUUCAAGAGCUUUCAUUCUCAUGCUUUAUGAAUUUCUUUCUUGCUUCAGAAUUCAAAUGCAAGCUUUCCCUCUCAGUAUUUCUUCAUUGAGACAUUUUUCUCGAACAGGUUUAUACUUGUGUCAAACAUCUUCUGUUAUAACUAGGAAGCCAGUAAGAUUGUUUUUCAAGUACGUUAAGCGGAAACAAUAGGCAAGGCCUUUUGUCAUUAUAUCUACCACUUGAUUUUUUCUGCCCAAGUACUUACUAUUCAAUUCGUUUGUUCCAAUUUUGUCCCUAAUGAAGUGGUCUUAUAUCCCCACAAACUUUGCUCUUCCAUGAAAGACGAGAUUCUGUGCAAGUGCUAUUGCACUCUUGUUGUCACAUAACAACAGAGGAAUAAUUAAACAUACAUGAAUAUGCACUUUAGUAAGCAAGGAUCUUAACCAGCUGAUCAUUUCUGCUGCUACAUGAGACAGGGCUCUGUCUUAUACUUUUGUACUAGAUUUUGAGACCACCUUUUGCUUCUUGGAGCUACAUGAGAUCAGAUUUCUUGCGGGGUAAAAAAAUUCAUGAAAACCCUCAAGUAUUUAUGACAUUUAUAUAAAAAUAGAGUUUGAUUUUUCUUUCAAGUAUGUUCCUACAUUAAUCUCUACUUAAAAACUGAAAUAUCAUUUAAAAAAAUAAUUAUUCUUCCACCUUUAAAAUUCAAUAUUAAAGAGUAAUUUGUCAUUUUUAAUUAGAGUUAGAGGCUUGUUUUAUUAUGUAUAUAAAAUAUUUCUUAGGUGCAAGAACCCUCAUUUUUUUGUGCGGAUAUACUAUUAAACCAUGCAGUUUAAAAGUUGAUUAAAAUGAAUGGUGUAAUAGUGUGUCCAUAUAAAAAAAAAAAAAACAUAAUAAGGGCAUUGGCAUUAAAGAACAUAUAUAUUAUCCCAAUUAGGGAUCCCUAACCAUAUUAAAGUCAGGGGACAAGUUAAAAACAAAAAACAAAAACUUCAAUGUAUUUUGUCAUAUAAUGUAUUAAAAUCUGUAUUUUCUUUUAUCUUUUAGUUUAUCCCUAUUUUAAUAUGGUUAAAGAUUCGUAAUUGGAAACCCACUCUAAUUAUCUAUGUAUUUCUUAUUUUUAAUACAUUCGCACAAAUAUUUAUAUACAAUAAAUGUAUUACUUAGCCCUGCCUGAUAAAAGAUCCCGGGUCCGGCUCUGAAGGAAGAUGCAAUAUCCUCCUGCUGACGCUUCAUUAACCUUUUUCCUUUCAUUUUAAACUUUCUGAAUUAUUGCCUUUCGUAAUUCUCAUAUCAUGCAUUGAGUAUUUAUCUAACUAUGAAAUUAAUUUGAUUAAUAGAGUAUGGCAUAGAAGGACGGGUAUCUAUUAAAAGUGAUGUCGUUGCGGAAUUGAGCUUGAAGUAAGUUUUGGAUAAAUCUGCCGUAAAGAAGCAAUGUGUGCUGUCUAUCUUGAGUUUUGGAUUAAUCUCCUUAUCAUUUGUUAUCUUACUUAAUUAUAGCACUAUAUGAUAUUAUUAUACACUAUUUACAGUUUUCUGUGUUUUUUUUUUUUUUCUAAUUACUAACAUAUGAAACUCUAUUGCCUGGGAAAUUCAAGGAAUUUUGUUUGUGUAUAAUUAAUCAUUUCUUUUUUGGGAUUAAUUUAUAAUUAAUUUUGCAGAUACCAAGUAUCUAGAAAGAGCAGGACCCAGCAAGACCGGGUAAUAGAUAUAUAGAGAGAGACUUUGCAAUUGGUAAAUAUUAAGAGUGGCAGCAAUUAAAGUUGAUUAAUAUGCUAGUAUAAUAUUAGUAUUGACAUUAGGCAGAGACGGAGACUUUAGUGAAUAUUAUUGCUAUAUGAGUAAUUUUUGUAUAUGAGCGUGGCUAAUUACAAUUUCCAAAUCUCUGCGGGUUACUGAAAAUUUAAGUGCCUUGCAUAUGACUAUUAACCCAGUUUUUCAUGCUCGCUCGAAGCAUAUUGAAUUAGAUUAUCACUUCAUUUGAGAAAAAGGUUGCUGAUGGUGCCUUGGUUACGAAGUUUGUCCCUUCUUCGUUACAAAUUGCAGAUGUUUUUACUAAGGCUUUGUCAAAAGCCAUGUUCCGCAAUUUCAGAUACAAGCUUGGCGUUCAUCAAAUGUCACUUGCCAGCUUGAGGGGGGAUGUUAAGCAAGCUGACCAAGAUUACUAAAAGGAAAGUCAUCAACGGUCAAGUCAACAACGGGUUUAUCACUCCACACAACUUGCUCACGUCAAAGCUAUUUGUCAAGGAAUAUCUCCAGCACGAUUUUUGCACUUGAAUGCCAAUAUCAUGUAGGAAUAUUUCAUUCCUAUUUUAUAAAGAUAUUGUGCAAUAGUUUAGGAAGUAUUCACUUAUUUUCCUUUAAUAUUAUUAAGCCUUUUAACGGCUACUUUGUCUUUAUUUUGUAUAAAUAAUUCUGUAAAUUUCAUUAAAAAUAUAGAACAAGAAUUAUACUCUUCAUAGAAUUUCUUUCACUAAAUUCAUCAGCCUCUUGAACCCUCUCCUGAGGGCACCUUCUGUCCUCUGUUUUCUGUUACCAUACACUAACAGACAAAAGCAUUCAGAAUGACAACUGGGACAUAUAUAAGAGUGAAAUAAUUGAAAAAUUAUGCUUUUUUGUUUGUCAUGUUAAAAUCGUAAAGUGCGUAAGUACUAUGAAAGAGAUUAGUUUACGGAAACUGAAGCCAAGGGUUAAAAAAAAAAAAGGUGCAAAGAGAAUAAAGGGCAACGCUUAUGUAAAGAGACAUAAUUGUAUUGGUAGCACAAUGUCACGUUCAUACAGGGAUCAAGCAUAUUAUUUACAGGUGGUAAGGGCUAAGAAUUGAUGUAGCUAGAAUACAAAGGUGAUAAGGUAUGUUGUGCACUAUUUAUUUAUUCUACAAUCAAUCUUGACCAUUGAUGCUUGGAUCUCAAUCUUGUCCAUUGAUCUUCUCUGAUCUCGAAAACUUCAAGACCUUUCAAUCUUAUGCCUUAUUAUUGGUGUCUUCCAUGCUGUAGAUUUCAAAUACAAGGUUUCCCGCCAACUUGCCAAGUAUUUGUCCAUUGGUGCAUUUUAUCAAACAGUUUGAUACUUAUACCAAACGCCUUCUGUUUUAACUCCCCCUCUCAAGCUCAACUAUCUGGGAAGACAUUAAUAAACUUGUUUCUCAAGUAUAUGUAUCUGAAAAUGAAAUUUUAAAAAUUAUAUUCGGACUCUACAUUUUCUAAUGAACAUUGGUUUGGCUUAUAAGCUUAUUAUACUCAGGCUUGGUGGGAUUAUCGGUCGGUAGAUGACCGAGUGUUAGAGCUUUCGAAUUUAUGCCAAUUAAAAAAAAAAAAAAAAGAAUCUACAUAAAGUUUCAACUAGGCUACUACCACAAUAAACAUUUGGAUCAACUAUUAUUGAAACCUUAUUGAGAAGUGGGACAUGUCGCAUACCAAUGCACUGACAUAUCUUCAAAUAGUGGUAACUCCACACAGCAUGGCACAAUAAAUUAAGAGUUAUAUAGAUAAAAUCUUUCACUCUUUGGUAAUCAUCAAUUUCACUAUUAUUCGGUUUAUUAUGUUUGUUUCUUUCAGUAUGUUAAAAGAUUAUGUUGUGAAUUUGUUUUACAGGCUGCCCGUAAGUCUGCGCCCACCACCGGUGGUGUUAAGAAGCCUCAUCGUUACCGUCCUGGAACCGUCGCCCUUCGGUUUGUUCUCUAAUUUAAAUUUCCGUUGUAUAGCUUUAGUUGUUCUUGUCUAAUUUUGUGGGUAAUUUUGUAUAGAGAAAUUCGCAAGUACCAGAAGAGUACCGAACUGCUUAUCAGGAAACUCCCAUUCCAGGGACUUGUUCGUGAAAUUGCUCAGGACUUCAAGGUACCUUGUUAUCGUUUUGGUUGUUAUCUUUGUUAUCUUUAAAUUGGGUUCCCAAGAUUUCUUGAUAGACGGUUAAUGGCUAUUUUGUUGUCUGUUUUGCAGACUGAUCUGCGUUUCCAGAGCCAUGCAGUGCUGGCCCUGCAGGAGGCAGCCGAGGCUUAGGGCAUCUCCAAUGUAGCACUAAACCUAACACCAAAUCAUCUUUUACAUCAUUUUUGGUGUAAAAUGCUUCUCCAAUGUAACACCAAAAUGGUGCAAUGAAUAGUAUUGCACCAAAUAUGGUGCAAUACUAUUCAUUUGCACCAUAUUUGGUGCUAGGAAAAAAAGUCUCAAGUAUCCUUAUUACUUUAUCUUAUUUACAUAUAUGUCAUAUUUUAUAUAAUAUUUUAAGUUAUUAUUAUUAUUGUUAUUUUUUAAUUUCAUUUUUUAAUUUUUGAAUAUUUUAAAUAAAAAAUAUUCAACACAAAAAUUUAUAAUAAAAAUAAAAUGCCAAUAACAUUAAUUACUAGAUUACAUAUUACAAAAUUAAAAAUACAAAAUUAAAUUAACACAAAUUAAAAAAGCUACUACUACUAGCAUAAAUUAAAACAAUUAUUUAGUAAUGUGGGAGAUCAUUAUUAGAUUCUCCAAUAUCAUCAAAAUAUUUUUCUAUAUUAAUGUAAUGUUUAAUUUUCAUAAUGCACUUAUUAUUGUUAUUGUAUUUUUCUAUAUUAAUGUAAUGUUUAAUUUUUAUAAUGUACUAAUUUAGUUAAUUAAAUGCAAUAUUUAUUAAUUUUCUAUUUUUUUGUUAAUCGAUAUAAAAUUACUUAUUACUUAAUUAUCUAUAUUAAUAGUAAUAUUUAUUGUGUUAAUUGAAUUAAUUCUUGAGAAUUAAAAGAAUAAAAAGAAAAAUAUUCUUUUUGAUGUAAAAUUUGGUGUAAAUGGGUUGGAGAUGAAAUAAUAAUUUAGUGUGAAAAAGGUUCAUUUUUAGUGUUGGUGUUACACCAAAAUGAUGUUAUGCAUUGGAGAUGGCCUUACCUCGUCGGUCACUUUGAGGACACCAAUUGAAUGACUGGAAAGGGAAGGGGGAAGUUGUAAUGUGUUAAUUUGUAUGUGGGGUUCGUGGGGACGACGUCGCUUUUUCUUAGAUAUUUUUUUUCUUUUUCCUCCCUUAAAAACAGUGAAAUUACUUAUACUGGUUUUUCUAUUUUACAUUUUGAAUAUUAUUAAUUAAUAUAAUUUAAGAUAACAAUCAGGGAUAAAACAAUCAUUUUUUAUUCAAGAUCAUUUUAUCAAUAUUCUGUUAAAUAUUCUCACAAUUUAACUUUAUCCUUAACAAAAAUUUAACUUUUUUUUUUAAACUAACGGAACCAAAUUCUAUAUAUAAAUGUAUAGUACGCAUUAAUAAAUAAAUAAAACUUUGACGACCGGAGGGAAUGAAUAAAUAAAUAGAUAAAACUUUCGAAGCUCGUGAAUGUGCUAUUUUGGUUUUUUUUUUUUAGUAAUUGUUUAAUUGAAAAAAGAAAGCUUCGGGAUUUAUUUUUGACGGGACGGCUGAGAUUUGUUGACCUUCUAGAGAAUGAGAACAGAUUUUCAAUUUGUUGAUUAGUAUUCCUACAGUCCAGCCCAAAAGUACCGGCUCAAUGAGUUCGGUCAUGUUUGGUAACAGGUAUCCAUCACUUUCAAAAUCCGGUCCUACCAACGUAUCGGCUUUUACUGGCUGUCGUAUCAUCCGUGAAUGCAUGGGAGAGUGAGACUACUCCAAUCUCCACGACAGAAAUUUUAGAAUAUAUCUAUUGUAUUAUAAUUAAUUGAUACAUAUAUGACAUGUAUAAUUGAGUAUAAUAUAACCACUAUUUAUAUAAUAAUUUAUAAAAUAAAUGCACACAUAUUAUGACAUUAUUUACUUGUUAUAUGGAUAAUAAAUGCACACAUGUCAUCAGUCUUUGGUAAACAAAUUCACAAUAUAUAUUAAUCUUUGUGGAAGCUAUGUCCAAAAAAUAAAUAUUGUAAAAAAAUUUUAAUUAAUAAUUUUUUGGACAUUAAUAAAAAAAAUUAAUAUAUUAACUCCUCAUGGAGUAUUCAAAACAAUUGAUAUAAAUUUUGUUGUUUCUAUUUUACUUUUUUGGUUUAAAUUGACAAUUUAAUUUUUCUUUUUAUUAAUGUCCAAUAAAAAAGAAAUAUUAUUGUACGAGUGUAAUACUGUAAAAACAAGUCAAAAAGAAUAAAAAGUAACAAUUAGGGUGUCAAUACUUAACAACAAAGAUGUUUUGAGAUAUUUUUAAAAAUAUAAGGAUUAAACGAGAUUUUACCAUUAUUAAUUAUAGUCAUCUUUUUAUAAAUUACAAUUAGAGGAAGUUGGUUAAUGUUGUUGACACGCACGCACACAUAAAGAUUUAUUGGAAGUGCUUAUGCCGACUCGAAGUUGUUGGGAAUUAAUGCAUGUAUUGAUUUAUUGGGAGUGUUUAAAUGAUUUUGUGAUUUACUUGAUUGAUUGAAUAUUGUUUGAUUGCUUCAUAUCCAUUCUACAAAGUUUAUUUCUUUGUGAAAUUUCAACGACAUAUUUUUAAAAAAUAAUAAUAAUAAGGGUGUUCUAAAUCAUUUUAAAAAAUAUAUGGACUUAUUAGAAUUAAUUACUAGGUAAUUAACUUGAUCUGUACAGGGUGAAACAACAUUUAUCCUAAUUGUAUCAUGACAAAUACUUUUCCGAUUAGAAUUAGGAAACCAUAGGUUUAUUGAAUUAUUUUUUUUUAUUUUCGUUUGGAGAAACGGAUUAGAGAAUUAGAAAACAAUCCUAAUGAUAUAAUUAUCAGGUUUAAAACAGUGCAUAAACAGUGAAAAGCUAAUUAGUCUGUAGAGUAAUUUGCUAAUUGUUAUCUCCUCUCUAUGCGCGCUGAAUAAUUUGUUGCAUGCAAACUUUUUAUUUUAUGCAAAUCGUACUUACUGUAACAUUGGAAUUGAUGUAUAAGCAAAAUUACAAUAAUAUUUAUGUCAAUAAAAAUAGUUUUUUUUUCCUUUUUAAAUAAACACAACGCGAUGUUGCUCUGCUCUACAUUUUUGCUAUCUCUUUAUUCUUUUUUUUUUUUUGGGCUUCUUAAAGCCUCAAACUUUGAUAACCAAAACUUCAUCGACCUAUGAAAAAAUCUGCAGAUUAGUUUUUAUUAUCGGAAUAAUUGUUUGAGAAUACGAAAACAAAAUAUAAAAUAAGAAAAUAGGGGGUUAAAUUAGAGGGGGAAAAAAAGGCAUGUUCUAUCGAUUACUAUAGUUUAAGGGAAAAAAAAUCAAUUGGGGAUUUUUUUUCUUUAAUUUUUGUUUUACUUGAUGGAGAUUUCUCCUUAGUCCUUACAGUUUUAAGUUUGGAUGCCGUAGGGUUAGUAAUUUAGUACUUCCUUUGCAAGCUGAGUGUAAGAAUGAAAAUCUUUAAAGAAAUUAAAAAAGAAAAAAAUAAAAAAAGCAUACCAAUAGGCAAUUAUAAAUAACCAUAAAUAAACAUAAACAAAAUGUUUAUGAAGUAAAUUACACAUGCACAUAUUAUUUUCUUGUUUUAUUUCUUACUUGUCUAUUUUAUUUGCUGCUUGAUAACCCUUAAAUACUAAUCUAGUACUGCUAAUUUCAGACACAAAAUGUUUAACUCUAGGCUGCAGUUUUACUCAAAAUGAUGACCACUGGCUUCGCACCAUUUAACCAGCAUACAUUUCUACAAAGGGAAAAGGACAUUCAACCCCCCAACGUUUAGGAAAAUGGACAAAAAACCCUUCAACGUUUCAAAAAGGACUUAUAACCCUCUUUCUGUUAACAAACACCGUUUGUUUUAACAGUAAAUUUAUUUUUAAUUUUUAAUUACUAUUAUACCCUUAUAAUAAAAAAAUUAAUGUAUUAAUUUGAGAUAUAUCACAAUUAAUAAUUUUUUAAAAGCUUAAAAUUAAGAUACAAUUAUUUUUUUGCCAAAAUUAUUUACUAUAAAUUAUACCUUUCUAACAAUAAUAAUAUCGUUUUGAUUCCUCAAAGAAAAAGAGUUUAAUCAAAUUUCGUUUUAUUAGUAAUAAUCACAUAUGAAAGAUUUUAUCAUUAGAAACGUAUAAUUUAUAGCAAAUAAUUUGGGCAAAAAUGUAAUUGUAUCUCAAUUUUUAGUUUUAAAAAAAUUAUUAAUUGUGACAUGUCUCAAAUCAAUAUAUUAAUUUAUAUUUAUUAUAAGGGUAUAAUAGUAAUUAAAAAUUAAAAAUAAAUUUACUGUUAAAACAAACGGUAUUUAUUAACGGAAAGAGGGUUAUAAGUCCUUUUUAAAAUAUUGAGGGGUUUUUUGUCCCUUUUCCUAAACGUUGGGGGGUUGAACGUCCUUUUCCCUUCUACAAAUUGAACAAGGCUAUUAAUUUUCAUUAUUAUUUUUUAUUUAUUUAUAAAUUACUAUUUUAAUUUUCACUUUUUAUUGGGUUGUUUAACGGAUUAGUGAAGUUGGUGGUCGUGAUGCACUCACAAGGUACAAUUUUAUUUUAUAAUUUCGAAUUUGUAUUUUAAAAUGCAGGAACAUUAUGUAUACAUAAUUAUUGAUUUUCGUAUGUGGAUGUUUUGAAAUAUUGCUAAAAGACCAAACUUUAAUAAACUAUUUUUCAUCUUUUUUUUCCUAAAGUUUGAGUGAUAUCCGCAUUUUAAAUUCAUCUGGAACAAAAGCUAAUGUAUGCACAAAAUUCUUUUAUUUUUUCCGAGAAAAAUGGGUAAGAGAAGAAGAUUUUUCUCUUGAAAAAGAAAAACUAAUACGAUGCAAGCAUAGGAAAGAGGUCAAUGUUUUGGAUUAGAAUUUAGUAUUGAGCUGAAUUUUAUACUAAACUCUUUUAUAGUACUGCGAUUAAUAAACUCAUGAUUUGCUUUUGCUUUUACUUCAAGUGAAAGAAAGAGGAAACCUUUUGUUUUUUGUUUGAUUCUUGACUAUAGAUGUUACCUAUAUAGAGAGUUGAGGUAGCUACCUUAAGUGAUGGUGAUAAAAAGAUUAAGCAGCGCACACAAUCUUACUGUCGUCCAGACCAUCCAGCUGUGAUGACUCUAGUUUUUUGGGUUACAUUAGCUUUAGUGGAAAGGAGGGCCAAUUUAACAAAGACUAGAUUUGGUGGCUUACUAUAAUGCUUAUUCUCAGGGAAUCUAAUGUUAUAAGAUGAUUUAAUGAUCUUCUAUGAUUGUGAGUAGUAUAGUAUAAUUGAAAAGAGCCUGGGCUCCUAUGAUGAAUAUAUAAUAGUAACACAGUACUGUGAUUGAAAAAAACACAGUUACAAUAAACUCUUCAUUUAUUCAUUGCGGAGAUUGAAUGGCAAAGAGAGAAUAAAAUGAAGCAGAGGAAUCUCAUUGCCAGUAAAAUUGAUCCUCUUUAAUGUUAUAUGGCACAGGUGUGUGUACAGCAAGAGCAAGUUACUUGCAGUUUUUAUUGUAAAAUAUACAGGUUAUGACCAUGAUCAUUGUAGUUAGGUUUUGAUGAUUUUAGAUGCUUUUUUUUUAUUUUUUUAAAUUGUGACACCUUUGAUUUAUGGUAGUUUUGCAGAAGAAAAAAAUAUAUAUAAAAAUUAGGAGGGAUGAGUUAACUAACGAUUGCAAUCAUUACAGUAAUGUUGAUGAGUGAUACAUCAUUUGAAAUUUACUUGUCAGUUGCUGAAAUGAUGAAAAAAAACAAUAAACAAUAGCAGUAAUAUUUUUAUGGAAAUUCUUGGUUUUUAUGGAAAUACUCUUGCUGAAAUUCUAAUUUUGACUUUCAACUCUUGGUUUUUAUGGAAAGUAAAAUGACUUGUUUGUUAUAUUCAUACAACCCACUCUACAUAAUGAUUUCAUUUUAAUAAAUGGUUGAUGAUCUCCACAGAAAAACUACUUCAAUUCUUUUUUUUUUUAUUUAACUUUUUGGUUGUUGAAAAUAGCCUUAAUUUUCAAAUCAUUGGAGAAAGAGUAAAGAACAUUUAACAAAUUUAUGUGCCAAAAAUAAAGGAGAAAUUGAAGAGAAAGGGUGCUUGCAGAAGUGGGUGCAAAGAUAAAUCAGUCCAUAAGAAUUAUUGUGGUUAUUAAUUUUUUGGCAAUAUAAAAAUUUUUCAGCAAAUAAAAAUUGAAUUUUCCGAUUUACUAAAAAAUCAAUUAAAAACUUCGGCGAUAGCAUUUUUUAUGGGUGCAUGUACCCUCCCUUUAAAAAAAAAUAAUAAUUAAUACUUAAUAUAGUAUUAAAUACGAAAAUAUCAAUAUUUGACUACACAAAUUUAUAUCAUUAGGUCCUUAAAAUUUAAAAUUGAAGACACAAAAUGAAAUAUAUAUAAAUUUCAUUCUCAUAGGAAAGGAUCCUCUUAUAAUCUUAAAAUAUUUGAGCUUUGAAAGAUUUUUUAAAACAAAUGUACUUUUAUUUUUGUACAAUCAAUAAUUACUUAUUUAUUAUAUUUUUAUUCAUUAACUAUCAAUCAUGUGAGUAUAUCUACUCAGAAAUAUCAUAUCAAGGGAGAAUCUUGAUCCCACGCACACGCAAAUAUGUUAAUUUCUAUACGCUUCACUUACCUGUAGAAUCAAUUAUCUAAAAUGCAAGUUUGUGGCCACAAAAAAAGCCAAAGAAAGAAGAUAAUAACAAUUGACUUGUAUAUUAUACUCAUACAAUCCACUCGACAUAAUGAUAUCAUUUUAAUAAGGCAAUGGCUGAUGAUCUCCAUUGAAAAACUAAUUCAAUUUUUUGCUUCAUUUAACUUGUUGGUUGUUGAAAAUAACCUUAAUUAUCAAAUAAUUGGAGAAAGAGUAAAGAACAUUUAACAAAUUUAUGUGCAAAAAAAAAAAAAAGAAAGGAGAAGUUGAAGAGAAAGGGUGCUUGCAGAAGUGGGUGUCAAAGAAAAAUCAGUCCAUAAUAAUUAUUGCCGUUAUUUUUUGGCAAUAUAAAAUUUUUAUAGCAAGUAAAAAUUAAUUUUUUUCCAAUUUACUAAAAACUUCUGCGACAGCAUUUUUUAUGGGUGCUUAUACCAUCCCUUUAAAAAAAAUAAUAAUAAUUUAAUGCUUAAUAUAGUAUUAAAUACGAAAAUAUCAAUAUUUGACUACUCAAAUUUAUAUCAUUAGGUCCUUAAAAUUUAAAAUUGAAGAUACGAAAGGAAAUAUAUAUAAAUUUCAUUCUCAUGGAAAGGAUUCUCUUAUAAUCUUAUAAUAUUUGAGUUCUGAUUUUUUUUUUAAACAAAUGUAAUUUUAUUUGUGCACAAUCAGUAUUUACUUAUUUAUUAUAUUUUAAUUUAUUAACUAUCAAUCAUGUAAGUAUAUUUAGUCAGAAAAAUUAUAUCAAGAGAGAAUCCUAAUUUCACGCAAACACAAAUAUAAGACAAAUAUGUCAAUUUCUAUACUAUUCACUUCCUGUAGAAUCAAUUAUCUAAAAUGCAAGUUUGUGGCUACAGAAAACUCGCCAAAGAAAGAAGAUAAUAACAAUUGAGCAUUGAUAGCAAAACUAAUGCAUCAUUUUAUUCUUGACUUGAUGAGAUGGUGGCAUUACAAAAAAAACAAGUACCUUAAUUGACGGGCACUGAGUGAUGUGAAUACUACCAGCCAGUUCAUCUCUUCCAGUCUUGCUUAAUCACAAUCACAAACACCACGAGAUCGACAUUUGCAUUAUAUAUAUCUUCAGCAAUCGAAACACCUUGCAUUACCAAAUUAACCAGUAACAAACAAAGCAAUCUUUCAUGGAGAGAAACCUUAGUCUCAGUAUGAUCACUGUGUCAUUAACCCACUGCCUGCUUCUUUGCUUGGUUGUUGCAGCAGCAGCAGCAGCAAGCAACAAUAUUACCACAGACCAACAAGCUCUUCUUGCCCUGAAAGAUCAUAUAACUUAUGAUCCAACCAACCUUUUUGCCCAUAAUUGGACCUCGAAUACCUCUGUUUGUACCUGGAUUGGCAUCACUUGUGAUGUCAAUAGCCAUAGAGUCACAGCCUUAGAUAUUUCUCAAUUCAAUCUACAAGGCACCAUCCCUCCUCAACUCGGAAACCUCUCUUCACUCACAACGCUUAAUCUUAGUCAUAACAGGCUUUCUGGAAACGUUCCCUCCUCCAUCUACACAAUGCAUACGCUAAAAUUUCUUGACUUCACUGAUAACCAGCUCUCUGGUUCAGUGUCUUCCUUCGUCUUCAACAUGUCUUCAAUAGUAGACAUUCGUUUGACCAAUAACAGACUUUCUGGUGAGCUUCCGAAAACUAUUUGCAACUAUCUUCCUCAUUUGAAAGCCCUUUUUUUGGACAAAAACAUGUUUCAUGGCAAAUUUCCUUCUGCUUUAUCAAAGUGCAAACAACUGCAACAAUUAAAUUUGCAGUUCAAUAAUUUAUCCGGUGCAAUACCAAAAGAAAUCGGCAACUUGACUAUGCUCAAAUGGAUAGACCUCGGCUACAACAAACUCCACGGUAUGUCCAUAAUAAUAUGUAAAUAUUUUAAUUUCUCACUUGUUAUUUUUCUUGAAUACUUUAGAUAAGAUUUGUAAGGGAGAUUUUUUUGCAUCUGUGUUAAUUUGCUAGGUGAGAUACCCCACGAAAUCGCUCAUCUUCGAAAUCUAGAGGAUUUAGUGCUUGGAAUGAACAACCUAGUUGGUGUGGUAUCAGCUACAAUCUUCAACAUGUCAACACUGAAGGUAAUUAUUCUCGCAAAUAACUCUCUCUCCGGAAGUCUUCCAUCAAGAAUAGACCUUUCACUUCCAACUAUUGAGCAUCUUAGCUUGGCACUUAAUAGAUUUUCUGGAACCAUUCCUAGUUCCAUCACCAAUGCUUCUAAGCUCACCUUGCUAGAAUUGGGAGGAAACACAUUUUCAGGCUUUAUUCCAAAUACAGUUGGUAAUUUAAGAAACCUUGAGAGACUCGGCUUGGCUAAUAACUCCUUGACAUCUUCCACCUCAAGAUUGAGUUUUCUUUCCUCUUUGGCAAAUUGCAAGAAAUUAAGAUCCUUAAACUUAAAUGGAAAUCCACUUGACGGCUUCCUUCCAAGUUCAAUAGGUAAUCUUUCCAUGUCUUUGAAAAUACUUCUCAUCGCCAAUUGCAGUAUUAUUGGCAACAUUCCUCCAGCAAUUAGCAAUUUAAGCAACUUGUUGGCCUUAGUAUUAGACCGCAAUAAAUUGACUGGACCAAUUCCAAUUACAUUCGGCCGACUGCAGAAACUCCAAGGCUUAUAUCUUGCAUCCAAUAAGUUGGUAGGUUCAUUCCCAGAUGAGCUUUGCCAUCUAGCUAGGCUGGCUGAAUUGGUCUUAUUGGGCAAUAAGCUUUCAGGAUCUAUACCUUCAUGCUUAAGUAACCUCACUUCUCUGAGAUCUCUCUACUUAGGGUCCAAUAGGUUUACUUCUGUUAUUCCCUCAACCUUCUGGAGCCUAAAAGACAUCUUGUUCUUUGACUUUUCAUCAAAUUUCUUUGUUGGUACUCUUUCUUUCGACAUAGGUAAUUUGAAGGUGCUUCUAGGAAUAAAUUUAUCAGAAAAUAACUUAUCGGGUGAUAUCCCAGCCACAAUUGGAGGAUUAAAAAACCUUCAAAUUAUGGACCUAGCAUAUAAUAGAUUGGAAGGGCAAAUUCCUGAAUCAUUUGGUGACUUGACAAGUUUGGAGUUUUUGAAUUUGUCAAAUAAUAAAAUCUCUGGGUCUAUUCCAACAUCCAUGGAGAAACUGUUUUUCCUCCGAGUGUUAAAUCUCUCUUUCAAUAAACUAGAAGGUGAGAUUCCUAGUGGAGGAAUUUUUGCCAA
rnacentral:lncRNA from 1 species